ACAAAUAUACAAUUCCUCUGUGGUCAGCAGAUCCAAAGCUGUACUGAAUCAUUAGCUACAGCGAAACCAAAUAAAGAAUUUCACAAAGGAAGUGCUUUACAAAAUACCAAAUGCAUAAAUUCAACUAGGGAUCACAUCAGUAACAAAAUACCAAAUGCAUAAAGUCAACUAGAGAUCACACCAGUAACAAGUCCGACUGAACCUUUUAGUACACUAGCAGGUUGACAAUAUGAACUAAGAUUUCGGAUAACAAUAAUAACUGAUUGUUAUGGAUAGCAGGGCCUAUCACUGUACAGUUUAACCCCAUCAAACUAAGUCAUGUCCCGAAUAACAGCCAGUGCUGGGCAAACAAGAACAAGGGUAACAACUUUCUUUGAAAAUGAAAUGAUGCUUAAUCUGUAGGUUGACCAAGCGUUGCUCUGAUGUCUGAACUGGAAAUCAAACAAGCAGAAGUAUAAGCACCAGCAAAGUGGGGGGCCAUGCUUGAAGCAGAUUCAGAGGUACACCGACAAUUUUUUCAGAUGAAAGAAGAGCCAGUUUUUGGGAGGAAACACAGGGGUGGUUUGAAGGUAAAGCUACUACCCCUCAGCAUCUGCUAAUGGCUCUGAGAACAGAGGAACAUAGGGUAGAAAUCUGUGCACACUGCUUCUCUCAAGAUUAAUGAUACAGCCAACUUUCUGAUGCCACAUGUCAUAUGAUAUCAAGGUAUCACCUCCACACUGAGCCAGGAAAAUUGUGUCACAAUCUGGAUGAAUCUCAACCACCCUGUACUUCUCCCCAGUCAUGCUCAUAAGCGUAUCAAUGCUGGCAGUAUGCUUCAGGACCCAUUCUUUACUGUCCCAAUCCUUGAGGCACCAGAGUGCUAUCUCAGAAACUAGGAUUUCAUUGUUAUUAUUGACAGAAGCUACAACAUAGUGUAAGCACCCCUGCGACAAUCCAAUAGUACCAAAUUUUGAACCGUACAGCACACGGAUAGUCUUCCACACUUUCCCCUCCAUGUCCACCCCCACCAGCACAUACUCACCGUUGGUGUCCACCACGUUACCCAUGAUGUACAGCAUACCACCAACAAAGACACAUUUACUCCUGAACAGGGUAGCUUUCUCAACUAUCCCACUGUCUCUAUGAAUCCAGGCUCCUGUGCGAGACGAGUAGAUGUUCACUCCUGCGAUCAAAGUUUUCGGAAAGGUCCGCUCGAAACAAAGAACAUGGAAAUGGGACGAGACUGCUGGAUCGAAAGCUAGGCCUGCAGUAUGGUUAAGUCUGUUCAUUGGCUCCGGCUUUUGAGGUUGAGGUGGCACCUCCACCCACCACCCGGUGGCGGGAUUGCACACAACAAAAUGGUAAUCAUGCCUGCUGCUGUUGUAACGGCGGUAGAGAACGAGGCCAUUGCAAGCAUCCACCUGGGUGAUGCCCUCAUCCUUGUUAGGAUACAGGUAAGGGAGGGAAGGGUCAAAGGAGGCUGUGCCGCCGGAGAAACCGACAAAGUGGUGGCGAUACCCGUUGCUGCAGAAGGACGUGUAGAGGAAGCCAGCAAGGGUCUGGGGCAGCUUCUUGUGGUUGGCGGGGUCGGCGAUGAGGUCGCGCCAGAGCACUGAGACGCACUUGAAACGGUGGACGGAUCUGGCUGGGAGGCAGGAGAGGAUCUCCAGCAUGAGGUCGACAUUGAACAGGCUGGUCGCCCCCGCCGUCGUCGCCUGCGGAUGGUCGUCCAACCUCGGCUUGGUGUUCCUCUCGAAGAUCUCCGCCUCCUCCAUGGAGCUUGGCUUGGCGUUCCACUCCAAUAUCUCCCCUUUCUCCGCCUCCUCCAUGGAGGAGGAAGGGCUAGGCAGGGGACACGGUCAGACCAGAUCUAAAUGGAGAGAGAAAAUCAUAGAUCUGGCUGAGAAAAAUUAACCCGGCAGUGGUGGUGGUCCUGUGGGGAGUCGGAAAGAUACCUUGGUUUGGCUAAUGAUAGCGACGGGUGCCGGCGGUGAACGGGGAUGCGACCGGCGGCACUUCACUUCUCAGAGGACGGACACUGGGGAACAACAUCACCGACGCUGAACAUAGAAAGAGGAAAUUGGCAUAUGCUUGGAUUGGAUAGUCGUAGAUACAAACAUAAAAAUGACCUCUAUGUAAAGAAUUCACAACUUUCAGAAUUUACCCUUUUCCAAACAUGACUAGAAAGAAACGUGCGCCUUUUUUUGCUGUUUUUAAUCAAUGAAGAGCAACAUAUAUAGAAGUACUCCAACUAUUUAACAAAAGAAAAUAAUUUCAAUGCCACCACAAACUAAGAGAAAAAAACCUAGUCCAUCGCCACCUUCUCACUUGCCUCCCCCAACUAUAGUUCCUGUCUUUGGGACUCCCUAUCCAUGUCUUAUUUUCCAAAUAAUGUCUUCUGUUCUCAUGUAACUCCUUUUCACUUAGAGAAGUUCCAAAGAGAGCAGUGAUCAAAAGUUUAUUUCACCCAAACAAAAGCAUAUCAGAAUAUUGCAUACAACAAUGUGUUAGCUACAGACAUAUGGUACUCAGGCCAACUCCAGCGUGUGAUCCCAAAUGGUCCGGCCGCGUAACGGACACAAAACAUGGCCCCCAAAUUUGAGCCGCGUUUGCGUCGAAACGGACAGUGCGCGGACGGGCGGGAUGCACGCCCUUGUCCUUCCCUGGCCCAACCAUCGGGGACACAAACACACCCACUUUCCCCCUCAUUCCCAAAAACCUCCCACGCUCCCCCUCCACUCCCUCCUCCAUGGUCGAUGCCCCAAAGAAACCCGACGACCUGACCGCCACCACCGAGUGCCCGGAGACGAAGAAGAACAACCCGAAGAAACCGGCGGAGGUCGUGUGGCUCAACCUUGAAUCGGCCAAGAGGAGGGUCCGUCGGACCGUUGCGGCGCAGAAGAAAGCCGCUGUCGACUUUGCCACCGAGGUUGCGGCCUCACAGCACAUGGUCGUCGUCGACUAGAAUGAGGCCAUCCUCGCCAAGGCCACGCAGGCAACAUUGACGCGGGUCCUUGUCAUGAAGGACAGCAAUUCUCUCCGCCGCCAUGGCCGCAGAGAGCACAGUCUCGUCGGUCGUUCACCCUCCGUAGUGCCAAUCGCCAAGCUCCUCCAUAACACCGGAGACGGCCGGUUUCCAUCCGCUGUGGCGGCACACUCAGACCCGGUUCUCCACAUCGCCAAACGGCAGCGUGAUCGUGCCGGCCACCCCCGCCCAGCCGGCCGUGAUCGACCUCAACGUCAUGCCUGGGUACAGUGGCGUGUUGGGGAACGCAGUAAUUUCAAAAAAGUUCCUACGCACACGCAAGAUCAUGGGGAUGCAUAGCAACGUGAGGGGAAGAAUGUUGUCCACGUACCCUCGUAGACCGUAAGCGGAAGCGUUAUGUGAAGGAAAUAUGCCCUAGAGGCAAUAAUAAAGUUAUUAUUUAUUUCCUUAUAUCAUGAUACAUGUUUAUUAUUCGUGCUAGAAUUGUAUUAACUGGAAACAUAAUACAUGUGUGAAUAUAUAGACAAACAGAUUGUCACUAGUAUGCCUCUACUUGACUAGCUCGUUGAUCAAAGAUGGUUAUGUUUCCUAACCAUAGACAUGAGUUGUCAUUUGAUUAACGGGGUCACAUCAUUAGGAGAAUGAUGUGAUUGACUUGACCCAUUCUGUUAGCUUGGCACACGAUCUUUUAGUAUUCUGCUAUUGCUUUCUUCAUGACUUAUACAUGUUCCUAUUACUAUGAGAUUAUGCAACUCCCGUUUACCGGAGGAACACUUGGUGUGCUACCAAACGUCACAACAUAACUAGGUGAUUAUAAAGGUGCUCUACAGGUCUCUCCGAAGGUACUUGUUGGGUUGGCGUAUUUCGAGAUUAGGAUUUGUCACUUCGAUUGUCGGAGAGGUAUCUUUGGGCCCUCUCGGUAAUGCACAUCACUUAAGCCUUGCAAGCAUUGAAACUAAUGAGUUAGUUGCGGGAUGAUGUUAUGGAACGAGUAAAGAGACUUGUCGGUAACGAGAUUGAACUAGGUAUUGAGAUACCGACGAUCGAAUCUCGGGAAAGUAACAUACCGAUGACAAACGGAACAACGUAUGUUAUUAUGCGGUUUGACCGAUAAAAGAUCUUCAUAGAAUAUGUGGGAGCCAAUAUGAACAUCCAGGUUCCGCUAUUGGUUAUUGACCAGAGAUGUGUCUCGGUCAUGUCUACAUAGUUCUCGAACCCGUAGGGUCCGCACGCUUAACGUUUCGAUGAUAGUUAUAUUAUGAGUUUAUAUGUUUUGAUGUACCGAAGGUUGUUCGGAGUCCCGGAUGUGAUCCCGGACAUGACGAGGAGUCUCGAAAUGGUCGAGACAUGAAGAUUGAUAUAUUGGAAGCCUAUGUUUGGAUAUCGGAAGUGUACCGGGUGAAAUCGGGAUUUUACCGAAGUACCGGGAGGUUACCGGAACCCCCUGGGGGCUUAAUGGGCCUACAUGGGCCUUAGUGGAAAUAGAGGGCAGCAAGGGGAGUGUGGGGUGCGCCCCCCCAAGGCCCAAACCCGAAUUGGUUUAGGGCAAGGGGGCUGGCCCCCUCUUUCCUUCUCCCCCACUCUCUUUCCUUCUUCCAAGUCCUAAUCCAACUUGGAAAGGGGGGGGGGGUGAGGGAGUCCUAGAUUAGGGGGUCUCCAGACAGUCGGACUAUAUCCUUUUGCUGGACUAUUGGACUAUGAAGAUACGAGAUUGAAGACUUCGUCCCGUGUUCGGAUGGGACUCUACUUGGCGUGGAAGGCAAGCUAGGCAAUACGGAUAUGGAUAUUUCCUCCUUUGUAACCGACCUUGUGUAACCCUAGCCUCCUCCGGUGUCUAUAUAAACCGGAGUGUUUUAGUCCGUAGGACAACAUACAAUCAUACCAUAGGCUAGCUCCUAUGGUUUAGCCUCUCCGAUCUCGUGGUAGAUCAACUCUUGUACUAUUCAUAUUAUCAAGAAUAAUCAAGCAGGACGUAGGCUUUUACCUCCAUCAAGAGGGCCCGAACCUAGGUAAAACUUCGUGCCCCCUGCCUCCUGUUACCAUCCGCCUUAGACGCACAGUUCGGGACCCCCUACCCGAGAUCCGCCGGUUUUGACACAGACAUUGUUGCUUUCAUUGAGAGUUCCUCUGUGUCAUCGCCGUUAGGCUUGAUGGCUCCUUCGAUCAUCGAUAGCGAUGCAGUCCAGGGUGAGACUUUUCUCCCCGGAUAGAUCUUUGUAAUUGGCGGCUUCGCACUGCGGGCCAACUCACUUGGCCAUUUGGAGCAGAUCGAGAGUUACGCCCCUGGCCACCCAGGUCAGGUUUGGAAGCUUAAACUACACGGCCGACAUCCGCGGAGACUUGAUCUUCGACGGAUUCGAGCCCCUGCCAAGUGCGCCGCACGGUCAUGAUGAGCAUGAUUUAGCUCUGCCAUCAGACAGUGUUCAGGAGACCGCACCGGCAACCGCUCCGACCCUCAAUUCGGAGCCAAUUGCGCCACCCAUGGACGGGUGGAUAGACCCUACCACGGAGGCCAUAUUCUCAGUGGCGAUCGAUCCGAGUAUCGACCUUACCCUUCAUGGGAGCCAUGACGCUGAACUACCGGAUUCUUCCCCCGCCACGGACUCCGAACCGCUUGCGCCCGUGCCUAUCGAAUCCGACUGGGCAUCGAUCAUGGAGUUCACCUCAGCGGAUAUCUUUCAGCACUCGCCUUUCAGUGACAUACUAAACUCAUUAAGGUCCCUCUCCCUGUCAGGAGAGUCCUGGCCGAACUAUGUUCGGCAGGAUUGGGAUGCGGAUGACAAAGAAAUUCGCUGCCCACCCACCACCCACUUAGUAGCCACUGUCGACAAUUUGACCGACAUGCUCGACUUCGACUCCGAAGACAUCGACGGUAUGGACGACGAUGCAGGAGACGAAGAGGAACCACUGCCCACAGGGCACUGGACAGCCACCUCAUCAUAUGAUAUAUAAAUGGUGGACACACCCAAAGAAGGCAAUGGCGACGAGACAGCGGAGGAUGACCCCUCCAAGAAGCAACCCAAGCACCGACGUCAGUGGCGCCGCUCUAAGUCUCGCAAAGCAAAAGCGGUGACACCGGCACAGGAGAUAAUAGCACUCCGGACAGUGCCAAAGACGACAACAAUCCCCUCCAGCAACAUUUAGAGCAGGAGGACGGAGAAGCCAGCCUUCCUGAGAGAGUGGCAGAUGGAGAGGCGGAGGAUGAUAAUUACAUGCCUCCCUCCGAAGACGAGGCAAGCCUCGACGACGACGAAUUUGUCGUGCCGGAGGAUUCCGCCGAACAAGAGCGCUUCAAGCGCCGGCUUAUAGCCACGGAAAAUAGCCUUAAGAAAAAGCAGCAGCAGCUUCAAGCUGAUCAAGACUUGCUAGCUGACAGAUGGACUGAAGUCCUUGCGGCCGAGGAAUAUGAACUCGAAUGCCCCUCCAAUAGUUUCCCAAAGCGCAGGUUGCUACCCUGACUGGAGGAGGAAGCAUUAAAACCUACAUCUCCAGCAUAUGACGCGGAUGAUCGGCCACCUCGUGGCCGCGAUAGAGAGGCAUUUCAGCCAAAAACUCAGCCCGCACCCCGAUGCCACUCACAUAAAAACCACAAGGCACGGGGAAAUAUGCGAGACCUGCAAGACGUAUUGGAGGACAAAUCAAAACACGCAAGAUCGAUCUACGGAUCACGAGGGCGCGCCACUACAUGAGACGAUAACCGUCACGCCGGAUACAGUAAAAGUAAAUCCGGCCGGGCCAAACACAGCGGACAAGAAUCAUUCAAGCUGCGUCUCGACAUAGCCCACUACAGAGGCGCCGCACACCCCAUAUGCUUCACAGACGAAGUAAUGGAUCACCAAAUCUCAGAGGGUUUCAGACCCGUAAAUAUUGAAUCAUACAACAGCACAACAGAUCCUGCGGUAUGGAUCAAGGACUUCCUCCUGCACAUCCACAUGGCCCGCGGUGACGAUCUACACGCCAUCAAAUACCUCCCACUCAAGCUCAAAGGACCAGCUCGGCAUUGGCUCAACAGCCUGCCAGCAGAAUCCAUUGGCUGCUGGGAAGAUCUGGAAGCCGCAUUCCUCGACAACUUCCAGGGCACUUAUGUGCGACCACCAGAUGCCGAUGACUUGAGCCACAUAAUUCAGCAGCCAGAGGAAUCAGCCAGAAAAUUCUGGACACGGUUCCUGACAAAGAAAAAUCAAAUCAUCGACUGUCUGGAUGCAGAGGCCCUAGUAGCUUUUAAGCACAACAUCCGCAACGAGUGGCUCGCCCGGCAUGUUGGCCGGGAAAAGCCGAAAUCUAUGGCAGCCCUCACGACACUCAUGACCCGCUUUUGCGCGGGAGAAGACAACUGGCUGUCUCGCAGCAAUAACAUAUCAAAGAACCACGGUACUUCAGAUACCAAGGAUAGCAAUGGCAGGUCAUGUCGCAACAAACAUAAGCCGCCGCGUCAAUAAUGACAAUACCGAGGAUACGAUAGUCAAUGCCGGAUUCAGAGGCUCUAAACCCGGUCGGCGGAAAAAGCCAUUCAAAAGAAGCACUCCGGGCCCGUCUAGUUUGGACCGUAUAAUCGAUCUCUCGUGCCAAAUACAUGGCACCCCCGACAAGUCAGCCAACCACACCAACAGGGAAUGUUGGGUGUUCAAGCAGGCCGACAAGUUAAAUGCCGAAAACAAAGAUAAGGGGCUACAUAGCGAUGACGAGGAAGAGCCCCGGCAGCCGAACACCGGAGGGCAGAAGAUGUUCCCCCCACAAGUGCGGACGGUGAACAUGAUAUACGCAACCCACAUCCCCAAGAGGGAGCGGAAGCGUGCGUUAAGGGACGUAUAUGCGUUGGAGCCAGUCGCCACAAAGUUCAUCCCAUGGUCCUCCUAUCCGAUCACCUUCGAUCGCAGGGACCAUACCACUAGUAUCCAUCAUGGCGGAUUCGCCGCACUGGUCCUAGACCCAAUCAUCGAUGGAUUUUACCUCACUCGAGUCCUUAUGGACGGUGGCAGCAGCUUGAACCUGCUUUAUCAGGACACAGUGUGCAAAAUGGGUAUAGACCCCUCAAGGAUCAAACCCACAAGAACAACCUUUAAAGGCGUCAUACGAGGUGUAGAGGCCCAUUGCGCAGGAUCAGUCACACUGGAAGUGGUCUUCGGAUCCCCGGAUAACUUCCGAAGCGAGGAGAUAAUCUUUGAUAUAGUCCCAUUCCGCAGUGGCUAUCACGCACUGCUCGGGCGGACCGCAUUUGCCAGAUUCAACGCGGUACCGCAUUAUGCAUACCUCAAGCUCAAGAUGCCAGGACCUCGGGGGGUCAUCACAGUCAAUGGAAACACAGAGCGCUCUCUCCGCACAGAGGAGCACACUGCAGCCCUCGCAGCAGAAGCGCAAAGCAGCCUCUUAAGGCAAUCCACCAGUUCGGCGAUUAAAGACCCGGACACCUUCAAGCGCGCCCGGAGUAAUCGGCAACAAGACCGCCUGGCAUGUUCCGAGCUCGCAUAGCAAUGCAGCCCCCACCCCAGUCCCAGCCAAACGGCGAAAUCCGUGCCACGUGUGCAUAAUUACGCAUUGAAAAUACCAUGGGCACAGGUGGGGAGGGGGCAUGACUACAGCAUGCCCCAAGACGCAGCUCAACCGCACUAAGGGCUUCCCGCUUUGUUAUUUUUAUCUCUUUCAGGACUUUAAUCUCUGGAAACCCCGUCCGGCAGUACGAUUGCCAGACACAUGAUGCAACAACAAGGAGGCAGAAAGCUACGUCGCACCACGGAACUCCCAGGUGGUCUCUGAUAACGAGUGAAAUACCUGCUUUAAAUACCAUUCCUCAGCGUGCCCUUGGAUGGGACAUGUCAAAUAGUCCUACCUUUUGCUUAUCGCACUACUUGUAUCAUUCUGCUUCGACGCACCUUUUUGAAUAAACACUGAAUAGCACUAGACUAUUACCGCAUCCUCUAUUGUUUUUUAUGUAUAUGUUCAUUCAUGACAUUCAGCACCCGUACACUCUGGUACGACCAAUACGCCAGGCGCUUAAGCAUCACUAGUAGAAAAUAGGGCUUUGGUCCAGGCCGGGUCAGCCCCUUAGUCCCGGUUCAGUCCAGAACCAGGACCAAUGGGGGUAUUGGACCCGGUUCGUGAGCCCAGGUGGCCAGCCGGCCCACGUGGGCCAUUGGUCCCGGUUCAUCUGGACCUUUUGGUCCCGAUUGGUGGGACGAACCGGGACCAAUGGGCCUCGCUCUUGGCCCACCACCAUUGGUCCCGUUUAGUGGCUUGAACCGGGACCAAAGGCUCCCCUUUAGUCCCGGUUCAUGCCACCAACCGGGACCAAUGAGGUGCCUAUAUAUACCCCCUCACGUAAGAGCAGAUCACACUGCUCUGUUUUUUUCUGGCCGAGGGGGAGAGGGCUUGGUGAUGCUCUAGCUCACCUCUAUGCACACAAGGUGUUCGAUGGAAUGCCCGAGCCACACUAAAGCUUUCUCCUCUCCAAGCUCUAUUUUCCAUAAUAUUUGUCUAGGUUUAGCGGUCCGUCAUGCCCCGUCCCUGUCUUCACCGCCGUCGAUCACCCGCGCCGAGCUCAUUGCCGGAACCACCGUGGUGAGCCUCUUGUUCUUAUCUUCUUUCUGAAAGGAAAAAUAUUCUUACUUGUAUGUUUACAUAGAUACUUGUAUUAUUUUCUUACUUUUAUUAUUGCAUCUUAUAUAGUGCGAUGGUUUUGGUAUCUGCCCCCGUCGGCCCUCGUCCUGUCUAUGAUUCGGAUGUGGUAUAUAUAUUAUCUUUAUAACUAUUGGUUGAUUUAUUGUUGAUGAAAAUUAUGCCGACCAACGUGACAUAGAUUUUAUUUAUGUAGGAUGUAUGUGAAUUGGAAAUGCCAACUGACCCUAUUGUCGAGAGGUUAAAUUUAGUUUAAGAACAAAACAAUUUGUUGAAGGAAAAAAUAAAAAAAAAUUGAGGAGGAGAAGAUGAUAUUGGAGUUGCAUGUUGCGGAUGUCGUCGAUGAUCACAAGAUCAAGAUGGAUGCAAUGCGCUUCAAGAUUAGAAAGAUUAGAAAAUAUGCCAUUCAUACCGAGGCUUGGUAUCAUUAUGUCGUUGGAUCAAUUGUUACCUUGGUUGCGAUUAUUAUCGCAUUUUGUUUUCGCAUUGAAAUGUUUUACAUAGUUUCAAUGUAUGGUUUAAUUAAUUAGAUGCUGUGGAGAGCUAUAUGUUGUUAGAUGAGAACUAUGUAUGCACUUUGGUUUUAAUGUGAUGAUGAACUUCUAUUAAUUUGGACACUUAACUAUAUAUAAUGCACGCAGAUGAACCGGCAAUGGAUGUACGGUGACAGACACACCUGCGAGUACAUUAAGGGCGUGCAUGAGUUUCUCGAUGCGGCUGAGGAAAACAAGCAGAAUGGUUUUAUGUGUUGUCCAUGCACUGAAUGUGGGAAUACGAGGUCUUACUCUAACCGGAAAAUCCUUCACUCCCACCUGCUUUACAAGGGUUUCAUGCCACACUAUAAUGUUUGGUCGAGGCACGGAGAAAUAGGGGUUAUGAUGGAAGACGGCAAAGAAGAAGAGUACGAUGACAACUAUGUGCCCCCUGAAUACAGUGAUGCUGCAACGGGAGGAGCUGGUGAAGAUCAAGAGGAACCAGACGAUGUGCCCAAUGAUGCUGCAACGGGUGAAGCUGCUGAAGAUCAAGAGGAACCAGACGAUUAGCCCGAUGAUGAUGAUCUCUGCCGGGUCAUUGUCGAUGCAAGGACGCAAUGCGAAAGUCAAAAGGAGGAGCUGAAGUUCGAUCGCAUGUUAGAGGAUCACAAAAAAGGGUUGUACCCCAAUUGCGAAGAUGGCAACACAAAGCUCGGUACCGUACUAGAAUUGCUGUAGUGGAAGGCAGAGAAUGUUGUGGCUGACAAAGGAUUUGAGAAGCUACUGAAAAUAUUGAAGAAGAAGCUUCCAAAGGAUAACGAAUUGCCCGACAGUACAUACGCAACAAAGAAGGUUGUAUGCCCUCUAGGAUUGGAGGUGGAGAAGAUACAUGCAUGCCCUAAUGACUGCAUCCUCUACCGCGGUGCAUACAAGGAUCUGAACGCAUGCCUGGUAUGCGGUGCAUUGCGGUAUAAGAUCAGACGAGAUGACCCUGGUGAUGUUGACGGCGAGCCCCCCAGGAAGAGGGUUCCUGUGAAGGUGAUGUGAUAUGCUCCUAUAAUACCACGGUUGAAACGUUUGUUCAGAAACGAAGAGCAUGUCAAGUUGAUGCGAUGGCACAGUGAGAACCGAAAGAAAGAUGGGAAGUUGAGAGCACCCGCUGACGGGUCGCAGUGGAGAAAAAUCGAGAGAAUGUACUGGGAUGAGUUUGCAAAGGACCCAUGGAAUGUAUUGUUUGCUUUAAGCGCGGAUGGCAUUAAUCCUUUCGGGGAGCAGAGCAGCAAUCACAGCACCUGGCCCGUGACUCUAUGUAUGUAUAACCUUCCUCCUUGGAUGUGCAUGAAGCGAAAGUUCAUUAUGAUGCAAGUUCUCAUCCAAGGCCCUAAGAAACCCGGCAACGACAUUGAUGUGUACCUAAGGCCAUUAGUUGAAGAAAUUUUACAACUGUGGAAUGGAAAUGGUGUACGUACGUGGGAUGAGCACAGACAGGAGGAAUUUAACCUAAAGGCGUUGCUGUUCGUGACCAUCAAUGAUUGGCCCGCUCUCCGUAACCUUUCAGGACAGACAAACAAAGGAUACCACGCAUGCACACACUGUUUAGAUGACACUGAAAGUAUAUACCUAGACAAAUGCAGGAACAAUGUGUACCUGGGCCAUCGUCGAUUUCUUCCGACCAACCAUCAAUGUCGAAAGAAAGGCAAGCAUUUCAAAGGCGAGGCAGAUCACCGGAAGAAGCCCUCCAUGCGUACCGGUGAUCACGUACUUGCUAUGGUCAAUGAUUUACACGUAAUCUUUGGAAAGGGUCCUUGUGGACUAGCUGUUCCAAAUGACGCUGAGGGACACGCACCCAUGCGGAAGAAGAAAUCUAUAUUUUGGGACCUACCCUACUGGAAAGACCUAGAGGUCCGCUCUUCAAUCGACGUGAUGCACGUGACGAGGAACCUUUGCGUAAACCUGCUAGGCUUCUUGGGCGUGUUGAAGGAAAUAUGCCCUAGAGGCAAUAAUAAAGUUAUUAUUUAUUUCCUUAUAUCAUGAUAAAUGUUUAUUAUUCAUGCUAGAAUUGUAUUAACCGGAAACAUAAUACAUGUGUGAAUACAUAGACAAGCAGAGUGUCACUAGUAUGCCUCUACUUGACUAGCUCGUUAAUCAAAGAUGGUUAUGUUUCCUAACCAUGGACAAAGAUUUGUUAUUUGAUUAACGGGAUCACAUCAUUAGGUGAAUGAUCUGAUUGACAUGACCCAUUCCAUUAGCUUAGCACCCGAUCGUUUAGUAUGUUGCUAUUGCUUUCUUCAUGACUUAUACAUGUUCCUAUGACUAUGAGAUUAUGCAACUCCCGUUUGCCGGAGGAACACUUUGUGUGCUACCAAACGUCACAACGUAGCUGGGUGAUUAUAAAGUUGCUCUACAGGUGUCUCCAAAGGUACAUGUUGGGUUGGCGUAUUUCGAGAUUAGGAUUUGUCACUCCGAUUGUCGGAGAGGUAUCUCAGGGCCCUCUCGGUAAUGCACAUCACAUAAGCCUUGCAAGCAUUGCAACUAAUGAGUUAGUUGCGAAAUGAUGUAUUACGGAACAAGUAAAGAGACUUGCCGGUAACGAGAUUGAACUAGGUAUUGAGAUACCAACGAUCGAAUCUCGGGCAAGUAACAUACCGAUGACAAAGGGAACAACGUAUGUUGUUAUGCGGUCUCACCGAUAAAGAUAUUCGUAGAAUAUGUAGGAGCCAAUAUGGGCAUCCAGGUCCCACUAUUGGUUAUUGACCGGAGACGUGUCUCGGUCAUGUCUACAUUGUUCUCGAACCGUAGGAUCCGCACGCUUAACAUUACGAUGACAGUUUCAUUAUGAGUUUAUACAUUUUGAUGUACCGAAGUUUGUUCGGAGUCCCGGAUGUGAUCAUGGACAUGAUGAGGACUCUCGAAAUGGUCGAGACAUAAAGAUCGAUAUAUUGGAAGCCUAUAUUUGGAUAUCGGAAUCGUACCGGGUGAAAUCGGGAUUUUACAGGAGUACUGGGGGGUUACCGGAACCCCCCGGGGGGUUAUUGGGCCUACAUGGGCCUUAAGGGAGAAGAGGAAAGGAGGCAAGAUGUGGUCGUGCGCCCCUCCCCUUCCUAGUCCGAAUAGGACAAGGGAAGGGGGGCGGCGCCCCCCCUUUCCUUUCCCUCUUCCUCCUCUUUCCCCUUCUCCUUAUCCAACUAGGAAAGAAGGGAGUCCUACUCCCAGUGGGAGUAGGACUCCCCCUUGGCACGCCCCUCCUUGGCCGGCCGCCCCCUCCCCUUGGCUCCUUUAUAUACGGGGGCAGGGGGCACCGUAGGACACACAAGUUAAUCUUCGUGAUCGUUCCUUAGCCGUGUGCGGUGCCCCCCUCCACGAUAUUACACCUCGGUCAUAUUGUAGCAGUUCUUAGGCGAAGCCCUGCGGCGGUUGAACAUCAAGAUCGUCACCACGCCGUCGUGCUGACGGAACUCAUCCCCGAAGCUUUGCUGGAUCGGAGCCCGGGGAUCGUCAUCGAGCUGAACGUGUGCCAAGAACUCGGAAGUGCCGGAGUAACGGUGCUUCGAUCGGUCGGAUCGUGAAGACGUACGACUACAUCAACCGCAUUGUCACAACGCUUCCGCUGUCGGUCUACAAGGGUACGUAGAUCACACUCUCCCCUCUCGUUGCUAUGCAUCACCAUGAUCUUGCAUGUGCGUAGGAAAUUUUUUGAAAUUACUAUGUUCCCCAACACAUGUAUGCGAAGACAAAAGAUACACCUGAGGCACGGGAGGACCUGCAACGUUUGCACGAAAAAGACGGCAUGGCUCCGAAGCAGUAUGAAGAUCCUGCCAGCUACGCUCUUACGAAAGAAGAGAAAGAAAUCUUCUUUGAAUGCCUGCUCAGUAUGAAGGUCACGACUGGCUUCUCGUCGAAUAUAAAGGGAAUAAUAAAUAUGCCAGAGAAAAAGUUUCAGAACCUAAAGUCUCAUGACUACCACGUGAUUAUGACGCAACUACUUACGGUUGCAUUGAGGGGGCUUCUACCGGAAAAUGUCCGAUUAGCCAUUGUGAAGCUAUGUGCAUUCCUCAAUGCAAUCUCUCAGAAGGUGAUUGAUCCAGAAAUCAUACCAAGGCUAAGGAGUGAUGUGGCGCAAUGUCUUGUCAGUUUCGAGCUGGUGUUCCCACCAUCCUUCUUCAAUAUCAUGACGCACGUCCUAGUUCAUCUAGUCGACGAGAUUGUCAUCCUGGGGCCCGUAUUUCUACAUAAUAUGUUCCCCUUUGAGAGGUUCAUGUGAGUCCUAAAGAAAUAUGUCCAUAACCGCGCUAGGCCAGAAGGAAGCAUCUCCAUGGGCCAUCAAACAGAGGAUGUUAUCGGGUUUUGUGUUGACUUCAUUCCUUGCCUUAAGAAGAUAGGUCUCCAUAAAUCGCGGUAUGAGGGGCGACUGACUGGAAAAGGCACUCUUGGAAGUGACUCAAUAAUAUGCAGGGACGGAUAUUCUUGGUCUCAAGCACACUACACAGUUCUAUAGAACUCUACCUUGGUGACCCCGUAUGUCGAUGAAUACAAGAACAGUCUGCGCUCCAAACACCUGGAGCAGUGCGACGACUGGAUUACAUGUGAACACAUCAGGACUUUCAGCAGUUGGUUGGAAACACGUCUCAGAGGUGACAACACUAUUUGUGAUGAGUUGUACUUGUUAUCCAGGGGACCAUCUUUGACUGUAUUGACUUAGAAAGGAUACGAGAUAAAUGGGAAUACAUAUUACACAAUCGCCCAAGAUCAAAAGAGCACCAACCAAAACAGCGGUGUCCACUUUGAUGCAGCAACCGAGAGCGGAAAGGACACAUAUUAUGGUUACAUAGUUGACAUAUGGGAACUUGACUACAGACCUGAUUUUAAGGUCCCUUUGUUUAAGUGCAAAUGGGUCAAUCUGUCAGGCGGCGGGGUACAGGUAGACCCACAGUACGGAAUGACAACAGUGGAUCUGAAAAAUCUUGGGUACACUGACGAACCGUUUGUCCUAGCGAAUGAUGUGGCACAGGUUAUCUAUGUGAAGGACAUGUCUACCAAACCGAGAAAAAGAAAAGAUAAGGAAGCGAAUACAUCAUACGAUGAGCCAAAGCGCCACAUAGUUCUUUCAGGAAAAAGGGACAUCCUGGGAGUGGACGGCAAGACAGACAUGUCUGAAGAUUAUGAAAAGUUUCAUGAAAUUCCUCCCUUCAAUGUCAAGGCUGACCCAAGCAUCCUGAUAAACGAUGAAGAUUAUCCAUGGUUACGGCGCAAUAAGCAAAUGACACAAGCGAAGAAAAAGUGAAGACUUUCUCCCGCAACUAUUAUGAUGAUACCAUGCCAACUUUGUAACACACGAACAUGCUACCAUUGUCUGUUUUGUACAUGCACAUGCUAUGUGGGUGAAAUUAUGAUACCAUGCCAACUUUCAACUUUUUCAGAGUUCAUUUGAAAUGCUUUCAUGUCUUAUGGUUCGGCCCUCGUAAUACCAUGACCAUUAGUCCCUGGCCCAUGCCAACUUUUAACUUUCAACUUUCUAAAACUAAUGGCACUAACAGAAAGUUUAUAAUUUUGCUCCUCGCCCCUGGCCCAUGACCAUUAGUCCCUCCUCCCCGAGACCGUGCCGCCCCGACGCCAUCCGCCGCCCUCGCCGACGCCCUCGCCGACGCCCUCGCCACCCCCGCCGCCCCCACCGUCGCCCUCGCCGGUCAACCUCGCUGUGAGCCGCCGCGCGCCAUCCCGGUUUAUCAUUUUUUUUUCAUUUUUUCUUCGUAUAUAUAAUGUAUAUAUGUAUGUGGCUAUAUGUAUGUAUAGAUGUUCAUAUAUGUGUAUUAUUUUUUUUGUUCAGAGCAUUUUUUGUUCAUAUAUGUAUUUUUUGGUUUAUGUGUAUUAUUUUUUUGUUCAUAGUAUUUUUUUGUUCAAAUUUUUUCAUAGCAUUAUUUCCAUGUAUAUAUGUAUGUGGCUAUGUAUGUAUAGAUGGAUAGCAUUUUUUCCAUGUAUGUAUGUCAUUGUCGAUAUACCCCCUCCCCGUUAACUUCGACAGGAGGGGGGCUCGAUAUAACCCUCCCCGAUAACUUCGACAUGAGGGGGGGGGUCGAUAUACCCCCUCCCUGAUAACUUCGACAUGAGGGAGGGUCGAGAACUAGUUUAGGGGGUCGAGGGUUGAGAACUAGUUUAGGGGGUCAAGGGUCGAGAACGUCGGACAUUCAUGAGAGAGGCGAGGAAGAAGGGGAAGAAGAGGGAGAAGAAGAGGAGAUGAAGAAGAGGAAGUCUUCUCCUCUAUUCUUUCUUCUCUUCUUUUUUCUUCUUCUUCCUAUAUGUAUUAGCUUUUUUAUUUAGAUUGUUAAUUAGUAGAUAUUAAUUUUGUUCAUAUAUGUAUGGAUGCAUGUGAUAUGUAUGUAUGUAUGUAUCGGGUAUGUCGUUGUCGAUAUACCCCCUACCCGAUAAGUUUGACAUGAGGGGGUCGAGAGGGGGUCUAGGGUCGCUGAGGGGUCGAGGGUAGUCGAACAUGAGAGGAAGAAGAGGAUAAAAAAAGAAGAGGAAGAAGAAAAAAAGAGGAGAAGAAAGAAUAGAGGAGUUCUUCUCCUCUAUUCUUUCUUCUCCUCUUUUUUUCUUCUUCUUCCUCUUUUUUUAUCGGGAAUGAGGGUCGUCAAGGGUCACCGAGCGGUAGAGGAAACCCUAAAUAGCAAGUAUCGUCGAUGUGAGAUACAUGUGGCCGUCGGUGUCGGACAGUACAUCCACGUCCCACAAGUGACGCGGGCUUCGACGCCCACGUCACUUGUUGGACGUUGAUGUNNNNNNNNNNNNNNNNNNNNNNNNNNNNNNNNNNNNNNNNNNNNNNNNNNNNNNNNNNNNNNNNNNNNNNNNNNNNNNNNNNNNNNNNNNNNNNNNNNNNNNNNNNNNNNNNNNNNNNNNNNNNNNNNNNNNNNNNNNNNNNNNNNNNNNNNNNNNNNNNNNNNNNNNNNNNNNNNNNNNNNNNNNNNNNNNNNNNNNNNNNNNNNNNNNNNNNNNNNNNNNNNNNNNNNNNNNNNNNNNNNNNNNNNNNNNNNNNNNNNNNNNNNNNNNNNNNNNNNNNNNNNNNNNNNNNNNNNNNNNNNNNNNNNNNNNNNNNNNNNNNNNNNNNNNNNNNNNNNNNNNNNNNNNNNNNNNNNNNNNNNNNNNNNNNNNNNNNNNNNNNNNNNNNNNNNNNNNNNNNNNNNNNNNNNNNNNNNNNNNNNNNNNNNNNNNNNNNNNNNNNNNNNNNNNNNNNNNNNNNNNNNNNNNNNNNNNNNNNNNNNNNNNNNNNNNNNNNNNNNNNNNNNNNNNNNNNNNNNNNNNNNNNNNNNNNNNNNNNNNNNNNNNNNNNNNNNNNNNNNNNNNNNNNNNNNNNNNNNNNNNNNNNNNCAUCCACAUCCCACAAGUGACGCAGGCUUUGACGCCCACGUCACUUGUGGGACGUGGAUGUAGUGUCUAACACCGACGGCCACAUGUAUCUCACACCCACGAUACUUGCUAUUUAGGGUUUCCUCUACCGCUCGGUGACCCUCGACGACCCUCGUUCCUGAUAAAAAAAGAGGAAGAAGAAGAAGAAAAAAAUAGGAGAAGAAAGAAUAGAGGAGUUCUUACUCCUCUAUUCUUUCUUCUCCUCUUUUUUUUUCUUCUUCCUCUUCUUUUUUUAUCCUUGAAGCGUUGUCGAGGCCACCCCAAACCCCAGAGAAGCAGCGUCGAGGCCACACCAAACCCUAGAGAAGCAGCAUCGAGGCCACUAAUUAAUAUUAGUUCUACGUUUGCCACUAAUAUAUCCAUCUGUCAUGUUUGAAUAAUAAUUGCCAUGUUGUCAAUAUUUGUAGAAACUAUGGACACCGCCCGAGAAGAAGUACAAGAAGAGUUGUUGGGGGACAUAAUCGCACGAGGAAGUGAUGCCGUAUGCUUGCUGUUUCCCAACGACACCCAUGGUCUGGAAGCAGCUGGCUAUGAUUAUGAUGGCUCCGGUGACCUAAUGCUGGUGCAAGAAGGAGACCGUGAGGACGGCUCCGGUGACCCAAUGCCGAUGCAAGAAGGAGACCGUGAUGACGUCUCCAGUGACCGAACCGAGUUCGGCCAGGUAUACAUAUUAGUUAAGCUUCUGCUGACUAGCUAAUUGAUGCAUUCAUUGUUUUGGUAUGUACAUAUAUUAACUAAGUCUUUGUUCUUUUUUCUAGCCCUCCGGAUCGAGCAAAACUUCGGUAAAGAGACGAGGCCCGAAGAAAAAGUUGAGCUCGGAUGAAAAGUUUGAGAUCAUAGCAAUCGCGCCCGAUGGCCAACCUAUUGAACCCCUCUGGACAAAGAGCGCAUUUGUUGCUCAGUGCGGGGUUUUAGUUAGGGACAAGAUCCCGAUCAGCAUCCAGCAAUGGUUAAAGCCGGCUACAGAAGACCCUGAGGUGUCUUAUGUCAAUGAUAUGCAGAAAAAUGAUCUUUGGACUGAGCUAAAGUCAAAUUUCACCCUACCGCCAAAGGAUGAUCCGGAGAAGCCAGUUAAAGAGCAAUUAAUCAAGUCUUUUGCUCUUAAGAGGAUGGCAGAACUAUUCAGGAGGUGGAAGAAAGAGCUGAAUAAGUUUGUCGAAAAUAAAGAGACACCAGAAUUCAAGGGCAGAUAUGAGAAGAUCAGAGAUCACUGGCCCGCAUAUGUGGUGCACAAGACAUCGGAAAAGAGUAAGAAGAUGUCGGCGACAAACAAGCAAAAUGCUGCGAAGAAGAAGCAUCGCCAUCGCACGGGGUCAGGUGGCUACCUCGUAGCCCGGCCUAAGUGGGCCAAGACUGAGAAUGAUCUGGUUGAUAAAGGGAUCGAACCAGAGACAAUUAACUGGCCAGAUCGUUGCCGGACUUGGUUCUUCAGGGCUGGCGGAACCUUGGACCCUGUAUCAGGGAAGUGCGUUUGGACGAACGAUCAAAUGGACAUACCAGUCAAGAAGCUUCAGAAGUAUAUCGAAGCAGCGCAGCAAGGGACGUUCUUUCCAGACAGAGAGAACGACAAGCUCACAAUGGCCCUCCGGAAUCCUGAGCACCCUGGAUGGACACGAGGCACGCCGGGCUCCAUUCCAUGGAAGGUUGGGUUUCCGGACGUAGGCGGUUACAAAUGCUAGGAGAGGAGGAAAAAAGUGCAGCAGACCCAAAUGCAAGCACUGCAAGCAAGGGUACAAGCGAUAGAGGAACGAUAAGCAAAUCGCAGCAAACGAACUACCGAAGCUUCCACCGAAGCUACCCCGCCAUCUCAGCGGAGAAGCAGCGUGGCUUCCACUGAGCUACUUCAACCGGAGCAUGCCUUGACGGCUUGUGCUAGCUAUCCCGUGGAUGCUAUCACGGAGUCUCAAAAUUUCCACCUUAUGACGCAAUGGAUUAAUUUGAAGGUUAAGGCAGCUGUUGGCUCUGUUUAUCCUACUGAACCCGGCGCAACUUUUCACUGUCGGCCGAUUCCAGAAGGAUAUGCUAGGGUGAUGGUGGAUGAAAUAACGGAGAGAUUUGAGGACCUCCAGCUUAACCACCCUACCGGUGAAGGGGAGACUAGGCUGGGUUCUUCUCUGAAGACUCCAUGCCUAUGGCGGAAGGAGCUCAUCAACCUUUCGAACUGGACGCCUCCGCCUCCUCCUCCCCCUCCGGCAAGUCAGGGCACUCCGCCUCCUCUACCGCCUCCUCCUCCGGCGAGUCAGGCCACUCCGCCUCCUCCACUGCCUCCUACUCCGGCGAGUCAGGGCACUCCGCCUCCUUCUCUGCCUACGCCGGCGCGCCCGAGCAGCCAUCCUCCUUCUCCGCCUCGUCAGCAAGGGCGGAAGAGACCUGCCGCCGCUCCGGCUGCUCCGGUGCGUCGUAGUCCUUCUCCUCCGCCUCGUAAGCAAGUAAAGAAGACAACCGCUUCGUCUGCUCUGUUGGUGUCUAGUAGUACAGCCAGAGGCGGGAGGACAUACAGAUUCGGUCCUUCUCUGAAGACUCCAGAGAAGUUACCAUACGAGAGGACCCCGGAGGAGAAUGCCGAGAUCGCGCGAGAAGAAGUGAGGAACUUAUUUGAAGGGGUGAAAGCAAAGAAACAUCCACCUCCAGAGGAGAAGGUAGAUCUGGUGAAAGCGAAGCGCACUCUGGUUGCCCUGACAAAACCACCCAAGUCUCCGCCGAAAGGAAACUAUGAGCGCAUUAUUGGAAAGGAAUUUGUCGAAGCGGAGCCGUCGGGAAGUACUAUCAGUGAUCAAAGGCUGAAAGAAUGACGAGCUGGGAAACAAAUUGCACAGCUCGGCGAACAAGCGAAGCAAUCGUGCCCCCCGCUCAAGGUGCCUAGCGACAUCGUCACUAAUGAUCCGAGGAUGGUGCCCGGUUAUAGAAAUCUCGGAGAUUACCUGCCCAACGAUGUACAUUAUGAUUUCAUGGAGGUGCAGAUACAAAGAUAUGAGUACGGGGAGCCUCUCGUCAAAUAUGAAAGAUCUCUAUCAACGAUGAUGCGAAGAUUGCAUGAUUGGUACUUGAAAAUCUGCAGAGAGUCGGGGGGAGGAGUACUUUGUAUGUGAGAGUUAAAAAGGAGCAUGACCUCAUUGGAAUUGAUCUGUUGCCUAUUCCAUUUGAGGAGUUCUUUCAGUUUUUCGAUCAAUUGGCCCUCGAUAAAGCAACUGUUACCUGCUACUGUCUAUAAGUAGUACUACUUCUGUCAUUAAGUCUCUCUAUAUAGCUCAACUCUUUCAUUGCAUGUAUUUAUAAUUAUACUCACUAUAUUAUGCAGAUUGAAGAUCGCCGAAUUGAAGAAAAGACAAGUUGGUGAUAUUGGGUUCAUUAACACAAAUCUCAUAGAUGCAACUGAGGUUAAAUUUCAUGCCGCAGAUACCGAGGCCAACUUGCUACGAUCGUUGGUAACAAAUGAAAACAAAGAUAUAAUACUCUUUCCUUACAACUUCAAGUGAGUGUUACUAUCUUGUGCGUAUUCAGUUUCGCUUAUAUAUUAGUCAAGGUUAUAGUAAUGUAAUUGAUGAGUUAUGCAUGCGUGUGCAGUUUCCACUAUAUUCUCCUAGAGAUUAAGCUUGAGCAGGGACUAGUAACCGUCUUAGACUCAAGACGAAAAGAUCCCCAGGACUAUGCGGACAUGACUCAAAUGCUCGAGAAGUAAGUUAAAUCGAUCAUUAUCCACCACAUCAGCAAAUUUGUUCAUUUCCUGAUAUAUCAAGUAAUUGUUUUCUUUGUCUGGCAGGGUUUGGAAAAAAUUCACCAAAAAAGCUUCGGGACUCCUGAAGAAGCUGCAAUUUAGACACCCGAAAGUAAGUACUAUAGUAGCAUGUUCCGCGCAUCUCCUAUUGAUACAAGCGCUAGUUUCAUCAAUACCAUUUGGCAUUCUUGCUUAUCAGUUUGAUUGACCUCUAUUUCUUGUAAAGUGGUUGUGGCAGGAACAAGGGAAUAAUUUCGGUGGAUACUACAUUUGCGAGUCCAUCCGCCACACGACCUGUGAGCGGAGCUACUCUGACGAACAAUAUGAAGUGCGUAAAUAACAACAUUCACAAUUUUAUUUUAUUAGCAUAAUUUGUGUUGAGUUUCAUUCAUUCAUAUAUAUAUAUAUAUAUAUAUAUAUAUAUAUAUAUAUAUAUAUAUAUAUAUAUAUAUAUUGACCCCCUUCUUCAAAUUAGAUGUUUCAGAAGCGGGAUGAACUCCUAGCACCAGCUCGCAUGCGAGCAAUUCAAGAGGAAUUGGCGGCAUUCUUUCUUGACCACGUGAUCGCUGAAGACGGAGAAUACUAUGUGGACCAUGAGUCCGUAUGUUAGGAGAUUAUAUUUGUAAGAGAUAAUUAUUGUAUAUAUGUAGCCGAUAGUGUCGGAUAGAUAUACGAGAACUUGUUGUUCGACCAAUCUCUUGGAGAAGGAGAGGUGGUCGAUAUCACUUCUCUCUGUAUGCAUAUAUGUUCAUGACGAUCUUCUGUUUCCUUCGUUUGCUUACUAGCUACCUAGCGUGUCUAGUCCUCUCUAUACGUAUGUAUAGUACGUAGCGUCAACCAAGCACGGACAUAAGAGAGGACACUUCUCUCUAUUAAUUAUAGCUAGCUAACACAAUAUAUGAAACACCUAAAUUAACCCCACAAAACCCCCAAACCCCCCCCCUUUAAAAAAACAAAAACCCCAGCCACAGAAAUGCUGACGCGUGGAUGCCUAUUGGUCCCGGUUGGUGCCACCAACAGGCCACGUGGAGGCCCAUCUGUCCUGGUUCUAGAUUGAACCGGGACUAAAGGGACAGGGCAUUAGUACCAACCCUUUAGUCCCGGUUCAGGAACCGGGACAAAAGGCCCUUACGAACCGGGACAACAGGCCCUUUUUCUACUAGUGCAUACCCCAUAUUACGGCUUGAGAAGUCCGAACACUUUCGACAAUGCGGCACCCUGAACUUAUAGCAUUAUAUGCAUCAGCUCUGAAUCAUGUCUUGGGUCAAUAGUUGGGUUUGCCCGGCUCCCAUGUUUUGGUACCUUACGUUCCGCUAUAUCGGCUAAGGUAGCACUGGGAGAACUACUGCGAUUGUGCCCCGGUUCAUCUGGACUAAGAACCUCAGUAGAGAAAGCUAAAAUUGACCUCCAUGAUAAGGCAAGAGUCGGUCACUGUUCGAGAGGCCUUGAGUCCCUAAAUACUUAUGCCGCUUAGGGCGAGGAGUCGGCUUUGUCCGGCUUAAGGCGUGUAUAGCACCCCGAAUUCGGCCUCCUGAAUACUGGGGCUUCGCCAAAAUUUAAAAUUGUAGACUUCUAUGGAUAAGUGAGAGUGAUAAAGCAUUAUAGUCCGAUUGCCUUGUUCGUUAAGCUGAGCACCUCCCUCGAAGGACCCAAUAAUGGGAAAAAGAGUGCUCAGAUUUAUCCCGAACACCGCAGCACUCGUGGCAUGGGGGCAGAAGCCGACGACUGGCCAUCUCUCAGAUUUGAUAAACAGCCGCACAGAAGGUAAUAUUUUAAAUUCAAACAAGCAUGGCAUAGUGCAUAUGAACAAGUUUUCAUAAUACAGGAUCACACGAGCAAGUUCAUUCAAAAAUUACAUCCUUCGCACACUCGUCCGCCACAAGACGGACACCCUUCAGGACACCCUCAUAAUACAUCUCAGGGUGGCGAUGCUCCUUGCCCUGCGGUGGCCCCUCCUUCACCAGCUUCUCAGCAUCCAUCUUGGCCCAGUGCACCUUCGCACGGGAAAAGGCCCGGCGUGCACCUUCGAUGCAGACGGACCACUUUAUGACCUCCAGCCAUGGGCAGGCAUCUACAAGCCGCCUCACCAGGCCGAAGUAGCUGUUGGGAAGGGAGUCGCCAGGCCACAUCCGGACUAUAAAGCCCCUCAUCGCCUGUUCGGCCGCCUUGUGCAGCUCGACCAGUUGCUUCAGCUGGUCGCUCAUAGGCAUCGGGUCUUCGGUCCCAGUAUACUGAGACCAGAACAACUUCUCCGUCGAGCUUCUCUCCUUGGCCUGGUAAUACUUCGCGGCAUCCGACACGCUGCGGGGAAAAUCUGCGAAUGCUCCUGGAGAACUCCGUACUCGGGUAAGUAACAAGUAAUUUACUUUCACAUGCUUACUUGGCAUAUUGAAUGCCUUACCCACCGCUAUCUUCCUCAUUGGCUCAAUUUCCUGGAGGGCCUUUUGCGCUUUGUCCUUGGCAUGCUUGGUGCUCUCGAGGGCCGUGGCAAGCUCGGACUCUCGCGUCUUCGAGUCAAGCUCCAAAGUCUCGUGUUUCUUCACGAGAGCCUGGAGCUCUUGCUGCACCUCGCCCACCUGUGCCUCUUGUCUCUCCCGCUCGGUGCGCUCCUUGGUCGCAUUGUUUUCGGCCUCGGACAAUGCUUGCUUCAGGGUUGCCACUUCGCUCGUGGCCCCUGGCACAUUCAUGAUGAUCCUGUCAGUUCGCAACCACAUUUUCUUUUCUAUAUAGAUAAGGUAUUACUUACCCUUGUUCUCCUCGAGCUGUCUCUUGGCAACGCCGAGCUCUUUCUCGGACCGCUCGAAGUCCUGCUUCAGUGCGGCGAAAUCCACAGUCAGUGCGGCAGAGGUCAGCAGCGAAGCCUGCAUACGCAUACAGACAUACUUAUAUUAGACUCCUGCAGAUAUUAUUCGAUCCUCUAUUCGGCUUUUCUUUGUGAACACCAAACAGAGCAUCAGGGGCUCCUGUCUAUGCAGUAACAUUUUUCCUAUAUUUUAAAUACUUACCUCAAAGCCUGUUAGAAGGCUGGUACAUGCUUCAGUCAUUCUGCUCUUGGCGGACUGAACCUUCUUGAUCACCGCACUCAUAAUAGUGUGGUGCUCUUCGUUAAUGGAAGCGCCGCUAAGCGCUCCCAGCAGUUCGUCCAGUGCCUCUGGAUGGACAGAGGUCACUGGCACGGAUGGCUUGCCCCUCUUGGAAGGGGCCCGCCUGCCCGAGUCCGGAACCACUGGGGGUUCCGGCGCUGUGUCCGGCUGCGGGCUGAACUUGGAGCCCUUGGAGCCUUGCUCCCUUUGCUCCUGGAGUUCGGAAGGUCGCCUUGAGGCGCCGCCGGGACAGACUCCCCCCGGCUCGGAGCCCCUUGAGGCAGUACCUCGGCAUUGUCUGUAGGGCAAGGAGAGGUGGCGGUUCGAAGUGUAUCACUAUCCAUGUCCGACGAGUCCAUGGAACCGUCCAACGAUGAUACGUCGAUACGGGCUUGGGGUGGACUGCAUAAUUAUAUUCGACUUUAGGAGAAGCAGUGUGACAAAAGUGUGCUAUGAGUUACUCUGGUAUCCGAAUACUUACGACUUCGCCAGGGCUUGGCCCUGAGCAGCCACUCGUCUUCGCCGUCGGCGGCGGUGGUGGAACAGUCCGGAAGGAGAGUCCUUCCCUUCUUGGACCCUUCGCCCUCCCCGGUUGGGGAGGCCUUCCUUUUCUUGUCUCCCCCGGCUGGAGGGGGAGAGUCUUCUUCUUCCUUCUCCUUGUUUUCAUGGGAGGAGUGCGUCUUGGAGUUAUCGGACUAUGAGUCCGAUACCACCUGGCGCCGGGAACUCUUUCGAGUUCCCUUGGCCUUCUUCUUGGUCUUAUCGGGCACCUCAUAAGGAGCCGGAGUCCGCAUCUCCGUCAGGAGAGCAUCCGCAAGGUCUUCGGGCAGAGGGGCCGGACAGUUAAUCUGCUUCGAUGUCUCCACCCAGUCCUGUCAAAGGCAUGGGAGCUCAGACCCCGCACAUGGUUAAACUAUGGGAAAUAAAUACCCUGCCAGAUGUAUAGAACUUACCGGAUUCACAAGGCGCUUCGGGCUUAGCCCGCGGUCCUCGGUAAGAGAAGGAGGGACCUCAGCGCCCUUGAACAACACCUUCCAGACGUCCUUAUGCGUCGUGUCGAAGAGCUCACUUAGAGUCUGGUGCUGAGCCAGGUCGAACUCCCAUAAGUUGAAAGACCGUUGUGGACACGGAGGAUCCAGCAGAAGAGCAUGACCUGGACUAUGUUGACAAGCUUAAGUUUCUUGCUUGUCAUGUUCCGGAUACACUUCUGGAGUCCGUCCAGCUCCACCGAAGAGCCCCAAGACAGGCCCUUCUCCUUCCAGGAAGUGAGCCGCAUGGGGACUCCGGAUCAAAACUCGAGGGCCACCACCUAGUUGGUGUCGCGCGGCUCGAUGAUGUAGAACCACCCCGAUUGCCACCCCUUUACGGUCUCCACGAAGGAGCCCUCGAGCCAUGUAACGUUGGGCAUUUUGCCCACCAUGGCUCCGCCGCAUUCCGCUUAUUGGCCGCCUACUAACUUCGACUUGAUAUUGAAGGUCUUCAGCCAUAGGCCGAAGUGGGGCCGGAUGCGGAGGAAAGCAACUCACACGACGAUGAACACCGAGAUGUUGAGGAUAAAAUUCGGGGCCAGAUCAUGAAAGUCUAGCCCAUAAUAGAACAAGAGGCCGCGGACGAAUGGAUGGAGGGGAAACCCCAGUCCGUGGACGAAGUGGGGGAGGAAAACCACCAUUUCAUGAGGUUCCGGGGUAGGGACGAUCUGCCCCGCGGUUGGCAGCCGGUGCGCGAUAUCCGCGGCUAAGUAUCCGGCUCCACGUAGUUUUUUUAUGUGUCCCUCCGUGACGGAGGAGGCCAUCCACUUGCCUCCUGCUCGAACAUGUUUGGAGAGAGUUGAGGAGAAGGAUGUGGACUUGGGCGCUGGAGCUCGAGUGCGCGAGAAUGGAUGAGCAAGGAGGAAGAAGGCAUGGGUAGAAAAAGGUGAGAUCUUAUCCCUUUACAAGGGCGGACUAAACUAUGCGCCCCCACUAGCCUGGUAAAACUCGCUUAUCCCCCAAAUACCGUAAUUGAUGGCGCGGUUGGGUUACCCACGUCUGUAUUGAUGAGAAUCCCGUAAUAAGGGGAACACGAUCUCUGCUUUGACAAGACGUGUCAAGAAACCGCCUCGCGUUAUGUGCGGGCCUGGUUAAAGAAAAACGGUUCAAAUAAUUACCGGGCCGUGGCAUGAUGUCAUGCUGCCAAAACGUGUCAAGCAGAUUAGAUUUGUGGAAAUUUUAUUCUCUCUACGGUGGUAUGUGGAACUUAUUUUGCAGGGUCGGACACUAUCCUUGUAUUCAAACUCUUCCGUGGUGUAUUCGGAGGAGGAACCCGCCUUGCAAUGCCGAAGACAACACUGCGCGUCAGACUCAUCGUCAUUGAAGCCUGGUUCAGGGGCUACUGAGGGAGUCCUGGAUUAGGGGGUCUCCGGACAGCCGGACUAUAUCCUUUGGCCGGACUGUUGGACUAUGAAGAUACAAGAUUGAAGACUUCAUCCCGUCUCCGGAUGGGACUCUACUUGGUGUGGAAGGCAACCUACGCAAUACGGAUAUGGAUAUUUCCUCCUUUGUAACCGACCUUGUGUAACCCUAGCCUCCUCCGGUGUCUAUAUAAACCGGAGGGUUUUAGUCCGUAGGACAACAUACAGUCAUACCAUAGGCUAGCUUCUAGGGUUUAGCCUCUCUGAUCUCGUGGUAGAUCAACUCUUGUACUACUCAUAUUAUCAAGAAUAAUCAAGCAGGACGUAGGGUUUUACCUCGAUCAAGAGGGCCCGAACCUAGGUAAAACAUCGUGUCCCCUGCCUCCUGUUACCAUCCGCCUUAGACGCACAGUUCGGGACCCCCUACCCGAGAUCUGCCGGUUUUGACACCGAUAGGGGGAGUCCUACUCCCGUUGGGAGUAGGACUCCUCCUGGCACGCCUCCUCCCUGGCCGGCCGCACCCCCCUUCGGAUUUUCUUUGUGAACACCAAACAGAGCAUUAGGGGCUCCUGUCUAUGGAGUAACAUUUUUCCUAUAUUUUAAAUACUUACCUCAAAGCCUGUUAGAAGGCUGGUACGAGCUUUAGUCAUUCCGCUCUUGGCGGACUGAACCUUCUUGAUCACCGCACUCAUAAUAGUGUGGUGCUCUUCGUGGAUGGAAGCGCCGCUAAGCGCUCCCAGCAGUUCGUCCGGUGCCUCUGGAUGGACAGAGGUCACCGGCACGGACGGCUUGCCCCUCUUGGAAGGGGCCCGCCUGCCCGAGUCCGGAACCACUAGAGGUUCAGGCGCUGUGUCCGGCUGCGGGCUGAACUUGGAGCCCUUGGGAGCCUUGCUCCCUUUGCUCCUGGAGUCUGGAAGGUCGCCUUGAGGCGCCGCCGGGACGGACUCCCCCCGGCUCGGUGCCCCUUGAGACAGUACCUCGGCAUUGUCCGUAGGGCAAGAAGAGGUGGCGGUUGGAAGUGUAUCACUAUCCAUGUCCGACGAGUCCAUGGAACCAUCCGACGAUGAUACGUCGAUACAGGCUUGGGGUGGACUACAUAAUUAUAUUCGACUUUAGGAGAAGCAGUGCGACAAAAGUAUGCUAUGAGUUACUCUGGUAUCCGAAUACUUACUACUUCGCCAGGGCUUGGCGCUGAGCAGCCACUCGUCUUCGCUGUCGGCGGCGGUGGUGGAACAGUCCGGAAGGAGAGUCCUUCCCUUCUUGGACCCUUCGCCCUCCCCGGUUGGGGCGGCCUUCCGUCUCUUGUCUCCCCCGGCUGGAGGGGGAGAGUCUUCGUCUUCCUUCUCCUCGUUUUCAUGGGAGGAGUGCGUCUCGGAGUUAUCGGACUAUGAGUCCGAUACCACCUGGCGCCGGGAACUCUUUCGAGUUCCCUUGGCCUUCUUCUUGGUCUUAUCGGGCACCUCAUAAGGAGCCGGAGUCCGCAUCUCCGUCAGGAGAGCGUCCGCAAGGUCUUCGGGCAGAGGGGCCGGACAGUUAAUCUGCUUCGAUGUCUCCACCCAGUCCUGUCAAAAGGCAAGGGAGCUCAGGCCCCGCACAUGGUUAAGCUAUGGGAAAUAAAUACCCUGCCAAAUGUAUAGAACUUACCGGAUUCGCAAGGCGCUUCGGGCUUAGCCCGCGGUCCUCGGUAAGAGAAGGAGGGACCUCGGCGCCCUUGAACAACACCUUCCAGACGUCCUUAUGCGUCGUGUCGAAGAGCUCACUUAGAGUCUGGUGCUGGGCCGGGUCGAACUCCCAUAAGUUGAAAGACCGUUGUGGACAUGGAGGAUCCAGCGGAAGAGCAUGACCUGGACUAUGUUGACAAGCUUAAGUUUCUUGCUUGUCAUGUUCCGGAUACACUUCUGGAGUCCGUCCAGCUCCACCGAAGAGCCCUAAGACAGGCCCUUCUCCUUCCAGGAAGUGAGCCGCAUGGGGACUCCGGAUCAAAACUCGAGGGCCACCACCUAGUUGGUGUCGCGCGGCUCGGUGAUGUAGAACCACCCCGAUUGCCACCCCUUUACGGUCUCCACGAAGGAGCCCUCGAGCCAUGUAACGUUGGGCAUUUUGCCCACCAUGGCUCCGCCGCAUUCCGCUUAUUGGCCGCCUACUAACUUCGACUUGAUAUUGAAGGUCUUCAGCCAUAGGCCGAAGUGGGGCCGGAUUCGGAGGAAAGCAACGCACACGACGAUGAACACCGAGAUGUUGAGGAUAAAAUUCGGGGCCAGAUCAUGAAAGUCCAGCCCAUAAUAGAACAAGAGGUCGCGGACGAAUGGAUGGAGGGGAAACCCCAGUCCGUGGAUGAAGUGGGGGAGGAAAACCACCAUUUCAUGAGUUUCCAGGGUAGGGACGAUCUGCCCCGCGGCUGGCAGCCGGUGCGCGAUAUCCGCGGCUAAGUAUCCGGCUCCAUGUAGUUUUUUUAUGUGUCCCUCCGUGACGGAGGAGGCCAUCCACUUGCCUCCUGCUCGAACAUGUUUGGAGAGAGUUGAGGAGAAGGAUGUGGACUUGGGCGCUGGAGCUCGAGUGCGCGAGAAUGGAUGAGCAAGGAGGAAGAAGGCAUGGGUAGAAAAAGGUGAGUUCUUAUCCCUUUACAAGGGCGGACUAAACUAUGCUCCCCCACUAGCCUGGUAAAACUCGCUUAUCCCCCAAAUACCAUAAUUGAUGGCGCGGUUGGGUUACCCACGUCUGUAUUGAUGAGAAUCCCGUAAUAAGGGGAACACGAUCUCUGCUUUGACAAGACGUGUCAAGAAACCGCCUCACGUUAUGUGCGGGCCUGGUUAAAGAAAAACGGUUCAAAUAAUUACCGGGCCGUGGCGUGAUGUCAUGCUGCCAAAACGUGUCAAGCAGAUUAGAUUUGUGGAAAUUUUAUUCUCUCUACGGUGGUAUGUGGAACUUAUUUUGCAGGGUCGGACACUAUCCUUGUAUUCAAACUCUUCCGUGGUGUAUUCGGAGGAGGAACCCGCCUUGCAAUGCCGAAGACAACACUGCACGCCGGACCCAUCAUCAUUGAAGCCUGGUUCAGGGGCUACUGAGGGAGUCCUGCAUUAGGGGGUCUCCGGACAGCCGGACUAUAUCCUUUGGCCGGACUGUUGGACUAUGAAGAUACAAGAUUGAAGACUUCAUCCCGUCUCCGGAUGGGACUCUACUUGGUGUGGAAGGCAAGCUACGCAAUACGGAUAUGGAUAUUUCCUCCUUUGUAACCGACCUUGUGUAACCCUAGCCUCCUCCGAUGUCUAUAUAAACCGGAGGGUUUUAGUCCGUAGGACAACAUACAGUCAUACCAUAGGCUAGCUUCUAGGGUUUAGCCUCUCUGAUAUCGUGGUAGAUCAACUCUUGUACUACUCAUAUUAUCAAGAAUAAUCAAGCAGGACGUAGGGUUUUACCUCCAUCAAGAGGGCCAGAACCUAGGUAAAACAUCGUGUCCCCUGCCUCCUGUUACCAUCCGCCUUAGACGCACAGUUCGGGACCCCCUACCCGAGAUCUGCCGGUUUUGACACCGAUAGGGGGAGUCCUACUCCCGUUGGGAGUAGGACUCCUCCUUGCACGCCUCCUCCCUGGCCGGCCGCACCCCCCUUCGGAUUUUCUUUGUGAACACCAAACAGAGCAUUAGGGGCUCCUGUCUAUGCAGUACCAUUUUUCCUAUAUUUUAAAUACUUACCUCAAAGCCUGUUAGAAGGCUGGUACGGGCUUCAGUCAUUCCGCUCUUGGCGGACUGAACCUUCUUGAUCACCGCACUCAUAAUAGUGUGGUGCUCUUCGUGGAUGGAAGCGCCGCUAAGCGCUCCCAGCAGUUCAUCCGGUGCCUCUGGAUGGACAGAGGUCACCGGCACGGACGGCUUGCCCCUCUUGGAAGGGGCCCGCCUGCCCGAGUCCGGAACCACUGGAGGUUCCGGCGCUGUGUCUGGCUGCGGGCUGAACUUGGAGCCCCUGGGAGCCUUGCUCCCUUUGCUCCUGGAGUCCGGAAGGUUGCCUUGAGGCGCCGCCGGGACGGACUCCCCCCGGCUCGGUGCCCCUUGAGACAGUACCUCGGCAUUGUCCGUAGGGCAAGAAGAGGUGGCGGUUGGAAGUGUAUCAAUAUCCAUGUUCGACGAGUCCAUGGAACCGUCCGACGAUGAUACGUCGAUACGGGCUUGGGGUGGACUGCAUAAUUAUAUUCGACUUAAGGAGAAGCAGUGCGACAAAAGUAUGCUAUGAGUUACUCUGGUAUCCGAAUACUUACUACUUCGCCAGGGCUUGGCGCUGAGCAGCCACUCGUCUUCGCCGUCGGCGGCGGUGGUGGAACAGUCCGGAAGGAGAGUCCUUCCCUUCUUGGACCCUCCGCCCUCCCCGGUUGGGGCGGCCUUCUGUCUCUUGUCUCCCCCGGGUGGAGGGGGAGAGUCUUCGUCUUCCUUCUCCUCAUUUUCAUGGGAGGAGUGCAUCUCGGAGUUAUCGGACUAUGAGGCCGAUACCACCUGGCGCCGGGAACUCUUUCGAGUUCCCUUGGCCUUCUUCUUGGUCUUAUCGGGCACCUCAUAAGGAGCCGGAGUCCGCAUCUCCGUCAGGAGAGCGUCCGCAAGGUCUUCGGGCAGAGGGGCCGGACAGUUAAUCUGCUUCGAUGUCUCCACCCAGUCCUGUCAAAGGCAAGGGAGCUCAGGCCCUGCACAUGGUUAAGCUAUGGGAAAUAAAUACCCUGCCAAAUGUAUAGAACUUACCGGAUUCGCAAGGCGCUUCGGGCUUAGCCCGCGGUCCUCGGUAAGAGAAGGAGGGACCUCGGCGCCCUUGAACAACACCUUCCAGACGUCCUUAUGCAUCGUGUCGAAGAGCUCACUUAGAGUCUGGUGCUGGGCCGGGUCGAACUCCCAUAAGUUGAAAGACCGUUGUGGACACGGAGGAUCCAGCGGAAGAGCGUGACCUCGACUAUGUUGACAAGCUUAAGUUUCUUGCUUGUCAUGUUCCGGAUACACUUCUGGAGUCCGUCCAGCUCCACCGAAGAGCCCCAAGACAAGCCCUUCUCCUUCCAGGAAGUGAGCAGCAUGGGGACUCCGGCUCGAAACUCGGGGGCCGCCACCUAGUUGGUGUCGCUCGGCUCGGUGAUGUAGAACCACCCCGAUUGCCACCCCUUUACAGUCUCCACGAAGGAGCCCUCGAGCCAUGUAACGUUGGGCAUUUUGCCCACCAUGGCUCCGCCGCAUUCCGCUUGUUGGCCGCCUACUACCUUUGACUUGAUAUUGAAGGUCUUCAGCCAUAGGCCAAAGUGGGGCCGGAUGCGGAGGAAAGCAACGCACACGACGAUGAACACCGAGAUGUUGAGGAUAAAAUUCAGGGCCAGAUCAUGAAAGUCCAGCCCAUAAUAGAACAAGAGGCCGCGGACGAAUGGAUGGAGGGGAAACCCCAGUCCAUGGACGAAGUGGGGGAGGAAAACCACCAUUUCAUGAGUUUCCAGGGUAGGGACGAUCUGCCCCGCGGUUGGCAGCCGGUGCGCGAUAUCCGUGGCUAAGUAUCCGGCUCCACGUAGUUUUUUUAUGUGUCCCUCCGUGACGGAGGAGGCCAUCCACUUGCCUCCCGUUCGAACAUGUUUGGAGAGAGUUGAGGAGAAGGAUGUGGACUUGGGCGCUGGAGCUCGAGUGCGCGAGAAUGGAUGAGCAAGGAGGAAGAAGGCAUGGGUAGAAAAAGGUGAGAUCUUAUCCCUUUACAAGGGCGGACUAAACUAUGCGCCCCCACUAGCCUGGUAAAACUCGCUUAUCCCCCAAAUACCGUAAUUGAUGGCGCGGUUGGGUUACCCACGUCUGUAUUGAUGAGAAUCCCGUAAUAAGGGGAACACGAUCUCUGCUUUGACAAGACGUGUCAAGAAACCGCCUCGCGUUAUGUGCGGGCCUGGUUAAAGAAAAACGGUUCAAAUAAUUACCGGGCCGUGGUGUGAUGUCAUGCUGCCAAAACGUGUCAAGCAGAUUAGAUUUGUGGAAAUUUUAUUCUCUCUACGGUGGUAUGUGGAACUUAUUUUGCAGGGUCGGACACUAUCCUUGUAUUCAAACUCUUCCGUGGUGUAUUCAGAGGAGGAACCCGCCUUGCAAUGCCGAAGACAACACUGUGCGCCGGACUCAUCAUCAUUGAAGCCUGGUUCAGGGGCUACUGAGGGAGUCCUGGAUUAGGGGGUCUCCGGACAGCCGGACUAUAUCCUUUGGCCGGACUGUUGGACUAUGAAGAUACAAGAUUGAAGACUUCGUCCCAUCUCUGGAUGGGACUCUACUUGGUGUGGAAGGCAAGCUACGCAAUACGGAUAUGGAUAUUUCCUCCUUUGUAACCGACCUUGUGUAACCCUAGCCUCCUCCGGUGUCUAUAUAAACCGGAGGGUUUUAGUCCAUAGGACAACUUACAAUCAUACCAUAGGCUAGCUUCUAGGGUUUAGCCUCUCCGAUCUCGUGGUAGAUCAACUCUUGUACUACUCAUAUUAUCAAGAAUAAUCAAGCAGGACGUAGGGUUUUACCUCCAUCAAGAGGGCCCGAACCUGGGUAAAACAUCGUGUCCCCUGCCUCCUGUUACCAUCCGCCUUAGACGCACAGUUCAGGACCCCCUACCCGAGAUAUGCCGGUUUUGACACCGACAGGGGGAGUCCUACUCCCGUUGGGAGUAGGACUCCUCCUGGCGCGCCUCCUCCUUGGCCGGCCGCACCCCCCCUUUGCUCCUUUGUAUACGAGGGCAGGGGGGCACCCCAUAGACACAACAAUUGAUCGUUUGAUCUUUUAGACGUGUGCGGUGCCCCCUUCCACCAUAGUCCACCUUGAUAUUACGGUAACGGUGCUUAGGCGAAGCCCUGCGUCGGUAGAACAUCAACAUCGUCACCACAUCGUCGUGCUGACGAAACUCUUCCUCAACACUCGGCUAGAUUGGAGUUCGAGGGAUGUCAUCGUGCUGAACGUGUGCUGAACUCGGAGGUGCCGUACGUUUGGUACUUGAUCGGUUAGAUCGUGAAGACGUACGACUACAUCAACCAUGUUGUGCUAACGCUUCCGCUUUCGGUCUACGAGGAUACGUCGACAACACUCUCCCCUCUUGUUGCUAUGCAUCACCAUGAUCUUGCGUGUGUGUAGGAAUUUUUUUUGAAAUUACUACGUUCCCCAACAGUGGCAUCCGAGCCAGGUUUUAUGCGUAGAUGUCAUAUGCAUGAGUAGAACACAAGUGAGUUGUGGGUGAUAUAAGUCAUACUGCUUACCAGCAUGUCAUACUUUGGUUCGGCGGUAUUGUUGGAUCAAGUGGCACGGACCGCCAUUACGCGUACGCUUACGCGAGACUGGUUCUACCGACGUGCUUUGCACACAGGUGGCUGGCAGGUGUCAGUUUCUCCAACUUUAGUUGAACCGUGUGUGGCUACGCCCGGUCCUUGCAAAGGUUAAAACAACACCAACUUGACAAACUAUCGUUGUGGUUUUGAUGCGUAGGUAAGAACAAUUCUUAACAACAAAGUAGAGGACGUCUAACUUGUUUUUGCAGGGAAUGUCGCGAUGUGAUAUGUUCAAGACAUGAUGCUAAAUUUUAUUGUAUGAGAUGAUCAUGUUUUGUAACUGAGUUAUCGGCAACUAGCAGGAGCCAUAUGGUUGUCGCUUUAUUGUAUGCAAUGCAAUCGCCCUGUAAUGCUUUACUUUAUCACUAAGCGGUAGCUAUAGUCGUAGAAGCAUAAGAUUGGCGAGAUGAAAAUGAUGCUACGAUGGAGAUCAAGGUGUCGCGCCGGUGACGAUGGUGAUCAUGACGGUGCUUCGGAGAUGGAGAUCACAAGCACAAGAUGAUGAUGGCCAUAUAAUAUCACUUAUAUUGAUUGCAUGUGAUGUUUAUGUUUUAUGCAUCUUAUCUUGCUUUGAUUGACGGUAGCAUUAUAAGAUGACCUCUCACUAAAUUUCAAGAUAAAAGUGUUCUCCUUGAGUAUGCACCGUUGCCAAAGUUCGUCGUGCCCAGACAACACGUGAUGAUCGGGGGUGAUAAAAGCUCUACGUCCAUCUACAACGGGUGCAAGCCAGUUUUGCACACGCAGAAUACUCAGGUUAAACUUGACGAUCCUAGCAUAUGCAGAUAUGGCCUCGGAAUACUGAGACCGAAAGGUCGAGCGUGAAUCAUAUAGUAGAUAUGAUCAACAUAGUAAUGUUCACCAUUGGAAACUACUCCAUUUCACGUGAUGAUCGGUUAUGGUUUAGUUGAUUUGGAUCACGUGAUCACUUAGAAGAUUAGAGGGAUGUCUUUCUAAGUGGGAGUUCUUAAGUAAUAUGAUUAAUUGAACUUAAAUUUAUCAUGAACUUAGUACCUGAUAGUAUCUUUCUUGUCUAUGUUUGAUUGUAGAUAGAUGGACCGUGUUGUUGUUCCGUUGAAUUUUAAUGCGUUCCUUGAGAAAGCAAAGUUGAAAGAUGAUGGUAGCAAUUACACGGACUGGGUCUGUAACUUGAGGAUUAUCCUCAUUGCUUCUCAGAAGAAUUACGUCCUAGAAGCACCGCUGAGUGCCAGGCCUACUGCUGAUGCUACUGACGACGUUAAGAACGUUUGGCAGAGCAAAGCUGAUGAGUACUCGAUAGUUCAGUGUGCCAUGCUUUACGGCUUAGAACCGGGACUUCAACGAUGUUUUGAAUGUCAUGGAGCAUAUGAGAUGUUCCAGGAAUUGAAGUUAAUAUUUCAAGCAAAUGCCUGGAUUGAGAGAUAUGAAGUCUCAAAUAAGUUCUACAGCUGCAAGAUGGAGGAGAAUAGUUCUGUUAGUGAACAUAUACUCAGAAUGUCUGGGUACCAUAAUCACUUAACUCAGCUGGGAGUUAAUCUUCCGGCUGAUAGUGUCAUUGACAGAGUUCUACAAUCACUGCCACCAAGCUACAAGAGCUUCGUGAUGAACUAUAAUAUGCAAGGGAUGGAUAAGAUAAUUCCCGAGCUCUUCGCAAUGCUAAAAGCAGCGGAGGUAGAAAUCAAGAACGAGCAUCAAGUGUUGAUGGUCAAUAAGACCACCAGUUUCAAGAAAAAGGGUAAAGGGAAGAAGAAGGGGAACUUCAAGAAGAACAUCAAGCAAGUUGCUGCUCAAGAGAAGAAACCCAAGUCUGGACCUAAGCCUGAAACUGAGUGCUUCUACUGCAAGCAGACUGGUCACUGGAAGCGGUACUGCCCCAAGUAUUUGGCGGAUAAGAAGGACGGCAAGGUGAACAAAGGUAUAUGUGAUAUACAUGUUAUUGAUGUGUACCUUACUAGAGCUCACAAUAGCACCUGGGUAUUUGAUACUGGUUCUGUUGCUAAUAUUUGCAACUCGAAAUAGGGACUACUGAUUAAGCGAACACUGGCAAAGGACGAGGUGACGAUGCACGUGGGAAAUGGUUCCAAAGUCGAUGUGAUCGCGGUCGGCACACUACCUCUACAUAUAACUUCGGGAUUAGUAUUAGACCUAAAUAAUUGUUAUUUGGUGCCAACGUUGAGUAUGAACAUUAUAUCUGGAUCUUGUUUAAUGCGAGAUGGUUAUUCAUUUAAAUCAGAGAAUAAUGGUUGUUCUAUUUAUAUGAGUAAUAUGUUUUAUGGUCAUGCACCCUUGAAGAGUGGUCUAUUUUUGAUGAAUCUCGAUAGUAGUGAUACACAUAUUCAUAAUGUUGAAGCCAUAAGAUGCAGAGUUGAUAAUGAAAGUGCAACUUAUUUGUGGCACUGCCGUUUAGGUCAUAUCGGUGUAAAGCGCAUGAAGAAACUCCAUACUGAUGGACUUUUGGAACCACUUGAUUAUGAAUCACUUGGUACUUGCGAACCGUGCCUCAUGGGCAAGAUGACUAAAACGCCGUUCUCCGGAACUAUCGAGAGAGCAACAGAUUUGUUGGAAAUCAUACAUACAGAUGUAUGUGGUCCGAUGAAUGUUGAGGCUCGUGGCGGAUAUCGUUAUUUUAUCACCGUCACAGAUGAUUUAAGCAGAUAUGGGUAUAUCUACUUAAUGAAGCAUAAGUCUGAAACAUUUGAAAAGUUCAAAGAAUUUCAGAAUGAAGUUGAAAUCAUUGUAAUAAGAAAAUAAAGUUUCUACGAUCUGAUCGUGGAGGAGAAUAUUUGAGUUACGAGUUUGGUCUACAUUUGAAACAAUGCGGAAUAGUUUCGCAACUCACGCCACCCGAAACACCACAGCGUAAUGGUGUGUCCGAACGUCGUAAUCGUACUUUACUAGAUAUGGUGCGAUCUAUGAUGUCUCUUACAGAUUUACCGCUAUCAUUUUGGGGUUAUGCUUUAGAGACAGCCGCAUUCACAUUAAAUAGGGCACCAUCGAAAUCCGUUGAGACGACGCCUUAUGAACUGUGGUUUGGCAAGAAGCCAAAGUUGUCGUUUCUGAAAGUUUGGGGCUGCGAUGCUUAUGUGAAAAAGUUUCAACCUGAUAAGCUCGAACCCAAAUCGGAGAAAUGUGUCUUCAUAGGACACUCAAAGGAAACUGUUGGGUACACCUUCUAUCACAGAUCUAAAGGCAAGACAUUCGUUGCUUAGAAUGGAUCCUUUCUAGAGAAGGAGUUUCUCUCGAAAGAAGUGAAUGGGAGGAAAGUGGAACUUGAUGAGGAAACUAUACCUGCUCCUCUAUUGGAAAGUAGUUCAUAAGAGAAACCGGUUUUUAUGACGCCUACACCAAUUAGUGAGGAAGUUAAUGAUGAUGAUCAUGGAACUUCAAAUCAAGUUACUACUGAACCUCGUAGAUCAACCAGAGUAAGAUCCGCACCAGAGUGGUACGGUAAUCCUGUUCUGGAAGUCAUGCUACUAGAUCAUGAUGAACCUACGAACUAUGAAGAAGCGAUGGUGAGCCCAGAUUCCACAAAAUGGCUUGAGGCCAUGAAAUCUAGAAUGAGAUCCAUGUAUGCACUACUAGGGAAAAGGCUACUAGCAGCACGGGUAAAUUGGCUACUAGUAGCGCGGGUACCCGCGCUACUAGUAUCGCGCUACAGCUAAAAGUUAGUAGUAGCGUGGGUGCAACCCGCGCUACUACUAAAAAGUUAGUAGUAGCGCGGAUGACACCCAUGCUACUACUAUUUGAAGCCCGCGCUACUAAUAACAGAAUAGUAGUAGCGCAUCUGUUAUACCACGCGCUACUAGUAUCUUAAAUACUAGUAGCAUACAUUUUUCCCCCAUGCUACUACUAACAAAUUAAGAAUUUUAAAAAAUAAAAAUUAGAUGCAACAUUCAUGGAUGAAGAUGAGAGACACGUCCAGUGCAAAAUAAAUCAAGGUCAAAGGACCAUCUUAACACUUGCACCAUUCAUGGAUGCAACAUCGAACAUCUCAACUACAAGAGAUCACGUGAUUCCGUUUAACAGUAAACACACACAACCAAAGGUGGGUACCUUUCCUAGUGUUCCACCAGCAGCCUAAACAUACCACUUCUCUAGAUGUAUUUACCAAGGCUCGGAGUUCAGAUGCUGGUGGACCGCAAUCCUCCCUCCCCCCAAACGAUGGUAUCGAGGUCCUCCACCUCGGCGACCUCCGGCGUCACGAUCACCUAGACGAUCAUCUGUGCGACGCUGUCACUGGGUUUCACGGCGAAGUCCACCUCCGAGUGGAUGAAGAGCACGACGCCCACCAGGCAGUGGUAGUCCACGUUGAUCACCACUGUGGCCACGUCGGGAAAGUGAAAACUUGUUAGUGCUUGUCAGCGUCCAAAUCCAGUGGGGUAUUUUCUUACUUUUUAGCACAUGCACACGAAUCAAUAGUAAUAACCAGAGGCUGGUCCUUACUUGUUGCACGAGACGUGAAGAAGGGCGGGUCCCCUACUUGUUGCACGAACGAAUCAAUGGGAGACAUUGCCGCGAGCCGUGAAGAAGGUUGGGUCCCCUCCUUCUGUAAAUAGCUCAGGUGCCUAAAGUUGUAAGGAAUCUUAAUACAAUGAACUCAUAGUAAUGCAUAAUAACAAGAAAAAGAAAAAAUAACCAUGAAUCCUAAAUAAAAAGAUCAUUCUAUGAGUAAGGUUGACAGUUUCGAGACGGCAUAAGCAUCCUAGAUGAAAGAAUUACCAGGAUUUGUUUAUUCUUUAGUGCUGAUCUCCACGGGCAGCUAGCAGUGUAUGCUGAUGCACAAUGUACACAUCGAACCCCCCAAAACCAAAAACAUUUCUGAGUGAGCAACAAACCAACUGACUGCUCGACCCUAAAAACAAAUUUUUUUUGUGACUUUCCCUCACCAUUAGUACAAAAGGCAGUGAAACAAACAUUUUUUUUUGUGAUUUUCAUUUUCUUUUACUACAAAAGGCAGUAAAAUAAACUAGAAUUUGUUGUGUUUUUUCCGGUGCUUCGAAAGACAAUACAUAGAGCAAACAAAUGGAAUCCUCUCGAGAUCUUUACUUUCUCCGUGGUGAUUUGCGAACACCACUGCCAGCCUACAUAUAUGGAGUAAUUCUUAGAAAAUGUAUGCUUGGAGUAUCAAUGGUUACUGUUUAAAAUGAUGAGAAAGAUAUAUGUCUUAUGCAAGCAGAUUGGUAAUUAAAUUUUUUACAGUUGAUUGGCAAUUAGGGAUGGCAAUGGGUCGGGUUUGGGGCGGGUGGAGCUGGUCCAAAUCCAACCCAUGACCCAUCUUCCUACCCUCUUCCCAUCCACCAAAUUAUCCAUGGGCACAACUUGUGCCCAUGCCCAAACCUGAUGGAUACCCACAUACCCAUGGAGCUCCAUGGGGCUAGAAAAGUCAGCAUGAAGCCUUCACAAAGAUCAAAUCUACUCAUCAUCAUUCACUCACAAAUGAAAACAUAAACUACAUGCAUAAGUAGGCAACAAGUAAUAUGAUGAGUCCAUAAGUGUGACAUACCAGAUGUUGAUUCUGCAACAUAUAGCUUAUGGCACCAGUUGCAUAUUGCCUGCCAUUUCCCAUUGAUCCGCUCUUUCUACUGUCACUGGCAUAUGGCCCCACAUAUCAUACGGGUAUCCAUUGGAUAUCCAUGUCGCACAAACUAUAACCGUGCCCAACCCGGCUGUUCGUGGGUAUCCAUAUCCACGGACCCAUGGGGAGAAAUGCGCUCCAUACCCUUGCCCAACCGGGUCGGGUAUCCAUGGGUAUCCAAAUCCAUGGAUAAAAUUGCCAUCCCCAUUGGCAAUUCUUGUUAUUCAAUCUAAUCUAAAAAGUGAAAAAGACAAGGAGCGUACGCACCUUGACUCCCACAGGUGGAUAUACACAGCUAGCUUAGCUCAAUCAGAAUACUAUGGUUUCUACAAAACUGUAGUUUUGGAAACUGUGAGGUGUUUGGCUAAACCAACAACAGUAGUUUCAUAAACACUUGUAUUCCUGAUACAAUGUUUUUUUCUAAAAUCCUACGACCAACGAUUGUGAUGUAAGAUGCCACCAAAAAAUGUAUCUCCAUCUUGAAAUUUAGAUUUUAUUGACACUAUACAUAGGUCAAACAAAACACUGUAAUUCAAGCAAAAAACAGUAGCUUUGCUUAAGAACAUGAUACUAAGUACUUACUAUUUAUCUUAAAAUUUCAGAAUCAAGAAGCCGAAGGAAACAAAGGCGGAGUAAGAAUGCGAAGAUGAGUCAUACCUGCAAGAUGAAGAGCAUGCAUCCCUUCAUGUAAGCCAAAAAUAGCUUCUUGUGAAAAAGAAAACAAAGAUCAGGUUUUUGUAUCUAAAUGGUUUGUAAAAUAUUGUAUUUACAGAAUGGGACGUACACAUUUACUGAACUUCUUUAGAAUGGGGCACAAAACUGAUAAGAAUACAAAAAUAUUCAGGUAAACUAGAAGUGACACAUUACUGAAAAUUACAGUCCAAAACCAGUUUAAAUUCAAGCAACCAAAAAGAGAAGCAAUACACAUUAAAUGCACAUUAAAUUACAGUGCAUAUUUUCAGUCUAAAUAAAUGCUAGUUCUGUAUUACUAACAGAGUGGCUUUCCGGAUUGAAUUGCAUAGAAAUUUUGAUUAGAACAAAGUAUGCUACUAUUAGUAGCCUGCACACAAGUACUGGCAGUUAUUUUCAAAUCCUAGAAAAUGACCUAUGGGUAUUGUGUCACAUUAACCCUAUCAAAUUUGAUUAGAAUAAAGUACAUGCAUGAUAAGAGUAGCACAUUAACCCUAUCAAAUCCUAGAAAAUGACCUACGGGGAGUGUGUCACAUUAACCCUAUCAAAUCCUAGAAAAUGACCUACGGAGGUCAAUUGUUGCAGUAGGCGGCGGCCGAGCUGACGGUUCGUUUGAGUCAAAGCGACGAUGUCAUCUCGCCUCCCAUUUAAUCGUUAGACUCACAUUAGUAUAUAACAGAGAGAAACAAAAACACCAAGUAGUACUAGAACUAUGAAAGCCACUCUUACCGUACUUGGUCAUUUUGUCAAACACCUUCCGUGCGACAGCAGCUUGCACCGCCCGCAUAGCACGGUCUUCAGUUGGUUGUGCCUCUUCUUCUGCUCACACAUGAUACAAACAAGACAAUGUUGUCAUGUCCAGCAAUCAUACAGUCAAGAUAAACAAAUUGUCACUUUAGAAUUUCAUUUCCUAGUGGAGACACUACAUCAGCCAUCAGGUGUGAUUUGGCAUCGAAUUUUCACUGCCGACAGCGAUGACAGGCGAAAGGAAACACACUGUGUCAUGUUAGUCCAUGCUCUGAUAGGCAGAAUGUUCUUAAGGGCAUUCUUCGCGUCUGUGCGCUUUUCUCGGACGUUGAACCAGAUACAAGGUUGCGCAAACAUAAUUACAGAACCAUGGUCAAGCUCAGAUCCCAAAUAGUUUUAUUGAAUAUGCGCAUAUGCUACUAUACUUGGCAUUUGGCAAGCCCUCAGGCACUCAAUUUUUUGUGGGUGAAAUUAAAGGAACCCCCAAUUUGAAUUUCAUUAUGAAAUUGAGGUAGACCUCAAAUGUGCAGUGGACCUGAAAAAUGCACAACACAAUAGAGCUUCCAUUGCUGAAGCGUGCAAACUAAUCAUCCUGCUAAGCUGACUGUGAUGUUGAUCCCGGGCAGUAAAUAUUCCUCUUUUACAGCCUAGCCAGCUCUCCUGGCCUAUCUAGCAUAGCAAUCCUAAUGGGAUUUGGAGAGCAAGAACUGAACUGGAUGCGUGGAUCGAAUUGAUUCGUCAUCAGGAAAAAAGAAAGAGGGAGAAAGAGAUGGAUGGGGAAAGUCAGGGUGGGCGCACCAUGGAUUUUGAGAGCGCCGCGGCGGUGGAGUGGAACGACGCCGACGCUGCCGUCGCCGCCGCCGCGCCCUUCCUUACAGCUGCUUGCAUCCCGGGAGAAGAGGAUGGGAGCGGGAGUGUGUGUGUUGGGGUCAUCUUCUUGGCCAGGGCCCUCCGCUUCUCCUUGCGGCGGCGGCGCCUCUCGAUGUCCUCCUCCGGCGCGCGCGUGCGGGCGCCCGCCGUGGCCGCGGCCGCAAGCUGCCGCCCCAGGUACACAUCGCCCCGCGUCGGCGCCGCAGGGCCGACCCUGUCAGCCGGAGGAGACGGCGAGGGGGACGGGGCACUGGGGGAGGCGGCACGCGCAGGUGGAGAGGGAGAGGGAGGCGGUGGCGGUGGCGGACGGGUGGUGCUUGGUGGGGACAUUGGGCGGCGGCGCCGGGGACUUGGGAAAAAGGAGAGGAAGAGCGGGCGGAGUGGUCAAGAGGGGAAUUUGGGCUUUGGCCUCCGCCGUAUACAUGCGUCGGUGGUUCUAUAGCAAUAGCACUGGGUUUAUACCCACGCUGCUUCUACGGCAUGUCGCGGGAGGCACGAUGAAGAUCACAUAGUAGUAGCGCGGGGUUUACAAACCGCGCUACUACUAUCAACUUAGUAGUAGCGUGGGUUUAUACCCCGCGCUACUACUACUGCUUGUCCGGGCGGGCGCGGUGGAGAACACUUAGUAGUAGCGUGGAUUUAUAACCCGCGCUAUUACUAUCAACUUAGUAGUGGUGUGGGUUUACAACCCGCGCUACUACUAAUUAGCAGUAGCGCCUCUUUUUGUGCCGCGCUGCUGCUAAGAUUCUGUGUAUAAGGUUUUUCCUAGUAGUGAUGAGAACAAAGUGUGGACUUUGGUUGACUUGCCCGUUCAUCGGCAAGCAAUUGAGAAUAAGUGGAUAUUCAAGAAGAACACUGACGCUGACGGUAAUGUUACUGUCUACAAAGCUCGACUUGUUGCGAAAGGUUUUCGACAAGUUCAAGGGAUUGACUAUGAUGAGACCUUCUCACCCGUAGCGAUGUGCUUAAGUCUGUCCGAAUCAUGUUAGCAAUUGCCGCAUUUUAUGAUUAUGAAAUUUGGCAAAUGGAUGUCAAAACUGCAUUCCUGAAUGGAUUUUUGGAAAAAUAGUUGUAUAUGAUUCAACCAGAAGGUUUUGUCAAUCCAAAGGGAGCUAACAAAGUGUACAAGCUCCAGCGAUCCAUUUAUGGACUGGUGCAAGCGUCUCGGAAUUGGAAUAAAUGCUUUGAUAGUGUGAUCAAAGCAUUUGGUUUUGUACAGACUUUUGGAGAAGACUGUAUUUACAAAAAAGUGAGUGGGAGCUCUGUAGCAUUUCUAAUAUUAUAUGUGGAUGACAUAUUGUUGAUUGGAAAUGAUAUAGAAUUUCUGGAUAGCAUAAAGGGAUACUUGAAUAAGAGUUUUUCAAUGAAAGACCUCAGUGAAGCUGCUUAUACAUUGGGCAUCAAGAUCUAUAGAGAUAGAUCAAGACGCUUGAUUGGACUUUCACAAAGCACAUACCUUGACAAAGUUUUGAAGAAGUUCAAAAUGGAUCAAGCAAAGAAAGGGUUCUUGCCCGUGUUACAAGGUGUGAAGUUGAGUAAGACUCAAUGCCCGACCACUGCAGAAGAUAGAGAGACAAUUAAAGAUGUUCCCUAUGCUUCAGCCAUAGGCUCUAUCAUGUAUGCAAUGCUGUGUACCAGACCUGAUGUGUGCCUUGAUAUAAGAAUAGAAGGGAGGUACCAAAGUAAUCCAGGAGUGGAUCACUGGACAGCGGUCAAGAACAUCCUGAAAUACCCGAAAAGGACUAAGGAAAUGUUUCUCGUUUAUGGAGGUGACAAAGAGCUCAUAAAUGGUUACGUUGAUGCAAGCUUUAACACAGAUCCGGAUGAUUCUAAAUCGCAAACCGGAUACAUGUUUACAAUGAACGGUGGAGCUGUCAGUUGGUGCAGUUCUAAACAAAGCGCUGUGGCGGGAUCUACAUGUGAAGCGGAGUACAUAGCUGCUUCAGAAGCAGCAAAUGAAGGAGUCUGGAUGAAGGAGUUCAUAUCUGAUCCAGGUGUCAUACCUAGUGCAUCAGGUCCAAUGAAAAUCUUUUGUGACAAUACUGGUGCAAUUUCCUUGGCGAAGGAAUCCAGAUUUCACAAGAGAAAGAAGCACAUCAAGAGACGCUUCAAUUCCAUCCGGGAUUUAGUCCAGGUGGGAGACAUAGAAAUUUGCAAGAUACAUACGGAUCUGAAUGUUGCAGACCUGUCGUGGAUUUGUCACGGUAGAUGUCCUUAGUGUCAGGACUUAGUCGCGAGGCCAACGCAUCUAUGUGGUAGCUUGAGAGGGGUUGAGUGGGAUGAGAGACACAGUGCGGAUCAUCACGCAAGACAAGGAUUUAGACAGCUUCGGGCCCCAGGAAACAUCAUCCGGUAACAACCCUACAUGCUGUUUGAGGCUAGGUCUCAUUAUCAUCACGAGGGAGUCGCCGUAAACCGGCUCUCCUCUUUGUGUCUAGCCCUAAGAUUGUUUCUUCUUGCUUGUAGCUUCCCCCUCUUUGGGGAGCCCUGCCCCUCCUUAUAUAUGUUGAAGGGGCGGUUUACAUGUGGAGUCCUAUUAGGAUUAGGACUAGUCUAUCUCUAAUACAAACCGGAUACAAGUCCUGGUCUUAACUCCUUGUAAGGUAAAUAUUCCUCAUGCCUUUCCUAUUAAACCGGCCCACCAUAGUAUGAACCGGCCUUCAUGAACCGCCCGUUGGGCCAUCGGGUCUUGUCGCUCCUCUGACCCGCCUGCCGGAUUACUAAUGAACCGUAAACCGCCAGGUCCAAACGGGUCGAUAGUGAAUCGUCAAGUCUUAGUCUGGUCUCAAGUAGACCGCCAAGUCCUGCUGGAUUAUACUUCCGGCCGGUUUACGCCGCGGGGUAUAUCCCCGACAAGACCCGUUGACUAAGCAUCUUCCACGAGCAAAAGAUGAUCAGCACCAAGGCUCCAUGGGUGUUAGAAUCAUUAAUGUGUAAUCUAGAUUAUUGACUCUAGUGCAAGUGGGAGACUGAAGGAAAUAUGCCCUAGAGGCAAUAAUAAAGUUAUUAUUUAUUUCCUUAUAUCAUGAUAAAUGUUUAUUAUUCAUGCUAGAAUUGUAUUAACCGGAAACAUAAUACAUGUGUGAAUACAUAGACAAGCAGAGUGUCACUAGUAUGCCUCUACUUGACUAGCUCGUUGAUCAAAGAUGGUUAUGUUUCCUAACCAUAGACAUGAGUUGUCAUUUGAUUAACGGGGUCACAUCAUUAGGAGAAUGAUGUUAUUGACUUGACCCAUUCCGUUAGCUUAGCACACGAUCGUUUAGUAUUCUGCUAUUGCUUUCUUCACGACUUAUACAUGUUCCUAUAACUAUGAGAUUAUGCAACUCCCGUUUACUGGAGGAACACUUUGUGUGCUACCAAAUGUCACAACGUAACUGGGUGAUUAUAAAGGUGCUCUACAGGUGUCUCCAAAGGUACUUGUUGGGUUGGCGUAUUUCGAGAUUAGGAUUUGUCACUCCGAUUGUCAAAGAGGUAUCUCUGGGCCCUCUCAGUAAUGCACAUCACUUAAGUCUUGCAAGCAUUGCAACUAAUGAGUUAGUUGCGGGAUGAUGUAUUACGGAACGAGUAAAUAGACUUGUCGGUAACGAGAUUGAACUAGGUAUACAGAUACCGACGAUCGAAUCUCGGGCAAGUAACAUACCGAUGACAAAGGGAACAACGUAUGUUGUUAUGCGCUUUGACCGAUAAAAGAUCUUCGUAAAAUAUGUGGGAGUCAGUAUGAAUAUCCAGGUUCCGCUAUUGGUUAUUGACCGAAGACGUGUCUCAGUCAUGUCUACAUAGUUCUCGAACCCGUAGGGUCCGCACGCUUAAAGUUCUGUGAUGAUCAAUAUUAUGAGUUUUUAUGUUUUUAUGUGCCGAAGGUUGUUCGGAGUCCCGGAUGUUAUCCGAGACAUGAGGAGGAGUCUUGAAAUGGUCGAGACAUGAAGAUUGAUAUAUUGGAAGCCUAUGUUUGGAUAUCGAAAGUGUUCCGGGUGAAAUCGGGAUUUUACCGGAGUACCGGGAGGUUACCGGAACCCCCCGAGCGCUUAAAGGGCCUACAUGGGCCUUAGUAGAAAUAGAGGGCAGCAAGGGGAGUGUGGGGCGCGCCACCCCAAGGCCCAAACCGAAUUAGUUUAGGGCAAGCGGGGACGAGGAGUAGGACUCCUCCUGGCGCGCCUCCUCCCUGGCCGGCUUCACCCCCCUUUGCUCCUUUAUAUACGGGGGCAGGGGGCACCCCAUAGACACAACAAUUGAUCAUUUCAUCUUUUAGCCGUGUGUGGUGCCCCCUUCCACCAUAGUGCACCUCGAUAUUACUGUAACGGUUCUUAGGCGAAGCCCUGCAUCGGUAGAACAUCAACAUCGUCACCACACCGUCGUGCUGACGAAAAUCUCCCUCAACACUCGGCUGGAUCGGAGUUCGAGGGACGUCAUCGGGCUGAACGUGUGCUGAACUCAGAGGUGCCGUAUGUUCGGUACUUGAUCGGUUGGAUCGUGAAGACGUACGACUACAUCAAUCGCGUUGUGCUAACGCUUCCACUUUCGGUCUAUGAGGGUACGUGGACAACACUCUCCCCUCUCGUUCCUAUGCAUCACCAUGAUCUUGCGUGUGCGUAGGAAUUUUGUUUUGAAAUUACUACGUUCCCCAACAUUAUGACAACACGGUUGAUGUAGUCGUACGUCUUCGCGAUCGACCGAUCCUAGUACCGAAAGUACGACACCUCGGUGAUCUGCACACGUUCGGCUCGGUGACGUCCCAUGAACUCACAAUCCAGCAGAGUGUCGAGGGAGAGCUUCGUCAGCACAACGGCGUGAUGACGGUGAUGAUGAUGCUACCGGAACAGGGCUUUGCCUAAGCAUCGCUAUAAUAUGACCGAGGUGGAUUAUGGUGGAGGGGUCACCGCACACGGCUAAGGGAUCAAUGAUCAACUUGUGUGUCUUUGGGGUGCCCCUGGCCACGUAUAUAAAGGAUGGAGGGAGGAGAAGGCCGGCCCUCAUAGGGCGCGCCCAAAGUGUGGAGUCCUACUAGGACUCCCUAGUCCUAGUAGGAUUCCACCUCCCACAUGGAAUAGGAAAAAGGGAAGGGAGAAAGAGAAGGAAGGAAGGGGACGCACCCUUUCCCUAGUCCAAUUCGGACCAGUCCAUGGGAAAGGGGCGCGGCCACCCUUGAGCCCUUUCUCUCCUUUCCUGUAUGGCCAAUACGAAUUCCCGUAACUCUCCGAUACUCUAAAAAAUACCCGAAUGACUCGGAACCUUUCCGAUGUCCGAAUAUAGCCUUCCAAUAUAUUGAUCUUUACGUCUCGACCAUUUCGAGACUCCUCGUCAUGUCCCCGAUCUAAUCUGGGACUACGAACAAACUUCGGUCAUCAAAUCACAUAACUCAUAAUACCAAUCGUCACCGAACGUUAAGCGUGCGGACCCUACGGGUUCGAGAACUAUGUAGACAUGAUCGAGACAUAUCUCUGGUCAAUAACCAAUAGCGGAACCUGGAUUCUCAUAUUGGCUCCUACAUAUUCUACGAAGAUCUUUAUCGGUCAAACCGCAUAACGGUAUAUGUUGUUCCCUUUGUCAUCGGUAUGUUACUUUCCUGAGAUUCGAUCGUCGGUAUCUCAAUACCUAGCUCAAUCUCGUUACCGGCAAGUCUCUUUACUCGUUCCGUAAUACAUCAUCCCACAACUAACUCAUUAGUUGCAUUGCUUGCAAUGCUUAUAGUGAUGUGCAUUAUCGAGAGGGCCCAGAGAUACCUCUCCGACAAUCGGAGUGACAAAUCCUAAUCUCUAUUUAUGCCAACUCAACGAGUACCAUCGAAGACACUUGUAGAGCACCUUUAUAAUCACCCAGUUACGUUGUGACGUUUGGUAGCACACAUAGUGUUCCUCCGGUAUUCUGGAGUUGCAUAAUCUCAUAGUCAGAGGAACAUGUAUAAGUCAUGAAGAAAGCAGUAGCAACAAACUAAACGAUCAUCGUGCGAAGCUAAUGGAAUGGGUCAAGUCAAUCACAUCAUUCUCUAAUGAUGUGAUCACGUUAAUCAAAUGACAACUCAUGUCUAUGGCUAGGAAACUUAACCAUCUUUGAUUCAACGAGCUAGUCAAGUAGAGGCAUACUAGUGACACUCUGUUUGUCUAUAUAUUCCCACAUGUAGUAAGUUUCGGUUAAUACAAUUCUAGCAUGAAUAAUAAACAUUUAUCAUGAUAUAAGGAAAUAAAUAAUAACUUUAUUAUUGCCUCUAGGGAAUAUUUCAUUCUUGGCGCUGGUCAGUCGUCCGACGGGAUGCACAGGAAGCAGUCCCAAUCAAUUCCUAAGGCCAACCUUCCUGGCGCCCGCAACCUAUUCGAGGAAAUCCCAAUCCCGAUGCCGGCGGCCGACGAGCAAUGACUAUGACACAUUCAUCAAGAAUGUCAUCUUCCAGGGCCAUGGCCAAGCCUCCCACCCCGCCGGCCAAGGCCAAGGCUACGAUCCCGACAAGACCUAAAGCCAAGACGGCCGGGGCCAAGAUGGUGCCGACCACUACGGUGUCCACGAAGAAGCGGCCGACAACCAUGGCAACUCAUGGCAUGAACACUACUAGGAAAUACCUUAUAGGUAGAACCUUAACAGUAGCGUGGGGAUAUAGGCCAACGCCACUGCUACUUAGCAGUAGCGCUGGUUACCAACCAGCACUACAGGUAAGUGUAUAGCAGUAGCACGGACUUACCAACCAUCAUUGCUACUAAACGGUCCCCACCCUACCGACCGGGGCUACCCGUAGUAGUAGUAGCGCGUCCCGCAAUUCCCAUGAUACUGCUAAAAUUAUAGUGGUAGUGCGGGCCUAUGACUCACCUGUACCACUAUGUGUGCACUGUGGUAGGUGGACCCCACUUAGCAGCAGCACGGGCCGCUGUUCCCGCGCUACUGCUAUUGGGCUUAGCAUUAGCGCCGGCCCGGGACAAGCGCUAUUGCUAAUGCAACCUUAUCCAACUCCCCGCGCCUAGACCUUCUCCCUCCACUCACUCCUCAUUGCCUCACUCUGUCUCACUCCCGUCGUCGUCGCCGUCCUACCUCCUCCUUCCUCGGUAUGGCGCGACCCUCCUCCCCCACCUCCUCCCAUCGCCCUCCUACCUCCUCCUCUGGUCGCGCCCUCCUUCCUCCUCCUCCAACCACUUCCUUCUUCGGCAGCCCUCCUCCCGCCGCCCUCCUCCCUCUCCUCCAACCGUCCUACUCCUUCCUCCUCCUCCAUCCUCCUCCUCCUCCUCUCUGCUCCCUCCUCCUCACUCCUCCCUCCUCCCACCUCUCCUAUUUGCUAUAGAAAUGUUAGACAUUUUUUUAGAUAUUAUGUUGUUAUAGAAUUUUAGUAGUUUUGUUAUAGAAAGUACUAUGAAUGUUUAGGUAUAGUGUUGUUAUAGAAAAUGUUAGUAAUUUCAUUCUAAAACAAUUAGUACUAAUUUAGGUAUAGAAAGUUUUAAAAGUUUACUAAUUUUGUUCAUAGGUUUGGAUGUAGUUGAUGUCUAGUGAAUUUUGAGAGAGAGAGAGACCUAAUGAAAUGAAAUGGUUUUGCAAAAAAAUUGUUAUGCUUGCUGUCAAAAUUAAACCACUAAAAUGCAAUGAGCAUACCUAGUUUGAAAUUUUCUAUAUAAAUGCUCAUGUGUGGCACAGGGUAUGUCACCGACGAGCCAGUCGACAACGCCCAGAAGACCACUAACGACGCCCGCAUCCUCGACAGCCAUCGUCUAUAGUGAGUAAACAUGUAUAUCUAGUGUUGUGCACUAGUGUUCCUCAAAUAUGAUGGAGAUUUAGACAUGUGAUAUGUAGUGUUGUGUACUACUAGUGCAGUCACACAUGCAUAUUUGGAAAAUGAAGGAUAUGUGCUUGCCCAAGUAGCCUAUGUUAGCAAGGAACACCUCCGAGUGGCCUAUGUUUUGCGGGAAUGUUAAUUCAUUUCGACUUCGGCAAAUUUCAGGUGUUCAAUAUGUCAUAUUUUAGCAAAGAUCAUGCCGAAUUUUUUUCGUGAAUCUUAUAUUCUUAAUAAGUUGGUCCCAAUUCUCUCGUCAUGCAGCAUAUCCACCUCAGCCAUGUGCCACAUAAGAAAUUCUCAAUCCACAUCAUGCAUUCCAUUCGAGCGCUCUCUCAACCUGUGAACCGGAUCCUUUUUUCUCCCUCGUCGGAAUAGGAAGUAUCUUUCCACAUGCAUGAGAUUAAGGACCAAGGACUGCCAUGGAAGCCCAUCUGCCCCCGCGCUGCUCCCUCCCCGGUGUGACACGGGCGGCGAACCCCCCAGCCUCUCCUCGCCCCACCCAUCCCAUUCACCCCUCGCCAUCGCCGGUGGCCUCCGGCAGGCAAACCCUGCGUGGAGCCGGCAGCGGCGGGGCUCGUGCUCCUCGUCGGCUGCUUUUUCGAUGGGGAGAUCUCAGACGGCUGGUGACUGUCAGGAGCUUGUCUUCACGCGGGCGUCCUCGAUCGUGGCAACGGUGGUCGCUGGCGCGCAGCGCGGUGUCACCAUGAUGGGAGCUCCGUCGUGGGCGUGCGGUCGCGGUCUUGGCCACCCGUGCUGGCCCGAUCUGGGUCCUCGCGGGCCGUGGCUGGCGCAGAUGGUGGGGGCAAGAUUCGGGCUCGGACGGCGUGCCGUUCACCGGAUCUGGUAUGGCGCGGUGUUGCGGCUCAGCACGCGGGCUGGUGGUGGCACCGGUUGUAGGUAUCGUGGUGGUGCCAUGGCCGGUCAGGCAGUGGCAGCGGCCGCGAUGAUGGACGAUCGAUGCACAAGACGCUUGAUGAAGGCCAUUGGAACAGAUUUGGGUGAAGACCUGCUCGCGGCUGCUGCCGAGGCCGGCGAUGGCGGCACUAUUCAGUGUCGUUCCCUUGUUGAAGGCAUCGCUGUUGACAAGUUUCAGGCCACUAUCUGCUACCUCCGGGGGAAACCCUAUAUCAGUAGAUCGGAUGAUAGCGACAUUAUUGUGUCGUUUCCCUCUUGUGGCGUAAUUCUUGGAGGUGUACACGGGCUCGAGAGACCAGUGGACGGAAUAAUUGGUGGAUCGGUGUUUCAUCCCGCACAUUAAUGGUGGCGUUUCUCGGCGGCGUGGCGCAGUGGAGGCUCGGCGCCCGAUGUGUGGCGAGGGACUCGCGCAGGAGGGUGACGUUAUCAUGCGUCAUGGUGGCGUCGAUGGCAGAGAGGCCAGGCAAGGUGGUGCAGCAGUACAACAUUGAAGAUGGAUUGGUGGCAGGAGGCUGCGGCGGCCUCAUACCCGGCAGACAUCCUGGUUGAGGAGUGCGCCGGACUGGUACAUGCACCAUACCUGGCAUGCGUCCUGGAUGGGACCUCAGGUCUUACAUGUUUAGGUUUGGCUGUGAUAUCUGUUUGGUAUUAGGCCUAGACUAUCAGCACCCCUUUAUCAAUUGGAUAGGAGUAGCGACAGUUGUUGCUUAGACGGUGGUGUUAGUCUUACUGUUGUAUGAUUUUGUAAGGUCUUGUGAGCAUAAUUAAUAAAGUGGCCGUAUGCAUCGCCCAAAUGCAGAGGCCGGGGGUCCUCCUCCUUUUUAAAAAAAAAGCACUGCCAUGGAAGGCCACUACGCCCACUAUCAAUGCUAUAAUUUUAAUUCCAAACGUUACAUGUGUUUAGUGGAGUCUUUUCUUCUUCAACUGCAACCAUGUCUUCUCUUCUUCAUGUUAUCUCCUUGGUACAAUAGUGGAUCCAUUUUAUCUAGCCGAGCGUCUGGUGCCGCCAUGAGCGUCGAGCUCUUUGCAUCCAUCAUCUUGGGGAGCUAUUGGGGAACUUCGUACCUACCUGGCGCCAGUGCUUAUUCGCAUGCAGAGCUCCAUUCCAUGUCGUCAUCCUCGCCACUGUAGACCAAUGUGGAGCUCGUGGUUGCCUCUGUUCUUCCCAGUUGCAACCAAGCACCGCGACGGUUUAUCUAGUGAGCCGCCGACCCUCACACACUUUUCUUUUUGUGUUCUGCACUCCUUGCUAUCAUCCUGCUGAGGUCCUGCCGACGUCGAGCACUGGCUCGAGCAAGUAGUGCAAGAACCUGCCGCAGCGCAGUGGAGAGGAAAAAUAUGGGUACGCCUCUGUUCUCCCGGAGUAUCUGGCACGAGCUAGAGAGCAAGUCACAGAUGGUGAGGUGGUCGACGCUGGGCUCCGCCUCCGCACCGCCGCUGAAGCGCACGAGGAGGCCGCCGUCGGUGCGACGCAAGUGAUAUGACACGGUCGUCGGAGAGGCCAGCGGCACGCAGGACAAAGGAGCCUAGCAGGGGACGGCCAGGGUCGAUGGCCUACUGCGGCUCUUCAAUGAAGCUGGAACCGGCAGACCUUCCACUGUUUCGCGUGUGGUACUUUGUUGCUUGUCCUAGCAUGCACACGUAUGCAUGAUUAGUUCUUUGCUAAUUACCCUCCGUACUUUUUCAAUGGACAUUAUCUAAGAUAUGCAUGCAUAUCAUAUAUACUACAUUAGCUACAAACCUAAUCACUCCCUCUGUUCUUAAAUAUAAGUCUUUUCACAGAUUCCAAUAAGAGACUACAUAAGGAGCAAAAUGAGUGAAUUUACACUCUAAAAUAUGUCUAUAUACAUCCGUAUGUAGUCCAUAAUGAAAACUCUAGAAAGACUUAUAUUUAGUAACCGAGAAAAAAAAUGUGAAUUCUGGCCUCCUCUAACCAACAUUACAUGGUCAAGAUUUCUCCUCGACUGUUUAUUUCCAUUUUCUUAUACUGAACUAUCUUUCUUGCUCACAAAAAUAAAAUUCUUUUCAACUAUUUAUUUUUGGGCUAUUACAACUAUUGAAUAUUUGAACCCGCUUGAUUUUGUUGAAUUUAACUUUAACCUUUGCGAGCUAGAACUUUCCCGCAUAACGCGCGCGGUAUCAUCUAGUUUCGGCAUGACUUGUGCUAGAAAGUAGGAAAUAUCGAUUGCCUGUGAUUUACCAGAACAGUAAUUAAUCAACAUUCCGUCAUAACAUUGGCCAUUUUUAUGUCUUUGCUCCAUAUAUGUAACGGGUUGACUUUCUAUCUGUCGAUGCUAUUUGAGUGUCCACCAUAUACUGUCGAAAUAUCGGAGAGGAAGAAUCCUGACUGUUGUCGUGGGUGUCGCUUCCUCUUCCUUUUGCUCGUGAUAUACUUUGGUAAUGGACGAGAGAAGGAGGGGAAGCGACCAUAGCCGACGGUCGAAAUAACCGUGAGGGAGUGUCCGUCAUAUACUGUCGAAAUAUAAAAGAUGAAGAAUCCCGAGUGUUGUUGGGGGUCGCUUCUUCUUCGUUCCCGUGUGGUAGACAUUUUGGGGUAAUGCACUCGGGAAUAAAGGGGGGGAGCAACCAUCACCGUUGGUCGAAUAUAUCAGAAAUGGAGUGCCCACCGUAUACACCAUGUGAGAUAAGAGUUUUCAAUGAAAGGCUCGACGGAUCGAAAGUCAACCCAUGACGAGUAAUAAUGAUCUUUAUGUUGAGUUCCUGUUAUUUGCCGUCGAUCUUUAAUCUUUUUCUUAUGAACACAGGAAAUGUGUGAGGACGAUAUGAUUCCUGAGUGCAAAUACUGCGAAGACAACCGGGGUAUGUGCGAGAGGAUGCCUUAUUUGCAAAACGGUAGGUACUUCACCAUCAUGCUGAAGGAGACUUUCGACGUUUUUACGGUACAUAACGACGACAAGUAUUUUUCCUUAAUUAUGCAUGACUUGUGAAUUUUGGCUUCAACGUGUAAUUUUCCAUUUUUUUGAAUUGAAAUAGUUCAUCUCAUGUCAUGCAAGACCAUAUGUCUUGAAAAAGCUCGGUUUUGAAGAUAGGGAGAGAAUAGAGACGAAGAGUGCUCACCUUAGGACCAAGCAUGGCUUCACUUGUUUGUUUAAGCUAUUUAAUGCACCAAAUUGCUCACAUUUUGGUUGCUCAACUUGGAGAGGAUUUUGCAUGGCCUAUGAAUUUAAGGAGGAUAUGAAAAUUAGCUACGAUCUUUGGCCCGAAGAUGAAAUUGACGAUAAUAUCGACACUUGGUUGGAUGUCGAGACGCUUCCAGUUCUACCUCUUUGUGAGUUUGUCAAAUAAAUUUGUUAAGUAAUUUAUAUUGUUUAUAUAAAAAUCAUUGACAACUUAUUUAUAUUGACAACUUAUUUCCAUUCUUCAAAAUAUGUAUGGAAGAUAGUAGACAGAACCUAGUACACUAAUGGUUCUAAACUAAGUUACGAGAAGAAAGAUCAUCUUAUAUCAUUUAUUAUUAAUGUUGAGAAUUUCAAUAUCAAUUAUGAAACUCCUCCACAUUAUGGUCAAUACGUGCCACUAGUGCAUGUGUUGAACUACGAUAACAUCCAUGGAGAUGACAUGGUAAGAUUUUUUUACUAUUACGACAUGAGUGCAUCUUUUGCAUACAUUCUUCUAAAGCUAAACUACAUUGCUAACUAUGUUAUUAUUAUGUUCUUCAACAGAAAAUCCCGAAGGAUUGUGUCCCUCAUAUGAUGUCUACAAAAGGCCGCAUUCAUGUUAUUAGCUUAUGGGCUAGUCCACCUAGGGUUCACCGGUGUUCAUACAAGAUUUCUCAAACCGAUGAAGACAUCACAAUCAAAGAAUGGAAAAAUGUUAUGAAUAAUCAUAGGGACACUAGUAGAAAACAGAGCUUUGGUUCUGACCGGAUUAGAGAAUUAGUCUUGGUCUUGUUAUGAACCGGGACUAAUGUGAGCGUCAGCCUCGGUUUGAGCGGCUAGGACGCCGGCCGGGCCUCGUCAGCCGUCGGUCCCAGUUGGAAUGGGACCUUUAGUCCUGGUUCCAGACACCAACUGGGACUAAAGGGGCCCUUUUGUCCUGGUUGGUGUCUAGAACCGGGGUCUGGUUCUAGACACCAACCAGGACUAAAAAAUGUCUAUAUAUAUAUACGCCCUUGCCCGCCCUUUCCUCUGUGUUUUGGCCGUAGAAGGUGGGAGGUGUGUGUGCUUCUCUGCUCUCACUUCCUAUGCAAUGAGGUGUUCGAUGAAAUCCCGAGCCAAAAUUAAGCUUUCUCCUAUGUUCUUCCUCCAAGAUCGACCUCCAAGCUUCAUUUUCCUCAAGAUUUGUCUACAUUUUGCGGUGCACCAACUAUCCAAGUGUUCUAAAAGAUUAGCAACUUCAUCCUUUCAUCUCUCACUGCUAGUUUAGCUCAUUUCAACUACUCUAGAAGUAGAGUAGCUUGUGGGUUUUAGUGGAGGAGCGUAUAUGGGAGUUUAUUUGAGUUAGAUGCACAAUUAGAGCUCAAAUUAACUUCUUAGUUUGCACAUGUUUAGGGUGUCGUUCCGUCCCUGUCGCCGUCCUCACCGCCGUCUAUCGCCCGCACCAAUCUGGUCGGCGGCACCACCGUGGUGAGCCUCUUGUUCUUAUAUUAGUUUUAAAAAAAUUGUUACUUGUAUGAUUUAGAUAACUACUUGUAUAAUUUUCUUAUUUGUAUUAUUGUUUGUUAUUAUAUAGUUCCAUGGUUUUGGUAUCCGCCCCCGUCGGCUCUCGUCCGACCUAUCAUUUGGAUGUGGUAUAUUACCUUUGAUAACUAUUUGUUUCAUUUAGUGUUUAUGACAAUUAUGCCGACCAACUUGACAUGGAUGUCUUUAUCUACGAGGUAUGUGAACAGGAAAUUCCAACCGACUCUCUUGUCGAGAGGUUAAAUUUAAUUGAAAAAGAAAACAAUUAUUUGAAAUAAAAAAUGAAAAGAAUUGAAGAAGAGAAGAUGAAAUUGGAGCUGCAUGUUGCCGAUGUCGUCGAUCUACAAAUGAUCCAGAUGGAUGCAAUGCGCUUGAAGAUUAGAAAGAUUAGAAAAUAUGCCAUUGAUAAAUAGGCUUGGUAUCAGUAUGCUAUUGGAUCAAUUGUUAUCUUAGUUGUGAUUUUGAUCACAUUAGUUGUUGCAUUUAAAUGUUUUACAUACUUGUAUGUUGUUUUAUGAGAACUAUGUAUGAACUUGAUGUAUUUAUUUUUGCAGUAAUAAAAUUUGAUCACUAUUGUACUUUGGUUUUAAUGUGAUGAUGAAUUUGUAUUAAUUUGGUCAUUUCUCUAUUCAUGAUGCUCUGUAUUGGUUUUUGAUAUAAUUAGUUAUAUAAUGCGGAUGAACUGGCAAUGGAUGUUCGGUGACCGAUGCACCUCCGACUACAUUACAGGCCUGCAUAAUUUUAUCGAUGUGGCUGAGGCAAAAAAUGUGAAUUGUUUUAUGUAUUGUCCAUGUACUAUCUGUGAGAAUACGAAGGAUUACUCUUCCUGAAAAUCCCUUCACUUCCAGCUACUUAAGAAGGGUUUCAUGCCCCACUAUAAUUGUUGGACCAAGCAUGGAGAAAGAGGGGUUAUGAUGGAAGAUAAUGAAGAAGAAGAGGAUGAUGAAUACUAUCCAAUGUUCCCUGAAUACAGUGAUACUGCAACGGGAGAAGCUGAAGAUCAAGAGGCACCAGAUGUGCCCGCUGAUAAUCUUCGCCGGGUCAUUGUUGAUGCACAAAGAGAAUGCAAAAGUGAAAGGGCGAAGUUGAAGUUCGAUCGCAUGUUAGAGGAUCACAAAAAACGGUUGUACCCAAAUUGUGAAGAUGGCAACACAAGUCUCGGUACCACACUAGAAUUGAUGCAAUGGAAGGCAGAGAAUGGUUUAUCUGAAGCUACCGAAAAUAAUUAAGAAGAAGCUUCCAAAGGAUAAUGAAUUGCCUGAUAGUACGUAUUAAGCAAAGAAGGUUCUCUGCCCUUUAGGAUUAGAGGUGCAGAAGAUACAUGCAUGCCCCAAUCACCGCAUCCUCUACUGCGGUGAGGAGUACGAGAAUUUGAAUGCAUGCCCGGUAUGCGGUGCAUUGCGGUAUAAGAUCAGAUGAGAUGACCUUGGUGAUUAUGAGGGCGAGCGCCCCAGGAAGAGAGUUCCUGCCAAGGUGAUGUGGUAUGCUCCUAUAAUACCACAGUUCAAACGUCUGUUCAAAAACAAAGAGCAUGCCAAGUUGCUGUGAUGGCACAAAAAAGACCGUAAGAAAGACGAGAUGUUGAGAGUACCCUCUGAUGGGUUGCGAUGGUGAAAAUCGAGAAAGUGGUCGGAGUUUGCAGGUGACGCAAGGAACUUAUGGUUUGGUAUAAGUGCGGAUGGCAUUAAUCCUUUUGGGGAGCAGAGCAGCAAUCAUAGCACAUGGCAUGUGACUCUAUGUAUCUAUAAUCUCCCUCCUUGGUUGUGCAUGAAGUGGAAGUUCAUUAUGAUGCCAGUGCUAAUCCAAGGCCCUAAGCAACCCGGCAACGACAUUGAUGUGUACCUAAGGCCAUUAGUUGAUGAACUUUUAUAGUUUGGGAAUAUAAAAGGUGUACGUCUGUGGGAUGAGCACAAAUAGGAGGAAUUUGACCUACAAGUGUUGCUGUUUGUAACCAUCAAUGAUUGGCCUGCUCUUAGUAACCUGUCGACAAAGACAAACAAGGGAUACAAUGCAUGCGCGUAGUGUUUAGAUGAGACUGAAAUUAUAUACUUGGACAAAUGUAAUAAGAAUGUGUACCUGGGACAUCACCGAUUUCUUCUGACCAAGUAUGCCUUAAGAAAGAAAGACAAGCAUUUCAAAGGUGAGGUAGAUAACCGGAAGAAACAUGUCCCUCGUACUGGUGAUGAUAUAUUUGAUAUGGUCAAGGAUUUAAAAGAAAUCUUUUGAAAGGGUCCUGGCAGACAAUCUGUUUCGAAUGACACUGUCACACACGCACCCAUGUGGAAGAAGAAAUCUAUAUUUUUGACAUACCCUAUUGGAAAGUCCUAGAGGUCCACUUUGGAUCGAUGUGAUGCACAUGAUGAAGAAUGUGUGCGUGACCUACUAGGCUUCUUGGGCAUUUAUGGGAAGGCAAAAGAUACACCGGAGGCACGGGAGGACCAGAAACGUAUGAAUGAAAAAGAUGGCAUGCAUUAAAAGUAGUAUCAAGCUCCUGCCAGCUACGCUCUUACCAAAGCAGAGAAGGAAACCUUUUUUGAAUGCCUGCUCAGUGUCAGGGUCCUGUCUGGCUUCUCAUCAAAUAUAAAGGGAAUAAUAAAUAUGGUAGAGAAAAAAAUUCCAAAACCUAAAGUGUCAUGACUGCCAUGUGAUUAUUACGCAAUUGCUUCUGCUUGCAUUGAGGGGGCGUCUACUAGAAAAUGUUCUAUUAGCCAUUAUGAAGCUAUGUGCAUUCCGCAAUGCAAUUUCUCAGAAGGUAACCAAUCCAGAAAUCCUACCAAGGUUACAUAAUGAUUUUGUCCAAUGUCUUGUCAGAUUCGAGUUUGUGUUCCCACGAUCCUUGUUCAAUAUUAUGACGCACGUCCUAGUUCACUUAGUCGACGAGAUUGCCAUUAUGGUUCCAGUAUUUGUACACAAUAUGUUCUCCUUUGAGAGGUUCAUGGAAGUCUUAAAGAAAUAUGUUCAUGGCCGUGCUAGGCCAGAAGGAAGCAUCUCCAAGGACCAUGAAACAAAGGAGGUUAUUGAGUUCUGUAUUGACAUUAUUCUUGACCUUAAGCCGAUUGGUGUUCCUCAAUCGCGGCAUGAAGGGAGACUAAGUGGAAAAGGCAAGCUAGCACUGAACGCAAUAAUAUGAAGGGACGGGCAUUCUUGGGCGCAAGCACACUACAUAGUUCUAAAAAAUUCUGCCUUGGUGGCCCUGUAUAUCAAUGAACAUAAAAAUAUUGUAUGCUCCCAACACCCGGGGCAGUCUAACGACUGGAUUACACGUGCACACAUGUGGACUUUCGGUGAUUGGUUGUAAACACAUCUCAUGGGUAACACCACUAUUGGAGAUGAGUUGUACUUGUUGUCGAAGACAACAUCUUCGACUGUAUUGUCUUUCCAAGGGUUUGAGAUAAAUGGGAAUACAUUUUACACCCCCAAGAUAAAAAUAGCACCAACUGAUACAUCCAUUUUUCAUCAUUCUUUUUUAUCGAUAUUUAUUGCAUUAUGGACUGUUAUUACACAUUAUGUCACAAUACUUAUGGCUUUUCUCUCUUAUUUUAUAAGGUUUGCACGAAGAGGGAGAAUGGCAGCAGCUAGAAUUCUGGGCUGGAAAAGGAGCAAAUAUUAGAGACCUAUUCUGCACAACUCCAAAAGUCCUGAAACUCCACGGAAGUCAGUUUUGGAAUAUAUUAAAAAUAAUGGAUGAAGAAAGCACCAGAGGGGGGCCACCCACCGUCCAUGAGGGUGGGGGCGCGCCCUACCCCCUGGGUGCGCCCCCUGUCUCGUGGGCCCCCUGGCAGGCCUUCGGUGCCCAUCUUUGGCUAUAUGAAGUCUUUCGCCCUGGAAAAAAUCAUAAGCAAUCUUUCGGGACGAAACACCGCCGCCACGAGGCGGAACCUUCGCGGAACCAAUCUAGGGCUUCGGCGGAGCUGUUCUACCGGGAAAACAUCCCUCUGGGAGGGGGAAAUCAUCACCAUCGUCAUCACCAUCGAUCCUCUUAUCAGGAGGGGGUCAAUCUCCAUCAACAUAUUCACCAGCACCAUCUCCUCUCGAACCCUAGUUCAUCUCUUGUAUCCAAUCUUUGUCCCAAAACCUGAGAUUGGUACAUGUGGGUUGCUAGUAGUGUUGAUUACUCCUUGUAGUUGAUGCUAGUUGGUUUAUUUGUUGGAAGAUCAUAUGUUCAGAUCCUUUAUGCAUAUUAAUACCCCUCUGAUAAUGAACAUGAAUAUGAUUUGUGAGUAGUUACGUUUGUUCCUGAGGACAUGGGAGAAGUCUUGCUAUAACUAGUCAUGUGAAUUUGGUAUUCGUUUGAUAUUUUAAUGAGAUGUAUGUUGUCUCUCCUCUAGUGGUGUCAUGUAAACGUCGACUACAUGACACUUCACCAUUAUUUGGGCCUAGGGGAGGCAUUGGGAAGUAAUAAGUAGAUGAUGGGUUGCUAGAGUGACAAAAGCUUAAACCCUAGUUUAUGAGUUGCUUCGUAAGGGGCUGAUUUGGAUCCAUAUGUUUCAUGCUAUGGUUAGGUUUACCUUAAUACUUCUUUCGUAGUUGCGGAUGCUUGGAAGAGGGGUUAAUCAUAAGUGGGAUGCUUGUCCAAGUAAGGGCAGUACGCAAGCACCAGUCCACCCACAUAUCAAAUUAUCAAAGUACCGAACGCGAAUCAUGUGAGCGUGACGAAAACUAGCUUGACGAUAAUUCCCAUGUGUCCUCGGGAGCGCUUUCCUUUAUAUAAGAGUUUGUCAUGUUAUUUCUGUUAAAAUAGGAGAUCGUUGCUAUCAUGGCUUAUGUGAUAUAGGUGCUAGUGCGAGUGCAAUACCUCAUUCUUUAUUUGAAGAAAUUAUGCAUGAUAUUGCACCUGGUGAGUUAGAAGGUACUGGUGUUACAAUUAAGCUUGCCAAUAGAGAUACUAUUUCACCGGUUGGGAUUGUUAGAGAUGUUGAAGUCUUCUAUGGGAAAGACAAAUAUCCUGCUGAUUUUCUUACUCUUCGUUCCCCACAGGAUGACUUUUGUCCCAAUAUAUUUGGUAGACCCUUCUUGAAUACUGUUAGUGCUAAGAUAGACUGCAAAAAGGAUAUUGUUUCUGUUGAUUUAGGGGAUAUGUCUCAUGAUUUUAAUUUUGCUAAAUUUCGUAGACAACCCCAUGAUAAAUCAUUGCCUAGUAAAGAUGAAAUUAUUGGUCUUGCUUCUAUUGCGUUCCUCCUAAUGAUCCUUUAGAACAAUAUUUGCUAGACCAUGAAAAUGAUAUGUAUAUGAAUGAAAGAAGGGAAAUACAUGAAGUAUUCUUUAAACAGGGACCUAUUUUGAAACACAACUUGCCUAUUGAAAUUCUAGGGGAUCCUCCUCCACCAAAGGGUGAUCCCGUGUAUGAGCUUAAACCAUUGCCUGAUACUCUUAAAUAUGCUUAUCUUGAUGAAAAGAAGAUAUAUCCUGUUUUUAUUAGUGCUAACCUUUCAGAUCAAGAAGAAGAGAAACUAUUGAAAACUCUGAAGAAGCACCGUGCUGCUAUUGGAUAUAAUCUUGGUGAUCUUAAGGGCAUUAGUCCCACGCUAUGCCAGCACAAAAUAAAAUUGGAGAAAGACGCUAAACCGGUUGUUGAUCACCUACGACGGUUAAAUCCUAAGAUGAAAGAAGUGGUACGAAAAAGAAAUACUAAAGCUUCUGGAGGCAGGUAUAAUUUGUCCCGUUGCUGAUAGUCAGUGGGUAAGUCCUGUCCAUUGUGUCCCUAAGAAGGGAGGUAUUACUGUUGUUCCUAAUGAUAAAGAUGAAUUGAUCCCACAAAGAAUUGUUACAGGUUAUAGAAUGGUAAUUGAUUUCCGCAAAUUAAAUAAAGCUAUUAAAAAUGAUCAUUACCCUUUACCUUUUAUUGACCAAAUGCUAGAAAUAUUAUCCAAACAUAUAUAUUUUUGCUUUCUAGACAGUUAUUCUGGUUUUCUCAAAUACCUGUCUCAAAAGAGGAUCAAGAAAAGACCACCUUUACUUGCCCUUUUGGUACCUUUGCUUAUAGACGCAUGCCUUUUGGUUUAUGUAAUGCACCUGCUACCUUUCAAAGAUGUAUGACUACUAUAUUCUCUGACUUUUGAGAAAGGAUUGUUGAGGUUUUCAUGGAUGAUUUCUCCGUAUACGGAACUUCUUUUGAUGAUUGCUUAAGCAACCUUGAUCGAAUUUCGCAGAGAUGUGAAGAAACUAAUCUUGUCUUGAAUUGGGCGAAGUGCCACUUGAUGGUUAAUGAAGGUAUUUUCUUGGGGCAUAAAAUUUCCGAAAGAGGUGUUGAAGUUGAUAAAGCUAAAGUUGUUGCUAUUGAAAAGAUGCCAUGUCCAAAGGACAUUAAAGGAAUAAGAAGUUUCCUUGGUCAUGCCGGUUUUUAUAGGAGGUUCAUUAAAGACUUCUCAAAAAUUUCCAGGCCUCUGACUAAUCCCUUACAAAAAGAUGUUCCUUUUGUCUUUGAUGAUGAUUGUGUAGAAGCAUUUGAAAUACUUAAGAAAGCCUUGAUUCCUGCACCCAUUGUUCAGGCUCCUGAUUGGAAUUUACCCUUUGAAAUUAUGUGUGAUGCCAGUGAUUAUGCUUUAGGUGCUGUUCUAGGACAAAGAGUUGAUAAGAAAUUAAAUGUUAUCCAAUAUGCUAGUAAAACUCUAGACAGUUCCCAGAGAAAUUAUGCUACUACUGAAAAGGAAUUUUUAGUAGUUGUGUUUGCUUGUGAUAAGUUCAGACCUUAUAUUAUUGAUUCUAAAGUAACUGUUCAAACUGAUCAUGCCGCUAUUAAAUAUCUCAUGGAAAAGAAAGAUGCUAAACCUAGACUUAUUAGAUGGGUUCUCCUUUAAAAAAUUUGAUUUGCAUAUUAUUGAUAGAAAGGGAGCUGAGAACCCCGUUGCAGACAACUUGUCUAGGUUAGGGAAUGUUCUUGAUGACCCACUACCUAUUGAUGAUAGCUUUCCUGAUGAACAAUUAGCUGUCAUAAAUGCUUCUCAUACUGCUCCAUGGUAUGCUGACUAUGCUAAUUACAUUGUUGCUAAAUUUAUACCGCCUACUUUCACAUACCAGCAAAAGAAAAAGUUUUUCUAUGAUUUAAGACAUUACUUCUAGGAUGACCCACACCUUUGUAAAGAAUGAGUAGAUGGUGUUAUUAGACGUUGUGUACCCGAGCAUGAAUAGGAACAGAUCUUACGCAAGUGUCACUCCGAGGCUUACGGAGGACACCAUGCUGGAGAUAGAACUGCACAUAAGGUAUUGCAAUCCGGUUUUUAUUGGCGUACUCUAUUCAAGGAUGCCCGUAAGUUUGUCUUGUCUUGUGAUGAAUAUCAAAUAAUUGGUAACAUUAGUAGACAUCAAAAAAUGCCUAUGAAUUAUUCACUUGUUAUUGAACCAUUUGAUGUUUGGGGCUUUGAUUAUAUGAGACCGUUUCCUGCCUCUAAUGGGUAUACACAUAAGCUAUUCUAACUAGUAGUGCUGAUCAUAAGACCUCUAUUAAGAUGCUUAAAGAAGUUAUUUUUCCAAGGUUUGGAUUCCCUAGAUACUGAAUGACUGAUGGUGGUCCACAUUUUAUUCAUGGUGCUUUGUUUAAGAUGCUUGCUAAGUAUGAUGUUAAUCAUAGGAUUGCAUCUCCAUAUCACCCACGGUCUUGUGGUCAAGUAGAACUGAGUAAUAGAGAGCUUAAAUUAAUUUUCCAAAAGACUAUUAAUAGAUCUAGAAAGAAUUGGUCAAAGAAACUUGACGAUGCAUUAUGGGCCUAUAGAACUGCAUAUAAAAAUCCUAUGGGUAUGUCUCCAUAUAAAAUGGUUUAUGGAAAAGCAUGUCACUUACCUCUCGAACUAGAACAUAAGGCAUAUUAGGCCAUUAAAGAGCUCAAUUAUGACUUAAAACUUGCCGGUGAGAAGAGAUUAUUUGACAUUAGCUCACUUGAUAAAUGGUGAACCUAGGCCUACGAGAAUGCCAAACUGUUUAAAGAAAAAGUUAAACGAUGGCAUGGCAAAAGGAUACAAAAACGUGAGUUUAAUGUAUGUGAUUAUGUAUUGUUAUACAACCACUAGUAGAAAACAUGGCUUUGCUUCGAGGCUGGCCAACCCAUUAGUCCCGGUUCAGUCAAGAACCGGGACCCAUGGGGGCAUACGUCCCGGUUCGUGCGCCCAUGGGCUCGGCCAGGCCUCGGGACGCAUUUGUCCUGGUUCAUGCAUGUGGACCCAUUUGUCCUAGUUCUAGCCACGAACCGGGACCAAUGGGCCUCGCUCCUGGCCCAGCACCAUUGGUCCCGGUUUGUGCAUAGAACCGAGAUAGGAGGGAGGCCUUUAGUCCCGGUUCCAGCCACGAACCGGGACCAAUGAGGUGGCUAUAUAUACCCCUCGCCCGCGAGUAGAGCACUCCACACUGCUCUGUUUUUUCUGGCCGGCAAGGGAAGUGCUUUGUGGUGCUCUAGCUCACCUCCUAUGCACACGAGGUGUUCGACGAAAUGCCCGAGCCACACUAGUUAAGCUUUCUCCUCUCGAAGCUCGACCUCCAAGCUCCAUUUUCCCUGAGAUUUGUCUAGGUUUAGCGGUCCGUCACGUCCCGUCCUCGUCUUCACCGCCGUCGAUCGCCUGCGCCGAUCUCGUCGCCUGCACCACCAUGGUGAGCCUCUUGUUCUUAUCUUCUUCUGAAAGAAAAAAUUCUUACUUUAGAUAGAUACUUGUCUAAUUUUCUUACUUUUAUUAUUACUUGUUCUUAUAUAGUGCGAUGGUUUUGGUAUCUCUUGGGGAUAUAGCUAUCAGUUAUGAACCGCCCAGGAGGGGCCGGGUCAAGACCCAAUGGCAGGUCACAAAGGAAGCCCAAUAAACACUCGAGGCGAUAGUUUGUUAAAUCUUAUAGAAGGCCUAAAGGCCUAGAGGCGGCUUAAGUCCCAAUAUUGUAAACCGCCGUAUGUAAGGAAAGACUUGUAAAGAAAGGCAUAUAAAAGAAGUCACCAAGGCGGACUCGAUUUAUGAGCCGGUAGGGACUCUGUAGGCCACCAGGCGUCAACCUGUGUAUAUAAGGGGACGACCCGGUGGCGGCUUAGGGCAAAAAAUAGGAGAUCGAUAACCAAGCUGGUGAACUAGCCUCUUGGUGAUCAAAACCCCAACAAUAUCAACACAACUAGACAUAGGCUUUUACCUUCAUCGUAAGGGGCCGAACUAGUAUAAAAUCUCUCGUGUCCUUUGUCCCGAUUAACCCCUUUAAGUUUCAUAGUUGCGAUGGCCCUACGACUAAGUCCUUUGGCUAGGACAUCUAUCGUGACAAUUCCAUGAUAGUUGGCGCCCACUGUGGGGCCAGCGCACGGUGGAUUCAAGUUCUUGAAGGGAAACUUAGAAGGGCUCAAGGGAUACGUUGUGGGCCGGAUGACCAAGAGUCGUCGCGGCAAGCUCUACAUCGAUGACGAAGGCUGGGGCCCCGAGGCCGGCUCACUUGAGUAUGGGUACCGGGUCCCCUUCGGCGGAAUUCAUGUCUUCAUCAGCCGGAUCGGCGAGUCGGGUCCUGAGCCGGACGUUCACACCAACCUCAUCGAAACGGCUCAGCGCGCGAGGUCCACCCGUGUUCAAUCUGUCGUGAAGCAUGCCUUUGUGGGCUGCAUCCACGGCGGUGAAUACUCUGGAGAAUUGGUGGAUGGCGGUGAGACGGCCGUCUGUUCUGAUGCCACAUCAUCGACAGGAGAGAUGAACUCUAUGUAUCAGCUGAAGGAUGGCAUGCUCGAAGGUUGUUUCGAUGGCAGCAGUAUUCCGGACCCCCUUGAGCCGCCGAAUUGGGUCGGAGUGUUCAUGGCAGAAACACAGCCAGGGCAGAACUCCACAGUAGCGGCAGCAACAACCACCAUGUCGGUCGCAGCCGGGUCAAGAGACCCCACGCGCCCGCGGCUCAGAUUCUGAUGGACCUCAUGGAUAAACUGAUGACCCUGUUGACUGCCGUGGUAGAGCCGGCGAAUCAAGCUCCGCAUGACGCAGAGGUGGCACGCAUACGUGAGGAGAUGGUACAAGCUAAAGAAAAUUUAGCAGCAGAGGAGGUCAGGAUGUGGCAACUUCUGGCAUAGACUUUCCGGCUCUCGAUGGAUCUAAAUGCGUCAAACGAGGUCAUGAGAAGAAGGCACCAGAAAACUCAGUCACGUCUACCUCGGACACUCGAUCCUAGGAACCUUUUUCAUACACCCGGGGCCGGGGCAAGUAACCCGCCGUAGGCAAAUCGGAUCACGUCACCCGGGGCACCGGUUCAGCCGCGCACCAUGGAACCACCUCGUGUACACACCGCUCCGCCUCAUUAUGUGCCAACACUGCUGGGUCACUUCUCCAAUCCCUUGGAAAACCUCAUUGCAGCUUUGGCUCGUUUGGCGGCUCUCCCGAUGGAGGGCGACUCUCCGGUGGUGAUCGAAACAAGAAGGGUGAGAGAACUUCUUCAAACAGCUCUAGCGCAGCAGGAUGCGUACUCUUACAAUCAAGACAGGAUCCAUUCAACCCCUCGCCCGAGCCGGAGCCCAAGCUACAGUGGGCGUAUGGAUUCAGUUGGCAUGUCAAGUAAUGUUCAAUGCCACAAUCGGCCGCACAAGCAUGAGCCGGGACAGGCUGGAGCCCUUAACUUGGCGGAUCAGGAGAGGAUCCGACAAGAGGCUGAGCGAGCGGUUCAAUUGGCAGCGGAGCAGGCGGCUUACCAGACUUUUCCGGCUUAUCCAGCAACCUCGGUUGAGCCAGGAGUGGCCACGAGAACCGGAGGUGUCCCUUGCCUGGUGCCUGCCAUACGUAAUGAGCGUUUUCCGAAGGACUUCAAGGUUCCUCAUAAGGUGCCUGAUUACACGGCCGACAUGUAGCCUGGGGCCUGGAUUGAGAGUUAUGAGAUGGCCAUGGAGCUGUUGGAGGUUAGCGACACAGGAAUGGCUAAAUAUUUCAAGAUGAUGUUGGAUGGAACGACUCGUACUUGGCUAAAAGUGUUGCCCCCCAAUUCCAUUGGCUCAUGGGCGGAGUUAAAGGCCAGGUUCAUUCAGAACUUCAAAGACACAUGCAAACAACCUAUGUGAAUCUUGGACCUGACUAAUUGUAAACAAGAGGAAGGUGAGUCCACAACCCAUUGGGUGCGCCGGGUGAAGGAGAUAAUUCAUUCAUCUGAUAAGAUGGAUGCCGGCUCAGCAGUAUUAAUGUUGGAGAAAAAUUGCCGUUUUGGACCUCUGAAGUAGAAGCUGAGGCGGCUUAAACGUGACUGCAAUGACAUGGGCCAGUUGGUGGCGGCUCUCGUCAAGUAUGCUGAUUCUGAUAGUACCAAGGACCCUGUGUCUGAUGAAGAAAAGACAGGGAAGGGAAAGAAGAACGGCAACGGCAAGGGUCACCAACAUAACCCGACAAAUCAAGGAGGUAAUAAACGCAAGUCUGACGAAUUUGUGGAUAACACCAAUGCGCUGGGCAACAAUCAACAGCGCAAAGGUAGGCAACCCCCUCGGUCGGAAGGGUCAGGUCCCACCCUUGAGCAACUAUUGAAUGAACCUUGUCCAAGACACGGCACCCGGGAGAAGCCAGCCACCCAUUUGUGGAAGGAUUGUACAAUCAUGAAGGCAUUCAAGAAUUCAAAUGCAUUCGAUGGAAGUCACGGCCCUGGCGGCGGUUCAGGUGGAGGCAGCUUUCAUGGCCCGGGACCAUCUCAGGUGGAGGCGGUUUUCACGGUCAGGGACAUGCGGGUAACCAAGGAGGUUAUAGUCCUCAACCCGGCCAAGGUAAUUUGCAGCAAUCCGGAUAUCAGAGCAACCCAAAACAUUUGAAUUGUGGGCAAUAUCAUGUGUUUACCACUAGCUUGUGCAAGCGGGACCAAAAGCUUCACAAGAGGGCUGUCAAUGCCAUUGAGCCGGUGAUUCCGCAUUACUUAUGGUGGUCAGAACAACCUAUUGUGUGCAGCAGAGAGGAUCAUCCUCCCCGGUUGACAAUCCGGGUCACUUGGCCUUGGUAGUAGCGCCUCGGGUUGCUAGAUAUAAAUUCACUAAAGUGCUCAUGUAUGGAGGCAGUAGCAUCAACAUCCUCUACUAUGAGACGUUUCGCCGGAUGGGGUUGACUGAUAAGAGUCUUACACAAUCUAGCACUGUUUUUCACGGUGUGGUACCUAGCAAAUCGGCAUACCCAGUUGGCAAGAUUGAACUGGAAGUAGCUUUUGGGGAUGAAUAUGAUUCCAGAGCGGAGAAAUUAACCUUUAAGGUGGUUAAGAUCAAAAGCCCAUAUCAUGCUUUGUUUGGACGGCCGGCUUACGCCAAGUUCAUGGCUCGGCCGUGUUAUGUGUAUCUGCAACUUAAGAUGCCAGGUUAUAAGGGCACCAUUACAGUACAUGGAAGCCGGAAAAUAGCCCUGGAGUGUGAAGAAGGAGAUGCUACAUACGCUGAGUCUGUUUGUGCAAUGGAGGAGUUGAAGUUUUAUAAAGAUAUUGUUGACCCGACAGACAUGACGUCUCUAAAGAAGCCAACAACGGAGCAUGAACUUGUGUUGAAAUUCAAGUCAGCUGAUGAUACCAGGACGGUUGAUUUUGUUCCCGGCGACUCAUCCAAGCAAUUCAUCAUUAGUGCCAAUUUGGAUCCAAAAUAGGAAAGCGCGCUCAUCGAGUUCAUCCGUGAGAACUGGGACAUCUUUGCAUGGAAACCUUCUGACAUGUUGGGUGUCCCGAGAGAACUCGCUAAGCACACUCUCAAUAUUGAUCCAAAGUUUAAACCGGUCAGGCAGUUUCUCCGACGAUUCAACUAGGAAAGGCGCAAGGCCAUCGGAGAAGAGGUGGCCCGUCUCUUGGUGGCCGGGUUCAUUGUGGAAGUCGUUCACCCAGAGUGGUUAGCCAACCGGUGCUUGUACUAAAAAAUAACGGCACCUGGCGUAUGUGUGUGGAUUACACCGAUUUAAAUAAGGCUUGUCCGGCUGACCCUUUCGCUCUCAUCCGUAUUGAUCAGAUCAUUGAUGCUACGGCGGGUUGCGCACGUUUGAGUUUUUUGGAUGCCUAUUCAGGUUAUCAUCAGAUCAAGAUGGCAGUCAAGGACCAGGAGAAGACAGCUUUCAUCACUCCGUUUGGAGCCUUCUGCUAUGUGUCUAUGACCUUCGGGCUCAAGAGUGCCCAGGAAACUUAUCAACGGUGUAUGCAGAAUUGCCUUCACAAUCAGAUUGGGCGUAAUGUUCAUGCUUAUGUGGAUGAUAUAGUGGUAAAAUCCAGGAAAGACGAAACCUUGGUCACAGAUCUGAAAGAGACCUUUGAUAACCUCCGGGUCUACAAAAUGACGCUUAACCCGGCCAAGUGUGUUUUUGGAGUCCCAGCUGGCAAGCUCUUGGGUUUUUGGUGUCCAACCGAGGUAUUGAAGCUAACCCGGAGAAGAUCAAGGAAAUCACAUCCCUGGCCAAACCAACAUGCACUACUAGAAUCAGGUACUUUGCCAUCUGCCAGCUCUUUGCCGUCAGCUAGGGGACGGCAAAGAAGCUCUUUGCCGUCAGCUAGCGGACGGCAAAGAAGCUCUUUGCCAUCAGCUACCAAAAAGCAGACGGCAAAGAACUGGCUGAUGGCAAAGACCUAAUUUUCCAUCAGCCAGUUCUUUGCCGUCGGCUAGCGGACGGCAAAGAGGGAGGGGGCCCCACUUACGAGCUGCUUAAAAAAAACCUAAUGGCCCCCCUCUUUGCCGUCCGCUAGCAGAUGGCAAAGAGAAAAUAAGAGGACGGCAAAGGGGGCGGACAGCGAAGAGGGAGGGGCCCCACUAACGUUAACGGCCGCGCCCCACACCGCCCCCCUCUCUCUUUCUCUUCUUCACACGCGCGCCGCCNNNNNNNNNNNNNNNNNNNNNNNNNNNNNNNNNNNNNNNNNNNNNNNNNNNNNNNNNNNNNNNNNNNNNNNNNNNNNNNNNNNNNNNNNNNNNNNNNNNNNNNNNNNNNNNNNNNNNNNNNNNNNNNNNNNNNNNNNNNNNNNNNNNNNNNNNNNNNNNNNNNNNNNNNNNNNNNNNNNNNNNNNNNNNNNNNNNNNNNNNNNNNNNNNNNNNNNNNNNNNNNNNNNNNNNNNNNNNNNNNNNNNNNNNNNNNNNNNNNNNNNNNNNNNNNNNNNNNNNNNNNNNNNNNNNNNNNNNNNNNNNNNNNNNNNNNNNNNNNNNNNNNNNNNNNNNNNNNNNNNNNNNNNNNNNNNNNNNNNNNNNNNNNNNNNNNNNNNNNNNNNNNNNNNNNNNNNNNNNNNNNNNNNNNNNNNNNNNNNNNNNNNNNNNNNNNNNNNNNNNNNNNNNNNNNNNNNNNNNNNNNNNNNNNNNNNNNNNNNNNNNNNNNNNNNNNNNNNNNNNNNNNNNNNNNNNNNNNNNNNNNNNNNNNNNNNNNNNNNNNNNNNNNNNNNNNNNNNNNNNNNNNNNNNNNNNNNNNNNNNNNNNNNNNNNNNNNNNNNNNNNNNNNNNNNNNNNNNNNNNNNNNNNNNNNNNNNNNNNNNNNNNNNNNNNNNNNNNNNNNNNNNNNNNNNNNNNNNNNNNNNNNNNNCCCGACACCGACACGACACCCCGACCCCCGACACCUCCCAAAAUGGUGUUCUUUGGCCUUGCAGAGGCCGACGGGGUCAUAUAUUUGUGAAUUAUUAGUUAGGUCAUAUAUUUUUCGAUUUUGUUAUGAAAAACAUCAUAUCUAAUUGUGUUGAUCGGGUAGUUUUAAAUGUGCAGUUGUUUCAUCACUGCGAGGUUUGGUGUUCGACGACCUAUUAGAGUGUAGGUUGCAUGGACGUAAUAGAAUUGACAAAGUAGAUCAACUGAUGAAUAUAUACAGGGUGAAUUACAUAUAUAAUUGUUGUGUGUCCAGUAGCUCUGAAAGUCAAGAUGAGUGACCGUGCGUGGAUGUAUACUGGUCACACUGGUCAGAACAAAUGGAGCGCUGAAUGGUUCACAAAAACCAAGGGGUUUGUGCAAGCCGCAUUUGCAAAUGGCCAAAAGAAAACCUGGUGCCUGUAUUUCCGGUGCGACAAUUGGGUAAAGAAGACAUAGGCUGAAAUGGGCAAACACCUGCAGAAGAGUGGUUUUAUGCCCGAUUAUACGGUGUGGACAUUUCAUGGUGAGUCUGCCCAACGUGAACGAGCUGAGGUGGAUCGUCGUCGCACCGACGAGCAUGGUACCGGGAUAGAAAACAUGGUGCAAGACUAUGAUGAUGCUCGGGAUCCGGACGAGGAGAUGGUGGAAUCUGCAAAGGCCUUCAAUGAAAUGUUGGAGUCUUCAAAACGUCCGCUCCACGAGCACACUGAGCUUUGUCAGUUGGAUGCCAUCUCACAAGUAAUGGCUAUGAAGGCUCAGUUCAACUUGGGCAGAGAAUGCUAUGACGCAAUUAUGACAGUAUUUGGACGCUUUCUACCCAACGGCCAUGUAAUGCCUGCAAACCUGUACCAGUCAGACAAAAUCCUCCAUGCACUAAAGAUGCCCUAUGAGAAGAUACAUGCCUGUGAGAAAGGAUGUGCCUUAUUUAGGCUUGACUAUGCGGUCUUGAACUGUUGUCCCAUUUGCAAGUCUUCCAGGUAUAUUGUGGUAGACAACGGUAUGGGUUAGAAGACACAGACCAAAAUCCCCGUUAGUGUUCUUCGGUAUAUGCCAAUCGUACCAAGACUUCAACGUCUUUUCAUGGUCGAAGAGACGGCUAGACAGAUAACAUGGCACAAAACAGGCAAAAGAACCGAACUAGAUGUAGAUGGGAAUCUGAUGAUGGUACACACAUCAGAUGGUGUUGCAUGGAACAAGUUUGAUGAAUUACAUGCUGACAAAGCGGCAGAUCCGAGGCAUCCUCGAGUCGACAUCAGCACGGAUGGGUUCAGUGUGUUUGGUAUGAUGGCAGCCCAAUACAGUUGUUGGCCCGUAUUUGUCUUUCCACUCAAUCUCCCCCCCGGACAGAUUAUGCAAAGAAAGAACAUUUUCCUGACGUUGAUAAUUACAGGGCCCAACUAUCCGGGGGAAAAUAUGAAUGUGUACAUGCAGCCGCUUAAGGACGAAUUGCAAGAAGCCUGGGAUACUGGGUUCAAUACAUACGACGCCUUUAGCAAACGGAACUUCAUAAUGCGUGUCUGGUACAUGUACUCUACGCAUGACUUGCCGGCGUAUGCGCUAUUCAUUGGCUGGUGUGUGCAUGGAAGGUUCCCGUGCCCCACAUGCAAGGGAGCUCUUGAGUUUCGUUGGCUUCAGGGCGGUCGCAAGUUUUCUUGCUUCGACAUGCAUAGACAGUUCCUGGAUCCUCGCCAUAAGUUCAGGAAAGACAAGAACUUCAUCAGGGGUAGAGUUGUCAAAAACUCUACACCACCUGCAUUGACAGGCCAACAGACCCUGGAUCAGUUAAACGCUCUCGUGCCAGAUCCACAACAUCCAGGGUACUUCAAGGGGUAUAAUACUAAGCACGUGUGGACUCACAAAACAUGCUUAUGGGAUCUGCCUUACUUCAAAGACCUCCUUUGCCCACACAACAUCGACGUGAUGCACACUGAGAAGAAUAUCGUCGAGGCACUUUUUGGUACAUUGUUCGACAUGGAUGGGAAGUCAAAGGAUAAUACUAAGGCUAGAGUCGAUCUGGAGGUCAGGUGAGUGGUGUUGCAGGCUGCUAUAUAGAGUGAGAGAGAUAGAACGGAGAAACUUCUGGCGGGGGCGGCGGAGAGGCAGCGGGAGUUGGAGGAGAGGACAACAAAGAUGUUGGAGGAGGAGAGGGCACGGAAUGACAUGCAGGCAAGGGCCAUGUACGAGCUCCUUGUGGUAAGUUUCUUUUGCAGAUUACUUGCUAGUCUUAACAUUUGAGUCUUAUUACUAACUAGUAUGACUCUGUUGUGAAAACCAAAUGUGCAGUCUGUGUGCGAGAAGUCUGGUCAGACCGCUCCGCCGAUGCCAGUGAUUGCUCCUGGGAGCACGGUGAGUUUAAUUUGAAUGGACAUUACUUGCUAGUCUUAACAUUUGAGUGUCAUAAUGCUAAUGAGACAUUGGAAAUGAUAUUUGGUGCAGCUUAACUCCAGAAACGCAUCGCACGAUCCUUCUCCAGCUACCGGCGCGAGCCAGCCUGCUCCUACACCUUUGUGAUCACGGUAAGUUUCUCUAGUGUUUUGCUUAACAAAUGCAUAAAGACCUAGACUUAUCUUUAUUUCCUCCAAUAUGCUUACCAUAAUGACCUAGAGUUAGCUUAUUUUCCUCCAAAAUGACUUAAUAAGCUUACUGACCUCAUAAACCAUCCAUUUUACCUAAGUUAGCUUUAAAACGAUAUGUACUUAGCUUACUUAUGUCAAAAAUUGCAUAAUUAACUUAGUUAGCUCAUAAACGAUCCAUUUAACCUAAGUUAGCUCUAAAAUGACUCAUUUUACCUUAGUUAGCUUAUAAGUGAUCCAAUUUAUCCAAGUUAGCUCUAAAAUGACCCAUUUUACGUAGAUUAGCUCCUAAAUUAUCCAUUUUACCUACCUUAGCUAUAAAAUGACCCAUUUCACCUAGGUUAGCUCCAAAAUGACCUAUUUCACCUAGGUUAGCUCCAAAAUGACCCAUCUUACCUAGGUUAGCUUAUAAAUGAUCCAAUUUAUCCAAGUUAGCUCUAAAAUUACCCAAUUUACCUAGAGUAGCUCCUAAACGAUCCAUUUCACCUAAGUUAGCUAAAAAUGAUCCAUUUCACCUAAAUUAGGUCUUAAAUGAUCCAUUUCACCUAAGUUAGCUCAAAAACGAUCCAUUUCACCUUAGUUAGCUCAAAAACGUGGCAUUUCACCUUAGUUAGCUCAUAAACGACCCAUUUCAACUAAGUUAGCUCAUAAAUGAUCCAUUUUACCUAAGUUAUCUAAAAAACGAUCCAUUUCACCUUAGUUAGCUCAAAAACGAUCCAUUUCAGCUUAGUUAGCUCAUAAACGACCCAUUUCAACUAAGUUAGCUCAUAAAUGAUCCAUUUCACCUAAGUUAGCUCAUAAAUGAUCCAUUUCACCUAAGUUAGCUAAAAAUGAUCCAUUUCACCUUAGUUAGCUCAAAAACGAUCCAUUUCACCUUAGUUAGCUCAAAAAUGAUCCAUUUCACCUUAGUUAGCUCAAAAACGAUGCCCUUCACCUUAGUUACCUCAUAAACGACCCAUUUCAACUAAGUGAGCUCAUAAAUGAUCCAUUUCAACUAAGUUAGCUCAUAAACAACCCAUUUCAACUUAGUUAGCUCAUAUAUGAUCCAUUUCACUUAAGUUAGCUCAUAAAUGACAUAUACUUCUUGUUCUAGUCUUCUUCUGGUUCUAUUCACCUAUUUCUAACUUUCUUAUUUACCAUUUUGCAGAUUUCACUCACUUCAUGGAAGCUAGCUUGCUAUGAUGGAGUGCUUGCUUUUUCUUUGCUAAAACUUUGCAUUGUAUCUAGCUUGCUAUGAUAGAACUUGCUAUGUUGAUGAAACUUUGCUAUGUAAUAUGUAUAUGGAACAAUGUGUACGGAUGGAACUUGAUGGAACUUGCUAUGUUGAUGAAACUUUGAUGUGUAAUAUGUAUAUGGAAUUAUGUGCUGGAUAUGUGAUAUGUUUGCUGUUAAAUAUAUCUAUAUAUGUCAUAUAUAUUUGCUGUGAAAAUUGUUGGAUUAAAAAAACAGAAAAAAAGAGACAAUAUGUAGGCUCUUUGUCGUCUGCCACCGAUGGCAAAGGGCUCUUUGCCAUCAGCAGCCGACGGCAAAGAGGCCACGUGGCAGGCAACUGUGCUUCCUGGGAGGCUGACCAAUUUGGUCAGUUUACCUACAGUGGCUGACAGCAAAGGCUUUGCCGUCGGCGGCGGACAGCAAAGAGUAAAAACUUUGCCUACAGUGGCGGACGGCAAAGGCCUACCGUGUAGUGACGUCGGCUGACAUCAUUCGGCGGACGGCAAAGGCCUUCCGAAGUUUGCCGUCAGUGGCGGACGGCAAAGGCCUGCCGUUAACCACCUAAUGGAGUAAUAGCGCAUUUAUUGUCGUCUGCACUCUUUGCCAUCCGCUGCUGAUGACAAAGGCCCCUUUGCCGUCAGCCGCCCAAAGCAGACGACAAAGUAGCUCUUUGCCAAACCUUACUUUGCCGUCCCCUUUUGCCGUCCGCGGCAGACGGCAAAGACCUUUGCCGUCGGCCAUCCAUGCCUUUGCCGUCUGCUGUGGCAGAUGGCAAAGUAGCUGAUUCCUAUAGUGAUGCAUCAAUGACGUUCAAUGGCUGGUGGGUCGUGUUGCUGCUUUAAGCCGGUUCAUAAUCCGGUUAGGGGAGAAGGCAAUGCCUUUGUAUCAAAUGAUGAAGAAAACAGAUGAUUUUAUUUAGAGUGAGGCUGCGAACUCUGCUUUUCAGGAUCUAAAGAAACAGCUUGCUGAGCUGUCGGUCCUGGCUGCUCCAGUUGAGAAACAGCUGCUAUUGUUAUAUGUAGUCGCCAACUCACGUGCUGUUAGUGUGGCAAUUGUGGUGGAACGCAAGGAGGUCGGCAAGGAACAUCCGGUUCACCGGCCGGUUUACUACGUCGGUGAGGUGUUGACUAAAUCUAAACAAAGAUAUCCACAUUGGUAGAAGCUCAUAUAUGGGGUGUUCAUGGCGAGCCGAAAGCUUAAACAUUACUUUUAGGGUCACCCAAUCACUAUGGUUAGCUCUACUCCUUUGGGGGACAUCAUUCAAAAUGGAGAAGCCACUGGUCGAGUCACCACGUGGGCCAUUGAGCUUGUGUCCCACGGGUUGAACUAUGUGCCACGUACUGCAAUCAAAUCUCAAGCACUGGUUGAUUUUAUUAAUGACUGGAUAGAGAUGCAGAUGCCGGAGGAGAAACCAGACAACACAUAUUGGACUAUUCACUUUGAUGGGUCCAGACAGUUGGAAGGGUCUGGGCUGGAGUUGUUUUAACCUCCCCUCGAGGUAACAAAUUUUGUUAUGUGUUGCGGCUGAUGUUUCCUUACACUAACAGCACAGUGGAAUAUGAAGCGUUGCUCCAUGGUCUUCGAAUGGCUAAAGAGAUGAGCCUGAGCUGGGUCCGGUGUCUUGGCGACUCAGGUUUGGUAGCUCAACAGGUGCCAGGCAAGUGGGAUUCCAAAGAUCCUCUCAUGGCGGCUUAUCUCCAUGAAGUUGAUGCUAUUGUAGGGCAUUUUAAGGGUUAUCAGGUGCAGCACAUUGACCGUAGGAAGAACGAAGCGGCUGAUGCUUUAAGCCGGUUUGGAUCUCAGCGUAAGCCGGUGCCACCUAACACCUUUUUGGAUGUUUUGCAUAACCCGUGUGUUAAGUUACCUACAGAAGAAGAUCUAGACGUUCCUGACCCUGAGGCGCAGUUGGUGGCGGCUCUUCACGUCAUCCCAGAUUGGACUGUAUUGUUCUUGGAUUACAUGACCCGGGGUAAGCUGCUAGCGGAUGAGACCCUGGCCCGAUAGAUAACCCAACGGUAUAAGUCAAUGACGAUUUCUAACGGAGAACUAUACCAUCGCAGUGUCUCUGGAGCGUUUCAGCGGUGUGUUUCCUCGGAAGAAGGCCAAGAAAUACUUCGUGAGAUCCAUGAAGGUGAUUGUGGUUAUCACGCCGGGUCAAAGUCUCUGGUGGCCAAAACUUUUCUUCAUGGUUUUUAUUGGUUGACGGCUCACGCUGAUGCAGAAGAUCUGGUCAGUAGAUGUGAUGGAUGUCAAAAAUUCGCACGACGAGCACAUGUGCCGGCUCAAGAUUGCGGAUGAUUCCAAUCACUUGGCUGUUUGCGGUCUGGGGGCUUGACAUGGUUGGACCUUUCAAAAGGUCUAAGGAUAAAAAGACACAUCUUUUAGUGGCAGUUGACAAAUUCACAAAGUGGGUUGAGGCAGAACCAGUGAGUAAGUGUGAUGCGGCGACAGUGGUCCAGUUCAUGAAAAAGGUGAUCCUCCAUUUUGGUUUUCCACAUAGCAUCAUCACUGACAAUAGCACUAAUCUAUCCCAAGGGGCUAUGGAGGAGUUCUGUCAGCGCAAGCAUAUCUGGCUUGAUGUUUCGUCUGUAGCUCAUCCUCAAUCCAAUGGUCAGGCUGAGAGAGCAAAUCAGGAAAUCUUAAAAGGUCUCAAGCCCCGGCUUAUGGUUCCCUUGCAGCGAACGUCGGGUUGUUGGGUAGAGGAGUUACCCUCAGUGCUGUGGAGUAUCAACACCACCCCUAACAGGUCUACAAGUUAUACACCUUUCUUCAUGGUUUACGGAGUGGAAGAAGUGUUGCCUAGUGACAUCCGUCAUGACUCGCCCCUUGUGGCGGCUUAUGUUGAAGCUAACAAUGACCAAGCCAGAAAGGAUGCACUUGACUUGUUAGAUGAGAAAAGACUUAGCAGCGGCUCGGUCAGCAAUUUAUCAACAGGACCUGCGCCGUUAUCACAGCCGCCGUGUUAAAUCCAGGACUUUUCAAGAAGGUGACCUGGUGCUCCGGCUCAUCCAGGAUCUGUCAGAUGCACACAAGCUAUCCCCACCUUGGGAAGGACCCUUUGUGGUCAGCAAGAACUUAAAUGACGGGUCAUAUUACCUCAUUGAUGUUCGAGAGCACAAAGACUCACGUAAAUCGGAAGAAGAGACCCGCCGGCCGUGGAACAUUGCUCAACUUCAGCCAUACUACACCUGAGCCGCCGGCUCUCAUCAUGUACAUACGUUGACAUUAUAUAUACUAUGAUAAGUAAUAAAGUAGGACCAUUGGCCUCUUUUCUUUUCAGAAAGAUUAAACAUCUUUAUUAUUUUACUACUAUUUUCAAAUGACUAUUAAGGAGCUGAUCAUAUUUGAAUCAAGUCUAACCUUUUUUGGUCUGGCUUAUGAUCAUAUUCAAAUCUAGCUGCAACUAUCAUGGUCACUAGGGGGCUUCCUGUUCAAACAUAGGUCGUAUUAAAACCAAAGAGAACAUAGAUGUCGUAACCCUUUUGAUCGGCUCAAAGCCAAACUCACUAGGGGGCUUCUUGAUCGUAUCCGAAUCACAGCUUAACUCCUUUUUGGUCCGACUUGGAUCGUAUUCGAAUCAGGGUCGUUAAAAACCUCUCAAGGUCAUUUGGAGGCUUCCUGUUCAAACAUAGGUCGUAUUUGAACCAAAGAGAACAUAGCUGUCGGUACCCUCUUGAUCGGCGCAAUGCCAAAGCCACUUGGGGCUAUAUGGUCGUAUUCGAACCUUAGCUUAACCCCUUUGGUCCGGUUUACUGAUCUUAUUUGAAUCAGAAACCCACAACCGUUAAUUGCAAGGUUAAUUUUGUUUACCACCUAUUAUUUGCCUUAUUGAUUUUUUUGUCUCAAUUUCACAAAUAAUCAGCAUGGUCUUUUCACCGGCUGGACUAUUUGACAACAAGCCGCCAGGGCGUGAUAAUCAUUAAGUAUUCAGAAGCAUUGACUUCUCAAAAAAGAGAUCGGAUUAUCAACUUCAUCACCCGGGUCAUUUAAACUGGUGUUCAGGAGAUCAAAGGUACAAGUGUGGCUAUUGUUUAUGAACAGUUGCUUUCUGUAUUAAGCAAAGGUUAUUUCAGCCUUGUUUUCUUUUUACAUCUGGUUCUAUUUUAUCCUAUGAUAAAAAUAUUGGAUAUAAACCGGGUGUUCUGACCUGUUUGGUACUAAGCCGCCAAGCCAGUCUUUUCCUUUUUAUCUACAGGACCAGAGUUGAAGUAUUGCAGGGACAACCAUAAAUAUGAUGCAUAUAUUAACAUCAGAAAGCACAGAGUAACACACGGUUUCUUAUGCGUGAUGGCAUAGGCAGAAUAUGCAGUGUUUUCAAAACUAAUCUAUUACAAGGCUUUUACAAGCACAUGAAGAUGGUCAUCACUCCUCCCUCGCCGGUUCACCACCCUCUGCUGAUUGGAAGCUGGGCUUUGACCAAUCAAACCCGUUCAUAGCAAUAAAUUAUGCUUCUUCGUCAGUCAGGCCGGCUGGAUCAACUUCUGGAGCAAAUGUAUGUUCACAAACAGGCGGGAUUAAAUCGGUCACUUUGUUGGAGGGAGUCGCCAUAUUCUUAUUAUCCAAGUUAAAACCCGGCUGGUAUUUAUCGAUAUUUGUUUCAUCUCCAAGAAUGGUGGCCUGAGGUCGCACCUCCCUCACGCAAGCAAAGAAGUCUUCCUGUUCAAACAGUGACCCGUCUUCCUUUACUGUGGGGUACCCUCUGGCUACAUCUGUCGGGUCUAGAUCUGGCACCCAAGCCUUGGAGUGGCUUAGGGCAGUCAAAGCUCCGGCUCUGGCACAUGAGCACUUGACUUCUUGGAAUAUGGAGGGUAAGAUUGACAGCUUCUUUAAGACAUCACUGAGCCAGUUGGGUCCUUGAUUGGCGGGAGAAAUAGCGGCAAGUGCCCAUUGUGCCCCAAUGUACAAUUGCUCUACCAAGGUAUACACCGCCUAUAGUUUAAUCACAUUGUCUUGGCUCAAAUUCUUGCUUCGUGGGCCUGCACAUGUUAUAUAAACAAAGGAUCAGCCAGCGGUUUAUUUUCCAGGUCAGCAUAAGGUACAAAAGGUCAGUACAGAUGGCUUACCAAAGAUGGCGGACACCAUUUGAGAUACCCAGUUCUUUAAGCUGGCCAGCUCUGUAGUAACCUCCUCAAGAGCUGCUUCCACCUUUUUGGUGUGUUGUGUCAGAAGUGUUUCUCUUCAGUCCAGGUUUUCUUCUUGGUAGUCAAGAUGUUUUUCAGAUUUUCCGUCUCACCAAGACUUAAUUGAAGCUUGGAGUCGGCAUCCUUGAUUUCUGCCUCUUGAUCUGCCAACCGGGUCUUGGCGUCAGUCAAUUGUGAACCCAAUUCAGAUAGGGCGUUCUGCAAGACAUAUACGGGUGUAUUAAAUCUCAAAAUUCAAGAUUUAAGUCUCAAGUGUCUUUGCACUGCAAAGCCACUUGACACUUGGGGGCUAAUGUAUGCCAAAACUAAUUUUUAUGAUUCUACUAUACUUCAAGUCCCAAGUACUUUACAAAGUAACAACACUUGACACUUGGGGGCUAAUGUAUGAUAUUCAACAAGUAUCUCAAGGGUAAGCCGGACUAUAGUAUUUGUUGAGUUCGGCACAUGACGGUUAUGAAAAUUCAAAGAACCGACUCAUUUAUGGUCAACUGAACAGGCCGUUGGGGAAUAGAGGUGAAGCUUUGUUCUAUUUAAUUGAACUCCAAAAAAAUCGAAAGGUAAAGUCUAAGCCUAUAUCAUAAAGUCUACAGAUCAUUCUGGUUUUCUCAUAAUCUGAAGACUAGGGGGCUGGCAGAAUAUAAGUAAGUUGGAAGAACAUACCUCGUACUUCAUUUGCAACUGCUCGACCAUUUCGAUCUCUAAGUCACGGCUGGAGUGCACAUGGCUGAGAUAGCUGGAUAAUAUGUCAUCGACAUUCAGAUGGUCAUAAUGCAAAAUAUCAAAACACACUUUUUGUCUUUCCAGCGCAUCUUGUUUCGCAGUAUGACGAGCCAACAUGGUGGGAUUCCCCGGCUCAGUGAAGUGGCUCCCAGUGAUCAGAACUUGAGCAGACGAUGAUGGCGGGUUAGCCGAGCUGGAUGGUCAAGUGGCAGAUGGGUUAACGGUGGUAUCGUCAACCGACGGCUCAGGAGGAUUUACUUCUCCGUUGACAUGCGGGUCUUCUGGAGUGUCAGUUAACAGAGGAGAAGAGGGCAUGGCCGGUUCAGGGACAGGAACUGGCGGGUCUUCCACCGGCUUAGUUGCCUUUGCCUUCUUGGACUUACCUUGACCACUAAGAGAAAUAUUAUAGGACUGUUAGUAUAAAGAUAUAGUUUGAAAAACACGGAGGAAAGAGGAUUUUUUCCUUACCCAGGGGCACUCUUGAAGGCCGGAAACUGGGUCUGAGACGAGUCGCCAGAAGAGCGAGACAUCUCCUGCAAAGAUAAAGUAAAGUUAAGUAAUGCAAGGGAAAGGAUCUAUUAAGCAGAAAGUCGAAGACAAAGAACUAAACCUCAUUCCGGCGCUUUUGAGGAGUUUGUUGAAGAAUAAUAGGCGGUUCGUCUUCGUUCCAGGCUUGACGGCGGCUCUCAUCACUAAAAAAAAUACACUUCCGUGAUGAUACGUGUUUGUCACAGUAGGUCGCGUUUUUUUCAUGCAUGUACAUCCAUGACAAAUUUAUGACAGAAUCAAGAUAGUCAUACAUGUGCUGUCGUAGAAGUGUUCCAUGACAUUAACAAAAUUAUCAUCACGGAAGUGUCCACUUCCAUGACGAUAAAUCGCGCGUCACAGAAGUGCUUUCAUCAAGGGUGACCGACACGUGGCAUCCACCGUAACGGAAUGCCGUUAAGCUAUCGUGUCGGGUUUUGGAUCCGAUAACCCGUUAACAGCCCCAACCAAUGGGGAUUUUCCACGUGUAAAAUCAUCAUUGGCUGGAGGAGACACGUGUCAGGUCCGCGUUGGCACAGGUGUCACUCAUCCAAUGGGCGAGACGCGCCUAUGAUAUGUUGACACGUGGACCGACCAAUCAAGUUUAAAUGGGCCGGCCCAACUGAAGGCCCACAAGAUUUUGCGGACCAUAAUGGGCUGGCCCAGCUAAAGGCCCACAAGAUUUUGCGGGCCAUAAUGGGCCAGCCCAGGUAAAGGCCCACAAGAUUUUUGUGUGCCAUAAUGGGCCAGCCCAGGUAAAGGCCCACAAGAUUCUUGCGGAUCAUAAUGGGCCGGCCCAGCUAAAGGCCCACGAGAUUUCUCCGACAUUAAUGGGCCAGUCCAGCUAUAGGCCCACAAGAUUUUGAGGACCCUAGUAGGCCGGCCCAUUAACUGACUGCCAUGUUUUGGGCCAAAUGCCGGCCAUAUUUGAUCCGGUCCAUUAAUGGCCUGCCAUGCUCCGGGCCUAAUAGUGGCCCAUAUGAGAUCUGGCCCGUUAAAAGCCUACCACGUUCUGGGCCAAAUUACGGCCCAGAUCAGGUCCGACCCUUUAAGAGGCUUUGGGCUCAAUUAUGGCCCAUAUCAGAUUCGGCCCGUCAACUGGACACUAUGCUUUUGGGCCCACUUGUUGAAGGCCCACUUAGUAAUUCGGCCUGAAUUAGUUUUGGCCUGUUAAGUGCCCAUUUAAAAUUUCGGCCCAAUAUUAAGUUUGGCCUGUUAAAAGCCCAUCAUAUAGUUGGACCUAACUACGACCCGGUUUGCAUCCGGCCUGCUCGCAGUCGAUAUCUGAUUUGGGCCAAACAAGGACCGAGGCAAUUUUGUCCUGUUAAAAGCCUGUGAUUUGAUUCGCACAAUAAUGGGCCAUGGUUCAUUUCGGGCUGCUGCCGGCCCGUGAGCUGUUCGGCAUGUUUCAGGCCAGCUAAAAACCUGGCCCGUUAGAGUUGAAUGUUUCGGUCCGGUGGACUGCAUCUGUUUUUUUUCAGGUAGCGAUUGAUGGCAGUAACUAGUUGGAAUUAAGAACAAACCUACUCUAUACAAUAAAGAAAUUACGGCAUAGUAACUAAGAAUAAACCUACACUAUACAAUAAAGAAAUUACGGAUUUAAGGUAUAUUACAUCCACUGGGCAUCGAAGUUCGCCACCAGUGAUCAUAAAGCGCAAUGAAGAAGCAGAUUACAAAAACUGGGCACCAUUGCAGCGUAACAAAAUAAUACUGAACCGAGACCACUUCCAAGACAAUUAAAGAAAGGUUAGCCUUGCGAGUGAACUGCUGCGCAAGCUGCUGAGCAAGGCUGUGAGACCGUCCUAGCAUGUCGGUCAUAGCUUCCAGGUAUAGCUGUUUAGCGAUGAGGUUCUGAUUGGUGUUCUCCACAAUCUUUCUUAGAGAUAGGACUUCAAGUCGAACUUGAGUUGUAGAAUGCCUUUCUGCUAGAACUUGGGACUGAAGAAGUCGAACUGAUUGAGACAACGAAUUAUGUGAGCUUGUCUGACUGUUAGUCUCAAGUAACUUGAACACUGCAUCAAGACAAGACUUUGGGGUUGUCUCGCUAUCUUCAAGAUGUUUUGCCUUCUUUGCUGCAAUAUAUGUUGGGUUUGUCUCACAUCCUUCAUCAAACUUGUGCAUGCCAUCAGGCAUAUCACCCUGAAACAAAGCAGAGAGAUGACAGGUUUUGCACGUGUAUAACAAAGAUGAUAAUUGUUCUGUCAAUUCUAUCCAAUUUCAAAUUAGAAAAUAAAGAGUAAGUUCAAAAUAUCAAUAGCAUAAUUUGGCAUUGUUCAUAAUGCGGGGAGCUUCACCACACUACUAGAUUACCAUGUCAACAUAACAAGCAUAGAUGAAGGGCAAAGAAAAUCAUUGUAUCUAUUUUGGAUAAUGUGCAUGGCAUGUUGUUCAUAUCAUCAGCCACAUCAGUAAGAUAAAACAGGAGAUGACAAGGUGCAAAUGUGGGCUGCUUCACCACACACUGGAUUAUAGAUCCACAAAAACUAGCAUACAUAUAGGGAGUAUUAAGUAAUGUGCAUGGUAUGAAUAAGGAAUUUGGUUUUACAAGUAAAACUUAGAACUUACGGUUCUUACAAACAUGCAUUUUGGUAGAAACAGCAAACUAAACAGCAGUAAACGAUAGGGAGUAUGAGCAAAUGAAACAGCAGUUGAGGAUAAAGGCUUUAGAAGUACCGACUUACAUUAACAGUUAACACCGGCUUUGUAAUGCCCUUCUCCAUGUCAAGGGAAGGAUAACUCAAGAAUUUCAGCACAUAAUCUUCUUCAUAAGCAUUGCCUAUACUCUACAUUUUGUAGAGAGUAACUAUAGAUAUGAUAAUACUGGAAGGGAUAGAGGAUAAUGAAGAUAAGAUGUAGAUUGAUGCUACAUAAUCAAUUACCAAUCCCUGGAAGUACAAGCGUUACAGGACAAAAUGUACUGACAAGAGAAAUGGGCUACACUUCUGCAUUGGCAUUGUCUAUGUAUUCUACUUGUUGGUAAGAUUAAAUAUAGAUCUGAUCUUUUUUAGUAAAUGGUGGGCGAGGGAGAUAAGAUGCAGAAUGCUACAAAAUGAACCAAUCCCUCUUCCCAUAAUUCAAGAGUGUUUUGAACACUUGUGUACUGUACAAAACGUUCUUAUAUUAUGGGACAGAAAGAGUAGCUGUUAAUGUAAGUAGAGUGAUAGACCACGUUCAGUCCUUACAAGAGGACUGCAGAGCUAAACCUCUUCAAAAGCAUUGGGUUGAUUCUAAAUUUAUGUAAGAGUCCAUAUGGAUCUUAUAAGGUCCACCAAAUGGACGAUUACGAGGCUAACAUGUGCAGUGAUGCUACAUAAUCAAACAGCUAUGAAAGUAAGUAUGGUCAUACAGGGCAAGAGGUACUCACAAGAGAAAUGAAGUGUGCAGUAUAGUUGCGAGAUUCUGUGGUCCCUUGAGAACGAAUGUUAUUCUGCUAACAGUUUUCGUACAAGUGAGACAUUAAGGCAAAUGUAGAAAUGUAGUUCAAAUUGUGAUGUGAUAUCAUAUACAGUACCUUACGCUGCAGCCGAGACCAAUGUGUAACAAGAUUAUUCCCGUCACCGUCGGAUAAAUGUAGCACCGGUGACGUUAUAGAAAUUUCGUUCAGAGGCUUUCCAUCGAAGUGAGCUUGCCUCAGGUAGGAACGAUACUAUAACAACGAGUGCUUGAAAAGCGCAACCAACCCUUGCUCGUCAUCACAAUCCAGUUUGCUCCUCGCCUAUUUAAAAGAAUGAAAUCUUGUGUAUUCUGUCAGUAGAAAAAUAUGCAGUAAUGACCAUGGAUAACAUUAGUACAUUACUUACGCGUAAGUUGCGGAGGAAGACUGGAAAUUGUUCCAUGUCUGCGGUAUAAUCUUUCCAUGAAGGAAAGAUGCGCACAAAGUUCCUGACAACAACAUAAGCUUCGUCUUCUAAACUGGGAAGAAAUGGAACAGGGGUCCUAUUUGCUGCAAUUAGGGAUCUCUCUCGUUCGAAAAGGAUUUGGCAACUGGAUUUGGUGUACUCUUUGCUGGAAUGGGGGGUUUUGCGUCGUACAACUGGUGCUAUGUCAAUUGGCAUAAUCAUAUUGUUUGCUGCAGUUGGGGUCUGCUGAGUUGGGGCAUCAGAAAUGACCAGUGUAGUAGGGCUAGAGUCUGCUAGAGUUGGGGUAUUUUGUGGGUCAGGUUAUAUUGCAACUACACCUAAUGGGCUAUUUGAUUUAUCAGGUGCCACUACCUUUUCCAAAUACUUUGCUUGUGCUCCUCCACGAUCAGGAAUCGCCCUCUUCCUUUUGAACGUCUGAUACACAAGAACAACAUUUGAAUGGAUAAAUAUGGUAUGAUGAUAGAUGGAAUAUGUAUUGAAAAUGGAUAGGAAGGGCGUAUUCACAUGCACGAUGUGUAAACUAAGCUAAUGGCAGUUCAACAAAGUAGAAGCAAUGCAAAGCAUCAGUUGCAAGAUAUGUGCGAGGAAUGUAACCUUGGAAAGUUAGAGCACGUACCUUGAUGGGUGAAUAAGAUAGGGCAUCUUCCUCUGACUCCUCCACUAGGGAGCUACAUUGACUUAGGUCACCCUCUAGCUCAGAAUCACUGUUAUGAUCAUAUUCUGAACAUGAAUCUAUAGGUGGAGAGCGUUUGCAUUGCACUGCAUCCAUACUUGAUUUCAGUCCGUUAAUGCCAAGUUUGACAGCCAUGGCAUUGUUAUGCUUGUAUUCUUUUCAUGUGCGCAAGCUCAUAAUCAUUAUGAUGCUGUUCAGAAUCUGAGAUUCAUGAAAACAUAAAAAGUAGUCAGAUUAUCUAUUCCGAGGGCCGGAAUUUUGAAAACCCUGUGAACUUUAGAGGUACUAAAGAUUAUCGAAAUACAUCUGAACCAUUAAGUGUAGGUAGCACUGAGCACACAACAAACCCUAAUGACAGUCCUGCCUAAUGAGUAAUGAAUCAAUUAGAAAAUGGGUGAUGAGGAGUGGCUGCUGAGUGUUGAGGACAUAUCUUAGGAUCAAUCGGGUUGGCUUGGUGGGUGCUGCAUGCCUGAGCCCUGAACGGACUGGGAAGGUAGGCACGGCGGCGCGCCCGGGCAGCGGUGACGCUGUUGGGUGAGCGGCUCCUGGCCUCCUGUUAGUCCAGCGUCUCCUCCUAUAGUCAUGCCGUCCGGGGAUGGCAAGUCGCCGGUGAGGUAGGCGGCUGGGGGUGAGUAGAGAUCGGAAGCGCGCAACAGAACAGAGGGGAAUCGGGGCCUGGGACGACCCAAAAUCCCAGGGUGGGCCGGCCCACCGUGGGCACCCUGUAGAGAUACACACCCGAGCGAUGAACAUGCAUUUUCGAAACUAAUUUAGGAACAUUUAGCUGACCAAUUAAACAACUCGGUUUUAAUAAUAUCAUAUUCGUAUUUGAACAACUAAGCUUGUUUAGCUUGAUGGGUGGAGCAGUGUUAUUAUGACAGAAGCACGUAUUCUGAUGGUAUAGUGAUCGUAAAAGAGGGAAACUCUAAGCAUAUAUUUUUAGCAAAAGAGGGUUUCCCCUCCAAUUUCUAUUAAAGAAACCACCAUGGAACCAACAUGAUCAAUUAAAUCGUAUUAUGGCUGUGCCAUGGAACAUUUGAAGCUGCAAACCAAAGAAAUGAUAUUUAGCAUCCAUUGUUUGCUUCGAACUAAGAACUAAAUUCUAAGAGCUGAAAAGAAAGUAGAGUAACCAAGUUAAGAUCUAUUUUCUGGUUGAGAUCAAAAAGUUGAGGAGAUAUGAAGUACCACCUCUCUUGCGGCACCGUGUCGGCAUCGGGGGUGUGAUGGCUGUCGGUGCCAUUGAAGCAGAUCUGCGACGGUAGACGGGUGCAUUGGGGGAUAAGUCCCAUUGCGGUGGAAGAGAAGGUCAUGUGAGUGGCCCCGGCAAAGAGGACGACGGCGCCGAUGAAGCGGGAGGACGUGAUGCAAGGCUAUUGGUCCGUCGCCGUGGAUGAGAAACGUCCAUCUCUAGCAGUGGACGACACGGUCUUGGUAGGCGCUCCGGCAUGCUGGAGGACAGUGGCGAUGGAUGUGGUGGAGGACGGCGGCGAUCGAUGGGGUGGCGGACAGAGGCUGGUGUGGGGAUGUGGUGUUCUAGCGCGGACUGUGUAUGAAUGGGAAAUGGAGGGAGAGGUAUGGGGAACCAUGUUUAUGGGACGCGCCUGUCUGAAAUAUGAUAAAAUUAGGAACUUAUCCCCCGUUUAAAAUUUGGACGUCUCGUCGGUUGGGGAUAGGACGGUAAUCUCGCAUCUCGCCAAUAUUUGCCCAGAGUGAUUUCGAGCGAGGAGAGGGUGGUUGGCGCCCAUGGUUAGGGCCUACGGUGUAUGAAUGGGGCUGACAGGUAGGGCGGUUGUGUCAUGUCUGAGUGAAGUUACAAACCUGCCCCUAUUGAAAAUAUUUGCCUACAUCGAUUUCAGCCGAGUCGAGUUUGUUUUGCCGCCCACCGUGUAUGAAUGGGUAAUGGAGGGAGAAACAGAGCUCUUUCGGACGAGCUUGAUUCAAAUAAGUUUUGUCGCCCAUGUUUGACGCCCACCGUGUCGGAAUGGGCUCAGAGGCGGUCGUGUCACGUCUAAUUGAAGUUACUAACCUACCCCUAUUUACAGCGGUGGAAAUCGGGCCGAUGGAUUGUCUGUGUAAUGGGUAGACAGUAAUUUCCAUCUCCCAAACACUGGCUUCGGGCAGCCGAUGUGGGAGUGGACAUUUUGCUGCUUCUUUCGAAUUUUGGGACAAUAAUCAUCCACGUUUACCCUGGCAACUAAAUUCGAAUCCAUUUUGUAUUCCUAUAUGAAUCUUUAUAAAUCAUUCUAUGUGUUUUUAUAUAUCUUCAAAUGGAUGACAAAGAUGUAUUCCACUGUCAUAUAUGAAUAUGGUUUACAAAUGGCGAUACUCAAAUUCGGAAACUAGAAUCCAGUUUAAGGUGAAUUCGAAUAUUUGGAACACUUCAUGUCCAACUCAAAUGUCACACACAGCAUAAUGUGUACUCCCAUUUAGAUAUGUACACAAGCGAUGUAUCAAGAUUCAAAUACCGAGUCAAUCAACCAAGAAUGUACAGAACUAACAGACAUAUAAACACUUAUAGAGUAUAUGGAUCAAUAAUAUCAACUAACAUACAUAAGCUAAGCCGCUGUACUUUUUUUUGGCUACAACAUCAUCCUUUUUUAGCCAGCAUGUUGGCCCUUUCCGAUUCGUGCCACUUAUGGUCCAUCUAUACUACUACUAUUGCUGAAUGCACAUUCAGCCCGAUUGGCAUAUUUGUAGGCCUGGCACAGCAAUCCAAAUGAAAUGUUUCCGAGUCUUAUCAAUUAAUACAGACUUGUGCUCAAAUAAAAUUACAAACCAAAAAAACAAUUAUUACAUGAUCUCUAAAACAAAUGGUUUGAUUGAUUACAUUAACACACAACACAAAGGUUAUUCAACUAUGGAAAGAACAUUUCACCUAUGAUGUACCAAGUAGGAAUUUAAUUUCCUUUUUUCCUUCAGGACCUUAACAAUCUGGUCAGUCUCAGCUUGCUUCGUUUUAAAAUCCAUCAAAUUUUUAAUGGUUGUCUUGAGUACUGCUUGUGAUUAUAUUGUUUGCUUCCUCAAAAUGUCAACUUCAUCUCUGAGUGCAGAAGCAGAAUUUCUUUCUACCACUAGUUUAGCCUUUAGAGCAUCAGCAGUUGGAAAUUCAUAAUGCACGAUUGGGCCGGUGCCACUGCAGUGAGAUGAUGCAACGUCCAUGAGGACCUCGCUCUUUGAUCUUGGGCUAACUUGUUUUGCCAUUAAAGUUCCGAUUGGAUUCAUAAAAGUUUAAGUUAGCAAAACAUCUCAACUGGGAGUUAUAACAACAAACCAGUUAAACAAACAAGGAAUUAAAGAGUUUUAAUUGGAUGCUGAAAUGUAGUUAUUAACAUCAUUGUCACCCGCUGUUGCAGCAGCAAAGUAGUUAAACAAACAAGUAGAUAUUUAAUUUAAGGCAAACAUGUAAUUCUUAAUAGUAAGUAUCAAACACAUAGAUAGGCGCAGUCUACGAUAUGAUUAACAGGUUGUACCAUUAUGUAAUCAGUAGCAAACUGAAUUAAGCCAAGCAACAUAAUUGAACAAUUUGGCAAUAAGUGCCUAACUAAAAUUCCGAGAAGCUGGUAACUGAACUUACGCUAGUUCUUUGUACAGGCACACUGCAACUUCUUUUUCGCUUACAAGAUUGUACUAAGGAGUCCAUGGCAUCAAUUUCUUGGAUACGCAGUCCCAAUACUUCUUUCUUUCCACACUACAUGGGUAAGUCGAAUGGUUAAUCUGGUAAGAUGGUGUGUCCUUGUUAUUAUAUAUGAAGACGUGUAGUCAGACUAGUUGUGGCCAAACACAUCACACUGGCUUUUACUGUAUAUUUUAUGCGAUUACUUUUGGCAUAUCAAGAUCUAAGCAAUCUACAAUAGGAUGAAAAGACUGGCAUCCUUCACAUUAUUGGUGAACUCAGUUCAUAGAAACAAGCAAUUCAACCAUUCUGUGGGUAAAUCAAAAGCGCCACUGGAAUAUUUUUCACUAUCCAAUCAUACAAGCAAAAAGGGGUGACGCCACCAUAGGGGCUGGUAUGGGCGACCGCCUCAGGUGGCUGGAAAGUGUGCACCUAGUUUGAGUCGUCCAGGUUGGCCCAUGCUAGUUUUGUUCGUCCCAACGCACGAGCAGGCAAUGUAAAAAAUGAAGAAAAAUGUUUCAAUUUGGACGGGCCAAUAACAUGAGUGCAAGGCAGGCCCUAUAGCAGGCUCGCGGCCCAAACGAGCGCCUCCCAUAUCGAUCGACAGCAGGAAAAAUUCCAAUUCAUUCGCUCUAGCCUCCAGUCUGGUUCGCUCCUAACCUAGCCGCGCUGGACAGACCGACACAGCCCUUCCUCGCGCCCUCGUUGGAGGGCGGUCACCAGGCUUCAAGCAAACGAAAGGACAAGAAGAUGAAGAUCCAACCCUGGGUGUAGCCUGCGUGGGAGGCAGCGGCGGCAGCACGGGCAUGGUAUCGUGCUUGCGCAAACGGACAGUCGCAGCUUGCAAGAGUAGCAUGUGCAACGAGCAGGUACAUCACAUCCCUGAUUAUAUCUAAUUCAACUCUUCAAUUUCUGGACAAAAGUUAAACCUGAUGGUGUUGUAAAACUGCUUGUAUAUAGGGAAUCUAUGAGAAAAUGAAACCAAUUUCUACUUAUUUUAUAACUCCCCCAAUCAAUACUGAACUGACUGAAUCUGAUGUAUCUAAUCAAGUUUCCGGUGCAAACAUACAAGCUCAUGUUGUUCUUGAGCCUGAAGUGUCUAAUGAACAAAUGGCUAAUGAAGGAUUUGAUGCAAACAUUUUACAUGCUCCUGGUGAUGAACAUAUAGUGUCUAAUGAGGGAUCUAAUGCAAGCAUUUUGCAAGCUCAUUGAAGGAUUUAGUGUCUAAUGAUGAUCUACUAUGUUGAGAGAGGCAGAGAUUUGCAGGCAUUGAUGACAAGCAAAUUAUAGUGCAUUUUCAUAGCUUGAGGAAACGUCGAGGCCAUCUACCAGAAAGUCCCCGUAUCAUGACAACAUAGCAUAAAUACUUUUCUAAUCUGUUGUUUGAAACUAUUGUCAUACUUGUGCAGGAUAGAUAUAUUGAUAUGCAGUUUGCGCACUGAUUAUACGUGUAAUUACACUUCGAUAUUUUCAGCCAGAGAACGAAUAAUUCAAGCAGGUACAAACCAUGUUUGUAGUCCUUGUACACCAUGUUGCAUUUUGUGUUUUUUGGUGCUUGCAUCAUUUAGUGUUUAUAAUCUGAACUACUUUGGAUCAUUAGCUGGUUUUCAAAGUGCAUGUAGCUUCACAUUUCUCAAGUUAUGUUGAUUUCCGGAGUGCUAGUGCCUUCGUAUUUUUUAAGUUAAAUGUUUGCCCCUGGUAACUUGAAUUCGUGGAUCACCCACUACACACAAAUCAUACAUGAAUGCUAGUACGAAUUAAAUGAAAUGCAGGGACUUACGCUAGAUCAUUGUACAGGCUCACUGCAGCUCUGCUUGCGAUUGGGAUGUUCCAUGUACAAGUCCAUGUUACCACUUGCUUGGAUGUGCAGGCCUUGUGCUCCUUGCAUCCACCUCUGCAUUUUUGACACGACGAAUGGUUGAUCAAAUAAGAGGAAUCAACCUUGAUGUUGUACCGGAGGAAAGAUACCUACAAGGUUAUACAGGUGUGAAGGAUGUGUACCAGAUCCCGUAGCGCCGUCAUGCUUCGCUAAAAAUGAAUUUGCUUGUUUCAGAUGAUAUCUCCAGAAGAAAUAAGAGUUAAGGUCAGAGUUUCAUAGGCGUGUAAGCUAAGAGAGCAGUGAAAGGAUAAUUAAGCUACGGGGAGCACCUAAUAUGAGCACCGGGGAGCCAUUUGAUUGAAGAUGCAGCGGCACACACGAGGCAUGAAUGUUUUAUUUGCAAAAAAAACCUUUUGAGACUUUGGAAAUUGGGCAUAAUUACAAAUACUACUCCCAAGCCAUUGGAUCUCACUUCCAACAGUGUAAAAACUCGUAUCACCAUAGUAUCUAAGCUGCGGGGUGGAUGUGAUAUUCUAUGCUGCUGUCAUUUUUGUUUAUAAACUUGCAAAAUACGUGUAACUCGUGCUGUUACUUGUCUAACAGUGUAAAGUGUUUGUUCAAAAAAAGCAUCCUACACUGAAAUAUUGGAACAACACACGGGGGUCCCACUUGUCAUUAAUCAAAUUGGGGCCUAAAACUAACAGAUCUGAAAGACGAGAUUCGAACUGGCAAUCUGGACUACAAAGCAUAAGUCGAUAGCCUGAAAAAACGAACAGUUGUUGGCUUUGUCCCAUAACUUGAUUUUAUAUAGUACUUGCAUUGAGUAGAGUAGAGGGAGUGCCUCGUCAACACGUGCAUGACCAUUGUCUCACUUACUGGUGGGUCCUAGGUCUGCGAUCUCAAUCUCUCUUCUCUCCAUCAUCUAACCUUUACACGGGCACACACGAAGAGCGGCGCUAGCUUGCCGUGGUGUUAUUACAACUAAAAAAGCUUGGAAAAUAGAAGAAUCGCCUAGAACCAGAGACGUUGUGGCUGUUCGAGACGGAGCUAACCACAUCUAUCCUCCGUGCCACGUUUGCAUGAUGAAGCUGUGUGGCUAGUAGGGUGUUUUUGACCGACUGGCUGGGUCCCGAGGUCGAACCAUAGGUACUAUGUCUGAUACAGUAUAUUUUUACACGCACAUUUUUCCUCCGUGCUGAGACAUGGCAAACCCUGCCGUGCGGUUUCGGGGUCCUCUCGGGUAGUGCACGCAUAUAUUCUUCCUGAUAUGGGAUGCCCUACUGAGCGUUUUCUGGGUCCUCCUUGGUUGUAGCACUGAAGCAAGUGAAUGAGUCGUGGAAUCACGAAAGACCACCUUUCCCGCCGAGUACAUUAGUGAAGCUCGGUGGCUAGCUAGUUGGGCUAGUUCGACCGAUUAGCUAGGCCGCCGCCACAUUUAUUUUUUCACCCCUUUUUUAUCUACUUGCCGGCAGGUAAAUUUAAAUAUCCACCGCGGCGUUGCUCUGGUGUUUGGCUGUCGCAGGAUUUUUAAUUUUUUGAUUGACGGGAGCAGGCGUGGCAGGAUUUUUUAAUUUUUUGAUUGACGGGAGCAGGCGCGAUAGCAAUUAGUCACGAUGACUCUGCCUGUAAAAACCCACUGCUCCCUCCGCCUUCUUGUAGAUUGCAUUGCCUUUCAGCCGUUUCACCCCCUUUGCUUCCUCUCCCCAUUUCUUCUACUUGGUGCCAUGGCGUCCCACAGAUCAUGGAGUCCGAGGUGAGGCUCCUGACACAGGAGCUCCAUGCCAAGGAUGCGGAGCUCAGGGCCAAGGACGUGGAGCUCCGUGAGCUCAAGGAGGAUAGGAGUGACAUGCUCCUCUGUUAUGUGAGGGAGUUCACGGAGUUUCAAAAGUGUCAGGCGUCCAACACAAAGAUGCUCGAGGCGUCGGCGGCGUUGCUGCAGAAAGCGGGAGAUACAAUAGGCCAUCAGGGGAGCCGGCUGGAGCGCGAGCGGGCCGAUCGUGACGAGGUCCAGGAUCGCCUCAGCCACUUGGUGAACCAAGUUGCCACGCACGUGUUGCAGCUGCGCGAUGCCUACCGUCGUGCCAGCGCGAUGAUGCCGGCCGUCGGGCUAAACCCGUUUGACCACCCGGUCGACUUCAACGAACUGCGGCUUCCUGACCUGGUCUCCUUCUUCACCUAUAUCUCCGAGGAGCUGAGCCGUCUCCGCGCGAUGGUGGGUGCUGGGCUGGACAAGGAGGGGAUGCGGGCUGCCGUCGCCGUUGCCGGGCGAAUCCUUUCAGGGCUCCGUCACCGGAAUUCAUUCUUGCUUCAUAUGGUUCAUGUUUCGUGGAGUACUGUAGCACCGUACUCUCCGUGCGCUGUGGACCUAGUUCUGUUAACAUUGAUCUCACCGUUCAUUUUCAACCAGACAGUCGGAAAAGCGGUACUAUGUUACAUAUAGGAGUAGUUGACAUGCGGACAACAUCAUUUGUUAUCGUCAUAUCUUACUACACUAGCAACAAGAUUGUGUAGUACUGACGUAUGAACCACUACACAUGCCUAGUCGUAGGAGCACUGUGUAUGUUCAUGUGGCUGCCGUGUUUCGCACUCCUCCAUCGUAAGAGUGGAAACACUUGCCGUAAUCAUUUUUUUCUUCAGAAAAAUAGUGGACAUGCUCUACCAUGCAGAUCCUCCUCCAGCCAUGCACUAAAUUACUCACUUUCAUCGACGUGUGGGACAGCCUGCACCUGGUGAUGUAGACACAGACCUAGGGUAGGGUAAUAGGCCUGACCUAUACGCCCCACAUAAAGUCUUGUCCUAAGAACUAAGAAGUUCAAGAAUCAGAAGUAGAGGACCCGCAAAGGUGUCGAGCAAAGUCCACUCGACCUGUCAAUCACUCGGAGACCUCUCUUACCCAGGUCACUCGACCACCAAACCACUCGACAUAUCAGAAGACCUAAAUCCGCUCUGCGCAGCAACGGUCAAGCAUUCAUUCACGUACUUAAUGAUCAUUUGUAGCAAUUUAAUAUAGGCGUUACCUGUAACGCCUCCUCUUAAUGCAUAUUGAACCCUGUGUAAUGGAGGGGAGUUGGGGUCCUGGCGUACUCUAUAUAAGGCACCCCCUUCUCUGGGACAAGGGUUCGCACCCCCUGUAACUCACACACGUAUAAUCCAGUCGACCGCCCCCGGGUUCCGAGACGUAGGGCUGUUACUUCCUCCGAGAAGGGCUUGAACUCGUAAAACAUGUGUGUACAACUCCUCCAUAGCUAAGAUCUUGCCUCUCAAUUCCUACCCCCAUAUUCUAUUGUCAGACUUAGAACCACGACAGUUGCACCCACCUUAGGGCCGGUGUCUUAGCGACUUGUUGGAGAAGUUGCGAUUUUUCUGAUCCCCUUCAUCAUGGUUUCAGGUGGAGUUUUGGCGGAGGGCCGCGAGAUCCGUCUCGGCGCGCUCACGUUCAUCGCCGACGACUCCGCUUGGCUUCAGGAGGCUCCGCUCGAUGUUGAUGCGCUCCCUGUACGCGGGGAAAUGCACUUUCGCCCGUGCGUCCGUGGCGUCCUCUUGUGGCAGCCGUCGACCCAGUAUCGGUCGGCCCCUGUGUCGUCCUCCCUCCCUGUUUCCCGCCAGCGCAAGCGCUCUGGUCGGUCGAGACUUCAGCGGUGGGUGAGACACGCGGUGGCUCGCCAGUCGGCCACCCCCCAAGUCGUGGCAAUCGAGCCCGACAAAUCUCUCUACGGCCUGUCGAACCGGAUCUGCAGAGACUGCUUCCGAGUGCGACAGCAGUGAUCCAGCGGCAGAGGUUGAUGGUCGACGAACCACGCAGUCCUCCCGGCUUUCCCUGCACCGACGGAGGCGACGGCAGAGGCGGUCCGUCGCAGGCCCAUGAAGAGUAUCUCCCCGAGCCCCUUACUUCGCUGCAGAGAGAAGAACUUCGCCGCCGGAACAUGGGUGCACUGCACACUCCUAUCGUUGGAGAAACCCCCGAAACCCGUGCCUUAGAGGACGCGCGCUUGGCCAACUUGGCUAAGCGUACUCGACUGGAGAACCUCCAGCGAGUACUCGACGAGCGUACGCGACAACGGAUUCCAACAUUUAGUCGACGUCAGCUCUUUCCGCCACCGACUCAGGUAUAUCGAACUCCGAUUCAGAAUUUAGCAGCUGCAUCCCGUAUAGCAGAGUCGAUUCAGCCUUCUCAGUCAGAGGCUGGCAGAGGCUUGUUACAGAUCAGCGCAUUACUCCGGGCGGCAGGAGAUCAAAAUUCAGCUGUAUCACAGUCGCGAGAUAGGAUCCACAACAGAUCUGUCGCUGUAGAUAGAGUCCAGUCGGCCCACAGCCCAAGAUCGCCCCCGAGGCAUGAGGGACAUGGGGAUCAGCGUGAUCAGAAUAGGAACCAUGAGCAGUAUGAUCAUUGACUCAAUCGAGAUGAUCGACGUCGAGUAACCACCCCUCCCCUAAGGAGUGGAUCGUACGUGCCUCGACAGCAGGAUGACAGACGCCCUCACUGUGUUGGGCGAAGGAUUCCAGUCGACCCCAGGGAACCAGGCUUUGAUGCGAGAUCCAUUCUCAUUCAGGGUUUGGUUGACAGGAACAGAGCCCACCGAGAAGGUCAUGACAAAGACAUACCCACCAGCAGCAGAGUACACAUCUUAGGACCGGAGUGCUUCAGCGGAGCCAUCAGGGCCGCGGUGAUUCCUCCCAACUUCAGGUUGGCGACUGGAGUCAGUAAGUUCACUGGUGUGUCCAAGCCUGAUACUUGGCUUAAGGAUUACCGAGUGGCUGUUCAGAUUGGCGGCUGUAACGAUGAAGUGGCAAUAAAACACCUGCCUCUUAUGUUGGAAGGUUCGGCCAGAGCAUGGCUGAAUCAGUUAGCACCCAGCAACAUUUACACUUGGGAAGAUUUUGCCCGAGUGUUUGUCAGAACAUUUGAAGGAACUUGCAAGCGACCAGAAGGGUUGACAGAGCUGCAAUGUUGCAUGCAGAAGCCGAAUGAAACUUUGAGGGCCUACAUCCAGAGAUGGAUCACAUUGCAUCAUACAGUAGAGAACAUAUCUGAUCACCAAGCAGUCUGUGCCUUCAAGGAAGGCGUUAAGUACAGAGAACUGAACCUGAAAUUCGGUCAAACCAGAGACAUGUCUCUGAGUCGAAUGAUAGAGAUUUCCACCAGGUAUGCCAAUGGUGAAGAAGAGGAUCGGCUCCUGAGUGGCAAGCACAAGUCAGACGCCCACGAAACCGGAGGAGGGAACUCCAGUCGGAAGCAGAAGCGGAAAGCUGAACCAGCUGCUCCUGGGGAAGCCUUGGUCAUGACUCAAGGAAAGUUCAAGGGGAAGCCCAAAGGGCCUUGGAACCCCAAGAAGGUGAAAGACCAAGACGGAAAUGAUGUGUUGGAUCUACCAUGUCACAUUCACACAAAGAAAGAUGAAGAAGGUAAACUCAUUUAUCCGAAACAUACCACUCGACAGUGUCGGCUUUUGAUCCAGCAGUUCCAAGGGAAACAACCCAAUGAUAAGGAAAAGGAUUCAGACAAAGUUGAGUACAAGGAAGAUAGUGAUGAUGGGUACCCCCAGGUCAAUUCUACACUGAUGAUUUUUGCUGAUGUUGAAAGCAAAAGUCGAUUGAAAGUUAUCAACCGAGAAGUGAAUAUGGUCACUCCGGCGACACCCAGUUAUUUGAAAUGGUCUCAGACUGCCAUCACAUUCGACCAGUUCGAUCACCCGACGCACAUAGCCACCCCUGGGAAGCAAGCUUUGGUGGUCGACCCAAUUGUUGAAGGCACUCGACUGACCAAAGUUUUGAUGGAUGGAGGCAGUGGCCUGAACAUACUGUAUGCAGAGAAGUUGAAAGGGAUGGGCAUUCCGAUGUCCAGACUCAGUACCAGCAACAUGAGUUUCCAUGGAGUCAUUCCUGGAAAGAAGGCUAAGUCACUCGGCCAAAUUGCUCUUGAUGUGGUUUUCGGUUAUUCCAAAAAUUACCGCAAAGAAAAGUUGACGUUUGAAGUCGUGGAUUUCCAGAGUGCUUAUCACGCUAUUUUGGGAAGGCCAGCUUAUGCAUGAUUCAUGGCUCAACCAUGUUAUGUGUACCUCAAAUUGAAGAUGCCUGGUCCCAGAGGUGUGAUCACUAUUACGGGCAAUCAGAAGAAGGCGGAAGAGUGCUUUCAGAAAGGCUCAAAGAUCGCCGAUGCUCAGAUGGCAGUGGUAGAGCUGCAGGAAUACCAAAAAACUGCAGACCUGAGUGAUUUGUUGCAAGCCAAGAAGCCCGCUACAGAAUCAGCGUUCAGUCGUCCGGUGAGACAAAGCCGAUUCACAUUCACCCAACUGACCCCAGUGCUGCUCCGACUCAUAUCUCUGCGACACUCGACUCCAAAUAGGAAGAAGCGCUCAUCCAGUUCCUCCGUGAGAACUGGGACAUCUUCGCAUGGAAGCCUUCUAACAUGCCGGGUGUUGCCAGGGGGCUGGCUGAGCACCGUCCAUGAGUCAACUCAAAAGUGAAACUUGUCAAAGAACAUCUUUGACGGUCCGCCGUCCAGAAGAGAAAGGCCAUUGGCGAGGAGGUGGCUCGGCUCUUAGCAGUAGAGUUUAUCCGAGAGAUUUACCACUCCGAGUGGCUCGCCAAUGUUGUCAUGGUCCCCAAGAAGGACAAGUCACUUCGCCUGUGCAUUGACUUCAAGCAUAUCAAUCGGGCCUUCCCAAAAGAUCAUUUUCCUCUCCCCCGCAUCGACCAGAUAGUUGACUCGACUGUGGGAUGUGAGCGCCUAUCUUUUUUAGAUGCCUAUUCCGGUUACCAUCAGAUCUGUCUGUAUGGUCCCGACGAGAUCAAAACAGCUUUCAUCACUCCAUUCGGGUGCUUCUGUUAUGUUACCAUGCCAUUCGGCCUUAAAAAUGCCGGAGCCACAUUCAUGAGGAUGAUUCAGAAGUGUUUGCUCAUUCAAAUCAGUCCAAAUGUGGAAGCAUACAUGGAUGAUAUUGUGGUCAAGUCACGGAAAGGUUCCGACCUGCUGACUGACCUUGCUGAGACAUUUGCCAACCUCAGGAGGUAUGAUAUCAAGCUUAACCCAUCAAAGUGCACAUUCGGAGUUCCUGGCGGAAAGUUACUCGGUUUUCUUGUUUCCGAACGAGGAAUCAAUGCCAACCCAGAAAAAGUCGGUACUAUACUCCGAAUGAAGCGCCCUGUGCGCGUGCACGAUGUCCAGAAGCUUACUGGUUGCUUGGCCGCUUUAAGUCCAUUUCUUGUCUCAGUGAAAAGGCAUUGCCUCUUUACCGAUUGAUGAAGAAGUCAGACAAGUUCGAGUGGACUCGUGAAGCUGAUGCAGUGUUUGGAGAGCCAAAAGCCCUGCUCUCCACCCAGCCGGUGCUUGCUGCCUCAAUCAGAAAGAGCCUUUGCUGCUUUACAUUGCAGCCACGGGACAAGUCGUCAGUUCAGUACUUAUGGUCGAGCGGGAAGAAGAAGGAAAAACCUUUAAAGUCCAGCGCCCAGUAUAUUAUGUUUCUGAAGUUUUGAGCCCAUCAAAGCAAAGAUAUCCUCAUUACUAGAAGCUUGUAUAUGGGAUUUAUAUGACCACGAAGAAGGUUGCACAUUACUUCUCUGACCAUUCCAUUACAGUCGUCAGCGACGCUCCAUUGUCAGAGAUUCUACACAACAGAGAUGCAACUGGUCAAGUGGCAAAAUGGGCGAUUGAACUCCUUCGCCUAGAUAUCAGGUUUGAGGCAAAGAAAGCUAUCAAGUCCCAAGCAAUAGCUGAUUUCGUCGCCGAGUGGAUUGAACAGCAACUGCCGACUCAAGUUCACUCAGAGCACUGGACUAUGUUCUUCGACGGUUCUAAGAUGCUGAAUGCUUCUGGUGCUAGGGUAGUAUUGGUUUCCCCCCGAGGACAUAAGCUCAUAUAUGUUCUCCAAAUCCACUUUGAUUCCUCCAAUAACGAAGCAGAAUAUGAAGCACUUUUGUAUGGGUUGCGCAUGGCCAUUUCACUCGGCGUCCGUCGCCUCAUGGUCUAUGGCGACUCAGAUUUGGUGGUGAAUCAAGUAAUGAAGGAGUGGGACGUCAGAAGUCCAGCCAUGACUGGUUACUGCAAUGCAGUGAGAAAGCUAGAGAAGAAAUUCAAGGGGUUAGAGCUGCAUCAUAUACCCCGACUAAAAAAUCAAGCAGUUGAGGAUUUGGCAAAAAUAGGUUCCAAGAGAGAAGCCAUUCCCAGCAAUGUGUUUCUGGAACACAUCCACAACCAUCAGUUCAAGAGGAUCCUUUCACCAAAGAAGCCCCGCUGCCUAAAAGUGCCACGGAUCCGACUGAAGUUGAGGUUCCAGCAGUGGUCGACCUGAUCAUGGAAGUUUUGGUCAUCACUCCCGACUAGACAGUGCCGUACAUCGCGUACAUCCUAAGGAAAGAACUCCCAGAGAAUGAAGAAGAGGCUCGACAGAUCGUCCGUCGAUCUAAGGCCUUUAUUGUGAUAAAGCUACAGUUGUACAUGGAAAGCAUGACUAGAGUCGGUCAAAAAUGUAUAACACCAGAAGAAGGUCAAAUAAUUCUUGAUGAUAUCCACUCAGGGACCUGUGGCCAUCAUGUGUCCUCUCGGACCAUCGUGGCUAAAGCAUACCGAGCGGGAUUUCACUGGCCAAAAGCAAAUGAAAUGGCAAAGGAGAUAGUAGACAAAUGUGAAGGAUGUCAGUUCUAUUCCAAUAUGUCGCACAAACCCGCCUCAGCCUUGAAGACCAUUCCACUCAUCUAGCCCUUCGCUGUUUGGGGAUUGGAUAUGGUUGGACCGCUAAGAACUGGUAGGAGCGGCUUUACCCAUGUGCUGGUGGCAGUCGACAAAUUCACUAAAUGGAUUGAAGCUAAACCUAUCAAGAAUCUUGAUGCCUGCACUACUAUCAGCUUUAUCAGAGAGUUGAUAUUCAGAUAUGGAGAGUUGAUAUUCAGCUUUAUCAUAGCAUCAUCACUCACAAUGGGUCAAACUUUGAUUCCAACAAGUUAAGAGCUUUUUGCGCCUCUCAAGGCACACGAGUCGACUACGCGUCAGUCUAUGGAGCUGAAGCAGUUUUGCCGAGUGACUUGCUUCACAAUGCACCCCGAGUCGAACUCUACUCUGAGGAUGAAGUAGAACAAGCCCGGAAGGACGCAGUCGACAUCCUAGAAGAGGAAAGAGAGAUGGCCAUGAUCCGAUCGACCAUCUAUCAACAGGACUUGCAUCGAUUACAUGCGAGAAAUGUGAAGAGUCGAGCCUUCCAAGAAGGAGACUUGGUCCUUCGAGUGGAUCCACAGAAACCACACAAGCUCGCUCCUACUUGGGAAGGUCCUUUCAUCGUCACCAGAGUUCUCCACAAUGGAGCAUACCAUCUUUACAAUGUCGAUCGCCAGAUUGAUGAGCCACGAGCUUGGAAGGCGAAGCUGCUCCGCCCCAUUUAUACUUAAGUACUCACUCGGAUGAGAUGUAAUAAGAGAGACCUUUGUAGUUUAUUUAUCAAAAGACAAAAGUGUUAUAAUUUUCCCAGUGAUUGUUGUUGCUUUGUUUUACGUGAGAAAUCCCCAGUGGGUGGCUUAGCCGCGAAUCCGUUUCGCCUAAGUUCGUAAAAAUCCUACCGAGUGGUGAGCAAGGCUCUCACACGGGGGCUUAGCUGCGAAUCCGAUUCGCCUAAGUUUGAAAAAUCCUACCGAGUGGUGAGCCAGCCUCCCACUCGGGGGCUUAGCUGCAGUCCAAGUACUUGCCUACGUUUUAAAAAUCCCACCGAGUGGUGAGCCAACCUCCCACUCGGGGGCUUAGCUGCAGUCCAAGUACUCGCCUAAGUUUUAAAAUCCUACCGAGUGGUGAGCCAGCCUCCCACUCGGGGGCUUAGCUGCAGUCCAAGUACUCGCCUAAGUUUUAAAAAUUCUAUCGAGUGGUGAGCUAGCCUCCCACUCGGGGCCUUAGCUGCAGUCCAAGUACUCGCCUAAGUUUUAAAAAUCCUACCGAGUGGUGAGCCAGCCUCCCACUCGGGGGCUUAGCGGCANNNNNNNNNNNNNNNNNNNNNNNNNNNNNNNNNNNNNNNNNNNNNNNNNNNNNNNNNNNNNNNNNNNNNNNNNNNNNNNNNNNNNNNNNNNNNNNNNNNNNNNNNNNNNNNNNNNNNNNNNNNNNNNNNNNNNNNNNNNNNNNNNNNNNNNNNNNNNNNNNNNNNNNNNNNNNNNNNNNNNNNNNNNNNNNNNNNNNNNNNNNNNNNNNNNNNNNNNNNNNNNNNNNNNNNNNNNNNNNNNNNNNNNNNNNNNNNNNNNNNNNNNNNNNNNNNNNNNNNNNNNNNNNNNNNNNNNNNNNNNNNNNNNNNNNNNNNNNNNNNNNNNNNNNNNNNNNNNNNNNNNNNNNNNNNNNNNNNNNNNNNNNNNNNNNNNNNNNNNNNNNNNNNNNNNNNNNNNNNNNNNNNNNNNNNNNNNNNNNNNNNNNNNNNNNNNNNNNNNNNNNNNNNNNNNNNNNNNNNNNNNNNNNNNNNNNNNNNNNNNNNNNNNNNNNNNNNNNNNNNNNNNNNNNNNNNNNNNNNNNNNNNNNNNNNNNNNNNNNNNNNNNNNNNNNNNNNNNNNNNNNNNNNNNNNNNNNNNNNNNNNNNNNNNNNNNNNNNNNNNNNNNNNNNNNNNNNNNNNNNNNNNNNNNNNNNNNNNNNNNNNNNNNNNNNNNNNNNNNNNNNNNNNNNNNNNNNNNNNNNNNNNNNNNNNNNNNNNNNNNNNNNNNNNNNNNNNNNNNNNNNNNNNNNNNNNNNNNNNNNNNNNNNNNNNNNNNNNNNNNNNNNNNNNNNNNNNNNNNNNNNNNNNNNNNNNNNNNNNNNNNNNNNNNNNNNNNNNNNNNNNNNNNNNNNNNNNNNNNNNNNNNNNNNNNNNNNNNNNNNNNNNNNNNNNNNNNNNNNNNNNNNNNNNNNNNNNNNNNNNNNNNNNNNNNNNNNNNNNNNNNNNNNNNNNNNNNNNNNNNNNNNNNNNNNNNNNNNNNNNNNNNNNNNNNNNNNNNNNNNNNNNNNNNNNNNNNNNNNNNNNNNNNNNNNNNNNNNNNNNNNNNNNNNNNNNNNNNNNNNNNNNNNNNNNNNNNNNNNNNNNNNNNNNNNNNNNNNNNNNNNNNNNNNNNNNNNNNNNNNNNNNNNNNNNNNNNNNNNNNNNNNNNNNNNNNNNNNNNNNNNNNNNNNNNNNNNNNNNNNNNNNNNNNNNNNNNNNNNNNNNNNNNNNNNNNNNNNNNNNNNNNNNNNNNNNNNNNNNNNNNNNNNNNNNNNNNNNNNNNNNNNNNNNNNNNNNNNNNNNNNNNNNNNNNNNNNNNNNNNNNNNNNNNNNNNNNNNNNNNNNNNNNNNNNNNNNNNNNNNNNNNNNNNNNNNNNNNNNNNNNNNNNNNNNNNNNNNNNNNNNNNNNNNNNNNNNNNNNNNNNNNNNNNNNNNNNNNNNNNNNNNNNNNNNNNNNNNNNNNNNNNNNNNNNNNNNNNNNNNNNNNNNNNUUAGCUGCAGUCCAAGUACUCACCUAAGUUUUAAAAAUCCUACCGAGUGGUGAGCGAUCCCCCCACUCGGAGGCUUAGCUGCAGUCCCAGUACUCGCCUAAGUUUUAAAAAUCCUACCGAGUGGUGAGCGAUCCUCCCACUCGGAGGCUUAGCUGCAGUCCAAGUACUCGCCUAAGUUUUAAAAAUCCUACCGAGUGGUGAGCGAUCCUCCCACUCGGAGGCUUAGCUGCAGUCCAAGUACUUGCCUAAGUUUAAAAAUCCUACUGAUUGGUGAGCGAUCCUCCCACUCGGGGGCUUAGCUGCAGUCCAAGUACUCGCCUAAGUAUUCUCCACCUUAGAGCUGCAUUCCAAGCACAAAGAGUAUUCCGAGUAAAAAACAAAUUCCAGUCGAAAGCAAACACGAGCAUAUUCAGAAAUAAGCCAAGUUGGGAUAAACCCCAAGGUUCCAGACGGCAGAUCAAAAGUAUUGGAACAUCAAGCCCAAAGAAGUUUAACAGUUACACAAUCACUCGGCAUUCCGAGGCAAAUAAAAGUGGAGCAUAAUGUUUUUCGGUCACGCAUUAGGAGAAGGACUGGCUGGGUCGAAGAAACUGUCGAGGUCAAUGCUGUCUACAAUGCGAGUGGUGGCCUCAAGGAAGGUGUCCAUGAAAGACUGGAACGUGUGCUUCCUCGUGUUAGCAACCUUGAGCUCCGCCAGCUUGUGUUCUUUUACAUCCUUGUAGUGCACUCGAACCAGAGACAGAGCGACGUCGGCACCACAGCGAGCAGAUGAUUUCUUCCAUUCUCGCACGCGUUCAGGGAUUUGAUUCAGUCGAGCCAUCAAAGACUCGAGAUCUUGAGACAGCUCCGCCUGAGGCCAAAGACCAGCAUCAACUCGAGUCAUUGCAGCUUUCAAGCGUGCCAGAUAAGCAACCGCGUUGUCCAUGCAAGACUCCAACCGCAACACGUUCAUUGCAACAUCAUCUUUGACUAGACAGUUGAUGGGAUCGAGACCCGUCUCGACCCGCCCGGUUUCUGCUUCAAAGUCUUGGCAAAGUUCUGCAUGAUCGAGUGAAUUAUGAGUCGACGGAACAACUAGACUUGUCAAUCGACACAAAUAAGAGAGAUUAGUCAAUACCUUCAAGUUUCAAGACUAGCUUCGCAGCAAGUUGGCCCAGAUAAGACUCUAGCUCGCCAUUCUUGGCCUUGAGGCAUCCAAGUUCGUCGGCCAACUUCUCUUUGUUCUUCUUCAGUCGCUCGACCUCCUGAUUGGCGUCAGAUACAACAGUCUUCAGCUUGGAGUUUUCUUCUUCUAACUUGCCGACUGAAGCAAGCUUCUUGUCAGCAAGCGUUGUCUUCUCGCGCGCCUCCUUUUGUGCUGCGGCAAGAUUCAGAUCCUUCUUCUCCAAAGCUUCCUUCAUUUUCUCUAAAGAACUAACAUUCUUCAGGAGAGCUUGGAGUUGGCGGUUUUCACUACAUACAUCUGCUCGAGUGAAGCCACUCGGUUCAAAGAUGGAAAGGAAAAGUGCCAGUGUUGGGAUAUGAAGGGGUCGAUUGGUUACCUCCCAUGGAAGCUACUUCAUCAUGAGUGGUCUUGAGGUUCUUCUUGGCCAGUUCCACAUCAGGGUUGAGGCUGAUUUGUUGUUCGUUCAUGUCAGAAAGUUGAGCCCCAAGAUCACAAAAUUUCUGCAGUCACAGCCAUAUCAGUCGACAGAGAUAAAAAGAGAUAAUUAUUCUAAGAAUACCUCCGAAUCAAACAUUAAACGGCAGUCUCGGGGACUACACCCAGUGGGUGCACUUAGCGUGCCCCCACUGAUUUUCAGACCACAUUCGACGGUCGACUGGCUUUCAAAAAAAGACAUAUCCAAAUUCUCAGACCACAGUCGACUGCCCGCAGUCAACUACGGUCUCGGGGACUACACCCAGUGGCUGCACUCAGUGUGCCCGCACUAGUGCAAAGAGUCAGUUCGAACUGACACAAAGAGAUAUACUAUUUCCGAACAGCCACACUCCAGUGAGUGAUCAGACAAGAAAAACGGACAAGAAAAACGGUCGAUCGAAAAAUCAACUAACCUAGAAAUUGGCUUGCAUGGCAGCUCCGGCGUUGUAGGCCACCUGACUAGCCUCAUGGACCACCUUCAGCUGCCCCAUCACAAGGUUCAGUUGAAGAAGAGCUUCUCUGGCAGCAGCCGGUGGAUCGUCCGGAGUUUGAUAUGCAGUAAAAAGUGACGGAGGUAGAGCAAUGAAGCAGCCACCGGAUCUGAAGCAUGGAGUGACGUUGGUGCAGCAGGAGCCUGAGCAGCUGAUCCCGAGGGACAAUCAGUUGACAGAGCAACAACGAAGGUGACGUUGGUUCGAGCCGGGUCUGUCGAUCGCUCGACCGUCGCCCCAGGCGUCCGAGUCGACCGAAGAACUUGGGCUUCAGACACCUUCCUGCCCAGCUCCUUGUCCUUCCUCUUCCUUCCUCUCAGCAGUACUUCCUCUUCAUCGUCUGGGAGCACAACAAUGUCUCGUGCGGCUGCAAUAAACAGAGAGAUCCAUUAGGACAACUGACCAACAUUCCAGUCGACCAGACAAACUUCGAGUCGGGCAAACUUACUGGCUUUGGAGGUGACAGCGUCAUCAACUUCCUCAUCGGCAGGGGUCUUGUCAACAUCCAUAUCAGUCGCAGCCGAGGUCGGGCUAUAUAGGUUCAUCAUCCGCUCGGUCAGAACAAGAAAACCGAUCAGAACGAGAAAAUAUGAGAAGAACAUUUACCCAGAGGCAACAGGGACGUCCAUCUUGAUCCUGGGCAAGGUCUUCCGAGCCUUCAAAGGAUUAGCUUUGGGCUGCUUGGGGACCGUCUCAGUCAACUCUGGAGUCGGAGAUCGAGUACGCUUGUGAGAUGGAGCACUCGAUGCCACAGCUUUGCCGCGUCUGUUCACGGGGUCGUGCCGCUGCUUGGAUCGACGUUCAGAGCGAGGCGGCGAGUCGGCUACCUCCUCAUCACCAGACUCAUCACUCUCAUCAUCAUCAUCAUCAUCAUCAGCUGGGGACUCCCACCCGUCGCUCUCCUCGGCGCUGUCCGCCCUCUUGAUCUUGCUCCAGGGCUUGUUCACCAUUGGGCAUCGAGUACAUCUCCGUGUAAAUCUGCAAAACCAGGAACUGAUCAUAAGUCAGUCGGAACCUCAAUCAGUCGGAAAAUAUGUUCAAAAAUUCAGUUAUGAUGACCAUACCUUGUCUGGCAGGUUGCUGUCGCUGAAAGGGUCGACUCUCCUGGCACCCUUGGGGUUGUCUUUGUUCCCGGUAAUGCUCAUCAGCCAAUCGGCCACGGUUUUGGCCGCCACUUCCUCCGGAUGAACCCGAGCAGUGUUGCCAGCCCCGGAGUACAUCCACAUAGAGUGAUCACGAGCUUGGAGGGGUUGGAUCCGCCGACUGAGGAACACCUCGAGCAGGUCCAUACCAGUGACGCCCUGAUUGAUUAGUUGGACUACUCUCUCAACUAGCAUUCCUGACUCUGCCUUCUCAGUGGCGGUCACUUGCAAGGAAGAUGGAGUUUGGACACGGUCAAAAUAAAAAGGGGGAAGUCCGAUCGACUGGCCUGGGGUCGCGGUAUCCUGGCAGUAGAACCAGGUCGACUGCCAGCCCCUGACCGAUUCAGGAAGAGUCAUUGGAGGAAAAGAGCUCCUCUUCCUCUUCUAAAUGCCCAGGCCCCCACACAUCUGGAUAACGUGGGUUUUCUCGUCUUUCGAGUUUGCUUUCUUCAUGGUUUGGGAUCGGAUGGUAAAGAUGUGUUUGAAGAGGCCCCAGUGCGGUCGGCACCACAAGAAAUUCUCACACAUAGAGACGAACGCAGCAAGGUACGUGAUGGUAUUGGAGUAAAGUGAUGGAGUUGGGCACCAAAAAAGUUUAAGAAGCCCCGAAAGAAAGGAUGUGGUGGAAGCGAGAAACCGCGAUCGACCUGGGUGGUGAGCAAGACACACUCACCCGGUUGCGGCUACGGCUCCGAUCCCCCCUCGGCAGGUGCGCGGACUCAUGGACGAUCAGCCCUAACUCGGCCAAAUCAUCCAAGUCCUCUUGCUGGAGCGAAGAUCGGAUCCAGUCUGCCUGGAUCCAACCUGACGGCAGCCCUGAGCGCGAUGAAGACCCCCGAUUCAUCUUCUUGUUCUUCGCCGCCCCCGUCGCCUUCUUCACACGCUCUAACGCCGCCGUUUUGUCCUUCCCCAUGGCGGCAGAACAACGGUGUCGAGAGUGGUCAUUCUAGGCGAGGUGGAGAUGCAAGAGGAAGAAGAAGGGGAAUGGGCACGCACAAUACGAAUACCUUGGCUUCGCCGCUUUUAAGGGCCUACUUCCGUGUGGCUGACGCGUGGGCCCGAUCAAUCCUGCUAGAUCCCCCCAAUAGUUGCACACGUGAUACGUGGCGAAAAAGGUGGUGGGGAAAUCGAAACGUCCGAUUUAUCUACUCCACUUACCGUGGGACGCUCCGCCUGGCGCGCUUCCACCCAAAUUUUGAAUCCCGUGAGAUCUGGGAUCCUCUGUAACCGAUCUCACCAAAGAUUCCAAUCAGAAAUAUCACUCGACAGAUGCCACUGAACAAACCAGUCGGUGAUUUUUGAAUCGAUCAAGGCGACUAAACGAAGUCGAAAGUUUCAGCAGCUGAACUCACUUGGAGAAGAAGACAAGGCAGAGCAAGGGCGGGAACCAGGUCAACUACCAUCCUUCUUUUUCACUCAAACCUUGAUCCAUUCGGGGGCUAAUGAUGUAGACACGGACCUAGGGUAGGGUAAUAAGCCUAACCUAUACGCCCCACCUAAAGUCUUGUCCUAAGAACUAAGAACCUGUCGAUCACUCGGAGACCUCUCUUACCCAGGUCACUGGACCACCAAACCAGUUGACAUAUCAGAAGACCUAAAGCCGCUCUGCGCAGCAAUGGUCAAGCAUUCAUUCACAUACUUAAUGAUCAUUUGUAGCACUUUAAUAUAGGCGUUACCUGUAACGCCUCCUCUUAAUGCAUAUUGAACCCUGUGUAACGGAGGGGAGCUGGGGUCCUAGCGUACUCUAUUUAAGCCACCCCCUCCUCUGGGACAAGGGUUCGCACCCCCCGUAACUCACACACGUAUAAUCCAGUCGACCGCCCCCGGACUCCGAGACGUAGGGCUGUUACUUCCUCCGAGAAGGGCCUGAACACGUAAACCUUGUGUGUACAACUCCUCCAUAGCUAAGAUCUCGCCUCUCCAUUCCUACCCCCAUAUUCUACUGUCAGACUUAGAACCAUGACACCUGGGUCCACCACCCAUGCACUAAAUUACUCCGUAGUAGAGUGACGGUAGACUACCCCGAUUGAACCACCGCAGUAAUGCCCAAUGAGCCGUCAAAUGACAAAACCCCCUCCUUUCUAGUAGUAAGUUGGAUGGACGAAGAAACCAUCAAUUCACUCUUCUCUCUCAGCUUCCUCUCUUGAAGAAAACCCCACUCGCUUCGCUUCUCCCUCUUCUCGUUCCUCCUUUUACUCUUCUCUCUCAGCUUCCUCUCUUGGAUGGACGCCGGAGCACCGGUUGACGUGAUGUCUAUGGCUCUGGCCAAAACCGUCGAGGCUCAUGGUACGAAGAAGUGCAAGCGCCCCGCAGAGACUACCGCAGACAAGCUCAAAGCCAUCGCCAUGUCCAAGCCCCCCUCUCCGGGAUCCCUCAUUAAGCAAGUCCAGGUAAUAUCUCUUGUUGAUGAUAUUUUUCUCGAUCUUGAUCGUGUUUUUUCAUCUAACACGUUGUACUAGUACUGGUAGUACAACUUUCUGGGUGAUCUUGCAUGUGAUUUUAGUGUGCCAAAUGAUGGUUCUAAAUUCCUCUUUUGACCAAAACAUGCGGGAGGUUGACACUAAUUUCUUAUAGAUUACUUUCAACUACUCCCUCUAUCCCAAAUUUCUUGUCUUAGAUUUGUCUAGAUACAGAUGUAUCUAAUACUAAAAUGUGACUUGUUACAUCUGUAUCUAGACAACUCUAAGACAAGAAUUUUGGGACGGAGGGAGUACUUUAUGAACAUCAAUGCUACCUUUUAAGAGGGUAUAUUUGCCUCAGUAACUUGUGUUAUGGAUAUUGUCGUGGUUCUAUCUCUGAUAGUGAUGUAGGUGGGUAUGUAUGGAGAGGCUAGAUCUCAGCUAUUGGGAAGUUGUAAACACACCAAGAUGUACGAGUUCAGGCCGUUCGCGGAGGAAGUAACAGCCCUACGUCUCGGGGCCCGGAGGCGGUCGACUGGAUUACUGGCGUGUGAAUAAUAGGGGUGCGAACCCUUCAUACUAAGGAGGGGGGGUGGCUUAUAUAGAGUUCGCCGGCCCCCUCCUGCCCUCAGUAAUGCAGGGUUUAAGGUACAUUUAAGGUUGGGCGUUACUGGUAACGCCCCUAAUAAAGUGCUAUAAUGGCCAUAAAGACUACUUGAUAGCCGAGCGUUUGCCUGCGGAGUGACUUUAGGUCUCCUGGCGGUCGAGUGGUUGGCUUCAUGGUCGAGUGAUAGCUUCUUGGUCGAGUGUCUUGAACCCGUCGAGUGGGAUACCUCCAAGUCGAUUGAAAGGUGACUUCUUCUAGGGAUGUCCUAGGGUAGGGCUUUUUGGACAGGUCCGUGCCCCUACCCUAGGUACAUGGCUUCAUCAUUAGCCCCCGAAUGGAUCGAGGUUAGAGUGGGGAAAGAGUUGGAGAUGUUUCUGACUGGUUCCUUGGGCUACGUGAGUGCCUCGUUUUGGGUCAAUCGUCACGGAUGACGUUGCCAACCUUUUUCAGUCGCCUUGAUCCAUUCCAGGCCUUUCGUCGAGUGAAUUUCUUUAUUUGUGACAUACCGAGCAUCGGCGCGGGUGGGGUCUUCCAUUUUGACAAGUUGUUCUGCAGCCCGCGGAUGUCGUGGGAUUUCAGAUUUUGGGAAGCGUGCGGGACGGGAGCGGCCGCAGUAAUCGGAAGCGAUAAAGCGGAAGCUCCUCGAUCCCCGCGUCACCUUUUUCGCCACGUACUGCAUGCGCGUCCGCUGCGGGAUUUGACUGGAUGGUUUGGGCCUACCAGUCAGCCACUCGGGAGUGGCCUCUUAUAAAUCGCCGGCUCGGGGUUUCCAAGCAGUGCGCUCUCUUCUCCUCCUUUCUUCUUCCUCCCUCCCUUCGCAAGUCCUUCUGCCACCUCCGUUCUUGCCCCGGCGCAGCAGGCCCGUGCGAGACUUCGCCGGCGACGAUGACGAAGGGCAAGACCUCCGCUCUUGGACACGCGAAGAAGGCGACGGUGCAGGGGAAGGGGAAAAGAUCCGCUCGGGGCGGAUCCUCCUCAAGGUCCGCUCUGCCCAAGGGCUGGAUCCAGGGCGAUUGAUGCCGUUAGUGAUCCGGAAAGAGGAUCUCGACGACAUGGUCGAGGGGGGAGUCAUUCCCCACGAGGCUGCGCGUCUUCCGGGGAGAGAGAUCGAACUUCAACCCAGCGAUGGUGAGUGCGUGCUCCUAGCCACCCACAUCGACCGAGGGUUUUCUCUGCCACCCCAUCCUUUUUUCAGAGCUUCUUGAACUUCUUCGGAGCGCAGCUCCACCACUUUACUCCCAACUCCAUUGUAUACCUUGCCGCUUUCAUUUCCAUGUGUGAGGCUUUCUUGGGUUGCCGCCCCCAUUGGGGACUUUUCAAGCACAUCUUUACCUGCCGUUCUCAAUCGGUCAAGAAGGCCAAGUCGAGUGACAAGAGGACGCAGGUGAUCCAGUUGUGUGGGGGCUUGGCGAUGCAGACGAGGGAGAAGAGCUGUUUUCCAUCCAUUACUUUCCCGCAGUCGGUCCGUGGCUGGCAGGCGACCUGGUUCUACUGUCAGGACCAGGCGACCCCAGGACAGUCGACUGGUCUUCCUCUUUUCUCCCUCGACCAAGCUGAAAAACCUGCUUCUCUGAAAGUGGCGCCGGAGGAAAGGGCUCAAGUCAAAGUGCUGGCCGGUCGAGUGGUUGAGCUUGUCCGUGAGGGAGUGACGGGCAUGGAUUUGCUGGAGGUCUUCCUCCGGAGGUGCAUCCAACCGCUCCAGGCUCGUGACCACCCGAUGUGGCUGUACUCGGGUCUUGACGACACCACUCAGAUCCACCAAGAGGAGGUCACUGAUGAGAUGCUGGAGGGGUGGCUAUUGAGCAUCACAGGAAACAAGGACAACCCCCGAGGAGCCAGGAGGGUAAUUCCACUCGACAACUCGUACAACGUGGACCAGGUAUGUCUCUAUGCUCCUGACUGAGGUCUUGUUUUUCUUCAUUGGCCUACUUUGAGCUGGUCGAUCGACCUUUGUCUUGUCUGUUGUUUUUCAGGCGACUACUGAAAUGUACUCGACGCCCAAUGGGGCACAGGGGCCAACUGAGGAAGGGGAGGCAAGCGGAGGUGAGAGCGGGGACGAUCAAGGCGAGUGGCGGUCCGACGGUGAAGGAGAGGGAUGCGACGACGUCGACUCCAGCGGAGAGGAGGAGGAGGAGUUUGAACCCCCCCCCUCCCGCCCGGAGGGGCGAUCCAAGCUCACACACGACCCAGCGCGGGAGCAUGGUAGUGCGACUGCUCCUGUUGGGCAGUUGUCGAAACGCCCUCGGACCUCUUCUCCUACGCCGACUGGAAAGGCUCCCAAGCACCCGCGCGCAGCGCCGUCCAAGCUGCCCAAGGCUCUGCCCAAGAUGAAGAUGGCCAUCCCCACCAUUUUUGGGUAAUAAUAAAACUUGUUAUCCUUUGUCGACCAUGGACGGAUCCUUGGUCGAUUCAUUGAGCCGGCCGACUGACUUUCGAGGCUUGUAGUGCUGCUACCUCUGAGAUCUCUGCCAAGGACGACGACCAAGAGAUGGAGGAUGCUGUCCUCCAACCCUGGAACGAUUACUGACGUUCCGCUUUGAGUCGACUAAACAUUUAUUGCAACCCUGGUCGAUUGAACAUUUCCUUUGUAGCCCCUCCUCAUGUUAUCGACCUCCCGGAUGACAACAACAACGAACCGCUGAGAAUGCGGAGGAACAAGAGGUCGACGGCUGACAAGACCCCCCAACCUGCUCCGGCGUCUGAGGCCAUGGCUCGGGAUGAUGGUGACACCACUCGGGCUUCUGUGACUUUCGCCAUUCCUCUGACGAGCGUGCGGCCUUCGGCGUCGACUGCGGAUCCACCUUCGCUUUUUGCUGCGUACCCCGUCCCUGAGGACCAAGUGGCUGCUGCAAAGGAGGCUAUACGCCAGGCGGGGAUCAUGAUGGAGCAAGUGAAGAUGGCUCGGGAGGCCAGCCAAGCAGCCUAUGACGCGAGUUCGACUCUUAAGAGCAACGUCCAGGUCAAUCGACUCAACACUUGGUCUGUUAUGAUAUGCUGUUUGAAGAGUCUCUUUUCCGAAGAUCUUUUGUAUCUGUAUCUGUACACCCACUGGGUGUGUCUGCCAAUUCUUGGACGAGUGGGGGCACGCUAAGUGCACCCACUGGGUGUAGUCCCCGAGACUACGGUGGACUGCUGGCAGUCGACUGUAGUCUUUACAUUGUGUUGCUGUAGCUGUAUUUCUUCACUCGGUUUUUCCCCGAAGAUCUUUUUUUUGGUCGAACCAGUGGGGGCACGCUGAGUGCACCCACUGGGUGUAGUCCCCGAGACUACUGAAGAAUGUUUUUGAUUCGACCGUGGUCUUAGAAACGUCGUCAUUGUCUCUUAGUUACUCGGAAGCAACUUAUCUUGGACGUCUGUCGACUGAUUUUUCUUUUACAGAAAUCCUGCGAACUUGUAGCUCGCUAUACUGAGUUGGAGAAGCAGAAGGUUCAACUGAACCUUGAUUUGGAGCUGGCCAGAACAAAGCUGCAGAAGGUCACAGACGACGCCGCAGGUAAGACGACUUUGUCGACUGGUUAGUUUUUAGGCUUGAGUACCCUUCUGCUAUUUCCGAGUCAAUCAUCACUUCUUUGCAGAAAAACUAAGCGAAGCUCUGGCGAAGAAGGAUUAGGACUUGGAUGCUGCCCGUAAGGAGGCUGACGACAAGACCGCUCUGGCCGAACAGAAGCUGGCUUCGGUCGGCCAAUUGGAAGAAGAGAAUGCCAAGCUGAAGACCGCUCUGGAUGAAGCCAACCGGGAGUGUACACGUUGGAAGAAGGAGAACCUCACCCUGAGCGAGAAGGUGGAAGGCAUCGCUCGCAGGAGGGACGACCUGGAGAGCUACUUGAGGAGCCUCGCCAAGAAGUUGUACAUCAAGCUUGAAGGUGCACAUUCAGUUCCGACUGGUUUUUUUUGUGUCGACUCAGUCUAUGAAAAUUGACUUAUCCUUGGAUCGUGUAUGCAGAGCUUUGCCAGAACUUUUAAGAGGAGACUGGGCGGAUCGAAACAGGUUUGGAUCCACUCAACUCUCCCGUGAAAGAUGAAGCUGCCAUGAAUUUGCUCCGACUGGAAUCUCGCAUUGACGGCGUCGUGGACUACUUGGCUCGACUGAAGGUUGCCAUGUCACGGAUCGACCUGGCACUUUUGGCCAGAGGCUACGCUCCAAAACGAUCUCGAGUCUCUGAUGACUCGACUUAACGGAAUCCCUGACUGAGUGCAGGAGUGGAAGAAGUUUUCUGCUCGGUGUGGCGCUGAUGUGGCUCUGUCUCUGGUCCGCGUCCAUUGCAAGGAGGCGCGAGAAGAGAAGCUGGCCGCCAUCCAAGUGGCCAAUACCAGGAAGCACAACUUUCAAGAUUUCAUGGAGACUUUCAUCACUGCUGCCACCCGUAUUGCAGACGGGAUCGACUUGGACGAGUUCGUCGCCCCUUCCAGUCCUCCACCUGAGGAAUGAAAAACUUUUAAGCUCCCCUUUAAAUUUGCCUCAGAAUGCCGAGUGGAUUUUGUAACCGUUAAACUCCGUCGAGCUGAGGGCUCGAUUACUUUGGCCUGAGGUCUGGGACCUUUUAGGCUUUAUCUGAUCUCGAUUUCUCGUUGAAUGUCUUCAUGGUUUGAUUCGUCGAGUGGAUCUUGAUGUUCACUCGGAAUAACCUUGUAUUUGCGGCGCAGCUCCGAAGGGGAAGGUAGCAGUCGACUCACGGAUUGGGUUGUGUCUCGUACUUAGGAGAGCACUGGGCUGCAGCUAAGCCUCCGAGUGAGAGGUUUGCUCUCCACUCAGUAGGAUUUUUAAACACUUAGGCGAGCGUUGGGCUGCAGUUAAGCCCCCGAGUGGGAGGAUCGCUCUCCACUCGGUAGGAUUUCUUCAAACUUAGGCGAGUGCCGGACUGUAGCUAUGUCUCUAAGUGAGAGAACUUAGGCGAGUGCUGGACUGCAGCUAAGCCCCCGAGUGGGAGGAUCGAUCUCCACUCGGUAGGAUUUUUCCAAACUUAGGUGAGUGCCGGACUGCAGCUAAGUCUCUAAGUGAGGGAACUUAGGCGAGUGCUGGACUGCAGCUAAGCCCCCGAGUGGGAGGAUCGCUCUCCACUCGGUAGGAUUUUUUCAAACUUAGGCGAGUGCCGGACUGCAGCUAAGUCUCUAAGUGAGAGAACUUAGGCGAGUGCUGGACUGCAGCUAAGCCCCCGAGUGGGAGGGUUGCUCUACACUCGGUAGGAUUUUUUAAACACUUAGGCGAGCACUGGGCUACAGCUAAGCCUCCGAGUGGGAGUCUGGCUCGCCACUCGGUAGGAUUUUUAAACACUUAGGCGAGCGCUGGGCUGCAGCUAAGGCCCCGAGUGGGAGGUUUGCUCUCCACUCGGUAGGAUUUUUUAAAUACUUAGGCGAGCACUGGGCUGCAGCUAAGCCUCCGAGUGGGAGUCUGGCUCGCCACUCGAUAGGAUUUUUUCAAACUUAGGCAAAACGGAUUCGUAGAUAAGUCACCCACAGGGUGAUUUCCUAUGCAAACAAGAGUGACAACAAUUAUUGGGACGCUCUUGUCUUUGGUAAAAAUGAACUGCAGAAAUUUUUUCUUAUUACAUCUCGUCCAAGGGAGAGCUCAAGUGUAAAACGGGCGGAGUAGUUCCGCAUUCCAAGCUCGUGGCUCGUCGGUCUGGUGAUCAACAUUGUAGAGGUGAUAUGCUCCAUUGUGGAGGACUAUGGUGAUGAUGAAGGGACCUUCCCAAGUAGGAGCAAGUUUGUGUGGUUUCUGUUGAUCCACUCGGAGGACCAAAUCUCCUUCCUGGAAGGCUCGACUCUUCACAUUUCUGGCAUGGAAUCGAUGCAAGUCUUGCUGAUAGAUGGUCGAUCUGAUCAUAGCCAUUUCCCUCUCCUCCUCUAGGAGGUCGACUGCGUCUUGCCGGGCUUGCUCUGCUUCGUCUGUGUUAUAAAGCUCGACUCUAGGGGCGUUGUGAAGUAGAUCACUCGGCAGGACGGCUUCGGCUCCGUAAACCAGAAAAAUGGCGUUCUUUCGGUCGAUCGGUUCGGGGUGGUCCUCAGCCUCCACAAAACCGACGGAAGUUCGUCUACCCAAGCGCCUGCUGCGUGCUUGAGAUCACGCAUCAAUCAAGGCUUCAAUCCUUUGAGAAUCAGACCAUUUGCUCUUUCAGCUUGUCCUUUCGACUGAGGAUGCGCGACCGGCGCGUAGUCGACGCGCGUGCCUUGAGAGGUGCAAAAAGCUCUGAACUUGUCUGAAUCGAAGUUUGACCCAUUGUCGGUGAUGAUGCUAUGUGGGACCCCAUAUCUGAACGUCAGCCCUCUAACGAAACUGAUAGCAGUGCAAGCAUCGAGAUUCUUGAUAGGCUUGGCUUCAAUCCAUUUGGUGAACUUGUCGACUGCCACAAGCACAUGCGUGAAUCCGCUCCUGCCUAUUCUCAGUGGACCGACCAUGUCUAGUCCCUAGACAGCAAAGGGCCAGACGAGUGUAAUGGUCUUCAGGGCUGAUGCAGGCUUGUGUGACAUGUUGGAGUAGAACUGGCAACCUCCACACUUGUCGACUAUCUCUUUUGCCAUCUCAUUUGCUCUUGGCCAGUAAAAUCCUGCUCGGUAUGCUUUAGCCAUAAUGGUCCGAGAGAACGCAUGGUGACCACAGGUCCCCGAGUGGAUAUCAUUAAGGAUCAUCUGACCCUCUUCUGGUGUUAUGCAUUUCUGACCGAUUCCAGUCGCGCUUUCUCUAUACAACUGUCCCUUUAUGACUGUGAAGGCCUUGGAUCGGCGGACGAUCUGUCGAGCCUCUUCCUCGUCCUCCGGGAGUUCUUUCCUCAAGAUAUACGUGAUGUAUGGUACCGUCUAGUCAGGAGUGAUAGCCAAGACCUCCAUGACUAGGUCGACCAUAGCAGGAAUUUCGACUUCAGUCGGAUCUGUGGCACUUUUCGGUUGCUGGGCUUCUUCUGCGAAGGGAUCCUCCUGGAAUGACGGCGAGCGGAUGUGCUCAAAAAACACAUUGCUGGGAAUGGCUUCUCUCUUGGAGCCUAUCUUUGCCAGAUCAUCUGCUGCAUGAUUUUUCAGUCGGGGGAUGUGAUGAAGCUCUAACCCCUCGAAUUUCUUUUCUAGCUUUCUUACUGCAUUGCAAUAGCCAGUCAUAGCCGGGCUUCUGACAUCCCACUCCUUCAUCACCUGAUUAACCACCAAAUCUGAGUCGCCGUAGACCAUGAGGCGCCGGACGCCGAGUGAAAUGGCCAUGCGCAACCCGUACAAGAGUGCUUCAUAUUCUGCUUCAUUGUUGGAGGAAUCGAAGUGAGUCUAGAGAACGUAUCUAAGCUUAUCUCCUCGGGGGGAGACCAAUACUACCCCAGCACCAGAACCGUUCAGCAUCUUAGACCCAUCGAAGAACAUGGUCCAGUGCUCCAAGUGAACUUGAGUCGGGAGUUGCUGUUCAAUCCACUCGGCGAUGAAAUCUGCAAUUGCUUGGGACUUGAUAGCCUUCUUUGCUUCAAACUUGAUAUCUAGGGGGAGGAGUUCAAUCGCCCACUUAGCCACUCGACCAGUUGCAUCUCUGUUGUGCAAGAUCUCUGAUAGUGGAGCGUCGCUGACGACUGUAAUGGAAUGGUCAGAGAAGUAGUGUGCAACCUUCUUCGUGGUCAUGUAGAUCCCAUAUACAAGCUUCUGGUAAUGGGGAUAUCUUUGCUUCGAAGGGGUCAAAACUUCAGACACAUAAUAUACUGGGCGCUGAACUCUGAAGGCAUUUCCUUCUUCUUCCCGCUCGACCGUGAGUAUUGUACUGACAACUUGUCCCGUGGCUGCAAUGUACAGCAGCAGAGGCUCUUUACUGAUUGGGGCAGCAAGCACCGACUGGGUGCAGAGUAGAGCUUUGAGCUCUGCAAACGCUGCGUCAGCUUCUUGAGUCCACUCGAACUUGUCAGACUUCUUCAUCAGUCGGUAAAGAGGCAACGCCUUUUCACUGAGACAAGAAAUGAAUCGACUUAGAGCGGCCAAGCAACCUGUAAGUUUCUGGACAUCGUGUACACGCACAGGGCGCUUCAUCCGGAGUAUGGUGCCAACUCUCUCGGGAUUGGCGUCGAUUCCUCGUUCGGAAACGAGAAAACCGAGUAACUUUCCACCUGGAACUCCGAAUGUGCACUUUGAUGGAUUGAGCUUGAUAUCAUAUCCCCUGAGGUUAGCAAAGGUUUCGACAAGGUCAGUCAGUAGGUCGGAACCUUUCCGUGACUUAACCACAAUAUCAUCCAUGUAUGCUUCUACGUUCCGACUGAUCUGAGUGAGUAAACACUUCCGAAUCAUCCUCAUGAACGUGGCUCUAGCAUUCUUGAGGCCGAAGGGCAUGGUGACAUAACAGAAGCACCCAAAUGGGGUGAUGAAAGCCGUUUUGAUCUCGUCAGGUCCAUACAGACGGAUCUGAUGGUACCCUGAAUAAGCAUCUAGAAAAGACAAACGCUCACACCCCGCAGUCGAGUCCACUACCUGGUCGAUGCGGGGGAGAGGGAAAUGAUCUUUCGGGCAGGCCCGGUUGAUGUGUUUAAAGUCAAUGCACAUGCAAAGCGACUUUUCCUUUUUGGGGACCAUGACUACAUUGGCGAGCCACUCGGAGUGGUAAAUCUCUUGGAUGAACUCCGCUGCUAAGAUCCGAGCCACCUCCUCGCCAAUAGCUUUCCUCUUCUGGACGGCGGACCGUCGAAGAUGUUCUUUCACAGGCUUGAACUUUGGGUCGACUUGUAGGCGGUGCUCAGCCAGCCCCCUGGGAACUCCAGGCAUGUCAGAAGGCUUCCAUGCAAAGACGUCCCAGUUCUCACGGAGGAACUGGAUGAGCGCUUCUUCCUAUUUGGAGUCGAGCAUCGUCGAGAUUUGAGUCGGAGCAGCGUCGGGGUCGGUCGGGUGAAUGUGAGCUGGCUUGGUUUCACCGGACGACUGAAAAGCGGAUUCUGAAGCAGGCUUCUUGGCUCGUAGCAAUUCACUCGGAUCAGCAGUCUUCUGGUACUCUUAUCGCUCAACAACUGCCAUCUGAGCGUCAGCAAUCUUCGAUCCUUUCUGAAAACACUCUUCUGCUUUCUUCCGACUGCCAGUAACGGUGAUCACACCUUUGGGGCCGGGCAUCUUCAACUUGAGAUACACGUAGCAUGGCCGAGCCAUGAAGCGUGCAUAAGCUGGCCGGCCCAGAAUAGCAUGAUAAGCACUUUGGAAGUCCACAACCUCAAAUGUCAACUUUUCCCUGCGGUAAUUCUUUGAAUCACCGAAAACCACGUCGAGAGCAAUCUGGCCGAGUGACUCGGCUUUCUUUCCAGGAAUGACUCCAUGGAAGCUCAUGUUGCUGGCACUGAGCCUGGACAUCGGAAUGCCCAUCCCUUUCAAUGUUUCACCAUACAAUAUGUUCAGGCCACUGCCACCAUCCAUCAGGACUUUGGUCAGUCGAGUGCCUUCGACAACUGGGUCGUCCACCAAAGCUUGCCUCCCAGGGGUGGCAAUGUGCGUAGGGUGAUCGGACCGGUCGAGUGUGAUGGCAGUCUGAGACCACUUCAGAUAACUGGGUGUUGCCGGAGCAACCAUAUUCACCUCACGGUUAAUGACUUUCAGUCAACUUUUGCUUUCGACAUCAGCAAAAAUCAUCAGGGUGGAAUUGAUUUGGGGGUAUCCGUCAUCGCUAUCUUCCUUGUCCUCGACUCUGUCCGACUCUUUUUCCUUAUCUUUGGGUUGUUUGCCCUGAAACUGCUGGAUCAGGAGCCGGCACUGUCGAGUGGUAUGCUUUGGGUAAAUGAAAUUACCCUCUUCAUCUUUCUUGGUGUGGAUGUGACAUGGCAGAUCCAAAACAUCAUUUCCAUCUUGAUCCUUGACUUUAUUGGGCUUCCAGGGGCCUUUGGGUUUUCCCUUGAAAUUUCCCUGGGUUGCUGCCAGGGCCUCCCCAGGGGCGGCUGGCUCGGCCUUCCGCUUCUGCUUCCGAAUGGAAUUGCCUCCGGUUUCCUGGGCGACUGCUUUCUGCUUGCCACUCCGGAGUCGAUCUUCAUCUUCUCCGUUAGCGUAUUUGGUGGCUAUUUCCAUCAUCCGAUUCAGGGACAUUUCUCCGGUCCGACCGAACUUCAAGUUUAACUCUCUGUUCUUGACGCCUUCUUUAAAGGCACAAACUGCUUGGUGAUCCGGUACGUUCUGAACUGUGUGAUUCAAAGUGAUCCACCUUUGGAUGUAAUCCCUCAGAGUUUCACUCGGCUUCUGCAUGCAAGACCGCAAUUCUGUAAGGCCUGCGGGUCGCUUGCAUGUUCCCUCAAAGGUUGUGACAAAUACUCGAGAGAGAUCCUCCCAAGUGUAGAUGCUGUUGGGUGCUAACUGAUUCAGCCACGCUCUGGCCGAGCCCUCUAACAGGAGAGGCAAAUGCUUCAUAGCCACCUCAUCAUUGCCACCGCCAAUCUGUACAGCCACUCGGUAAUCUUCGAGCCAAGUGUCAGGCUUAGACUCACCGGUGAACUUGCUGACUCCAGCCGCCAAUCGAAAGUUGGGAGGAAUCACCGCGGCCCUGAUGGCUCGACUGAAACACUCUGGCCCUGAAACACGUAUUCUGCUGCUAGCGGGCGCAUCUCUGUUCUGGCCUUCCCGAUGAGCCCUGUUCCUGUCAACCAAGCCUUGAACGAGGACAGAUCUCACGUCAAAGCCUGGGUCCCUGGGGUCGACGGGAAUCCUCUGCCCAACGCUAUGACGGCGCCUGUCAUCUCGAUGUCGAGGCACAUAUGACCCACUCCUCGGGGGAGGGGUUGGCACUCGACGUCGAACAUCACGAUCGGAUCGGUGAUCAUACUGCUCAUUCCUUCUGUACUGAUCAUGCCGGUCGCCACGUCCCUCACGCCUCGGGGGCGACCGCGGGCUGUGAGCCGACUAGACUGUAUCUGUUGCAACGGAUCGACUGUGGAUCCUAUUCCGUGACUGAGAAACGGCGGAAUUCUGGUUUCUCGCCGCCCGGAGCAACGCUCUGAUAUGUAACAAGCCCCUGCCAGCCUCCGACUGGGAGGGCUGAAUCAAUUCUGCUAUACGGGCCGCGGCGGCCAAAUUCUGAACUGGGGUUCGGUAUACCUGCGUCGGCGGGAAGAGCUGGCGUCGACUAGACUCGGGAGCCCGCUGAAGCGCUUGCUCGUCGAGUGCUCGCUGGAGAUUCUCCAGUCGAGUGCGCUCGGCCAAAUUAGCCAAGUGCGCGUCCUCCAAGGCCCGGGCCUCGGGGGACUCUCCUACGAUAGGAGCACGGAGUGCGUCCAUGUUCCAGUGGCGAAGCUCCUCUCGCUGUAAUGACGUGAGAGGUUCGGGGAGAUACUCAUCGUGGGGAUGCGAUGGGUCGCCCCCACCCGCGCCUCCAACAGCGCGAGGGAAACCGGGAGGACUGUGCGUUCCAUCGACCGCCAGGAUCUCAGCCGCUGGGUUGUUUCUGUCGCACUCGGAUGCGGUCUCCGCGGAGCCAGUCGACAGGUCGAACAGGCCGCAGAGGGAUUCGUCGGGCUCGAUUGCCGCGACUUGCGGGGCGGCCGACUGGCGAGCCACGGCAUGCCUCACCCACCUCUGAAGUCUCGACCGACCGGAGUGCUUGUGUCGGUGGGAGACAGAGCGGGGAGACGAUACGGGGGCCGACCGAUACUAGGUCGACGGCUGCCGCAGGAGGACGCCACGAACGCAUGUGCGGAAAUGCGUUGCACCGCGGACGGGGAUAGCGUCGAUGUCGAGUGGCGCCUCCUGAAGCCAGGCGGAGUCGUCGGCGAUGAACGUGAGCACGCCGAGGCGGAUCUCCCGGCCCUCCACAAAAACUCUGCACGAAACCAUGAUCAAAGGGAUCGGAAAAAUCGCAACUUCUCCAAUCAGGUGCUAAGAUUCCCGCCCCACAGUGGGCGCCAACUGUCGUGGUUCUAACUCUGACAGUGAUGUAGGGGGGGUAUGUAUGGAGAGGCUAGAUCUCAGCUAUUGGGAAUUUGUAAACACACCAAGAUGUACGAGUUCAGGCCCUUCACGGAGGAAGUACCAGCCCUACGUCUCGGUGCCCGGAGGCGGUCGACUGGAUUACUGGCGUGUGAAUAAGAGGGCUGCGAACCCUUCAUAUUGAGGAGGGGGUGGUUUAUAUAGAGUUCGCCGGCCCCCUCCUGCCCUCAGUAAUGCAGGGUUUAAGGUACAUUUAAGGUUGGGCGUUACUGGUAACGCUCCUAAUAAAGUGCUAUAAUGUCCAUAAAGACUACUUGAUAGCCGACCGUUUGCCUGCGGAGUGACUUUAGGUCUCCUGGCGGUCGAGUGGUUGGCUUCAUGGUCGAGUGAGAGCUUCUUGGUCGAGUGUCUUGAACCCGUCGAGUGGGAUACCUCCAAGUCGAUUGAAAGGUGACUUCUUCUAGGGAUGUCCUAGGGUAGGGCUUUUUGGACAGGUUCGUGCCCCUACCCUAGGUACAUGGCUUCAUCAGAUAUUGCAUGUAAUCCCUCUGCUCUCAUGCUUUUGAAGACAUAUUCUAGUGUCUUUGUUCACUCAUUUUUGUGCGUAUAUGUAGUCAUAUAUGGAGUAUAAUAUCGAAAAUCAUCUUAUAUUUGUGAAUGGAGGUAGUAAUAAAAUAUGGUUUUUGUUUGAAUUAGAACCAGGUCCGCGGUGGAGAUGAAGUUCUCAAAGUCAUGCCGUGUGAACUGGAAGACCUGAUGAUGAGUUCUACUACUGAACUAUCUAGCUGCCGUGUCCUUGUCGCCACGUGUCCUGAACUAGUGUUUUCCUGUAGCAUUGUUGUCAGGCGUGUUAUCGAGGUUGUACUUGACCACAACAAUUUCCUGGUUGUGCCUUCGAUUACGAAUGGUGUGGUUCUUGUAAAGCUUCCCAACAAAUCUGAUGCAGCCUGUCUUCAUCAUCAUGUUUAUGAGUGGAAAGACCAAUCUGUUAGGUUCUCCAAGGUUGACAAGAUGGUGAUGGUGCAUGUAGACAUCUCGCACGAAGUCCAUGGCCUAGUCAGUUAUGCGGGGUUCAUCACGUAGGUCGGUGGCAAGAAAUAGUCUGUAGAGUUUAGUUAGUGCAACUUUGCUUGUCUGUAGUAAGUACUAUUGUUCAGUACUUAAUUUGUGUUUGUGAACCCUGUAUUGUUUAUUAGUACUGCCGCUUUUGGUGUGUGGUCAGUCCAGAGAACGGUCUAUGUUAAUGUCUGUCCACUCAAUUCAGUCUGUAUAUUUUGAAGUAUCCAGAUCAUAUUUUUUUGUGAGGACGGUUUAUCAAUUAUGGUUACACUCUAAUAUCUGUAUGAAUUGCAGGGUUUAUCGCACCCACUAGGAUUUCUAGUCCAAUGGAUGUUCGGUCCAUACGAUUUGUCACAAACUUUGGACUGUCCUGCUUGUGGGAGUAGGCUGGGCCCCUGGUCACGCAUAGUUGGACGAUCAAUCUUCUGUUUAGUACUUCAACAUAGUGAUUUCCUCGUAGGAUUCAUUCAUGUCGCAUCAAGUAAAUCUUAUUAGUUUACUGUCUAAAUCUUAUUGUUUUGAUGUCAUGUUUUCUUUCUUUUCCUGCAAUUUUACGAUGUAGGUUUUUCCAUGUGACAUUCAUCAUAGAAUAAACCGUUUGGUUUGCUCUACGAUGGCUAUUUUUGCAGGUCUCACUUCUUAUGUCGUGUCAGUAACGAAGGCACUGUCCAUCACUUAUAUUACUGGAAAAAAUUGGAUCAGUCUGUUGUCUGAGUACAAGCUGAAUCCCUAUGAUGAACUGCAGUUUGUUUUAACAAAAACGCCACAAUUAGACCUUCUCGCAUUUAAAAAAAAUGAAGAAAAAAAUGGUUCAAGGUCACGGAUCCUAGUCGAGUUAGAAAGCUGAUCGUAGCAGACCAGACACGAUCGCCACUGUCUUGCACAGAUCGAGCACCAGCAGUUGCUCUAGCACUGAGAGCGACAACAACUCAGUCUGAUGAAGCUGAGGAUUGGGGACCGACCGCGUCAGCGGAUCAGUCUGAUCUACCGGAGGAUCGGGCAUCGACACCGACACCUGCUCUGACACUGGCACCAGCUCUACAAGGAGCACCAUCUCCGGCAGCAGAAGCGUCUUCGACACCUGCACCAACACUUGCACUUGCAUCUGCUCCGGCCCGUGCAGUUGCACCGGCAACAAACUGGGCUAUUGUUCGCACUUCAUAUACCAAAGUCCUUACAAAAACUGACAUGUCCACCUUCUUGGUACGCAUUGGCCACCCAAGUGCUUCGUUCUUUUUUCUAUCCAUGUUUUUUCACAUGAUUCACUGUGUUGAUCUAACUGUUUGGGUAUGUCUUCUUGUUUGCAAACAGAGAAUUCCUAGAGCAACCAGUGAGUCGUUCAACAAUCCGGGCGACCGCGGCCAAGUUUCUCUUACCAUGCGUAGCCUUGGUGUGAAUGAACAUGCUCAAUAUGCCGUAAGUACAAAGGAUGGUCGCAUGAUGAUUAAUGCUAAAAGAUGGUCAACGUUCAAAUCUAAUUCAUAUCUUGCGGUAGGGUAUGAUGUCAAAAUCGAACUUUCUCGGCAAGGAGAGCUGGUCCAAAUCAACUUUGAAAUUCUUCAGUAGCAGCACGCAACUGCCGAACUGAUCUAUCCUCCGAGAGAUUUUGAUGUAAUAAUCUGGCAUGGUGAAACAAGUGUCCUGUGUGUAUAAGUAGUACGACAGUAUUAUUUAUCACAUGGUAUAUUGUUGAUAGAAUUGCAACUCUAAUUGCUGGUUAGGAACUGUCAUACGAUUUCAUUCCAAUAGCUGCCGUGCUUUAUUCAAUUUUGUGUAUUCGCCUUGCGACAGCAUCUAAAACCAGCAUCGUACCGAUCGCUUGCAAUAUGAAAAGCGCUGAGGUAGAACACAUGGGCACCCAAACAUGCAGGGUCGGCCUGCGGCCCAAAGUCCAGAACCGUGAGCCUAUCUGAGUAUUAUAUUCUCAGCUAAACCCCCAUAAAAAAAGCUGAACCCCCAUAAUGCCCGUGCAUUGCAGAGCGGCAAGGUGAGCCUGUGAUAUAAAAGCUUUGUCUAUUUCUUUACAGAGGAAGUAUCUCUCUGUCAAUAUAUAUAUUUAUGUGUAACUAGUUACUCCUGUCUUUCUACUUCCUUUCGUUGAUAUGUGGAGCAACCGGCAACGGGGUCCACGUGCCAUAUGCACAAAUUACAGUCCACAACUUCACGGUAGACACACCCCAGUCGUAGCGCUGUAGUAAUGCCCAAUGAGCCGUCAAAUCACAACCCCCCCCCUUUCCAGCUUUAGCAGUAAGCUGGACGGAUGAAGCGGCAAUAUUUCACUGGGCCUGAAUCCCCUUCUCCCUCAUCUGCUUGUUCAGAGAAAACCCCCUCUCGGCGAUUGCAUAGGGUUUUCUCAUGGAGAACCAGGUACGAAUUCUUCAUCCAUCCCCGAUAAAUCCAAGUCCCUUGGUCGCAGGUAAUCCUAUGAUGGCAGCCGCCGCCGUUGAUGCAUUUUUCUUCCAACGGAAUCUAGUGUGUUUCAUGUGAAGUGCCCAAAGUGCGAGUACCCUACAGGUUUCUGCGCCCUCGGUGAGACGCCACACUUGUGCCUUCUCAUCCUAAGACAUCAUUUUGAAACACGCACAGUAUGUUUCUAGAAUCCUCUUUUCUAUCCGGGAGGGUGAGGUUUUUUUGAGGGAGAUUUUACGGUGCAUUAUAAUACACCAGAGCACAUGUAUUAUAUGGCCGAUCUAACGGAUGAGAAUAAUUGGGCCUUUUUAAGCCCAAGGGUAUUUUCCACCUAAUUUUUUUAACCUUUAAUCGGCGCAAUUUGGUCCAGGGGUUUUCUUGUCCUAAAUUUUUUGAUUAAAUUAAUUGCAUUAAUAAAGCACUUCAUUAUAGAGGUCCCAUCAUCGUGCGUACUCUUUUGUAUUUCGGUUCGAGCGGUUCGUCCACUCUCCCCUCUCGAGCCCUAACCUUGGGCCCCCUCGAUCGCCUUCGAUCACCUCCGGCGCCCUCGAUCGCCGCCGAUCACCCCCGGCGCCCUCGAUCGUCGCCGAUCGCACUCGCCGUGUCUACCCCUCCUGCUCCUACUCCCCCUCACUCCCUCCAUCGCAAGUCACCCCAGUCGGGUCGCAGCGCCAGAUCUUCCAACGAGCCGCUAAUCCACUCCUUCCCCGAGUAGACGCCACCUUCCCCGACCCGAGAGGCCACAUCAUCCUCAUCGACGUGCAUCAACUUUUUCACGCUGGAUAUGUCAUGUGAGGUUUAGGGUUUAUCGUUUCAGAAAGUUGUGAGGAGAUUUCAGUCGGACUUGGUUAGGGUUUAGGAUAUGUCAUCUGAGUAUUAGGGUUUGUAUUUUUAGAAAGUUGUGAUGAGAUUACGAUUGAAAGGAAGUGUAAGUCGGAUGUAGCUAUGACAUACUGAAGGACUUAGUUAGGAUUAUGUGGCAUGAGAAAGUUGUCAGCAGAUUUGGAUUCAAAGAAAGUUAUUUUGGAUUUAGUUAGGAGAUACUUUUGAAUUGAGUCUCGAGAUAUUUUGGAUUUAGUUACGAGAUAAUUAUUUUGUAUGGAGUUUGGACUUAUUUUGGAUUUAGUUAGGAGAUAAUUUGGAUUUAGUUAGGACAUACUUUUGGAUUUUGUUACGAGAUAAUUUGGAUUUAGUUAGGAGAUAAUUUUGAAUGGAGUUUGGAGAUAAUUGAAGGACUCGUGGACUUUGGAUUUAGUUAGGAGAUCAUCAGUUAGAGCUAGUACAAUCAAUUACAAAUUUCUGGAUUUAGUCAGGGCAUAUUUACUUAUAGCUUUUGAAGGACUGAGUUAGGUACAUGAAUCUGAUAUGAAAAAUUAAUCAAUUAUUUAAGUAGAGUAGUGCAAUCUUUCGGUAACGUAUGCUAUCCAUCCGUAAAAUUGACUAUCUAUUUUCGCUGGCAACAUAAUGACAUGGAUGAUAAAGGCAACAAUGGCAAAAACUUGGGUGAUACAGGCAAGGAUGACAAGGACAUGGGUCAUAGAGGCAACGAAGGCAAAGGCAUGGACCCCAAAGGAAUGGAUGGUAUGUGCAUGGAUGAUAAGGAUAAUGAGGAUGCAGGAAAGGAUGGCAUAGACAUGGAUGAUGUACACAUACAAGGUAAAGGAAUUGAUAAUAAAGGCAUGGCUGGUUCAGACCUGAAUGAGUGUAUGGAAUACUUAGAGAUUGUGAAGAAGACGUUCAGGACUGAGGAAGAAGCCUACAUGUUCUACGUAGGCUAUGCGAGAAAAAAAGGAUUUGGUGUUAGAAAGGAUGAUCUGAAGUACAGGGGUCCGGGUCCAAAAUAAAAUGCAUAUAGAAGGACAUACAAGUGCUGCAAACAAGGAUGGCGGGCCCUUAAGCACUUUAACAGAGCUGAAAGAAAAAGAACACUGAGGGGUCUUUCUCGGUGUGGGUGUCCCGCUCUUUUUCAGAUUGAGCUACAAUGUAGCAGUGGCCUCUCGUUCGUCAAGAAUUUUGUGGACAAGCAUAAUCAUCUGUUUGUCCCUACUGACCUGACUCCGUACUUGUCUGCUCACCAUAGAAUGACUGACGCACAAAAGGCUGAUGUCAUCGAGUAUGCUGUCAGUGGACUUUGAACACAUCAGAUUAUGAAUGUAAUAGAGAAGAAUGCCGGAGGUCCUGACAAACUUGGAUUUAUAGAUCGAGAUCUAUACAACCAUGUUUUAGUCCAGAAGAAGCGCAAGAUAGAAGGCAGUGAUGCUAGAUAUUUGCUCACCUAUAUGAUUGCACAGAAAAAGCAGACCCAGAAUUCUUUUUCAAAUACACAAAUGAUAGCGAAGGCCAUUUGAGGAACAUAUUCUAGGCUGACUCACAAUCCCGCAUUGACUAUGUUGCCUUUGCUGGUGUUGUGGUGUUCGACAGUACAUAUUGGUCUAACAAGUACAGGCUUUCGUUUGUUCCAUUUGUUGGUCUGAACCAUCACCGCAACACAGUUUUGUUUGGAGUCAGUCUAGUGUCAAACGAGACAGUUGCAUCAUACCAGUGGCUUCUUCAAGUAUUUUUGGAGGCAAUGUCCUAGACGGCACCAAUUUCAGCAAUCACCGAUGAGGACGGUGCAAUGGCUAAAGCAAUAGCUACUGUCUAGACCGGAACAGAUCAUCAUUUGUGCACGUGGCAUAUCGAGGAGAAUAUGGUGAUGCACCUCCGCGAGGAAAAGCUGGAGCAAUUUAGGGAAUUCAUUUACCAUCGUUGGGAUGUUGAUGAGUUUGAGAAAAGAUGCGAGGCUUAUAAGGUUCGGUUCAAAAUAAAACCAACGGGCAAGAGGUCGUCAUGGGUUAACAUGAUGUACGAGCUGUGACACAAAUGGGCUGUUGCGUACACAAAUGGUAGAUAUUUCCUAGGCAUGAUAAGUAAUCAGAGGAGUUAGUCUCUCAACUCAAGGCUUCAUGUGCACCUGAACAGGAAGAUGCAGCUUGUUGAUUUGUUGCAGCAUGUUGAGCACUGUGUAUCGCUAAUGCGUAAGACUGAAGCAGCAUUAGACGCAGUAGCAACACAUACGAUACCCUUCACUAAGCUGAAUGCACACCCUCUGGAGAUUGCUGCCUCUUAUAUUUAUACAAUUGCGAUGUUUCCAAAGGUAAAGCGUCAGAUUGUCGAAGGGACAAAUUGGCAGGUCACGUACCGGGUAGCAUGUGAUGGUUUGGUCGUGUUUGGAAUUUUGCACAAAGCCCCAUAUAAUAAAUUCCCAUAUGGCAGGGAUGCUAGAGAAUUGCAAGGUAAGGAAGGUAAGUAUGCUGAGGACUUGCAUGCAAAGAAAAUGGAUGCUGAGGAUCCCAAUGACUUGGAAGGUAAGGAUGCUGAGGACUUGCAUGCAAAAAACUUGGAUGUUGAGGAUCCCAAUGACUUGGAAGGUAAGGAUGCUGAGGACUUGCAUGCAAAAAACUUGGAUGCUGAGGAUCCCAAUGACUUGGAAGGCAAGGAUGGUGUGGACUUGCAUGCCAAAAACCUGGAUACUAAGGAUCCCAAUCACUUGGAAGGUAAGGACAGUGAGGAGUUGGUGGCAAAAAAUUUGGAUGCACAAGGCAUGGAUGCUAAGCUUGUGGAUUUUAUAUAUCACGUGACUUGUCUGUUUACAGGAGAAAGACUGGAUGAUGCAGCUUGUAAAUGUAAAAAGUUGGAAAGUCAAGAUUACCCAUGCGCACAUAUAUUCUGCGUUCUGGAUCAUCUUGGUGUAUGCACAUUUCCAAAAAAAAUUGUCAAGAAAAGAUGGACAAUGCAGGACAAGCCAGCGUUCCCUUCUUCGAGGACUACGAAUACUCAUGUAUGGUCUGAUCACAUGAAUAAGUAUCUUCAACUACGCAACAUGGCUAGUGACGCUUUAUUCACAGCCGCAGCUAGCGAUUCACAGUCAGAACAGGUGAUGGAGUUCCUUCGGAGUAUAUUGGUUGACGGAGUUCCUCCGGAUGAAGGCGCGAGCGGAUGAGAGGGAAAAAAGCAAUGAAGUUAGUGCACAUGUUUAUCUCAUUGUUCAUUUCCAUACAUGCUUACAAUGUUAAUAUGUUCUCUCUUUUUAUCUUCAAUUUACUCAGGAACAAAUCGGGGAAAUCAGAGGUCACAAGGAGCAAGAAGCGAAAAGACAAAGACUCAGAGACAUAAGAAGACACAGAUUUAGAUAUAGAAGAAGAGGAAGAUUCAAAAAAAGCAACAAAGUUAUUGCACAUGUUAAUCUCAUUGUUGAUUUCCAUACAUGCUUACAGUGUUAAUAUGUUCUCCCGGAGAGUGUUCACAUGUUUUUCUUCAAUUUACGCAGGAAAAAAUCAGGGAAAUCAAACAACACAAGGAGGAAGAAGCAAAAAGAAGAGACAGAGUCAGAUACAGAAGAAGAGACAGAGUCGUAUACAGAAGAAGAGACAGAGGCAGAUACAGAAGAAGAGGAAGAUUCAGGUACAGAAGAAGAGGAAGAUUCUGGUACAGAUGAAGAGGAAGAUUCAGAUGCAGAAGAAGAGGGAGAUUCAGAUGCAGAAGAAGAGGGAGAUUCAGAUGAGGAAGAAGAGGAAGAUUCAAAUGCAUAAGAUGGUGGGCUGAGGAGGGCUAGAAAGAGACCAUUGGAGGUUGCAGAAGAGGAUUACGCAAAACCAAACAAGUGGGCAUUAGCACAAUUGUGCGUACUUAAACAUGUUUUCGAAUGCUGGCUGCAGAUUCAUCUAUUUUAUUUUUUGCAGGAAACGCAAGGGCGCUCCAAAUGUCAAUGUUGGGAGGACGAAAAAGAACGAUGACAAGGAUGCACGAGGAAAACCAGUGAAGUUAGUGUCUGUACUUACAUGUCCGCUCUAGAAGUCGGGUAUUUGCUAGUACUGUGUUGAAGUUUCUUAACUUUUUCAGGAAAGACUCUAGUAAGGGCAGUAAAGGACAGGCCAAAGGGGUGAUGAAGACAAAAAGGCCUGAUAGGAAUGUACCACAGGCUGAGCGAAUAAGAGCUAUCAAGUUAGCUUCUAUAGCUAUGAAGAGAAAAUGAGUGAAGUUAGUGUUUUUUCUGUUAUAGUGUACUGUACAUGCUCAAAUCUUCUUUGCUAUCCUAUUAACAAACGUUGUUUCAUGCAGGAAAGCUAAAGUGAAGUCGAGAUAGGAAGUUUAGAUGCACAGGGUCAAGCAGAGAAAACAAAAGUAUUUCUGGGGUCGAAAAAUUGAGAACAAACUAAAGUUGAUAGUUUUCCAUGCCGUGAUCCACCUUGUUUCUCAUGUAUUAGACCUAUUUGAUGGACUACCACUAUUUUUCUGAAUUCCUCAUUUGAUUGGUACACCCUAUUUGAUUGGUAGACCCUAUUUACCAACACCGAUGAAACAAUGCAUUUUUAGUGCAGUUGGUUCCUGUAUUUUUUUCAUUUUUUACAUAAUAUAUUGCUGAAAUUUGUUCAAAGUGUAGUCAAAUUUCAUACUUGAAAUAUAAAAGAGAAACCGAAAAUUUAUAUAUAUAAGAAAAUAGAACGUUAAUAGAAACCUCGUUUUCAAAUAACAUUGAAAAUUGUUUAUUUUCAAAUAGAAAAUAAGCAUACUAAUAUUUUAAAAAUAGCAUGCUCAUUUGAAAAAAAACAUGUUCAAUUGAAAAUAAAAUAUAAUGAAUAUGCUGAUUUAAAAAUAUCAUGAUGAUUUUAAAAUAGCAUGCUGAUUUUAAAAUUAUGCUACUUUUAUAAUAACAUGCUAAUUUCAAAAAUAUCAUGCUAAUUUUAAAAAUAGCAUGGUACUUUUAAAAAUAUAAUGCUCUUUUCAAUAUGCUACUUUUAAAAAUAGCAUGAUUAUUUUAAAAAUAGCAUGCUUAUUUUAAAAAUAGCAUGCUUAUUUUAAAAAUAUAAUGCUCUUUUCAAUAUGCUACUUUUAAAAUAGCAUGCUGAUUUCAAAAAUAGCAUGCUGAUUUCAAAAAUAGCAUGUUGAUUUCAAAAAUAGCAUGCUGAUUUCAAAAAAAUCAUGUUCUUUUGAAUUUGUUAUUUUGAAAAAUAGCAUGCUAAUUUCAAAAUAACAGCCUCAUUCUAAAAAUACAACGCUGUCUUUAAAAAUAUAAUGCUGUUUUUAAAAAUAUAACGCUGUUUAUAAAAUGAUUUCAAAAGAUACAUGCUUUUUUAAAUAUGCUGUUUUGAAAGCAGCAUGCUGAUUUUGAAAACAACAUAUUUUUAAUUAUGCUUUUCAAAAGAUAGCAUGUUUUUUUAGUAUAUAUUGUUUUUCAAAUUAAAAAACAUCAUUUUGAAAAUAGCAUGCCAUCUCGAAAGUAACAGAAACAGGUCCCGCUCUUUGUUUUGCAUUUCAUUUUUUGUGCGACACACAUACAAACCGCAUUUUCAAAAUAACUCGUACUAGCCAACACAAAAACCUCAUUCAAAAAUGAAAGUAGUGUCUAAUCCAUUUGAAACCCGGUUAGAUUUGAUUCUAAAAAUACUAGCAUCACUGUGGCAAAAAAAGGAAAUAUAAUUGCAGUCCAUAAAGGUAAUUAUAUCAAGGAGGGUACCAGGGUGCGUUAUAUAUAUAGACUUGCAUAAUAAGUACAUUACACCACAUAGGGUUCAUACUACCACCAAGUUACUGCCAUGUUCCACUUACUGGACGAUCUUCAUAUCCACUCAGACCCAAAAGUUAUACCACCAAAGUACCAGUUACUACCAAGUACCAAUUACUACUAAGUUGCACUUACUAGACCCUAAAGCUGAUACUACCAACUUGCAGUUACUAGCUAGUACAUACAGAUCAUAAAACUAGCGUCAAACUAUUGCGGAGGGUCAACUAAUCCUCAUGCCACUAACCAUGUUCACCCUAAGCCCACCUCCACACCUUUCCAUGAACCUGAAGAUAGCCAUUUGAUCUUCUUUCAUUCUGGCGCCCUCAACGACUUCUCUCCAGUUCUUCAUCAUGAUCGCUCACCCGUCCUGCUUGCCCAUCUUGAAGAAGACCUUUUUAUUACCUUCAAAAUAUUCGCUGGUGAUACGCACAACCAUGGGGCUUUCGCAGAUAAUCUUUGAGGUAGGCCUGACUGUACUCCUUUGAGAAGCACUGAUUGCACAGGGAAAUAAAUAAUCUUACAUAAAAAAUGAAGUAUGAUUUGCACAAAAAAAGUAUGUAUGAUUUGCACAACCACGCCAGUCCUCCUCUCUGUCUCUACAUGAUGGCAUUUUCACUAGUGAAGUAUGAUUUGCAAAAAGAAAAGUCCAAGUGUUUACCAUCCGGCUCUUCCCUCUGAUGACUGCCGAGCGAGUGACGGUGCUGACAUAGUAUGGUAUGGGACGUUGGCACUGCUUUACUAUGGAUUUGAGAUAGUCCCACCAAUCCUCGUUUAGCAAUACAUGCUUGCCGUAUAAGAUGUGAUCCUCGAAAGUUCCUUUUCUCACAUGGUAUCCCGGACCUGUGUCAAAAAAAAUUAAGAUGAUAGAGUAGUAAAUAAUUUCAUAUGUAAGAUCUAGAACAUCAGCACUGGGUUAAUGAUCAAUGCCUACUCCAAUGAUCAAGAAAUGAAGGACAUAGAUAACCCAAUCACAUCCACCCAGCAAUAUCACGUAGAAACAUGGGCAAAUUGAAUAUUUGAUUUAUUUAAACUAACAACUAAACACUUCUCUAUGUAAGCUCUAGUUCAGUCAAUGUUGAUUUGGAAGGUCAUUUAGAACCCAAACAGAGUAAUGUGUGGUAAUCAAGUGUCACUCAAACAUCAACUUUCGAUAUUUUACGGUUCAUUUAAUAUCUGACCAGCCAAAAAGAACUUUACCCCGAAGUGCCAAGAUAGGAUCAUGGUCCACAUCUCCAUCUCCAUCAGAACUAUCAUUAGUGUCAUAGUCGCUAGAGGUGUCGUCAUCACCGCUAUAGCCGUCACUCCCACGUGAAGUGCCAUCUGAAGCAUCAUCUGAGGUGGUCCGGUGAUCACUCUCUUCACUGCUGAUGAGGAUGGUUUCCCUUGCCAUUCAAACCUGUUGCAUGCAUUGCAAUGAACACAUGUUAGUUAUUGAUAUAUAAAAUCAGUCUUCCAUUAUGACUUGUUAGCACCAUAUACAAUGUGAAUAAUCUUUUCGCAUACUUCUUGCUAAGUACGUAGUUCAUGUAUAAACAUCUACACCAAAAAGCUAGUCGACAACUAUUCGCACGACUAGUCAACACUAGUGGUUAGACUCAUAAUCAUUGGGCAGACAUAACCAAUUAGGAUAUUCAAGGUUACAAUUUUGUGAGUUGGACAAGAAAACUUGGUAACCAACCAAUUAGUAGCCAUGUAAAAAUGAACCAUGAUUGACUGCUCUCAUCGAGCAAUACAUGAAACUAUAACUGAUCUGCCUUUGAUCACUGCAAAUUUCCUGAUGGGCUGUUGUGUGGUACCAUCAGGUAAUAAAUAUAAAGUCUUUAAAUUGUCCCAACAAAACAAAUAAUGCAUCUGCUGCUGUACAUAACAUUUUUAGAGGUAGUUGUGGAGGUUAAUUUUCCAAUUUCCAGUGAGAAUAAGGACAUGAUAGAAUCUCUCAAGCAAGAUGACAGCAUAGUGAAGGCUAUGAGAACGAGCAAGGUAUGCUGACCAAUAGUCACCCUUUUGUAUACUUGAUAUUUAUUUACUCAUUACUACCCAUACCAACAAGUAAAAUCAUGAUUAUGAAGUAUAAUGUCAGAAAAUCCAACAGUGAGGAAUUUGUUGCAAUGUGUACUACUAGCUCACAGGAAAUUGUCAUUGACCCCAACAAGCCCAUACCAUAUCUUGGAGAUAGGCUGACAUAAUUGAAGUAAGCAGUAACAACAAUCAGCAAAAAUAUGCACCGACCAAAAAUAUUACAUGUGUGCACAUAUCAUCAAAAACAUGCACCAAUCAAGAACAGUCUGUACUUGACAAAUCCUUCAAAAUAUGCACUAAUCAUCAUACUACCGUCGAGUAAUACAAGAAACUAUAACUGAUCCUCAUUCCAUCAUUACAAAUUUCCUAAUGGACUGCAUCUGUGCUCGCCUUUUUAGUUUUUAAUAACUAACCAUCAACAAAUACAUAUACACAAUCUUCAAACUAUCCCAACAAACCAAAACAUGUGUAUGCUCCUGUGAAUAUACUUUUUCUAUAUCUAGCAGUGGGGGACCAUUUUCCAGGGGAAAAAGUACUUGAUAGCAUCUGUCAAGCAAGAUGAUAGCAUAGUGAAGGCUAUAUCGAUGAGCAAGGUAUGCUGGCCAACACCAGCCUUUUUCUCUUACUUGCAUGAAAGUGUUUACCCAUUACUACCCAUAUGAACAAGUAAAACCAUGAUUACAUAGUACAUUGUCAGAUUAUCUUGUUGUAAAAUUACUUGUUGCAAUAUGACCUACAAGUUGACAGUAAAUCUUCGAAUACCCGAAACAUGCACACAAGCAAGUGUCAGAUUUUAACUUGGGCGGUGCUGCUAGAUCGCAAAAUUAAGCUCAGAUCGACAUUAGAAGGGCAGGGAAGAUCAAUCUUACCUGCGGAGUGGUACCAGAUGGAGCUGGAGUAGACUUGUUCAAUGCUGGCACCACCGAAGCUUCGGGCGGCGCGACAAGGAUUAGGGAGAAGAGGUGCUGUUGUCGGACCUUGCUGUAGAUGAAGCAGUGGAGAAUCGUGGCCGGAGCAGGGGGAGUGGGUGGCCUCGCGGAACCGGCCGAUUUGACGACGACGGGGGCGGCCAAGGUGACCGCUUGGCAAACCCUAGCCGUCGCCCUCCGCGUCGCCUCUUUGUCUCUGCAAAGAACGAAGUGUGGUGGGAUUGGGAAUGGGGGUGCGGUUGGGGUUGGGGCCAUCGCUCGCUUUUCUCUCUGCCUCCCACUUGUGCAGGCCCACAAAAGGAACAGAGUGUUGGGCCGGAUCAGAUGCAGAUUUGGCAGCUUUACCAAUUCUGGCCAAACAGAAAAGAUCAGCAUGACCACAUGUGUUCUUUUAAAGAAACCCUAAAAAUACACUGCUGUUCAUAUUGCAUGUGGAUGAGUCUUUCAGUACCAAUUGAUCUUGAAUAAUUUUAAGCACUCACAGUAUAUAUAUAUAUAUAUGAAAAUAAUGGUUAACCAAUAAAAUGGUAAACUAUUAGAUGCAAGGUUGCAAAUAUUUGAAAAAAUGAAUAAUUGAAUUGUAUGCAUUUUUAUGAUUAAAUUUAAUAAAUGUAACAUUUGUGCAAAAACUAUGAUAAAUUAAAAUAUUCAUUGGUAUUUUCAAAAAAACCACGAAUGACUACUUAUGCCAACCAGAACUUCUUCAUGGUUUCGUUUAUUCAUCUAUUCUUUGGCAUACUGGUUCUCAUAACGCCUUCUUCGGACCUUCUCUUUGUCCGACAAAUUCCUGAGCUAGCGCCUUGUGUUUCGCCCUCACACCAUGCUUCAUUUGGUAUCCUUUGGCAACUCCUUCGGCGUGCUCAAGAAUACUAACGAAAGCCGGGUCCAGAUAUUUGCCACAGAAUGUGCAACGAUAUGCCAUACGCUUAAGCACGUUGCACUGUCCAUUCUGCAAUUCUUCAAGGGUUUUCUGAGUGUGUGCAUCCAUCUCUCCUUCAGAAAUGUCCGCAUAAUCAUGAGAAUAAGGCUGCAAGUUUAAAUUAUGUAUGAUAUAAGCUGCACCAUUGUUUACAGUACCUAAUAUUCCCUAAGUUUCAUACUGUAGUGCCUAUAAAUUAUUUUAAAGUAAAUAUUUAUUAACUUUGAAAAUUUAAGGAGAAAAAAGCAAUAUCAAAACCACAUGAAAGCAUAAAUCAUAUGAUGUACUUUUAAAAAAAUUGUCAACAAACAUGCACAACCUUUAUGAUGUCCGACUUUUAGCAUAAAACCAAAACACACUAAAUUUUGGAGUGGAUGAACCAUUAAUUUCUCAAAGACUGAUUGAAUAAAUAAUGAUCAUUACGUACGAAUGAUCAACAUUAUAUUUAGAGCUCGAUUCCAUUAUGCCAAUUCAAAAAUUAUUGAUGGUUUAAUGAUUAACCACUAACCUUAAACUUGAAGACAGAUCUAGGGUUCAAAAAUUAAAAUUACCGUAACGGAAUUCCAGUCCAUGUCGUGCAUGUGCUGCUGCUUGUGAUCGACGAUGGAGUACUGCACCUCGUUGACACGAUGCUUCUCUGGGUCAGACACCGAGUAGUCCAAAGCUUUCUCAUGGGGAUCCUGAUCCAUGCGAUGGACGACGACGUAGGUUGUUAGCUCCGCAAGUCCACGAUCUGUCACGAUGGCGUCCAUGACAGGCCCCCACGUCCAUGGCCCCGCUCUGUCACGACGGCCAAUUAACCUCCACGAGUGGAUUUCAUAUCCGGCGGCAGGGAGGCGGGCGUGUGAACGGCCGCGAUAGUUUUAGAGCAUGCCCUAGGGGGAGAGAUGCGGGGAGUAAUUGGUAGUUACCUACUAUAGCGGAAAUACUUCGGCGUUGGGCACCUCAAUGCAGCCGACUUAUUUAGGCGCUUAAUUAGGAUCCUGGAAAAAAAUCACAAUCGUAGGCGCUUGGGGCAGGCACUAGGAACUGGAUUUUGUACAUCUACGUGAUGCAAUCCAAAGUUCGUGUCCGGGGUGGAUGGGUUGGGGAUUCAAAAUUUUGUACAUAAACCCUGGUGCUCAAGACUUGUGAAACAUCAGAUCAAAUUGUCAUCAAUUGAUCUAGAAAUUUCAAACUGAGAAAGAAAUGUACGCAGAGGCCACUAUAGUAUUACUUGGAUCGAGACUUUGUGAUCAUCAUGUAGCCACGCCACAACCAACACGAUGGUCUCCGUGGCCAUGUAGACAUCACACCAUGCACCGUUGGCCGCCUAGAACCUCUAGCCAUGCAUUGAUAGUCGUCACGUCUCACAUGCAUUUGUGAUGCUAGCAAUGUCAUCACGUGAUGUCAUAAACUGAAAGGCGUGUGACAAUAAUUUUAAAAAACAACAAGAAAAUACUCCAUCCCAAAAUUUUGACUAAGACAUGAUUUGAUACGUCGGUAUUUACACAAAUCAAAGACAAGAAAUUUGGGACGGAUGGAGUACUAAAGCAUCAUUAUUCCAAUCCUAGGUUGCUAUAAGAGAAGCUUGGAUUUCCAUCUACCAAGCUGAAUGCAGCUCAAGGCUACAAUUCCAUUGCACUGGUACGUGAGAUAUGUAGUCGACACACAACUUAACAUGCAUAGUUGUACCAUAGUUGAACAGUAAGCAUACGGUACUUCUUAACAUAGUUCAUCCAUAAAGUCUCGCCAACAUACCACAAACUAAGGUAGUACUUAACCUAGUUCAGACCAAAAGAGCUUCCAUUCUGGCUGCCAGGGUGCACGCACUGCCCUAAACCCCCUCCAAGAACUCAGCAAGGGCCACGUGUGCCAUCCUGGAAGCAUAUCCAUGGGCGUGGCUAGCGGCUCGUCCGAGUGCAUGCUGGAUAAUACUCAUACGGGUGUUAUUAACCUUGCGGUUGCAGAAAGGGCAUCCAUAGCGCCCAGCACUAGGACUAACACGUCUGGCAUGCACAUUAGAAUCUGUUAACGAGCGCUCACAAGCUUAACUAGCUUCAAACGAACCUAGCCAAUCAGGGUUUUAUGCUACUUAAUCUAAAUGAGCCGAUGAUUAAUGAGCACGAGUUUAACAAGCAGAGAUGCCAAACCACACACCAAUUAACAUAGUUCUACCUUAGUUCAACACUUCCAUAUAUACAAAAGCAAGCACCACUUAGUAGUACCGGUGCACAUAGUUCGACCAUAAACGUUCACCAACAAAGUAUAGCAUAGUUAAAACCAAAAGAGCAUCAGUUCUAGCUGCGAGGGUGCGCACUUCCCUAAAGCCUCAAAGAAGCCUCAUCAAGUACUCGGCAUACGCGGCGUGCUUCACCCUGAAAGCGUAGCCAUUCUUGAUGCUGCCUUGGGAUGUACCGACUGCAUGGUUGAUGGUACUUCUCAGGUCACCUUUCAUCAGCUUGUUGCAGUAAGGGCAUCCGUAGCCCCCCCUUCCAAUUCUUGGCCUGAUACGUUUCUCGAGCACACCACUGUUCAGCUCCCUCGCCUUCUGCCUCCUGUAGAUCCUCUGGGUUUCUUGGUCGCUGUCGACGUCGUCACUUAGGACCUACAUGUAGUACCAAAUGUUGCAUAAGUAUAUCUAAUAUGAGAAUUCAGCAGGCACAGAGUCUAUGAAACAUAAUGUAAUUGAUGACAGCGUAAAAUAUCUUCAAAUGACGUUGAAAAAAUAAAUGCAUAACUUAUUAGUUGGUACAUAAGAAACUAAAUGGGAUAGUACCAUAUAGUAAAAAAACGAAGGAUCAACCAUACAUGUCGAAGAGAGCACUAGCAUUGCCACAUUUUGCCACACAUUUUUCCCAAGCUUGCCUAAGGUUAGUUCAUCAAAAUGAGAGCCACAAGUUGGCAAGCCUAAGGGAACCAUGCCACACUUUUUGUGUGUAUGCCAUGUGGGACCCAAGUGUGGCUUGCCUAAGGUGUGGCUGGAACCAAACACUCACUUAAGUUGGUCAAACUUGCCUAACCUUAGGUAUGGCAAUCUUUGGCAAAGUCACUAACCAAACAGCCUUUAUUGCAACAAAAUUCAUUUGUUACGUAAAAAUGCAUGAACUGAUGAUGUAACAUGGCAGAGCAGCAUAUAGAUGUACUAAUGCAAAAAAAGACUUAUAACUUACAUGCAUGACUAGAUAAAAUAGCUCGUGAGCUGUAUCUAUUUAGGGUUAGAAUUUUGUGUGUUUAUGAUGAUGGAUAUUGAAAGUCCACAUGUUAUCGUCGUGGAAGUUUCCCCUGUUGAUCGAUACCCCACCCAUCAAUGUUCCUGAACCAUUGAAUGUUCUAGGUAAAGUAGUUAAUUAUUAUGAAUUCUGACAAUAAGUGAUCCCAAAUGUUGUACUUACAAAAAAGGGUUUUUAUCAUUUAUGCCACCAGUUUUGUCCCACAAUUAAGUAUCACCACUAGGAUUUUCUACUGCUAAAAAAAGCCAUCGCUUCUUUAGACACAUGCUCAAAAAUGCCACUGCACAUCAUUAUUGUGAUAUCAAAUCUAUCUUGACAUGCUAUAACGGCAUCAAUACCUAUGGACCAACAUGCCAGCUCUCCCUCUAUCCCACUACAAUAAAGUGUGGGCCCACUUGAUCCCAAUAGUGUUCUUAUUUUCCUGUAAAAUUAUUCGCUUACUUACUCCUCACAAGUGGGGCCAUACUUAUCAUUGUGAGAUAGAGAGAACUGAAAUGUGGGCCUGGGCUUUUUUUGUCAUAUUGGAUGGUCAACAAGUUUUAAAUGAAGAUAACAAUGUCUAAUGGCAUUAUUGAGCAAACAUCUAAUGGAAUGAUGGCAUUUUUUAUACAUCUAAUGGCAUUUCUGAGUAAGCAUGUCACGAAUCGAUGGCUUUUUUGAGCGGCUGUAACUUCUAAGGGAAAAACUGAGUAGUGGGAUACAACUGGUGGCAUUGAUGAUAUCCAAUUUCUUUCUAAAAUAGCCAUUGCUUAGAGAUAAUCAAUGUUUAAAAUCAUUGCCAUAGCCACUUAUGGAACAUUUAAACCAAAGAUCGAUCAAGUGCAACCAAACAUGUACUCAACAUUUUAUUACCUUAUUUGCCUUGUACUGACCAGAGAAAACCUAGGAUAUUAGAAAAUAAAUAAAUAAAUAAAUAAAGGGGAUAGAUGACUAACCUCUUCUUCGUUCUCGUCGGCGACGACCACAUUUGGGGGCAGGGGAGGCAACAACCGCGGCAGACGAACACCCGGCUGAGGCUGAGGAGCCACCACCUGCUUUGGCAGAGGAGCCAGAGGAGCUACCUGUUCCGGAUUAUUAGCAGAAUAAUUUAUAUAGGUCAAAAACUGACAUAUACAUGCCUCAAUAAAUGUAAUCUAUCUACACAGCUUCGGAUCCAGGAUUUCAUACUUGGGUGUUCAAAAAUUUAUAUUGCAAACUAGAACCACAACAAUAUGUUUCAAAUGGAAGGAGUAAUAUCUAAAAUUUUCAUGUGAAAAGAUUCUUAGUCCAUCGUAAUGACAGUACUAACAUGAAUGACAGAAAAUGAAGAUUAUUUACUUCAUGACCAUACAAUAUGACAUUUUCAUAAACAAGGCAUGGUGUUGUUAUCCUUAAGUUGCAGAAAAUAUUUUCACAAUCACCUACGUAGGCAAUUCAAUUCCAAGGUCAAGCUACGUAUUUGUAUUAGCACAGACACCAAACCUAGGUGGAUUUAUUAGCAGAAUAAUUUAUCUACAUCAAAAUAUUGCCUAUACAGGGCUCAACACAUCUAACCUAGCUAGUUACCUAACAAAUCUACAGAAUAUUGAUAUGGAGUCCAUCGAUCAAAGAUAAAAAGAAACCCUGGCCUUCCCCAAAAAUAGAGAAAAAGGAUUGACUAGAGCACACCUAGGAUUUUACAAAAAACUAAAGGAGAUAGAUGACUAAUGUCGUCUUUGUUGACGUUGCCAGCGACCACAGGCUCGGGCACCGAAGGCGUCACCCGCGGCAGAGGAGACACUUGCUCCGUCUGAGCAGCCAGAGUAGCUACCGGGGCCCACAUAAAUGGUUGUGCAAGGACAGUUUCAUGCCGGUCAAGUACCAUAUAUUAGAAAUUUCGGCCAAAAAAAAUUCGAGUGCAGUACUGUACGUCUGUACCGGUGCUGUUUCUAUCAAAAUUUGGCAUCAACACAUUUUGGAUGCACGAGAACCAUGAGAUCCGAGUGGUUCGUAGAUCUUAAAUAAAGAUAAUCUAUACAAUGAGGAGCCGACCCCCACACCCAUGCACCCACACUAAUGUCCUCUUUGUUGACAUCGCCGACGACCACAGGCUCGGGCACAGGAGGCGUCACCUGCUCCGUCUGAGGAGCCAGAGCAGCUACCUGGUCCCACAUAAAUAGCAGAAUAUUUUAUAUAGAUCAAAAAAUGUCAUAUACAUGCCUAAACUAAUGCAAACUAGCAACACAUCUUCGGAUCCAGGAUUUCAAAGUUGGGUGUUCAAAAGUUAAUAUUGCAAACCAAAACCACAACAAUAUUUUUCAAACGGCUGAGAUUAAGUUGGCUUUUGAGUCCAGAAGGCAUUCUUCUGCCUUUGCUUCUGUUACUCAAGAAAUUAAAGAGUUAGGAGUAAUAGCUAAAAUGUUCGUGUCAAAAUAUUAUUUUUCCAUCAUACUGACAGUACAGACAUGAAUGACAGAAAAUGAAGAUUAUUUAGUAUGACAUUUUCGUAAACAAGGCAUGGUGUUGUUAUCCUUUAGUUGCAGAAAAUAUUAUGCUGAAAAUAAGCAACCAAAUCAUAUAUUUCAAAUAGGGAUGAUAACAAGUCAAUAAUAUUAUAGCCUAUGGUAAUUGGACUCCAGGAAUCAAGCAAUUGGUGUUGAGCAAAUUGAACGACAAAAAAUUUGUCUGCUGGAUUGAGCGUAACAGGCUAGUUUUAUACAAAUUGACAUGAAGUUUAGUGCAUAAACUACACCACUUUUAGUACAUUUAAAAUAAAAGAACCAUAUAUAAGAAAUUUGGGGCAAAUAAUUUCGGGUGGUUGGUAGAUCUAUCUUAAAAUUUGGCAUCAACACAUUUUGGAUGCACGAGAGCCAUGGAUCGGAGUGGUUGGUAGAUCUUAAAAACAAGAUAACCUAUACAAUGAGGAGCCGACCCCCACGCCCGUGCACCCAUGUGGACCCGCCCUUGAAACCUACCUGAUCUAACGAAUCUAGGUACGGAUUUCAUAGAUGGAAGAAAAGCAGAAACCCUAGCCAUGCCCAAAAAUAGAUAAGGGGCUGAACAAGGAAACCUAGGAUAUUUCCUAAAAUAGGACUGAUCUCUUCUUCUUCGUCGUCAUCGCCGUCAACCUUGACCGCGGGCUGCGGCAGAGGAGGCAGAUGGCGUGGCAGAAGAGUCACCUGCUCCGGCGUAGGUGACACCUGCACUGGAGCCUGGACAUGGUCGACGACGUCACGGCCGCCUUGCUGCCAGCUGCACCCCUCGCCGGCUUCUCCAUGUCCAGCUUCGCACGGCGCUUGGAUGCUUCGUGCGCCAUGGCGUCGGCCUUGGCGUCAGCUCUCCCUCCCAUGGUGCGCUUGGGCAUCUCGACGGCGGAGGUGCAGCGGUGGGAAGGGAGCAGCGGCGGGGUGGAAAGGCGAGUGGUGAGGCGUGGGAGGAGAAAACCCUCGAAUUUGUAGAUGGGGAAGAGGACGGGAAGAGGGCGGCGACGAUGAGAUAAAUGCUAAUGGGGAAGAAGAGCGUGCUAUGGGGAAGCAGAGCAGCCGAUUUAGUCGUGGGCAGUCAAAAGGAGUUGUUGCCAUGUUCACACCUCCCCGUGCGUUGUUCACACCACCAUGUCUUGCCACGUCAAAACGUAACUUCUCACUUCUCACUAAAAUGAAUAGCCCGAUCGUGCACAGCCAUGAUUUAGGAGUAAUGCAACUUCCCUUCAAAAAAUUGUGUAAUGCAACUGCUCCCUCAUUACACAGAACAAAGUCAUACAAUGGGACCACUGAAUUUGUAGGCUUGUUUCAUCUGCACGUGUCAUGUUUUAUAUUUGUCCUAAAAUAUGUUGUAAAACUUUACAAACAAUGGAUUGUAAAAUGGAUGUGACAAAACUUCAUCAGCAACCACGCGGAUUCGUCUGCCAUAUAUCCAAUGUCCGGUACCGAGGAGGGGAAUGUUGAUCCACGCGAUGCCAUGUGUUUCGUCUGGACCCAUAUCUUGCACCCCGAGCCAACCGGGCCAAAACAUGCGCUGCUAGCCUUCACGAUCCAAACAACGAGCUAGUGUCCACCAUGCGCAGAUAUUCUCACGUGAACAGGUUUGCUAGCACUAGUGAAUGACGUCGGAUCUCGGUGUGCAAUAUGUGUAGCCGCGUGUCUCUUUGGCGUGCCUGGCAUACCGAAGGGACUCGUCGAAGGUCCAAUGACCCGUGGUGGGGUCAAUGCUGGAUGUAUGGUGUGGGUUAACCUGGCUAACGGUGCAUGGUUUGAGUUUAGGUGGCUAAGUUUCCAUUGCUGGGGGCUAGAUGGCUAAUGAGUGCGCAUGCGUCAUCUGUACAUUAUCAAGGUUGAAUGGUGGUUGUCUACAUGGCCAUGCGUGCAUUCAUGGUGUGGGUCCAGUUUGCGUUCAGCGCACGGGAUGUGCCUUGGUGGGUAGGGCCCACAACUUGCAACACAGAGUUCUGAAGCAGAUGAAGGGGCGGGCCCCGAUCUUCGUCAACAAGCAGGACUUGUUCCCUCUCGAUGGCUAGCUCCGGGAUGCGUUUUGGUCUCGUUUACACACAACCUAUGUGAAGGCUUAUGCAUGCCGCUCUCGAUGUUCGACCACACCCACACCGUGAAAGGUCCCAAGAAAUUUGGAUCCCCCAUGAAUUUGCAUGGAUUAUAGCGGCGGCAGACGAGGCCCGGCAUUUUUUGCCCUUUGGCCCUGCCCAUUGGUCGCACAUGGCACAUAUAUGGACCAGAGCUUAGCAUGGAACUGUCACCCCCAAUCCCUACUGUGAUUUCAUGUGGCCGCGGUAUAGAUCCUGAAUUUCCGAGGAUACUACCCUAGAAAUGCCGCAAAUGUCCCGAAUAUGGCAAGCGCGGGCUCCGAGAAAGGCCGGGACCUUGCAUGCGCUUUUGGAUUGUUCUCCAUUGACCCGAGAGAGAGCAUUGACGAAAAUGGAGGAACGGGCCCGCAUUCAUUGCGCAAACCGGACACGUUACCUCAAGGUAGCUAGAUCCAAACGAUGCACCCCCGCCGUCUAGACCCACGCGGUACACCACAUAGACACUAGACCCACAUCACUUACGCCGGCCCCCAAGCCAACCAUUCCCCGUGUAGACUCAUAUGCCACACCCCGCUAAAUAGCUUAGCACAAGAUUUUCACCCCGAUUUCCACAACAUGCACCACUACACGUAAGUGUCCAAAAAAUGGACUAUCGCAUUAUCAACAUUUUUUUGCCAAAACAAGUAAGUUGUUUUUAAAUUGCUUGAAAAUAGCAAGGUUUCUGUUAAAUUAUAAUUUCAUUAAUUACACAUUAUAACGUGCAUUUGUUGUCCCUCAAAAGGGGUGCAUUCCUUUGUGUAAACCCACAAAAUUACUUCCUUUCCCUCGAAAAAAUGAAUCCUUCUUCACCCUCUCACGAUCACGUUCACGGUGGCCUCGCCCUAUAAUCUAGGAGUGGUCGUUCCAAUCUCCCCACGGGGGACAACUUCCACACACUAUCUAUCUUGGUUGGUUGCAACCAUCUCGCCAUCAUGGUUUUUUAUGGGAAAAUCACAUUCUUUUAUUUUUCCUUCCAAAGAUAUGUGGCGAAAAAACGUGGAACAAAAAUUGUAGAAGGCAUGGUGGGAUACGUGCACAUGUUGUCUUUUUGUACUACAAGUGCACUUGUUGGCAAGUUGCAUGUGCACAUGUCAUGUAUCAUUUUUUAUUGAAAAUUAUGUUGUACACCUUUACAUAGACGCUUGAAUUAUUGUUUUCGUAUGUUAAUAAUUCCUAAAUAUUGAAAUUCAGCAUGCACAUAACACAUGGUUUCCAUGCUUUGUCAGUGACAGCUGUCUGGUAUUGGGCAGGGGAAUGUGGAUCCAUGCGAUGCCAUGCGUUUCAUCUGGACCCAUGUCAUGCACCCCAACCAAUCGGGCCGACAUCAUGUGCCGCUAGGCUUCUCGAUCCUAACCAUGUGCUAGUGUCCAACAUGGCUAGAGAUGCUCAAGUGCACAGUUUUGGCUGGCACUAGUGAAUGACGUCGUAUCUCGGUGUGCAAUAUUUGUAGUCGCGUGUUGCUUUGACAUACCUGAAAUGCCGAGGGAAGGGACUCGUGUCGGAGGUCCAACGAACCGAGGUGGGGUCAAUAAUGGAUGGAUGGUGUGGGUGAACCUGGCAAACGGUGCACGGUUUGAGUGAAGUUGGCUAGGUGUGCAUGGCUGGGUGCUAUAUGGCUAAUGAGUGCGCAUGUGUCUUGUGUACAUUGUCAAGGUUGACCGGUGAGUGUCUACUUGGCCACGCGUGCAUGCAUGGUGUGGGUUCAGUUGGUGUGUGGCGCGGAGUUGCACGCAGUAGAUAUUUUUGGUUGGUUGCAAAUUUCUCUCCAAAACGGUUUAUUAUGAGAAAAUCACCUUAUAUUUUUUUACUUCCAAAGACAUGUGGCGACAAAAGCAUGGAACAAAAUUGUAGGAGGCACGGUUGGAUACGUGCACAUGCUGUCCUUUUCUACUACAACUGGACCUGUUGGCAAAUUGCAUGUGCACGUGUCAUGUUUCAAUUUAUCUUGAAAAUUUUGUUGUACACAUUUACAUAGGUGAUCGAAUUGUUGUUUUCAUAUGUUAAUAAUUCCUACAUAUUGACCACGUGACACAUGUAGUAAGCAAUCCAAACAAUUCAAAAAAAAAUCCCUAAAUAUUGAAUUUAAGCAUGCUCCUAGAAAUUAUCAGUCAUAGAACCAACACCUCUUUCGUAGAGAUUAAGGUACUUCCACAUUAAAUCUAACACAAUAAAUUCAAAGGAUCAACUUAAUACAUUAAUAGCACAUAGGGAUGUAGCCCAUGAAUCCAACGAGUAGAGAUAAAAGGAGGAACAAAAGCUCGAAGAAGAUGGAUUAGCCAGCAGCAGCGCCAGCAGCAGCGCCAUCAGCCUCCUAGCCUCACAACUCCAGGUCUCCAGCCUUGUGAACUCCAGUUUUUUCCCGCGAAACACGAAUGGCAAAGUUACUAUUACAGGUUAGGACUUAGUGAAAAUUACAGUAUUGUUGAAACAGUUAUAAUGACAAACAGUGUUGACAUGAUGGUUACAACAAGCAAACAAAACCAAGCUCACAAGUGCAACUUACUUUUAACAUCAAACAAUUAUAUUAACAUGGCCACUUUAGAGCGAGAUUUUACCAUGCAACAUAAACUUGUCAUAGCAACAAAAGGCAUGGCAUGAAAGUAUUGACAACAUAAUGCAAAUAAAUUUUAGGAAGCAUGGCCAUAGAAGUUAUAUUUUUAGUGGCAACCUUCAAGCAAAGUUACAUAGUUUUAUAACAGAAAGGGGCCACAUAACUAGGAGCAUUUGUGUGUGCGUGACUGCCAUGGGACCCGGAUGUUAGUGGCUUACUUUCAAAACAAAAGGGGGGUUUAUAGUUUAGUGGGAACCAUCAAGCAAAUUCGCAAAGUUUUACAGCUGACAGAUUUAGACUUGCUGAGAUGCACAGAGUAAAAUGAUGGCAUGUUGGAGGCAAUAAAUAAAUAUGCUACAUGGCUUGUCAUGGCAUCUAAUUGCACAGAAUGCUAAUUACAAAUAAUGGAUAAUAAGACAUACAACAUGAGCAUCUCCAUAAGACCUGGUAGCUCUACCAAAAAGAAAUCAACAACUAAAAAAAGGUUCAAAUAUAGUAUCAAGCACUUAAUAAUAGAAAGACACAUAACAAAUUUUUGGAGUAGAAGUGCAGGUGAAAAUCAAAUACUACCACUACAACAAUACAAAUUUAGCCUAGGGUUCAUAUACAUCAUAAUCCAGCCCCCAAAAGCAUGUACUCAAUCACUAACACCGCAACUGUAAGCACGAGCAGUAGGAAGAUUAGGAGUGGGGAAGCUUACCCUAAACAACGGUGCCGCCAUCGUUCAGACGAGGGGAGCAGCGAGGGAAGCAUGGAGAACGGCGGGGAAGCGAUGUCGCGACCACUGUCCUCCUCCUCUUGCGCUUCGAAGUCAUCUCCGACUCGGUUGGAGGCUCCAUAAUAUGCAACGGCACCUCGUGCACCAUGGGUUCCUGAUCCAGUGGAUGCUCUACCCUGGAUCUGAACGCCCACCACCUGCGCCUGUCCCAUGGGCUGGACGAAUUGCCUACUCCAUCGCCCACAGGAGGAUCUAGAUGUCGUGCCUCGGUUGUGCGGGCGGGGGGGGGGGGAAGCUUUUUCUUCUCCCAGGAUGUCAUUUCCCUCAAAGUGGCCCUUGCCGUCCAGUGCAACUGCCUUAUGUUGUUAAACCAAGUACGGAUCGCCAUCAACCUGGCCAUCUUUACCUGGUCGCCGCCGGUGAUCUGCUCCUCCAUCGAGGUUCUUGCAUGGAUGGAAGAAGGGGGUGGGAUGUGGAAGAGGAGACGAGCAAAGUUGCGGCCGCGAGAAGGAGGAGAAGGAGAGGGAGUAGAUGUCGCGGUUAUAAUGGCGAUAGGUGAGAGGAAGGACGAUUGCGGCGGUGGUUCUGCAUUGGAUGAGAGGGGCGGCGGUUCUGCAUUGGAUGAGAGGGGCGACGCGUGAUUGUUUUCUUCCUAUGAAUUUUUUUGAGACAAAUUUUUCCUAUGACUAAAAUUUCAGUGAUUAAAACGGUUCCAAAAAAGCCCAACCACUGUAAAACUUUGUAUAAUAAAUAUAGAUAAUUCGGGCCAACCAAAGCCCACAACAUGAAUUAAUAGUACACUUACAACUUAAAUAACACCAAGACAAAUAUAGAUAGAUAGAUUUUUAGCUAAAAAGAUAGAUAGAUAGAUAGAUAGAUAGAUAGAUAGAUAGAUGGCCGUUGAUUCUCCACCAGGCUCCUCCUUGUUCCUCCUCCGGGCGCCCUUCACUGCUCCUACGCGGUGUUGUUGAUGGGGUACGGCAGAGUGUGCAUGCGCUCGUCGGUGGGGAAGACGUUGUCAUAGUCCGUGAAGAUGUUAUGCGUGGUGAAAGCUAUGAACUCCCAGCCACACUAGAACACGUGGCCGAGGAGGUAGAACGCGUCGAAGGGGUUAGUGAAGUGGGCAAGGAUAGCAACCACAACCCCGUUGUGGAUGACCUCCCCGACUCGGUACAUCCUUGGAGAUCCCCGAGGGACGUGCCCGUAGCCGGCCCGAAGGAAGAAGUCGGUGAGCCCCCUUGCGCCCCUCCACCUUGACCUUGACGUACACCUCGGCGGGUAGAGCAUCUCCAGCACGGUGGGGGGGAAGCAGUAGGUUGGCACGUGUACUGCAUGGCUGCGGCGGGCUGGUUCUUGGGGCUGUUUGUGGUGAAGAAGAAGAAGAAGGGCAGGCGCAAAAUGCAGGUGGGAGAGUAUGGGAGAUGGAUGAAGGGUGUGGGAGGACGAGAAACAUGAUAGGUGGCUUAAAUAGCCACCGUGGGAGUAAUGGGGUCAAAUGUGAACAAAUUUUCCACCCACCGCGGCAUCGGGAGUGCACGCGUGGGAAACUGUAGUGUGAAUCAAAAUGCGAAGUUUAAGUGCUGGCCUAUGUGCCGUCGGUCGGGUCAACCGGGGACGGCUCUGCGGCGUGUGCUCCUUCGCGUAUGUGCACGCAUGCAAUGUAGGCUGAAGCGGACGCAUGCAUGUAACCGCAUGCAACGUAGGCUCGCUCGGGCGCAUGCAACAACGGCGGACAUCGCUCUGUCCAAUGGGUGGGCUUCUUUACAUAGCCCAACAACACGAUGCAUGGCAGCCCACCCUCGAGCGCAGAAAAAAAAGAAGUAAGUAUUAGUAUGAUUUAUCGACGCGAAAGCCCUAGAUAAUCCUUACAAUGUCAAAAAGCUACGAAACUUGGCAAUGAUGCUAGUCAUGUUGGUACAAGGUUGUUGGUCCACUUCAAGGAUGUCGAAAAAAUUAUGCUUCGAGACGGACCCUUCCCGUCCCGAAAGGCCUCCCAUGAAGCAGGUUCAGAAUGACACCGAAUUUUGCCAGGAUGUAAGACAAAUGAGAUCCACACUUGUUCAUGUUGGCCAAUGUGGGACUGACUGUCGAAGGAGAUAAAGAUUGAUACUUGUUCAUGUGGGCCCAUAUUUUUUUUACAUUUGGUGUCGAUAGAACACAAAAAACAAACAUGACUAUAUGCUUUUAGGUCUUCACCCUCCCCAAUUUGUUGGCCAACUCAGCAGGUUUUGCCUUAAGAUGCCACCUCUUUCUGUAAGCUGCAAUUGCUGUGGUUUUGGAAUGCUGGUUUUCUUUCCUGUAGAAUGGGCAUUUAUAGAGACCAUUACACCGAUACACAAUCUUUGCAGCCAUGAGCCACUUGAAGAUUUUCUUUCUGAAAGCUUCCUUUAGCUAUAGGUAGUUCUCCCAUUCUUCCAAUUCUGCAAUCUGGUAUUAGAAGAAAAAAAAUCUCAUGCCAGCGAAUUGUACAUUAUAUCAAAGGCACGUAAUAGAUUAUUUUUUCUUUGUAUUGGUUUCCUAAAACUUUGGUUAUAUGAAAGACAUGCAUAAACUGGAAUACAAAUGAUCCAUUCAUCUAAAUUUGCAAACCCUAGGACUGAUAACCGUACGAUUAAUCAAAAAAAGGCGAACUGUACGAUUGUCUAUACGAAUAGCAAGGAAUAACAAGAGAGCAAUUUCUAGGGUUAACCUCGAGAAGGAAAAAUCUAUGGUUAAUAUCUACAGACACUGACUGAUUAGUCGUCGUUGGUGCUGUGUUGGACUAGUUGCGGCUGUGAAUCGGCGGCGACGACGUCCUUGUCGACCAGUUCCUUCAUGGGGUCCACAUCCGCCGCACAGAGCGCACCAGCCAUGCACCCUCUCCCGAUAGGUAGGAUCAUCCUCAUCGGCAAGAAUGUGGGCUUUUUGGCGGCGGCGAGUAGUGGUCUGCGACGAAGACAUGGGUGGAUAGGUAGAGGCGAUCGAGCGCUGGAGGCGGGAGCGAGAUUUGGGGAGUGAAAAUUCAAUUUGAUUGGGAGAGACAGGUCAAGGCCGCGCACAAUUCGUCACUUUUGAAAUUUAGGUACAAACAUGCACGUAUACAACAUCGUGCACACUGAGAGAUUUGCCCGAACCAACCAAUCAACCAACCAAGUAAAAUAAAAAGUGCACACUAUCGGUCCACAAACGUGGCAACAUAAACCGAACAACAAAAUAGCAUGUUAAAAACAAGAAAAAUAGGAGGGACGUUUUUUUGUUUUGCGGAGUACUACUAAAUACUAGAAGGGAGAAUUACUGAAAAAAAUACUAGAAGGGACAGUUGGCACAUUUAAUUUCACAUGGGGUCUACUAGCUUUUUUGUUCAUCGCUAGCUAUGCUGUACCGAUUAGGUAAAAUGAAUGGAUAAUUAUUAAACCCUAGCUAUUGUCAAGGUUUAUCGGUGUGUGUCUACGUGGCCAAGUGUGCUUGCACGGUGUGGGUCCAGGUGUGUGUGAUGCACGGGACGGGCCUUUGUGGUUAGGGCCCACAUGAAGCGGCACCGAAUUUUGAGGAAAGUGAAGGAACGAGCCCCACACACCGUCCGCAUGCCGGACUUGUUCCCUCCCAUUGGCUAUAUCCAACAUGGGAUAUGGCCUCAUUUACACUUACCCCGCGUGAGGGUUUAUGCAUGCCCCUCUCGGUGUUUGACCAUACCCUUCAUGGGCAUAUGAUGAGACCACGCCAGCCCCGUGAUGCACCGCCCAGGCACAAACCGGGCGCGUUACCUCUCGGUAGCUAGAUCCAAACCAUGCACCCCCGCUGUUUAGACCCAAGUGGAGUAGCACCUAGACACAUGACCCGCGACACUUGUGCCAGCCCCCGAACCAUGCAUCCCCGCCGUGUAGACUCAUAUGUGGCCAUGUGUGCAUGCAUGUUGUGGUUCCAGCUUAGUGAGAUGCACGGGACGGUCCUUGGUUACUAGGUCUAACAUCACGCGGCACCGAGAUUUGAGGCAAAUGAAGGAACGGGCCCCGCACUCCUUUCACAGGACGGACGCAUUCCCAUUAUGUGGCUUGAUCCAGCAUGGGAUAUGGCCCCAGUUGCCCAUAGCCUACGUGAGGGCCUACGCAUGCCGCUCUUGAUGUUUUAGCACACCCUCUAGGGGUCGUAUGAUUACACUUGCGCUAGGUCCCGUGAAUUUUCGGCCCCUUGAUAAUUUGCAUGGAUUAUAACGGCAGCUGAUGAGAAUCAUAGCCUAGAGAACGGCGUCGAGGCCACCCCUCCCUUUGGUAGCAUAUGGUGCAUAUAUGGACCAAAGAGCUUAACAUGGGGCUUUCAUCCCAAUCCUUGCUAUGAUUUCAUGUGGCUGACGUAGAUCUUGAACUUUCAAUGUUAAAACCCUAGAAAUGCGGUAAAUGUCCUGAAUAUGGGAGGGAGGGGGGAGGGGGGAAGCCCACACAAUAAACGAUCCCCAUAAUUUUAUGUUUGUUUUAUCUGGCAAGACAAACAAGUUUUUUAAAAUAAGGGUUUUUAGCAUGUUUUAAUAAGGAUUUUAUAAUUGCACAUUAUAAGGUGCUUAUUUUUUCCUAAAACAAAUGUGUUGUAAAUGCAUAAAGCUCCCCAUUGAGCCUCUCACCAUCACGUUCACAUUGAACUCACCCUAAAAUGAAGGAGAGGUAGAUCGAAUCUCCCCACGGGGUGCAACCUCCAGCUAGUAGAUAAAUAUGGUUAGUUGAGAAUUUCUCCCCAACUCGUUUUUUGAGGCAAAAUCACUUUCUUUUUUUCCUCCAAUAUUGUGGCGAAAUACAUGGAAGAAAAAUCGUGGGAGGCACGGUGGAAUGAGUGCACCUGUUUUCCCCUCCAAAAGUGCACUAGUUGCCAUAUUGCAUGUGAACGUGUCACCUGUACAAACAAUUGAAUUGUCGUUUUUAUUUUGUUAAGAAUUCCUAAAUAUUGAAUUUUGGCAUGCACCUACCCCAUGUCAGUUAGGUCAAAUUUGUUUUAUCCAAGCUCCGCCAGCGACCGUGCAGGUUCUUGUACCAUGCACGUGCUGCUCCGGGCCUCUGGCGUCCGGUACCGGACAGGGGAAUCUAGAUGUGAUGCAAUACAAUUCAUGUUGACCCAUAUCAUGCGCCCUUAGCCAACCAAGCCGACAACAUGCAUCGCUAGCCACCUCGAUGUAGACCAUGCGGUACUGUCCACGACGGGCAAACAUGCUCAGUUGGACAUGUUUGCUGGCACUAGUGCAUGAUGCCGAAUCUCGGUGUGCAAGACGGGUAGCCGUGUGUCGCUUUGACAUGCUUGGCUUACGGAGGGAGGGACUGGUUGGAGAACUAAUGAACCGAGGUGGGGUCAAGGGUGGAUGGAUGGUGUGGGUCAACUUGGGUAAAGGGGAACGGUUUGAGGCCAUUUGAACAAUUUAUGCCAUGGCUAUGGUCAUGAGCUACCUCACUUGCCGUACCAUGAAAUUUUUCAUAAGGGGACAGUGUAAACCUAAAAAUGUUGAGUUUUAUUUUUGGAUAUCCUGUUUGUUACAUUUAUGGCAUCGUGUACAACAAAUUUAGCGUUAUUUUGGAGAUGGUCAAAAAAAUCACUUCAUUACAAACGGACCGUUUGGUCUCACUUAAGCGAGUUUUUCUAACAAGGUGGUUUUUUCGACCACAUCCAAAUCACCUGAAAUUUUGUACACAUGAUCUUUUCAUAAACAUAGACGGAAUUUUUAAGUUUUCCAUUUUUUUAGAAUUUUAUAUAAUUUAUAGUGGCUCAAAGAAACUCAGGAACAUACCUCUGACUUUACCCUAAAGGGACAGUGCAAACUUCAUUAUUGCUAAAUUUUCUUUGAUAAUCAUGUUUAUUACAUGGAUGUGACUGCGUUAAAAAAAUUGGGUGAUUUGGAAAAGAAAAAGCACACCAACUAACAGGAGAUAUCAAACCCCACGGCCUGCAUACGACUAGAAACCUGACAACCAUAUGGGCCAGGAUGCAGGCCCGUGGGACGUUGAUUUCUCCUGCUAGUAGGCCCCAUAGGGCAUACAGAGAAGUGGAUAGGGAACUUGUUGUUUUAGUGAGAGAGGCUCAUGCAAUUGUUGCCUCAGCCGCGUAUAUAAGUAGGUGCGUGCGCGUCUCGCUUGGCGAGGUGGCACUAAACUCCCACCACCCGUCAGUUGCGCCCGGUGCGUCACAGCGUUGGGCCAAAUUUUGUUGGGUUGUCCCAGGCGAACCUCACCCGCGUGCUAGACCACGCGUCCCUGUAGAUGGUUGGUCUGACCCAUCAUGUACGCAUACCCUUUUUCUUUUUUGUUUUUCACAUAUUCUUUUUCAUUUAUUAUUAUACAGUUCUAAAACAAAGGUUGUUAUAAACGCACAAAACUCCUUCUUCAGCCUCUCACCAUCACGUUCACGUUGAACUCACCCUAAAAUCAAGGAGAGGUAGAUCGAAUCUCCCCAUGGGGGACAACCUCCAUGGAGUAGCUAAAUAUGGUUACUUCAGAUUUUCUUCCCAAGUCGUUUUUUGAGGGGAAAAUACAUUUUUAUUUUUUCCUCCAAUAUUUGUGGCGAAAUACAUGGAACAAAAAUCGUGGGAGGCAUGGGGGCUACCUGUUUUUCCCCUCCAAAAGUGCACUUGUUGCCAAAAUGCAUGUGAACGUGUCAUAUUCCCCAUUUUCCUUAAUACAUGUUGUACACCUGCACAAACAAUUGUAUUGUCGUUUUCAUUUUGUUAUCAAUUCCUAAAUCUUGAACUUCAGCAUGCACCUAUCUCAUGGCGUCUCAUCCAAGCUCCCACAUCAACCACGCAGAGUCUUCUACCAUGCAUGUGUGCUGCUCCGACGUCCGGUACAAGUUAGGGGAAUCUUGAUCCGAUGUGAUGCGAUUCAUGUCUACCCAUAGCAUGCACCGCUAGGCAAACGGGCCGACAACAUGCACCGCUAGCCGCCUCGAUCCAGAUAAUGGCAAAGAUGCUCAGCUGGACAUGUUUGCUAGCACUAGUGCAUGAUGCGCCAAUCUUGGUGUGCAAGACGUGUAGUCGUGUGUCGUUUUAACAUGCUUGGCAUACCAAGGGAAGGGACUCGUCAGAGAUGCAAAGAACCGAGGCGGGGUCAAGGGUGGAUGGAUGGUGUGGGUCAACUUGGCUAAAGGUUUAUGGUGGGUGUCUACGUGGCAAGUGUGCAUGCAUGGUGUGAAUCCAGCUAUGUGUGAUGCACUAGACAGGCCUUUUUGGAUAGGGCCCACAUGAAGCGGCAACGAAUUUUGAGGAAAAUGAAGGAAUGGGCCCCACACUCCGUCUGCAUGCCGAACUCAUUCCCUCCAUUGUCUACAUCCAGCAUGCGAUAUGGCAUGCCUUACACAUAGCCUGCGCUAGGGCUUAUGCUUGCCACUCUCGGUGUUUGACCACAGCCUUCAUGGGUCAUACGACGAGACCACGCCAGGCCCCGUGAAGCACCGCCUAGACACAAACCGGACGCGUUACCUUUUGGUAGCUAUAUCCAAAGCACAUGCAGACCCGCCAUCUAGACCCACGUGUGGAGCAUCACGUUGACAUUUAGACUCGUAGGUGGACAUGCAUCCUCUUGGUAGACAUUUAGACUCAUGCGUUACCUCUUGGUAGCUAGAUCCAAACUGGACUCACACCACUUACGCCAGUCCCCGAACCAUGCAUCCCCGCCGUUUAGACUCAUACGUGGACAUGUGUGCAUGCAUGUUCUGGGUCCAGUUGAGUGCGAUGCACAAUACAUACCUUGGUUACUAGGUCUAACGUCACAUGGCAUCGAGAUUUGAGGUAAAUGAAGGAACGGGCCCCGCACUCCUUUCACAGGCUGGACGCAUUCAAUCUCAAUGGCUUGGUCCGACAUGCGAUAUGGUCUCGUUUGCACACAGCCUAUGUGAGGGCCAAUGCAUGCUGCUCUCGGUGUUUUACCACACCCUCUAGGGGUUGUACGAUGACACCACACCUGGUCCGGUUAAUUUUUAGCCCCUCACGAAUUUGCAUUGAUUAUAACGACAGCAGACGGGCAUCAUAGCCAUAGAGAACGGCUUCGAGGCCACGCCUCCCGUUGGUAGCAUAUGGCACAUAUAUGGACCAAAGAGCUUAACAUGGGGCACUCAUCCCAUUCCCUGCUAUGAUUUCAUGGUGGUCACAUAAGAUCAUGAACUUUCGAGGUUACAACCAUAGAAAUGAGGUAAAUGGCCCGAAUAUGCGAGGGGGGGGGGGGCGAGAAACGCGAAGCAAUUACCUACCCCCAUUAUUGAAGUUUGUUUUUCUGGAAGGAAUCUAUUUUUUAUAAAUAAGGAAUUUUCAGCACUUAUUAAUAACGAUUUUAUAAUUUCACAUUGUAAGGUGCAUUAUUUCUCUAAAACAAAGGUGUUGUAAACGCACAGAACUCCUCCUUGAGCCUCUAACCAUCACCUUCACGUUGAACUCACCCAAAAUGGAUUUCCCUCUUUUUUUAUGAUUUUCCUUUGUUUUUGUUUUUUAGACAAAAGGAUUUUGCUUUGUGUUUUUUGUAUUAGUAACAUAGGGUUUUACUUUGUGUCCGGUAUGCGGCCUAUGGGCCUGUUUGGUUGUUUCUUUACAAACUGGACCCACGGGCCGUUAUUUUUUGUGCUUGACACGGAUAGGGUCCGUGUCAUCACCCCCAUCGCCCACACACCCCCGCCCCCUCACUACCACCCUCCCCACAAACCACCCCGCCGCCUACUCGCCUGGCCGCUCUCGACGGUUGGAGCAGAAGAGCGUGGAGUGAGAUUGGGAGGCCGUCAGCAAGCACCUAGCGACUACCGGCGACUAGUUGAAGUGAGAAACCCUAACUUGUAAUCUUCGACUUCUUUGUUCCUUGUUGUGUUGCCAUUUCGGGAGUUGGAUAUGGUUUUCAAAGUCAGAGAUUAGAUAGUUAGCAUUUUUAAAUCGGAGGUUAGGUGGAAGGCAAUGCAGAGAUUGAAGGAAGUUUUCUACAUCUAUGGCUAGCUGGGUAUUUUUUUAGGGUUUCGGUAUUCCAGGGUUUUCAUAACAAUGAACAAGUGCAGAUGCGUAACACAAUAGCAGCAAAUUUCAGCAAACAGACCUUUAAAAACUUUAAAAAAUAUUGGCCUUGUGCAGUGGCGAAUCCCGGAAGAAACCAAAGGGUGGGCUCAAAACUUAUAAGCUGGCCUAGUGGAUUAAAUUCCUUUUUAGGCCGAAAUUAGGUUGGGUUUAGUAAGGCAGCCAUUAACCUGUAGUCCUAGAUUGCAAGUCAACUAAACAUUUCUCAGAAUAAUAUUUACUGGAGUGUUUUUUUUGUAGAAUAUGAAAUUUGAUCCAAAUAUUUGUAUCUUUGUAGGGAAAUAGCAAUAAACUCUUAAUUCUGUUGCCCAAAUUAGUUCAUAUUUUAAAGAUUAUAAAUGUGAGGGCGUACAAUAUAUCAGAGUUUUUAGGAAUUAUUUUAGUCUUUAUUUUGUGUGGUUAUGUAGUACCAGGAAAAAGUGAAGUAAGUUCAUUUUCUCCAACAUGACAGACAAGUGGCUAAUUGAGUUGGUUACCCUGACGAUCCUACGUCCGUCCAGAACAGAUUUUCUUUUCUUUUUCAAGGACCAUAUUGUUGGAUGCGGAUGUAUGUAGAUGGGCUGUAUGUUGAAGGUGUGCGUGUGUACAUUCGGGUGGGCCGAGUAACAGCAGUAGUAGGAUUUAUGUUUUCAUAGGACUUUUCUCAGAGAUUACUUCUCAGUCUCAGACACUACCUCAGUUGUGCUGUAGAGGAGGAGGGGCCAAUGCCGCGCGUUGACGCUUGGGGUGAGACCAUGUUGCCGGAAAAGGAUGAAGAGAAGGACAUGUCUGAACAAGCUGUGGUGCGGCGGGCACGCGCUAUGUUGCGGGGUUAUGAGGAGUGUAGGGCGAGCCACCCGCUCAGUUCAAGUGCAUGAUUGUUGAUUACUGAUGCAGUACCUUCAUUGAUUAUACUGUAUGAUUAUUGCCUAGUGUGUUUACAUGCAUACGCCGUUCUUAAAUUCUCAUCCUUUGCUUUUCUUCAUUUUAUUUUGUUUACACAGGUGGUGUGCAUAACCUGUCGACAUGAUUGCAACAGGCCCAAUGAAGAUGGGUUGACAUUUACCAUUAGGCUAGAUGGGGACACUUCAGCUCUGGUAUAAAUAAUCAUGUCAAUUUUACUUGUACAGUGUUUGUUCCCCUCUACUUUGAAGAUUAACAAUAUGUAGGAAAUAAAUAGCAAUUAAAUUCUACAUCUAUAGAUCAUGCCAUCCUAGACAGUUCAUUGCUUGUUUAAGCGAGAGGGAGCCGCAUGUAUGAUUUUGGCGUGUACAAAGGGAAUUCAAGGGCGAUCAUCUGUGGUAAAAACUGGUGCAGGUUUGUUGAAGACUUCGACCUGCGAGAAGGCGACCUUGUCUCCUUCGAUUUGACUGAAGACAUUCCUAUGGUGUACUGCUGCAACCUGCCAAGGACAUGUGAUCAAAACAAAGAGCAUAAAGAUGCUCUAGAAUUAACUGUCAUAACAAAGGGAAUUAAUCUUACGAAGCAAGAGGAGUGUAACCUACAUGACCUUUUGGCGAUGAAGAAAGGUUAUAUAGGUGCAUUUUUUGUCCACCGCUUCACCAAGUCGAACAUAGCAGGAAAGACGAUGGUAUGUUUUUGGUGUACUAGUAUUUUCUAUUUUGUAUGCAUUUUUCUUUGUUUUUUCAUGGAGAGAAAGUUUAAUGAUAUGCUAUUGUUGCUGAAACCAGUGAAUACACUGAUGUGUGUUUUUGCAUAUCCUUUUGUUUCCCAUAACUGAAGAUCCUUAUGUAAUAUAUGUAGAUGUAGCUGAAGAUCCUUUUGUUUACUACUCCCUCACAUAUUUGAUAAUUUUUCUUCCUAUGACGGUGCAUACAGAGAUUACCAGUGAAACUUUUCGACGCCCUGAAGACCCCAGGAGAUGGGGAGAUACCGAGAGAUGGGCUUGUUGGCAUUCGGCUGUGCAAGGACAGUUUGAUGCCAGUAAAAUACCACAAGUGUGAUGAUGGCCGCAUCAUCUUCGGCAAGGGAUGGAGUGAUUUUGUUGACAGUGAAGAUCUUAAGGUUCACCGUUCUUUUCAGUUUCAAGACCACCACCCGUGCAGAUCUUCAGAUCGAGGUGGUUAUGAACAUGCUGACCGAGGAUCCCCAAAUGUAGCACGACAACGCAAGAGUGUCCUUUAUACUAGGUAUAGUGCGAAAACUAUUUUGAUAGCAGUUAUCCAUCUAUGGGGUUAUGUCUUCAUUAUGUCUUGGGUGAUGAUGACUAUGGGAGGAGGACAUGUUGUAGUUAGAGUAAAUGCUAGGAUUCGGCCCUAUUCAGGACUCAAAAUAGGUCUUUCGUAGGUGGUUGCUUUAUUGGCUACUGUUUCCCUCGCUAUAAUCAUGAACGAUGGUAAUGCAGAUGGAAUCGUUAAGGGGGUUUUAUUAAUAUUUUAAAUCAUGGAGUUAAGAUGGUAGAACUACCUAUGAGUGUUUGUGUAGGAGAUGCGGGAAGGGCAUCAGUUGUGUUUUUGACUCUUUGGCAAUGCAGGAAUAAUGUGAGAUUACAAAAUAAAUGGUAUAGUGAUCUUAUGAUUCUUGUUUAUCUAAUUUGCUAUGAUUCUUGUUUAUCUAAUUUGCUUGUGAAUCAUGGGAUGGUCUAUAUUGCAUAUGAAGGUGGUAAACAAAGAGGUGCUGAUGUUGGGAGCAAAGAGGUGAUGAUGGUCUACAUGCGCACGCUAGAGCAUGUAGCAGGUGAAUUGUACAGUUCAUCGCAAGUGUGGAGUCACAGGGUACUGCGGUGUCGCCUGCGCAUCUCUGCCGUAGUUUUAUUUUUUGGAUCUUCAUGUUAAGUCUAGUUGGGCUUACUACCAUGUAUGAUUUGUGUUGCUAGUUGAUUACUUUAGUUUCUAGCUGUAGUUUGUAUCAGGGGCUUGAAAGACCAUGUGUUUUCUGUUAAUGGAAAAUUAGAGGGGGCGGCCCUUCUUUUGAUUAAAAAAAUGAACUUUCUCUAUGCAAUUAAAAAAUAAAAUUUCUCUAUUCAAACCCAGUUGAGAACAAUAUUCAUUAUAAAUCUGAAAUAAUCUUUUGGAAAAAAUGGCUAUCGCAUUCUAUGUAUUCAUUAUAAAUAUGAAAUAAUCUUUUGGUAAAAAUGUCUGUCGCAUUCUGUAUCAUAGCUAGCGAAACCGAAACAAAAUAAAUGUCUUAAGUAUAAUAUCUCAUGAACGUGGAUCAAAUUAGGCGAGACAGCUAGAAUAAAGGAUGAUUCAACUUGCAGGAAAUUUGAACCUACGACUUACUAGCAGUAUAAUAAAGUUUACAGACUAUCGGCUAGAUAAAUAGAAGAAACAUUUUAUGUUGAUUCAUUCUUCCUUCCGGACUUCUUUGACCGCCUAGAUGGUUUGGCGAGAUGCUGGCGCUGACUCUGGAACCCCUUCUGGAAGUUCACCAACCGCAUGUAUAUGUCAUAGGUGGCAUACGCGUCCAUGGAAGCAUAAUAGAUGUUCUUCAAGGGCAAGGGCGCUUCUGCCCAUAUAUGGUGGUCAUCUUCUGUGAGAGUGUCCUUCAUCUUGUUGUAGAUGUGGUGGAUGAUGGAACCAGCGUAGUCAGCCAAGCCAUACUUUGGCUUAGUCCUCACUGGAUCAUGCACUCUCCACAUAUUCUGGAUAUCCACAAAGUUUUGUACCACCAGAUCAACAUGCUUGAGUUUUUUCUUGUCAUUGUCAAUGUCCCCCCCAACAAAGGUGUACUCCUCGUCGAGCAGGAAGGUGGCAAGCAGGCCGCAGUGCUCAUCAGCAACGCUUAUGUGGUACACGAGGACGUAGAUGCCAAUGCAUAACUGGACCAUGGCCGCCAUCUGUGUCGGACCACGAGGCCAGGUGUACUCCACAUCCAGUGCAACUAUCUUCUGGUCGUCGUUCCGCAGCCAGUAUUUGAAUCUGCCAAUACAGUACUCAACACAACUAGCCUUGUUCGUGUACUUCACACAAAUUUCGGUAUUUCCAUCUGCCCUAGCAUCAUAAUCAUUAUCGAACGCCAUGCAGAAGGACUGUAAUUGAUGAAACCAGCAUAAGACAUGAAGCAUGACAAUAACAUGAUAACAAUAAGCCGAGAUGAAUAUGACGGGAGAUAGUAUGGGAAUUCUGGCGCUAUUGAAAGUUUAUGUGAACAAGUGCAUGAACAAUUUAAACUAAACAAGUACUCCCUCUAUAAAGAAAUCACUAAAGUAGUGAACCAAAAGUUGUUAUAUUUCCUUGCAGAGGGAGUAUAUGCGAAUUAACAAUCAAAAUUUACGCUCUUGAAAUAUUUAUCUAAACAACUGCAUCAACAAUCAAGAAUAAACAUGUAUCUAUGAAUUGUUCAUCGCCCAUGCAGAUGAAACUGUGUGUACAAACUAAAGAAGCAGGAGAAAAACAAGAAAUUGACAAGACAACGGACUAGAUGUUGCAUGCAGAUGAAUCUGUGUCCAAAAUUCUCAUAAGGCAACGGACUACAUGUUGCAGGAAGAUGAAUCUAUGCGCACAAAAUAAAGAAGCAGGAGAACAAGAAAUUGAAAAGAAGAAGGCCAUCGUAUGUGAUGCUACUCGAGAACUACUAAAAGAAUUGACAGGAAGAAGAACUCACCGUUCCAGAAGGCAGAUUGUUGGGAGAGUGAGCGAUGUAGAGGAAGAGGGAAUCGAGAGCACGCAGAGGUAGAGGAACCGUUUUUGGAGAAUCAUGGCAGUGAGGACGAAGCGCCCUCGCGCAUGCCCGUCCUAAAUAAUUGGGACGGGGCUCGUCCCACCUGUUGGAGUCCUCGCUUCCUUUGUCAUGUUCACAUUUAAAAUGGGCUCACCCAUAGGCCCGUAUAAGAAAGCACAAGAAGCCCAAACUCUUCACGGUUGAGAUUACUGAUCUAAACUUGCUAAAAAAUUCUCAAAAUAAAAAAAUAGCUAAAAAAACUGUACAUGAUCUAAAACUACCUCUUCGUGAGAUCCAAAAUUCACAAUAUUUCCUUCUGGUGGGUUGUUAGAGAAUCCCCUAUACAUAAACAUUAUGUGAUCUAAAACUACCUCUUCGUGAGAUCCCAAAUUCCCAAUAUUUCCUUGUGAUCGAUUGUUAGAGAAUCCCCUAUAAAUACGAAGCUUUUCAUGGCAUAGAUCGUAUACUUCCACCCCACGCCUCCCAUACCUAGCCUUCCAUGACUACACCGAAUUACCACCCCACGUCGCCCAAAGUAGCUCCCAGGUCGGUGAAGCCGACGGAGCCGUCAUCUUCAAAGCCUGCGUCGGCGAAUCCUGAGAUGAAAGAGAAGGGCACGUCAGAGAAGCCGACGAAAGAGAAGGGCACGUCGGAGAAGCCGGCGAAUCAAAAGAUGAACGCGAACGACAAUGGAGCCGGUCGCCAUUGAGAGAAUCCUCCAGUAAUGAUCAAGAUCCUUGUAUUGUGUAUACACCCUCCUUCCCAAGUCUGCAUGUAAUCCCAUUAUUUACGGUGCACUUCUUUUUGAUCUCGUUUAGUUACAGCCAUAACGAACUAUCCCUAUUUUACCGAAGGGAGAUUGGUGUGUAGAGAAAGGCUUGCACGAAUCUUAGCAUAAAAUCAAUGACAUAGGACUUAGAUAAGCAAUACUUAGAGCACAUCUACAUGUGCUUUAGCAAAACUUAAGGGAGAUCGUGGAUACCUUCCUGUCUUAGUUUUUAGUCGUGAAUGCCUCUCUCUGUAAUGAAACUUGCGCUAAUUUUCGUGCUGGAAAGUUCUAUGUGCAACGAUAUGGAAAGGAAGGACUAGUAAUUCAAUUUUGUUUAAAACCAGCAAUCGAAUCAACAAAAUAAUCAUAGUACUCCUAAAUGCCUUAUCAAAUAUGCAGUAGACAGAAUACAAAGUAGUUUUGUACGUAAGUUGCACGCCUCACUUAUUUGGCAUUGAGAACAUUAAAUGUAUGUACUAUAUUAAAACUUUAGGUUGACAAGAAAUAAAGGAGAAAACUAAAGAGAAAGAUGGACAGUAGGAUCACAUGUUACAUUCCUAGUAUGGUGAUUAUCUAUAAACUAUUGAUCUUGUGAUCAUGUAUGCAAUUAUUUUUGUAAGCGUGACGCCUAAAACUUUAGUAGUGUACAUAGAACAAAGUCUGCUCUUUGUACUAAAAACCUAUACUAUUAUCAGUCAAUUUGCUGACAGAGAUAACUUGUUUUUCUAUGUCUGGUGUUCAUUAUAUGGCCUAGAAGCUCUAUAAUUUCAUGCAGUACUGUAGAGCACAAAUUUGAUAUUAGCAUAGAUUAGAUCUAGUCGGUUCUAUGCGUGUUUAAAUGAAUACCCCUACAGAAUCUAAUCACACUAUUUGUACAUUUAGGGAACUCAGGUUGCUUCAUUGCUGCAAUACGAGAAGUUCAUAAAAGAAUUAAACGCACAAAAACUGACAUACAUCAAGUUGAUUGGACUGGGUGAACAUCUCAAGACUCCUGGCAUGAGAAUGAGACGUCUACUAUGCCAGGCCAUCGCUUAUUCAUAUGAUGCAGAGCCUUUGUAAUUAAUGGGAGACCAUGUAGGAUCACACUAAAAGAUGUGGAGCAUAUAACAGGCCUGCCCUGCAUGGGGAAGAAUCACGUCUCUUCAAAUCACAACGAUACUUUGGAGUUGUGGAAGGAACUGAAAGACCCCAAUGACACAAAAGUAACUUUGAAUGGAUUGUUAGCCAAGAUGAAAGGCAACAUCACACCUAAUUUUGUCAGGCCAUUUGUCUUGUACACCAUAGGCAAAUAUGUAUGCCUGACAACACAGCAGUAUGUGGAUAACAGAUACCUUGGGAUUGUUAGAAACGAUGAGACAAUAAAGAGCACCAAUUUUGGACAGCUUACACUUGACCAUCUUAUGACUAGCAUCAGGAAAUUUGUAAAUGGUGGAGCAAAUCUGGAGGGCAACCUACCAUUGCUGCAAGUAAUACAUUCAUUAUUAACAUACAAUACAUUUAAUUUUAUGGAAAAUUUUCUAAGUUGUUUUUGUUGUAAUGCAGACGUGGUACUACGAGAAGUGGAGGGUGCACCAAUUGGACUCUACCAUCUUGUAUGCAUCAAGGUUAAGGCCGCUGAUCCAAAACUGGAGUGACGAGAAGGCACAGAAGGUUGACAACAUAAUCAACAAAAAUUAUAUAGGGGUUGGAGAGGUAAAGUGUUAGUACUGUGUGCCUGGAUUAUCUACCAUAUGUUUUGAAUGAUACUAACGACACUAACAUACAGUAUGUCGAUGACCUGCUGCGGCCUUUCAAUCCGCCACCAGUUGGGACGCCGGUCAAACCAAAGACUGACAGUCAGGUAAAUGAUGAACAUCAGACACAAAUAUAUAUUGUAACUUUGCAAGUACAAUCGAAGUCAUAUGCUUCUAACUGCUUGUAAUUUGCAGGAUAAGGCACUCAUGGGCCAUGUAUUGGCCGAUUUGAAAGAAGUUGCCUCCAUUGUGCGGGAAGCCAGUGCACAACAAUUUGAUAGGAUGAGCACCCUUGAAAAAAAAUGGACGAGUGCCUUAUGCGUGCACUUGCGAACGGCAGACGCACAGACGACCUCAUCACAUAAUUCAAUGUAAGUAUACCAUUAUGAGUUUAUAUAAAUAUUUUUACUAUCAAAACUCUCCACACUAACAUAUUUGUUUUAGAGAACCACCGCUAUGGAAUAUUUGAUGCUGAUCGCCUAGGAGUAGAGGACAUACAACUAUCUGACCUGGGAGUACUUGCGGACCCAAUGGAGGUCCCAGGAGAGAAUACUACUUACCAGCAAAAACAAAAAAAGACACGGAGGUCAUUGCCAAAGGCAUUUCUGCUAAGGGAAUACAAAAAGAUAACAUGGAUGCCCCCAUGAAGAACGUAGCUGAAGACUUGCAGCCUGCUCCUAGUUUGCAAACGCGAAAGCAUUCAAAAACCACCACAAGCCUUUAAGCUUUCGUGGUGGUACACAUUUCACAUCUAACUAAUUUUGUUUUAAGUUAAUGAAGAUUCGUAGCUAACAUAUGAUCUUCCAUGUUCAGGACGAAGAAGACAGAGUUGUUGCUGCAGCUUGCAAGGAGAGUCUCAAGAAUGUUUCACAGCUUUAUAAAGAGCUGGAUGCUUCACAGGGUGCUUCGAGUUUGGAUUCGCGAAAGCAUUCCAAAGCCACCACAACCCUUGAAGCUUUUCCUGGUGAUGCACAUUUUACAGUUAAUUUGUUUUUUUUAUUUCAUGCAGAUUGCAAGCUAACAAGUGCUUUAUUUCGAAUCACAGGAUCCUCUGAAUUUGAGGCACAAUGAGAAUAUGUGAAAGGCUGAAGAAAGAAGGGAUCAAGAUGAUGAAGAUGUCAGUAUUGAGGUGGGGGGAGAGGCAGGUACCAAAAGCAAGCACCGGUCUGCCAAGGCUAAGGCAAUAAGGGAGCCGGAAGAGACCCAUGUCUUCCCAGUUGAUGAGGACAACUAUGAUGAUUCUUUAUCAAAGCAGCGACAAGAUAGUGUGGUUGAUUCCAUGCUACCAUCUCGUACGAGCAUCCGAAAAAGAGUGGCAUAUUCAUUAUUGUGCAAUGAAGAUUAUGUUCUGUAAGAUAGUGAUAAGAAGAGAAAGAGAAAGAGGACGCCAUCGGAGUCUACCAAGGAUUCCAAGGACACAAAGAAUACGAAGAGGAAAAACCGUGCAAGCAUUUUUAAAGAUACAGACACAGGUGCUUCGAGGGUGGAGAGCGACCUUGACAAGUUUCGACAGAAUCACGUGGCCGAAAUUGUCAACACCUCAGAUCUUGGUAAACAAUUGGUGGUAAUUGAUGACAUUGUUCUGCUACAGAAGCAUUUGCAAUGCCUCACCAUGACAAAUGGGGUUUUAGAUGACAAAUGGUUGGGUGAUGAAGAUAUUUGCCAAAUUAUUUUAUAAAUUUUCUUUUGCACAGUACAAUUAAUUUGAAUUUUGUUUUACUUGGUUGAUGCUGUGAUUCAUAUCAUGCAUCAUGAUCAUCCUAAGGACAUAAGGGACGGGCAACUGGUUUACAUUGAGAGGGUGGUCGCCGUCGCUAUGCUCGAAAGAGAUGGUAAGGUAGAGAACUGCCACGAGGCCGCUUUGGCGGGCAGUCAUGGAACAACAAAAGGAGACAACUACCUCAGACAUGAUCUGGUACCAUCUAACCAUGACAUAAACACAUUUUUUUGUGAUCAUUAUGCAUGUUGAUGUAAUCAUCUUUGCUGUCCAGGUUUUUCUACCUACGAACAUGGCGAACACCCACUAGUUCCUUGUGGUUGUAAACCCUAGAAGGAGGGAGAUUCAGAUUCUUGAUUCACUUUUCAGCUACGUAGUAACACAAGUGGUUCACGUGGUGAGAUUUUAAACGUCUUUCAAUAUAACACAUCAUUUAGCAUCAUACCUAACCUUGAACUAUGAGAAACUUCUCAUACCAUGGACUUUGGCAAAUACGUGGGGUGGAAGCACAUCUGAGAGCAUCGCUGUGAAUCAAUGGACCACAAAGCCAUGCAUGGCAAGACAUUAACGUGACCCAAUGGAUAGUAAGGCAUGUUCCUGUGCCAAGACAAGAUGACAAGUCAGUCAACAGUAUUAGCUUCUAAAAUAUGUUUUGAAUUUUUAAUACGUGAAAUGGUGCAAACAGAAUUAAUUGUUGUAGUUCUUCUUGUGCACUCUACAUGCUGAAGAACAUCGAAAUCUUUAUGGGAGAAGAUCUUACGCUGCGUUAUGACCAAGUACGUAGAGUAACACCUAAAAUUCUGUCAAUUUUGUAAACAUAUGGAACGAUACUAACAUAUCCUCCCAUGCAGGCAUACAUUGACAAUUAUAGAAGAGAGGUACCUGUUGUCCUUCUUACUUUGCCCUACAACAAAUUGAAGUCCAUGAAAAGGCUGAAGACGUACAUUGCUAGCCUAUCGGAUGCAGCUGCGGUUGAAUAUCAUGAAGAUGCAAGUAGUUAGUCCAGCAGUGGUUGAUUCUUAGAUCUGGAGUGUACACUUGGUUAUGAAGCGGUAGAGUAGGUUAACUGAAUUCUUAAAUUUAUAUUUAAGUGUCUUCGGAGUCUGGACAAGAUUCAGAACAAUUACAUCGCUAGUUAGAAGUUUCAGAAUUUUUUAAACAUCGCUAGUUAGAAGUUUCAGAAUUCUUUUAACAUCGCUAGUUAGAAGUUUCAGAAAAAUUUCAGCGAGUGCUGAAAUAUUUUGGCAUCGCUAGUUAGAAGGUUCAGAUUUUUUUAACAUCGCUAGUUAGAAGUUUCAGAAAAAAUUUCAGCGGGUGCUGAAAUAUUUUGGCCGAAAUUCAGUGAGGAUGAAAUAUUUUGGCCGAAAUUCGGUGAGGCUGAAAUAUUUUGGCUGAAAGGCAAAUAUUGCAGUGAGUGCUGAAAUGAAUGAAGUUCAAUUAUUUCAUCGAAAUCUCACCGAAGUGAAAACCAUGGUGUCGUGCCAUCUUGAGCAGCACCAGACAUGAUUCAGUAUUAUUAACAAAAUUUGGUCUCACAUAUACGAGGAAAAAAGGUGUGAGCAUGAGCAUGCAAGAUCGGAUGGGCAAUAAAAUAGCUUCACAAGAGAGUAAAAUACUUCACGUGUGAAGACUCAAUCUUAGUUGACUUUAGAACUAGUUUUCAUCCUAAAAGAGGUCCAGUGAACUACUUAUAAGAAAUAAUAAAAGCGUUUCAGUUCUUUCGGCUGAUUUUCAAAGAAACGGGAAUGAUAUCUUUUUGAAGAUCGUGAUUCUCAAGAGACCUAUGUGUUGUUACGCAACUUACCUUGUUUUUUUUAAACCAUAACUUACCUUUGCUAAACUCUCCACGCCUCCCCCUAAUAUUCAACCAGGUGGGUCCCCUCCCUUGAUUUCCUCCAACCAAAAAAAUCUAUACGUAGAUAUAUGCCCGGGUUGUUACAAUCCCUAUAAAUAGGGAUCCUUUGAAACCUCGUAGAUCAUAUAUCAUCCUUCUGCGCCACUCAAACCAGCAAGACAGAAGGACGGAGCAACCCAGGAAUCCAGCAAGACCGAAUGACAGAGCCAAACAUGAAUCCUCUCGUAACUCCCCACGAUCUCAGCCACUGCUAUUUUUCGUGCCACGAUCUUCCUCGCAUGAUCUCUUGCUGCGACCCCACUCGUUGUUUGCAUAUUCAUGUAACUCAGCAUGUUUUUAAACAAAUUAAGUUGGGGCGUUAGGGGAGGGCGCUAGGAUUUGUUUCCUACCAGAUUGGCAGUUCAUUGAUUAAUUCCAGGCUAAAUCUUAGCGUCUGGUCUUGUCGAUGCCAAUUAGUGCAACGGGCGCUUGCCUUCUCUUUUUCCUUCCGCACGAGUCAUGGAAGGCAUCGAUGGCCCAUGUUUUAAUUCCAUACUACUGACCAUGAUUACCGCCUAGAGUUGAGGAGACCACGGUUGGAUAGUUUUUAUUUUCCAAUAUUUAUUUUAUUUCAGAUAAGUGCUUUGCAAUGGAGGUUACCUUAGAUGACCGUUCAAACGUAACCAAGUUGAAUCACAUGAUAGUAUUUGCACAUACAUGGAACUCAGCAUGCUUGUACCUCAUGCAGUAGCGUAGACCACAAUUUUUAUGUUGGUAUAUAUACGUUGUAUUCGUCUGUAUGAGUGUUUAAAUUGUAUACAAUGUUGAAUCUAAUCACACUUGUACAUCCAUUGAACCCAGGAUGCUUCUUUGCCGCCAUAUGAGGAGUUCAUAAACGGAUUAAACACGCAGCAAAGGUUGUACAUCCAGUUGAUAGGACUGGGUGGACUUCUCAAGACACCUAGCAUCAAAAUUAGACGUGUACUCUGCCUGGCCAUCGCUAAUUCAUAUGAUGCAGAGCAGGAUGCCUUUAUCAUCAAUGGGAGACCAUGUAGGAUCACACUAGAAGAUGUAGCGCAUAUAACAGGCAUGCCCUGCCAAGGGAAGAAGCAUGUCCCUUCAAAUCUUGAUGAUAAUAUGGAGUUGUGGAAGAAACUGAAAGACCGUAAUGACACCAAAAUAACUUUCAAAGGAUUGCUAGCCAAGAUGAAAGUCGACAGCACACCAAAUUGUGUCAGGCCAUUUGUGUUGUACACCAUAGGCAAAUAUGUAUGCUGAAAAAAAGAGGAGUAUGUGGAUAACAAAUAUCUUGGGAUUGUUAGAAACGUUGAGAUGAUAAAGGGCACAAAUCUUGGACAGUUAACGCUUAACUAUCUUAUGGAUAGCGUGAAGAAUUUUGUAAAUGGUGAGGCAGUUCUGGAGAUGAAUCUACCAGUGUUGCAGGUAAUUCGUAGUAGUACAAUUAUCAGUUACCUAACAUACAUUACAUAAUGUACGGGAAUGUUUGUAAACUGCUUUUGUUAUCAUGCAGACAUGGUACUACGAGAAGUUUAGAGUGCACCAAUUGGACUCUAGCAUCUGGUAUGAAUCAAGGUUAAGGCCGCUGAUCCAGAACUGGAGCGAGGAGAAGGCAAACAAGGUUGACAACAUAAUCCAGAAUAAUUAUCUGGGAGUUGGAGAGGUAAAAUGUCAGCACAUUGCCUGGAUUAUGUAACAUACAUAUUUUCUAAAUCAUACUAACGACACUAAACUGUAGUAUGUUGAGGACCUGAUGAGGCCUUUCAUUCCAGCACGAGAUGGUACUCUGGCCAAACCGAAGACUGGCGCUCAGGUAAAGGAGUUACAUAAGGCACAAAUAUAUAUUGUAACAUUCCAACUAGUAUGAAGCUAUACGAUUCUAACUGUUUCAAAGUCUCAAAUUAAGGUACUCGUCGGAUUUGUAUUGACUGAUUUGCAAGAAGUUGCCUCCCUCGUGCGGGAGUCCGGUACAGAACAAAACCAUAGGAUGUGCAUCCUUGAAAAGAAAAUGGAUGAGUGCCUUAGGUGUACCCGUACAAGUGGCAAGCUCACGGAGGACCUCAUCAAAGAAUUGAAGGUAAGCCUAGAAUUAUGAGAUUAGUAUAUAUAAUUGGAAAUUUAUGUGUACAAGUUUUUUUUCUAAUUUAGUUUACUAUCAAAACACCCCAGACUAACAUAUAUUUUUUAUAGAAAAAACAUGAUGGAAUAUUUCCAGGAGUGGACGACAUACAUCUAUCUGUCCUCGGGGCACCUUCACACCCAAUGGAGGCCUCUGUUGAGAAUGCUGAGCAGGCUUCUGACCAGGGGAAACAAAAGGAUGUCACGAAGGUCGCUGCUAAGCACGUUUGUAAGCAGGGAAUAAAAAAUGAUGACAUGGAGCCCCCCAUGAAGAACCUUGAUGAAGAUUUUGACAUACGCAUGUUAACUUAAUUAUGAAACAAUCAUUGUCGUUUCAGAAAUAACAUUUGAUCUUCCAUGUAUAGGAUGAAGCAUUCGAAAGAGCUACUGCAAAUAUCAAACAUGAUCUCAGAGGUAUCCAUAAGCUUUUGAAAGAGGUGGAUGAUAUCCAAGGAGCUCCUAGUUUUGAUAAGCAAAUGCAUUCCAAAGCCACCACAAUCCUUGAAGAUUUCCAGGUGAUGCACAUUUGACCUAUAAUUGAGCAAGAAUCUGCUAAAGGCUAACACGCGGUUUAUUUUGUCUGACAGAAUCCGUUCAACAAACGAAGUAAGCAUCACUCUGUGAAGGCUUCGGGAUCGCGAGAUCCUGAAGAGCCCCGUGCCUUCACAGAUGAUGACAGCCAUGAUGAAUCCUUUGAAAAAUAGCAACAAGUAAGUGUGGUUGGAUCGAUGCCACCAAAUCAUGGGGGCGAAAAGAAAAGGGUGGUAUUGCAAUUAUUUAAGAAUGACGAGUAUCCUUCGUACGACACUGAGAAGAAAAAAAGGAAAAAAAGACUCCAUCAGAUUGUACAAAUGAUUCCGAGGACACGAACAGUAAAAAGAGGAAAAUCGGCUCUAGCAACUUAAAAAAGAGGUCAGAAGUUCAUGAAACCCAGAGGGGCCAGCUAGACGUGGUUCGACAGUAUUUCGUGGCUUCACUGAUCAACACUAUAAAUCAUGAAAAACAAAUGGUGUUAGUUGAUGACAUUGGCGUGCUAUCAAAGCAUUUGCAAUGCCUCACCCAUAAAGAUGAAUCUGAAGAUGGCGUAUGGUUGGGUGACGAAGUAAGAUAGUAUUUCACAAAUUUGUUUAUGAAGUUUCAUUUUUGUACAAUACAAUAAACUUGAUUAUUGUUGUAGGUGGUUGAUGCUGCGAUCUAGCUCAGGCGUAAUGAUCAACCAAUUGACACAAGGGACGGCCAACUGGUUUACAUUGAGAGGGUGGCCGGCGUCGCUAAGCUCGAAAGAGAUGGUAGGAUAGAGGAGUGCUACGAGGAUGCUUUGGCAGGCAUUCCUGGAAUAACACAAGGAACCACCUACCUGAAACAUGAUAUGGUAUAUUAAGCUGACGUAGAACAGGUUUUUUAUUACUAUGCACAUUGAUCUAAUUAUCUGUGCACCCCAGGUUUUCCUACCUACGAAAAGUUUAUACACCCACUGGUUCCUUGUGGUCGUAAACCCCAUAAGGAAGGAGAUUCAGGUUCUUGAUUCACUUUUCCACUGUAUGAUACCCAAAGAAGUAAAUAACGUGGUGAGAAUUUCAACAUAUUUAAUUAUAAGAAAGGAUUUAACAUCGUAUGUAAGUAUUAGUCGUAGGCAACUUCUCAUCCCAUUGGGCUUGGAGGUACGUGGGAUGGAAGCACAUGUGAGAGCAGUGAUGCGAGUCAAUGGGAUUGAAUGCAAUGCAUGGGAAGACAUUAACAUGAUGAAAUGGCCAGUACGGAAUAUUAAUGUGCCAAAAUCCGAUUAGACGUCAGUCAACAAUAUUAUCUUUUGUUUUUGUUUUAGAUUGUUAUUAUCUGAAAUGCUGAUCUAACAACAUAAAAUGUUGCAGUUCUUGUAGUGCACUGUACAUGCAAAAGAACAUCAAAUUAUUUAUGGGAGUAAAACUGAGGUUGCAAUAUGACGAAGCACAUAGAGUAACACCUAAAAUUUUGUCAUUUUCUGAAACAUAUGGAACGAUACUAACAUAUCCUCGCAUGCAGGCCUACAUCGACAAAUUCAGAAGAGAGCUACCUGUUGUGCUUGUCGAUUCACCCUACAACAAAAUGAAAUGCGGGACUAGGUUCAGGCAGUACCAUGCUAGGUAAUCGGAUGCAGCUGCAGUUGAAGACGGCGAGGAUGCAAGCAGUUAGUCCAGCAUUGUGGUUCAUUCUUACAUGUGGAGUGUACACUUGGCCAUAAAGCGAUAGAGUAGGGUGUGGUUGGGUUUUAGUACCGAAGAAGGUUUCCUAGCCGUGUUAUUAGUCCAUUGCACAUGAGUCAAGUUGUAAAACUUUAGUAAUAUUGGUUACUAUAUUUGGCUUGAAACAAAUUUGGUCUCUACGGGAUCUCGUAGAAAUCUAUAUUUGCUUUUUACUACCAUGUGACAAUAAUGGUGCCUGGGGCAACCCUAGAAGAAUAAUGGAUUAUGAUAUGUCUAUUUUCAUACGAGAGAAAAUUUUAUUAAAGCAUGAGCAUAGCCUCACAACAGAAGUCAAAAAUAUUGCCUGAUUCAACACGCAAUCCCAGCUAUGUCUCGUAGGCAGGCCGCAAAGCCAAAAAAAUAGAGCAUAGGAUAACAAGAGUAAAAGCAAGUACCUUAGGGGGCCUAUGCAUGUGCUGCAACGUUGAAUUGAAGCGAUCACCUUCAGGAGCACAGUGGUGUGGCCAUGGUACAUCCAUCCUGCCUCGGGGAAUCACAUAGCAUGUUCUUUCAUAGCCCUGCAAAACAGAGGAAAAAUUACUACUUGUACUAACCUUGUCAAGUGUGUGCAUGUAACAAAUGUUGGACAUAACUAAAUACGGAAGAAUGAAAUGCAACAUAUGGAAGAAUCGAAUGCUCAUUCCUUUCUCUCUGCUUUUUGCGAGGACCAUUACUCUCCCUUUAACAAGGCUAAAACAUCAUAAUAAGACUUCACAGCAAUCUUGAAAAGGUGGAUAUCCCAUGUGAAUAUAAUUUUUCAAAUAAAGCACAUGCCAAGUCUGUUGAUCCCAGUCUAGCAAUUGCACAAGAAGAAGCAAGCAUCAUAAAUAUUGAGCAACAUAAGCUAUGAAUUGUUUAUAGUACAUUCCAAAAAUAAUAGCUUAUCAUCUCUAUUGAUCUCCAAAUCUCACCUAUCAGCCAAAUUGAAAGAAUAGAUGUUGAAUGCAACGAUUGAACAUUCGUAGAUCAAGCAGUCGGGGCUGGACGAAUGGGGCUGGCCGUCGAGGACAGCUGUCGGCUUCAUCUUGUCCCGCAGAACAUGAUCCAUACCCAACCCCCUUACCAUUGGACGAGAUGCAUGGCCAGAUCAAAGCUGCAGCCAAGGCUGAGAAAUGAUAUGUAGAGGACGCAAACAACCAAUUGGGGUGCGGGAAAGAGGUUGCCUAUAACCUUGUGGCUAUAGGCACCCGCAUGGAGAACUGGGAGGUGGGGUGGCGCCGACUUUUUGCCGGCAGCCGCCGCAGGGAGGGCAGUGGGCCUCCUCUCGUGUUCAUUUAAAAUGCAGAGCGAGAUCGCGAGGGAAUUGGGGUGGAGGAAGGGAGGAGCCGUGACGCGUGGCUAGAUCCUGCCGGCGACGAGGGAGGGAGGGGCCGCGAUGAGCGGCUAGAUCCUGCCAACGACGAGGGAGGGAGGGGCCACGACGAGCGGCUAGAUCCUGCCAGCGAGGAUCAAAACCGUAGUGGCGGAGAGGCAUAAACCCUAGCGAACGGGAUAAAUAUCGAACCGAAAAUAGCCCUGAAAUUCAUACUGACAAUACCCUCAAAAUAUUUGGGAGGGAAAAUCAGAUCAGUUCAAAAUAUUUUUUUCUCCUGAAAAUGCCCCUCGGGGUCUGAUAUAAUACAUGUGACAUCAGUGUAUUGCAUCGGAUCUGGACCGUCGAUUUCGCUCCGACGGACGGUCCACAUCGUCCGGAUGCACUAUAAAAUGCCUCUUUUUUGAACAUGCUUCGUUCUCAUAUUAUUUUUCCUGCAGUGUAUUAUUUGCUCUGCCAGAACACAUGUACUCAAGAUGCUCGACCUUGCCAUAACUGAAUACACUAGUUUAAUGGUCAAAGUGAAGACAAGCCAUGGAUAUAAGUUCCGAGUUGGGUUCAUGAACCAAGAAGAUUGCUGCUUUUUUUAUGGUCAAACUUGGAUAAGCUUUCUCAAGUGUUACAGACUAAAAGUUGGCGCACGAAUGUUGAAGGAAAUAGCAGAACCUGGUCUCAUCUUCACUGCGAUCUUACACCCCGACGUCGUUCCAAUUGUUAAUCCAUGUUAGUUUUGUAUCUGGUUCUUGCUUGUUGCCUCGAUUACUUCUUAAUCCACCUAUUCUGUCUAACUAACCACAAUUUAACUUUAGAAGUAGAAACGCAUCUCUCACGAAGAUGCUACUUCUAACUAAUAUUUUCUUAUAAUUGGUGGCACGUGUAGGUUUUUUCAGAGUUAAGCAGUCUGCUCCUUUGUUACUCUGUAAUAAUUCGGCUGUUACUAAUGGCACUAAAGUUGACUGGAUCGACAUCCACAAGUUCCUACACUUUAUUGAUCGUCUUGAGGUCCUUGUGGGGCGUUUCAAUGCUGGAAGGCCACGUGGGAUAUGUGUGCCACUGCUGCACUCGUUGAACAUGUCCAACUGUGUCGAGAAACUUAUGGUACGAGUUGUUUUCUGUUAUAUAUGUUGUUCAUAAACUAUUGCUUAUACACAGUUUUACAACUGUGAUCUUCUUGAAACAGGAACUGCCGAGUUUUGUUGUUCCUAUACAGAUGCCUGACCAUGGUCGGGUCAGACUUGCGCUUGGUCACAACAUGAUGUUUAUGUCAACCUACUCAAUUCCCCUUGGAGGUGAAAAGAUACGUAUUCAUGGGUGGUCUCAAAUAAUGAAGGCCCGUCCAUCUUGGAUAAUAUGACAGAAGAUUAUGUCCAUGCUUUUCCAUGGCUCUAAAGCGAAUAUCCUGUUUAUUGACCAUGUUGCGAGAUGAAUCCGCUUUCAGAAGGUUGGGGAUGCGCGGGGUGGCGCCCGGGCCUUGUCUUGGGGCUUGGCGGCCUCACUCUUGGUUAACUAUAGGCAAAGUAGCACUGUUCGAGGCGUGCUUUGUACGGUUGAACCUGUAUAAGUACUCAUACUGCUUUCAGCUUUGGUUUUUAAGUGCCCCUGCUGGUUUCAGUUAAGGUUGUUAAGUACUCCUGCAGCUUUUACAGUCUGUCGUGUUUCUUCAGUCCUAUCUUCCUCCAGCCACCAAAACCAAACCAGCGCCGGCGGGGCCGCCUGCUUCCGCCUCCCACGGCUGGCUGCGCCUCAGCGCAUGCAUCGCCGCCCCCACCGUCUCCAAUAUCGUUAACGUCGACGUCCUCCGCGCGCUUUGGUCUGCUCGCCGCGGCGUCGCCCUCUUGCGUUGUCAACAUGGUCAACAAACAACAGGAAUCGGCAGAAGUACAUGGAGAGGACGACAGUAGGGGCCCACCACGUCAGCGUAUGGUAAAAUAAGAUGCUUCCUCCUAGUGUUUUCCUGACAUCUGGGACCCAUGACAUUGUGAGCGUAUAUAGUCAAUAGACAAGAGAACAGCACAAGAUCGGCUGACACCUGGGACGUAGCUACUCGAGCAGUAUUUUUUUUGUUUGGUAUUGUUGAGACGGAGUAGGGUUUGAACUGGGCUGUGGCCCGUCUAGCCCAGGCUUAUAUUUUAUGUUCACCAUGUGACUAGCCCAGCUAUUUUUUCUUUGUGAAAAUGAGCCCAGUUUAUUUUUUCUGAAGAAUACCCAAUCCAGGCCUACUUAUUUUUCUACGCCCUGAUGGGCUACAACUCUUUCAAGAUGCCUGCAAAUCUGGAAAGUAAUAUGAAAUGGGUCGUAAAUAUAAAAACAGAUGACAAAUUGGCAAUUACUCCCUCUGUAAACUAAUAUAAGAGAGUUUAGAUAACUAAAAUAGUGAUCUAAAUGCUAUUAUAUUAGUUUACGGAGGGAGUACUUUAUAAUUUCUGAAUUUUUUUUCACAUUUUCAGAUUCCUAUUUCACUGGGCAUUAACCUAAUUUAAAUAUAUCUUCAAAGUACUUUAAAUAUGGCUCGAAAUUCUGUUAUUAAAAAUAGUUUGGAACCCACAGAAAUAUGUGAAAUUGGCCUUGGCCAACCAAAAAAACAACUGCAAUAAAUUGCAUAAGUAGUUGCCAUGAGCUAUAUAUAAAUUAUUAAAAAAAAGAGGGAGUGGUCUGACUUGUGGGCCUGUUUAGUUGACGCGUAUGCAAAAAAAAUUUAGUUAUUAUAUACGUCAACAAACGAUUCUAGCAGACGUAACCGUUGGAUGUCAAUCCAACGGCCGUCGUGUUUCUUCAAUCUCUGAUCUUCUUGCUCCAGCCGCCAAAGCAGCGCCGGCGGGAUACAUGGCCGGCUGUGCUGCCGCGCAGGCCUUAAUGCCCCCUACUACUCCCACCACUGGCCAGGGCAUCCCUCUACUCACCCACACCCCCUGUUAUUCUGCGGCGACGGCAGCCUCACAUCAUAGCCGAACCGGUGAACCCUCGUACUCCUCUCCGUGCGGGCUUCCACUGCCGCGUCUUCCCCGGCUCUGCGUCUUCCCCUUCCCAGGCCUGGUCGUCGUCCACCGCCGUGGUGCUCUCGGCGUGGCGUGGUCAAUGUGGUCAACGACCGACUACCAUCGGAAGAGUACUGUAGGUGGAGAGGAUGACAGCUGGGUCCACGGCACCCGCAAGGAAGUGCCUCCUUAUUAUGCGGAAAAUAAUUAUUCCUCCACCUGACAGCAGGGACCCACCAAACAGGCCACCAGUAUUUCGUGAAAAAAAAGUUUCCCCCUGACUGCUGGGACCCACAGGACCGGCCACCGUAUUUCGCGAAAAAAUGUUCCCCCCACUGUCAGCUCGGACCCACCGGAAGUGCCUCCUUAUUACACAAAAAAAAUCAAUAGCCCCGGCUACCUGGGACCCACCUUGGUGGGAGGCUGACUUGUGGGCCUACUAAGUUGACUGGGAUGGAGGCCUUUGUCAAUUUUAGUCAAUAUAUGAACGAUUCUAGCUCCAGUGACCGUACGAUUUCCAUCCAACGGCCGUAGUGCUUCUUCAACCUCUGGUCUUCUUGCUACACCCGCCCAAAGCAGCGCCGGUCGUGCCGCCUGCUCCUGCCGCCCGUGGCCAGCUGUGAUGCCGUGGAGGCCUCACCGCCCCCUACUACUCCCACCGCUGGCCAGGCCAUCCAUCUAUGCACCCACACCCCCUGUUAUUCUACGGCGAUGGCAGCCUCACACCGUAGCCGAAUGAGUGAACCCUCAUACUCCUCUACGCGUGGGCAUCCACUGCUGUGUCUUCCUCGGAUUUGCGUCGUCCCCUUCCUAAGCCUCGGCGUCGUCCAUCGCCCUGGUGCUCUUGGCGCAGCGUGGUCAACGUGGUCAUGGAAUGGCUUCCAUCGGACGUUGACUGUACGUGGAGAGACUGACAGCUGGGUCCAUGGCCGCAGCAAGGAAGUGCCUCCUUAUUACGCGCAAAAUAAUUAUUCCUCCACCUGACAGCGGGGACCCACCGGACGGGCCACCGUAUUUCACGAAAAAAACGUUUCCCCCUGACUGCUGGGACCCACCAGCUACAUCUUCGCAUGCAAGGAAGUGCAUCGAAAAAAACAUUUCGCCCCCCUUAGUGCCAGUACCCACCAACUACAUCUUCGCACGCAAGGAAGUGCAUACGAAAAAAAUGAUUAGCCCCACUAACUGCUGGGACCCACCAGCUACAUCUUCGCAUGCAAGGAAGUGCGUCCGGGCAAAAAAACAAGACGAUUCCCCCUGACUGAUGGGACCCAGCAGCUACAUCUUCACACACAAGGAAGUGCGUCCGAGCAAAAAAACAAACAAAACGACUCACCCCCCCUGACUGCUGGGACCCACCAGCUACAUCUUCGCAGGCAAGGAAGUUCCUGAUAGUCAAGACCCAUCUGGUCGAAGCGUAUGUAGCGUUGUCAUUCUGGUAGGGAACGUGUACGUACAUAUAUACUGGUCGAUGUAGAGGCGCGCACGUGUCGUAGUAGAGGCGCAUACGUGUCAUAGUAGAAGCGCGCACGUAGCAUGUACACGUACGUACAGCGGCCAGCUGGAUGCAAGAAAGAAAAUACGGUCACGUACGUACAUAUGGGCAUGGUCUCGAACGCCUACUCGCGCAUACCUACGGCCAGGGCUUGUGUACAUUGCUGGGUCGGAACGGAGAAAUAGCGUCGUCGUCGUGUUCAUUGGGAGGCAACAGGAUGCAUCGUGUUCAUGGGGGGGCAACGGAAUGCGUCGUGUUCAUCAGGAGGCAACGGAACGCGUGAAAGCCAACUGGCUGGUCAGAACAGAAUGCAUGGUCGUGUUCAUCGGGAGGGCUUGGACGGAAUAGGCGAUGGAAACUAGGUCUGGCGUCCCGCAAAACGGAGGAAACGGCCUUGUGUUCGACUGGCCACGUUUGAAAAGGGAUCCUGUUCAUCGGGAGGGGUCUGGCGUACCGCAAAACGGAGGAAACGGACCUCCUGCGGUCGAAACGGGGGUCAUGUUCAUCGGGAGGGGUGUGGCGUAUCGCAAAACGGAGGAAACGGACCUCCUACGGUUGAAAUGGGGGUCAUGUUGAUCGGGAGGGGUGUGGCGUACUACAAAUGUGACGAAACGGACCUCCUACGGUCGAAACGGGGGUCCUGUUCAUCGGGAGGGGUGUGGCGUACCGCAAAAUGGGACUCCACGGGAUACUGUUCAUCUCCACCGUCGACCUCCUCCACCCUCCACGGGCUCUUGUUCAUUCAGCCUCCACCGCGCGCUACUCCACCGGCUACUGUUCAACCACCCCUCCACCGUCUACUGUUCAUCUAGCCCUCCACACCACGGGGUCCUGUUCAACCACCCCUCCACGGGCACCCCUCCACCGUCCACUAUUCAUCCAGCCCUCCGCCACAGCACGGGGUCCUGUUCAUCCAGAGGCAACGCCACCGCUCGCUGUUCAUCCAAAUACCCCGCAACGCUCACUAUUCAUCCCAGAGGCAGCAUCAAUCGGCUUCAGUUAGCAGCAGUAGCGAAGGAAUCGCUCGAUCGGGUUCAGUUAACAUCUAUCGAUCGAUCGCUCGUGUUCAAUUGCUCGGGUUCAGAUAAUUAGAUCCCAACGCCUCGCUCGGGUUCAGAUAAAGCCAACGCCUCACACACACUUGUGUACGUGUACGAGAGAAACGCGCAUAGCUCGGCCCCGACCUCCCACCGUAACCGGGAACUCCUCGAAAUUUUCUUUCCCCUCGCUUCUACCAUGGUUUUUUCUGUCAUGGAAGGCCAAAAGAAUGUCAUGCAGCUGCGUCUCCGGCCCGUCCCGGACGAAAAGCCCAUUUUCUGUCAUGAUUUUUUGUCAUAGAAGUAGGAUCCCACCACAUCUAUGAUGAUACCUGGUUUUGUCACAAUUAUCAUCAUAGAAGUGUCAUAUGUAUGGCAGAAAAAAAAUUCGUUCGGCCCAAAAUGUCACGGAUGUGUCUUUUUUUUGUAGUGCAUGUUGCUGCUUUUUCAAAAGAAUGUGGGGAUCCAGAUAAACCAAAGGUGUGAAAACCUUACUUUCCGGGUUACGACUCGAAGUUUCUGUCUUGGCAAAUGGGCUGAGUCAGAGGAAAUAGUUACCUCUUCUUCCACGGCCUGACUGGCCCCUGUGUCGUCCUGGCAAUGAUCAGUGUUAAUAAGAUUAUUAAAAAGUUGGCCAAGGGAGUCAAGGGCUACCUCCGACUCAGAAGUAUCAUCAAGCUUCAUCAUAUCCUUAGCGGUACUUUUCUUCUUUCUGGACCGCCGAGUCGUUCUCUUGGUGUUGAUAGCAGCGGCUUUAGCCUUCUUGGCGGCUUCAUGAGCGUACUUAACUUUCCAGAAAUCAUAUCAGGCCUGUGGAUGAAUAAACAAGGAUGAAAGAUCAAACAAGUACUUAAGAUGGCUGGGAAAAUACAAAGGAAUCAAAGGUUCAUUACCUCUGGCGCCGGGUUAAGUUUGUAGAAGGGGUUUAACCUGACCUUACUGCAGUCUUCAUAUUUGCCGUUUACCAGAAGGGUUGACAUUGCAACAAUAUCUUCUUCGGGUAAUUGGAUGGAGCUGUGACGAAGAGAAUCAUUUGGGCCUCCACCAUAUUCACACAUCAGUUUUGAUCGGCGGCUGAGGGAGUCCUGGAUUAGGGGGUGUCCGGAUAGCCGGACAAUAACCUUUGGCCGAACUCUUGGACUAUGAAGAUAUAAGAUUGAAGACUUCAUCCCGUGUCCGGAUGGGACUUUCCUUGGCGUGGAAGGCAAGCUUGGCAAUACGGAUAUGUAGAUUUCCUCCCAUUGUAACCGACUUUGUGUAACCCUAGCCCUCUCCGGUGUAUAUAUAAACCGGAGGGUUUUAGUCCAUAGGAGGAACAUCAAUCAUACCAUAGGCUAGCUUCUAGGGUUUAGCCUCUCUGAUCUCGUGGUAGAUCUACUCUUGUACUACCCAUAUCAUCAAUAUCAAUCAAGCAGGAGUAGGGUUUUACCUCCAUUGAGAGGGCCCGAACCUGGGUAAAAACAUUGUGUCCCUUGUCUCCUGUUACCAUUCACCUCGACACAAAGUUCGAGACCCCCUACCCGAGAUCCGCCGGUUUUGACACUGACAUUGGUGCUUUCAUUGAGAGUUCCUCUAUGUCGUCACCUUUAGGCCCGAUGGCUCCUCCGAUCAUCAACAACGAUGCGGUCCAGGGUGAGACCUUUCUCCCUGGAGAUAUUUUCGUGUUCGGCGGCUUUGUACUGCGGGCUAAUUCGCUUGGCCAUCUGGAGCAGAUUGAAAGCUACGCCCCUGGCCAUCAGGUCAGAUUUGAAAGUUUGAACUACACGGCCAACAUGUGCGGAGACUUGAUCUUCGACGGAUUCGAGCCACAGCUGGGCACGCCGCACUGUCACGAUGGGUAUGACCUAGCUCUGCCGCCGAAUAGUACCCUACAGGCCAUGCCCGCAUCAGCUCCGACCCUUAGCUCAGAGCCGACAGUGCCGAUCGAGGACGGGUGGCUAGACACCACCUCGGGGGCUGCAGUCUCAACGGCGAUCGAGCCGAACACCAGCCUUAUCCUUUGCGAAGCCCGUGACUCCAAGGCGCCGGACUCUUUUCCUGAUUCCGAACCUUCCGCGCCCCUGCCAAUCGAAUCCGAUUGGGCGCCGAUCAUGGAAUUCAUCGCCACGGAUAUCUUUCAGCACUCGCCCUUCGGCGACAUUCUGAAUUUACUAAGGUCUCUCUCUUUGUCAGGAGAGCCCUAGCCGGACUAUGGCCAACAGGAUUGGGAUGCGGACGACGAAGAAAUUCGACGCCCACCCACCACCCACUUCGUAGCCACUGUCGAUGAUUUAACUGACAUGCUCGACUUCGACUCCGAAGACAUCGACGGUAUGGACGACGAUGUAGGAGACGAACAUGAACCAGCGCCUAUAGGGCACUGGAAAGCCACCUCGUCAUAUGACAUAUAUAUGGUGGAUACACCCUAAGAAGGCAAUGGCGACGGAACAACGGGGGAUGACCCCUCCAAGAAGCAACCCAAGUGCCGGCGUUAGCGGCGCUGCUCUAUGUCCCGCCAAAGCAAAAGCGGUGAUGCCGGCACGGGAGAUAAUAACACCCCGGAUAGUGCCGAAGACAAUUCCCUCCAGCAAGAUUCAGCGCAGGAGGAUGGAGAAGGUAGCCCCCCUGAGAGAGCGGCAGACAGAGAAGAAGAGGAUGAUAAUUACAUGCCUCCCUCCGAAGACGAGGCAAGCCUCGGCGAUGACAAAUUUGUCAUGCCUGAGGAUCCCGUCGAACAAGAGCGCAGGCUUAUGGCCACGCCGAGUAGCCUUAAGAAAAAACAGCAACAGCUUAGACAUGAUCAAGAAUUGCUAGCCGACAGAUGGACGGAAGUCCUUGCGGCCGAGGAAUACAAACUCAAACGCCCCUCCAAGAGCUACCCAAAGCGCAGGUUGCUACCCCGUUUAGAGGAGGAAGCACUUAAACCUACAUCACUAGCCCAUGAUGCGGCUGACCGGCCACCUCACAGCCAUGACAGAGAGUCUUCCCGGCCCUCCACUCAAGCCGCAAAACGGAGUGGUGUGGCGUACCGCAAAACUGACGAAACGGACCUCCUAUGGUCGAAACGGGGGUCCUGUUCAUCAGGAGGGGUGCGGCGUACAGCAAAACAGGACUCCACGGGAUACUGUUCAUCUCCACCGUUGACCUCCUCCACCCUCCACGGGCUCCUGUUCAUCCAACCUCCACCGCGCGCUACUCCACUGGCUACUGUUCAACCACCCCUCCACCAUCUACUGUUCAUCCAGCCCUCCACACCACGGGGUCCUGUUCAACCACCCCUCCACGGGCAUCCCCUCCACCAUCUACUAUUGAUCCAGCCCUUCGCCACACCACGGGGUCCUGUUCAUCCAGAGGCAACGCCACCGCUCACUGUUCAUCCAAACCCCUCGCAAUGCUCACUAUUCAUCCCAGAGGCAGCAUUGAUCGGCUUCAGUUAGCAGCAGUAGUGAAGGAAUCGCUUGAUCGGGUUCAGUUAACAUCUAUCAAUCGAUCACUCAGGUUCAAUAACGCGUUGCCUGUAGUGCAAUCGCUCGGGUUCAGUUAGAGCCAACGCCUCGCACACACUCGCGUACGGGUACGAGAGAAACGUGCGUCGCUCGGCCCACGACCUCCCACCGUAACCGGGAACUCCCCGAAAUUUUCCUCCCCCUCGCUUCUACCAUGGUUUUCUCCAUCAUGGACGGCCCAAAGAAUAUCAUGCAGCUUCGUCUCCGGCCCGUCCAGGACGAAAAGCCCAUUUUCUGUCAUCAUUUUUUGUCAAAGAAGUAGGAGCCCACCACAUCUCUGAUGAUACGGGGUUUUGUCACAAUUAUCGUCAUAGAAGUGUCAUAUGUAUGAUAGAACAAAAUUUCGUUCGGCCCAAAAUGUCACGGAUAUGUCUUUUUUUUGUAGUGCAUGUUGCUGCUUUUUCAAAAGAAAGUGAGGAUCCAGAUAAGCCAAAGGGUGUGAAAACCUUACUUUCCCGUUUAUGACUCGAAGUUUCUGUCUUAGCAAAUGGGCUGAGUCAGAGGAAAUAGUUACCUCUUCUUCCACGGCCUGACUGGCCCCUGUGUCAUCCUGGCAAUGAUCAGUGUUAAUAAGAUUAUUAAAAAGUUGGCCAAGGGAGUCAAGGGCUACCUCCGACUCAGAAGUAUCAUCAAGCUUCAUCAUAUCCUCAGCGGUACUUUUCUUCUCUCUGGACCGCUGAGGGAGUCCUGGAUUAGGGGGUGUCCUGAUGGCCGGACUAUACCUUCAGCCGGACUCCUGGACUAUGAAGACACAAGAUUGAAGACUUCGUCUCGUGUCCGGAAGGGACUUUCCUUGGCGUGGAAGGCAAGCUUGGCGAUAGAGAUAUAUAGAUCUCCUACAAUUGUAACCGACUUUGUGUAACCCUAGCCCUCUCCGGUGUUUAUAUAAACCAGAGGGUUUUAGUCCGUAGGGCAACAUAUAGAACAACAAUCAUACCAUAGGCUAGCUUCUAGGGUUUAGCCUCUCCGAUCUCGUGGUAGAUCUACUCUUGUACUACCCAUAUCAUCAAUAUUAAUCAAGUAGGACGUAGGGUUUUACCUCCAUCAAGAGGGCCCGAAACUGGGUAAAACUUCGUGUCCCUUGCCUCUUGUUACCAUCCGGCCUAGACGCACAGUUUGGGACCCACUACCCGAGAUCCGCCGGUAUUGACACCGACAUUGGUGCUUUCAUUGAGAGUUCCUCUGUGUCGUCGCCGUUAGGCUUGAUGGCUCCUACGAUCAUCAAUAGCGAUGCAGUCCAGGGUGAGACUUUCCUUCCCAUACAGAUCUUCGUCUUUGGCAGCUUCGCACUACGGGCCAAUUCACUUGGCCAUCUGGAGCAGAUCGAAAGCUAUGCCCCUGGCCAUCAGGUCAGAUUGGGAAGUUUAAACUACACCGCUGACAUCUGCGGGGACUUGAUCUUUGACGGAUUCGAGCCACUGCCGAGCGCGCCGCACUGUCACGACGAGCAUGAUCUAGCUCUGCCGCCGAAUAGUGCCUUGGAGGCCGCAUCCGCAUCGGCUUCGACCCUUAAUUCGGAGCCAACUGCGCCGAUCGAGGAUGGGUGGUUGGACGCCGCCUCAGGGGCUGCGAUCCCAACGGGGAUCGAGCCGGAAACCAGCCCUGCACUCCGCGAGAAUCAUGACUCCAAGUAGCCGGACUCCACUCCGGACUCCGAACCCUCCGCGCCCCUGCCGAUCGAAUCCAAUUGGGCGCCGAUCAUGGAGUUUACUGUCGCGGACAUCUUUUAGCACUUGCCUUUCGGCGAUAUUCUGAAGGCACUAAAGUCUCUCUCUUUAUCAGGAGAGCCCUGGCCAGACUACGGUCGGCAUGGUUUGGAUACGAACAAUGAAGAAAUUCAAAGCCCACCCACCACCCACUUUGUAGCCACUGUCUACGAUUUAACCGACAUGCUCGACUUCGACUCUGAAGACAUCGACGGUAUGGGCGCCGAUGAAGGAGACGAUGAAGAACCAGCGCCUAUUGAGCCCUGGAAAGCCACCUCGUCAUAUGACGUAUACAUGGUGGACGCACCAAAAGAUGAGGACGAGGAGCGGAAGGACGCACCGAAGGCUUGUUCCCUCGAGAAGCAGUCAAAGCGGCGACGCAAGCGCCGCCCCAAAUCCCGCCUCGACAGAAAUAACGAUCACACAGACCCAGCGCUGGAGCAGGGCGAACCGCUGCCGGACAACGGCAAUCCGGAUAAUCCAACCGAACAAACAAAUUCUAUCAAGGAUAAUGGUCCGGAUGACAUAAUGCCAGACAGGCACCGGGAGCAGCAGAAUGCCCGUAAAAGGCUUGUUGCCACCGCGAGGAGUCUUAAAAAGCACAAGCAAAGGCUCAAGGCUGCGCAAGACACACUCCAAAUCAGAUGGAGUAAAAUAUUCAAAACAGGAGCAAGAUACGGCGACAAUCGCCCCUCCAAGAGCUACCCAAAGCGGAAGCUGCUACAUGAAUCUGAUGAGGAGGCCUCAGACCCCCACAACCAAAUAUCAAAGCAGCCACCUGCCGGAUAGACGACCCCUCUACCAACACAGAGCGUCUUACAACGCCACUCACAAUACAACACGCGAUCCAUGCGAGGGAUCACACCCAAAGGACGGCGCAACAAGAUCCAUCUAGGGACCACACAAGCAUGCCCCAGCAUACAAUGCAACACAACAAACAUCCGAACAACGCGGUACACCUAGCUACAGGGGUGCCGCACACCCCCUAUGUUUCACCGAUGAGGUGCUGGACCAUGAAUUUCUAGAGGGAUUCAAACCCGUAAACAUAGAGACAUACGACGGAACAACAGACCCUGGGGUCUGGAUUGAGGACUACAUCCUUCAUAUCCAUAUGGCUCGAGGAGAUGAUCUCCACGCCAUCAAGUACUUACCCCUCAAGCUGAAAGGGCCAGCUCGUCACAGGCUUAAAGGCCUCCCCGAAAGCUCCAUUGGAAGUUGGGAAGAGCUCGAAGACGCCUUUCAGGCAAAUUUUCAAGGGACUUAUGUCCGACCUCCGGAUGCGGAUGAUUUGAGUCAUAUAACUCAACAGCUCGGAGAGUCAGCCUGAAAACUUUCAAACAGGUUUCUUACUAAAAAGAACCAGAUUGUCGACUCUCCGAACGCCGAAGCCUUGGCAGCUUUUAAGCAUAGCGUCCAUGACGAAUGGCUCACCAAACACCUCGGCCAAAAUAAUCCGAGAACGAUGGCCGCAUUAACAAACCUCAUGACCCGCUUUUGCGCGGGUGAGGACAGCUGGCAAGCCAGAUGUAGCACUAGCAACCCAAGUACAUCUGAAGUUAGAGAUGGAAACGGGAAAUCACAGCGCAACAGCAAUAACAAACGCCGGAAUAAAGAAGACAACACGAAGGGCACGACAGUAAACGCCGGAUUCAAAAGCUCUCGGCCAGGUCAGCAAAAGCCGCCCUCUAAAGGCACCAGGGAUGAACUGUCCAGCCUCAAAAAAAUUCUAGACCAAGUAUGUCAGAUCCAUAGUACCCCUGGUAAACCUGCUAAUCAUAGCCACAAAGAAUGUUGGGUCUUCAAGCAGUCCGGCAAGCUCAACGCCGUACACAAGGGGGAGGAUACACCAAGUGAAGACGAGGACGAGCCUCCCAAGCAACACACUGGGGAACAAAAGAAAUUUCCACGAGAAGUCAAAACAGUAAACGUGUUACACGUGAUCAAGGGAAAAACAACGCGGCACUCCCAGGAAAAUAUACCCAAGUGCCUGUCACCGCGGAGUCCUGCCACUGGUCGUCUCAACCGAUCACUUUCGACCAUCGCGAUUACUCAGCAAGUAUCCGACGCGCUGGAUGGGCUGCCCUGGUAUUAGACCCAGUAAUUGGCGGAUAUCACUUCACACGAGUCUUGAUGGACGGUGGCAGCAAUCUAAACCUAAUAUAUCAGGAUACAAUCCGCGGGAUGAGGUUAGACCCAACAAAAAUUUGCCAUAGCAAUACUACCUUUAAAGGAGUAACGCCAGGCCCAAGGGCUCAUUGUACGGGCUCCCUCCUACUACAAGUUAUAUUCGGCUCCCCCGAUAACUUCCGUCAUGAGCAUUUAACCUUCCACAUCGCUCCGUUCCAAAGUGGCUAUCAUGCACUGCUCGGACGCUUUAAUGCAAUACCACACUACGCCUCCCUCACACUCAAGAUGCCCGAUCCAUGUGGCAUCAUUUCAGUGAACGGAAAUAUCAAGUGAUCUCUGCGCACCGAAGAGGGUGCGGCUGCCCUGGCAGCCGCACACUAAAGGCGCCCGGACCAGCGAAAGCAUCCAAUAGGUUGUCAAGACCUCAGACACAACUAAUCAAGUCCGGCGCCGCUAUUUAUACCGAAUAAGUGGUCACACCCCUAUUUGUCAAUACAAGGGGCUCAACGCGCGCAGACAAGUGGCAAUUUUUUCUCAUCUUGAAUUAUAUAUGGUUUCUUUAAAAACUAUCUUUUUGCAUGACAACUUUUUCACCUAAAUUCCUCUCUUUUAUAGAUGAUCAUCGUGCUACACCCGUCCAGGAUACGGCACAACAGAGACACAGGCGCAGACGUGCAGCAGGGACCCGCUCCAAGGAUUCUUUUUAGAUUAAGACCCUGCGUAAACCUUUUUUACUGUCUCUUGUUGAUACAUAUCCACCGUUGAGAAGGAUGCUGACGUCUUGGCAUGUGGCCAUGCCAGAACAAUGCACGUACCUGGACACAAGGGGCUUCUUACAAAGGCCAUUAUUUAGGCCCGGUUUAUACCACAAAGACCGAAUACUUUAGGGAGUGUUCGGCGUCGCGAGUUUGGCCCUAUAUGCAUCAGCUCUGAAUCAUUGUCUUUGGUCAAAUGUUGGGUUUUCCCAUCUCCUAUGUUUUGGUGCCUUACGUUCUGCUUUACCGGCUAAGGUAGCACUAGGAGAACUAACGCGAUUGUGCCCUGGUUCAUCCGGACGAGCACCUCAGUAGAGAAAGCCGAAAACUGACUGUCAUGAUAUAGCGUGAGACUGGUCAACCACUCGAUGACCUGUUGGAAUGUUAGAAUUCCUCCGCCUUAACAAAGAGCCGUUUUCCGGCCAGGCAUGUACACACCCCGGGAUCGGGAGAGUGCGGAGCCACCAGGGGCUAUCUAGUAGCCCCACUGUCAAACUCCUAUGGCUAAGUGAAAGUGCUAAAGCAUUAUAGUCUGGUUGCCUCGCUCGCUCCGCUAUCACCUCCUUAAUAGGACCAAGACGUUGGGUUAAGUGUGAACGCGUGUUUUUUGCGAGCACCUCCGCAUUAUAUGCGUGGGGGUUGAAGCCGAAGGCUGCAAUCUUUCAGGUUAUACACAUGUAUACAUAAACGAACGCCCAGGAGGCAUCAUAUUACUUUCAGGCAAAAGUAUAAAAAUAGCCUUAUAAAAAUUUAUAAAAGCAUUUCGCUUCCAAUGAGAUUACAUAUCACUCAAACAUAAAAAAAUUUGAGUACUGGGUCUCUAUCAAACGAGCACCCUCAAGAACUUCUUCAAAGUAGUGCUCAGCAGCCAUUCGACCUAUGGCCGAAUCCCGCGCUACAACAGUGGUAGCAUCCAUCUUCGCCCAGUAUGUUUUAACACGGGCAAAGGCCAUCCCUGAGCCCACUAUGCACGCCGACCUCUUCAUCGCAUUAAUGCGCGGCACCACAUCAAGGAACUGCUGCACCAAGCUAAAAUAGUUGUUCGGUUUUGGCCUUUCCGGCCAUAGCUGAUCCACAACAGACCUCAUGGCGAGUCCGGACAACCUAUUCAGUUCGCCCCAUUCGGCUAAUUGGUCAGUCAAUGAAAGCGGACGCUCGAGAGAAUGGAAUUGUGUCCAAAACAGCUGGUCCACUUCACGGUCCGUCUGACCCUGGAAGUACUUGGCCGCAUCGGCAGCGCUCGCCGCCAAAUCCAUAUACACAUCCUGCAAGCUCCAUAGCCGAUCCAGAGAGGCAUACCGUGGAUCCCCGAACUUCCUCCGCAACAUAAAGGAUUUCCCAGCUACAAUAUCCCCGGCUUCCCGCAGCUCCUCCUUCUUCGCCCUCGUAGCAGAGCGGAUGUCUUUUCACGUCGCAGUAGCCUUCUCAAGGUCCGAUGCCUUCGCUAGGUUUUCCUUUUCAAGAACCCGGCAACGGUCGGCGGCGGCUUGUAAUUCUAUGGCCAUCUUGGCCAUAUUAUCUCGGCUCUCGCCAUGCGCGGCCUUCUCGGCUUUCAACUCUUCGGCCGCCUUCAAAGCAGCCGCAUUACCAAACCUCGCUUGUUCCUUGGCUCGGGCAAGUUCUACCCGCAAGGCUUCAACAGUGGCAGCUCCAUCUGCAGUCACAACAUAUUAAAGAUACUGGCAUCAUGCUGCUCUUACUAUGUGGCGUUUACCAGAUAAUGACACUUACCAUGUGCCUCGUCAAGCCUUUUCUUAACAAGCUCGAUGUCGGCGUCUGCCGCAUCCAACUGCCGUUUUAAAUGGGAAAACUCGCUAGUCCGGCUAGCCACCGGAGCUUCCAUCACCUGCACAUAGAGGCAGUAUGGUUAUUACCUGGGAAUAUGAUCCUCUAUUCAUUGUCGUUUCCGACGACAACCAGAGUCUCAGGGGCUACUAUCUACAUAGGGCACACCUAGCAUGUGCAGGACUAUCAUACAUUAUUUUACGUACCUCAAAGCCUGUCAGUAGACUCAUAAAAGCUUCAUGCAAUCCGCUUUGGGCGGACGAGAUUCUAUCCAUCACCGUAUUCAUCAGCACAUGGUGUUCAUCUGAGAUGGCCACUCGCCCCACCAACUCCCUCAGAACAUCCGAUCGCACACUAGACGAUGCCGGACUCUUUUGUCCGCUCUCUUCGGGAGCCGGACACUAGGAGCUUCGGGGGUCAAUGGGAUUACCUCCUGGCCUCACCGGACUCGGAGAGGCCCUCCGCGACGACAUUUCGGGGUCGCCCGCUUCCGGAGCGGAGGAGUCCGGAGGAGGCGUUUCGCUCUCCAUCAUCUCUGGAAGAAGAUCCCUCGAAGACGAGCUCAUUUGAGAGGGGCUAAGGCCCGAACUGCAAAGAUAUAUGCGAUGGUUAUUUUCUCAGAAGAAAAAGAUGGCAUACCUGUACUAUUAAAGUAUUUCGGGUCACUUACGACUCGCUGGAGAAUUGAUCCCCCCCGCGGACUUUCUGUGGCUAAGGCACCCCCAAGGUAGGACCCUCUGUGGGAGACUUCUUCUCCCGUUUGGAAGCUUCGGCUUUCGAAUCCCCGGGCGCAGUCCUUUUCCUCCUCCGGUCGUCUUCCUUCAUGGAGACGCUCGCUCCCUCGGUUAGAAUGGGCAGCGUUGGGGGCCCACGUCCGCCUGUAUUAUCCUUCCCAGUAUCUUCCUUCAAAGGCUCCGGGUAGGGUGCGACCUGGAGCAUCUUUUCCAAUACCGGAUUGUCCAAACCCUCAGGGAGGGGGCCGAACACCGAAUCAACUUCGCCUUUGUUAGCUAGUCCUGGUCAAAAAGCGAACUCUCAGAAAUAACUUCGUAACAAAUGAGAGAUAGUAUGUUCGGCCGGAAGAUUCCUUACCUGUUCGGCGGCGCGGUUACUGGUCAGGCCCACGUCCUCGGUGAUUUCCGGACACUCUACCUGAGGUCCGAAGAAUGACUUGUACAUCUCCUCGUGCAUCAUGCCGAGGAAAUCUUGGAUGACACGCGGUCCCUCAGGAUUGAACUCCCACAAGCGAAGGGGCCGGCGUUUGCAAGCCUGGACUUGACGAACCAGCAUAACUUGUAUUACCGCAACCAAACUAAAAUCUCCAUUGAAGAGAUCCCGAAUGCGGCUUUGCAGUAUAGGCACGUCCUUGGCUGGACCCUAGCUCAGACCUCUGCUGAUCCAUGACAUCAGUUGUGGUGGAUGGCCCGAGCAGAAAAUAGGGGCGGCCGCCCACUUGGCACUUCUAGGAGCCGUGAUGUAGAACCACUCCUGUUGCCACAAUUCAGACACCUCUGGAAUGGAACCUUUGGGCCAUGGAGCUCCCGUCAUCUUGCAUAUUGAGGCACAUCCACACGCUCCAUGUUGCUCCUCGAUCAUCUUCGGCUUUACUUCAAAGGUCUUGAGCCACAGGCCAAAGUGAGGGGUAACCCGGAGGAAGGCCUCACACACGACAAUAAAUGUCGUGAUAUGAAGAAAGGAGUCUGGAGCUAGAUCAUGGAAAUCUAGCCCAUAAUAAAACAUCAAACCCCUGACGAAAGGAUCCAGAGCAAGGCCUAGACCUCGGAGGAAGUGGGAGACGAACACGACGUUCUCGUUGGGUUCGGGGGAGGGGAUGGCCUGCCCUCGGGCAGGCAGCCGAUGCAAAACCUCGGCGGUCAGAUAUCUGGCCUCCCUCAACUUUUUGAUGACUUCUUCCGUGACAGAGGAAGGCACCCAUCGGCCUUGAAGGCUAGAUCCGGGCAUGAUUGAAGGUUCAGAGCACCUGACCUGAACUUUGGGUGUUUGAGCUUGAGGUGGGAGAGGAUUCGAUUGAGCACGGGAGGGAAAAAUAAAAGCCUUGUCCCUUUAUAAAGAGGGUGAAUAUCAAGCAUCCUCUCCGUGGCCAUUUGGACAUGCCUAUAGUCUAGGAGUCCUAGAAGCGGUUGGGUUACCCACGCCCGUAUUGAUGAGAAUCCCGGAAUAAGGGGACACGAUCUAUGCUUUAACAAGACGUGCCAAGGAAACUGCCUCGCGUGACACGCUGAGGUGGGAUAAUAAAACAAUUCGAAUAAAGGCUUGGCCGUGGUGCAUCACACUACGGAAUACGUUAGCAGAUUAGAUUUGUGUAAAUAUUAUUCUGUCUAUGGCAAUAUGUGGAAACUUAUUUUGCAGAGCCGGACACUAUCUUUGUGUUCAAAAUCUUCUAUGAAGUACUUGGAGGAGGAACCCGCCUUGCAAUGCCAAAGACAUUCUGCGCGCCAGACUCGUCGUCAUUGAAGCCUGGUACAGGGGCUACUGAGGGAGUCCUAGAUUAGGGGGUGUCCGGAUGGCCAGACUAUACCAUCAGCCGGACUCCUGGACUAUGAAGAUACAAGAUUGAAGACUUCGUCCCGUGUCCGGAAGGGACUUUCCUUGGCGUGGAAGGCAAGCUUGGCGAUACAGAUAUAUAGAUCUCCUACCAUUGUAACCGACUUUGUGUAACCCUAACCCUCUCCGGUGUCUAUAUAAACCGGAGGGUUUUAGUCCGUAGGACAAUAUAUAGAACAACAAUCAUACCAUAGGCUAGCUUCUAGGGUUUAGCCUCUCCGAUAUCGUGGUAGAUCUACUCUUGUACUACCCAUAUCAUCAAUAUUAAUCAAGCAGGACAUUGGGUUUUACCUCCAUCAAGAGGGACCGAACCUGGGUAAAACUUCGUGUCCCUUGCCUCCUGUUACCAUCCGGCCUAGACGCACAGUUCGGGAACCCCUACCGGAGAUCCACCGGUUUUGACACCGACAACCGCCGAGUCGUUUUCUUGGUGUUGAUAGCAGCGGCUUUAGCCUUCUUGGAGGCUUCAUGAUCGUACUUAGCUUUCCAGAAAUCAGAUCUGGCCUGCAGAUGAAUAAACAAGGAUGAAAUAUCAAGCAAGUACUUAAGACGGCUGGGAAAAUACAAAGGAAUCAAAGGUUCAUUAACUCUGGCGCCGGGUUAAGUUUGCAGAAGGGGUUUAACCCGACCUUACUGCAGUCUUCGUAUUUGCCGUUUACUAGAAGGGUUGACAUUGCAACAAUAUCUUCUUCGGGUAAUUGGACGAAGCUGUGACGAAGAGAAUCAUUUGGGCCUCAACGAUAUUCACACAUCAGUUUUGAUCGGCGGCUGAGGGAGUCCUGGAUUAGGGGGUGUCCGGAUAGCCGGACUACAACCUUUGGACGGACUCUUGGACUAUGAAGAUACAAGAUUGAAGACUUUGUCCCAUGUCCGGAUGGGACUUUCCUUGGCGUGGAAGGCAAGCUUGGCAAUACAGAUAUGUAGAUCUCCUCCCAGUGUAACCGACUCUGUGUAACCCUAGCCCUCUCUGGUGUCUAUAUAAACCGGAGGGUUUUAGUCCAUAGGAGGAACAUCAAUCAUACCAUAGGCUAGCUUCUAGGUUUUAGCCUCUCUGAUCUCGUGGUAGAUCUACUCUUGUACUACCCAUAUCAUCAAUAUCAAUCAAGCAGGAGUAGGGUUUUACCUCCAUCAAGAGGGCCCGAACCUGAGUAAAAACAUUAUGUCCCUUGUCUCCUGUUAUCAUCUGCCUAGACGCACAGUUCGGGACCCCCUAACCGAGAACCGCCGGUUUUGACACCGACAUUGGUGCUUUCAUUGAGAGUUCCUCUGUGUUGUCACCUUUAGGCCCGAUGGCUCAUCCGAUCAUCAACAACUAUGUGGUCCAGAGUGAGACCUUUCUGCCCGGACAGAUCUUCAUGUUCGGCGGCUUUGCACUGCGGGCUAAUUUGCUUGGCCAUCUGGAGCAGAUUGAAAGCUACGCCCCUGGCCAUCAGGUCAGAUUUGGAAGUUUGAACUACAUAGCCGACAUCCGUGGAGACUUGAUCUUCGACGGAUUCGAGCCACAGCCGGGCACACUGCACUGUCACGAUGGGUAUGACCUAGCUCUGCCGCCGAACAAUACCCUAGAGGCCGCGCCCGCAUCAGCUUUGACCCUUAGCUCGGAGCCGACUGCGCCGAUCGAGGAUGGGUGGCUAGACACCGCCUCGGGGGCUGAAGUCUCAACAGCAAUCGAGCCGAACACCAGCCUCAUCCUCUGCGAAGCCCGUGACUCCAAGGCGUCGAACUCUUUUCCGGACUCCGAACCUUCCGUGCCCCUGCCAAUCGAAUCCGAUUGGGCGCCGACCAUGGAAUUCACUGCCGCGGAUAUCUUUCAGCACUCGCCCUUCAGUGACAUUCUGAAGUCACUAAGGUCUCUCUCUUUAUCAGGAGAGCCCUGGCCGGACUAUGGCCAACAGGAUUGGGAUGCGGACGACGUAGAAAUUAGACGCCCACCCGCCAACUACUUUGUAGCCACUAUCGAUGAUUUAACCGACAUGCUCGACUUCGACUCCGAAGACAUCGACGGUAUGGACGAUGAUGUAGGAGACGAACAUGAACCAGCGCCUAUAGGGCACUGGAAACCCACCUCAUCAUAUGACAUAUACAUGGUGGAUACACCCAAAGAAGGCAAUGGCGACGGAACAAUGGGGGAUGACCCCUCCAAGAAGCAACCCAAGCACCAGCGUCAGCAGCGCCGCUCUAAGUCCCGCCAAAGCAAAAAUGGUGAUGCCGGCACGGGAGAUAAUAACACCCCAGACAGUGCCGAAGACAAUUCCCUCCAACAAGAUUCAGCGCAAGAGGAUGGAGAAGCCAGCCCCCCUGAGAGAGCGGCAGACAGAGAAGAAGAGGACGAUAAUUACAUGCCUCCCUCCGAAGACGAGGCAAGCCUCGGUGAGGGAGUCUUGGAUUAGGGGGUGUCCGGAUAGCCAGACUAUACCUUCAGCCGGACUUCUGGACUAUGAAGAUACAAGAUUGAAGACUUUGUCCCGUGUCCGGAAGGGACUUUCCUUGGCGUGGAAGGCAAGCUUGGCGAUACGGAUAUGUAGAUCUCCUACCAUUGUAACCGACUUUGUGUAACCCUAACCCUCUCCGGUGUCUAUAUAAACCGGAGGGUUUUAGUCUAUAGGACAACAUAUAGAACAACAAUCAUACCGGAGGGUUUUAGGCUAGCUUUUAGGGUCUAGCCUCUCCGAUCUCGUGGUAGAUCUACUCUUAUACUACCCAUAUCAUCAAUAUGAAUCAAGGAGGACGUAGGGUUUUACCUCGAUCAAGAGGGCCCGAACCUGGGUAAAACUUCAUGUCCCUUGCCUCCAGUUACCAUCCAGCCUAGACGCACAGUUCGGGACCCCCUACCCGAGAUCCGCUGGUUUGACACCGACAUUGGUGCUUUCAUUGAGAGUUCCUCUGUGUCGUCGCCAUCAGGAAGGAUGCCUCGCCCCGUCUUUAAAUAUGGCACCAUUGCUAAGGGAGCUUUGGCUGUCGGCCAAACCCUCAGGCUAGGUGGUUUUCUUAUGAGCGCCUGUUCGGCUUCUACGCCGAUGAUGACCUCUCGAGCCAUCGAAAACAAUCUUGAUGUCAGCUCGGAACUUGCCGAGCAGUUAGAUCCAAUGGAGCUCUCCUCCAUAAAUGAGCUCUUGGAUCGCAUCGCCGCCCUGGGAGUCGCUACGGAUUACGACCAGAUUGGGCCUAAAACCGAUCUGAGAGAGAUUAACUCUCCCCAAGUCACCCAUCACGUUGCAGUGGUAGAAGGACAGUGCAGCGACCCUUCAUCUAUCUUAAGGACUAGCUACAUCCGGAUUCCCGAUCCCUCCAAGCCGGAUACCCGCGGAGGGGAGGAUAUCACUCAAGACCUGAACUUAGAGUCAGGCGACGGGCUAGAUUCAUUGGACAACAUCCAGGAAUCUAAGAUUUUCGAGUUCGGAAAUUCCUCGGCCUCUGAGCCUCAGAUUGGGUGAGGCUUCAGAUUUAAUUCCACCCACCCACCCGAACAUAAGCGAUCUAUCCCAAAUCAGGCAAGAGCCCGAUGAAACAGUACAUCAUUACUGGGCCAGAUUCCUCCUGGUUAGGAAUAGGAUAAGGGACUGCCGCGAGGAAGACGCAAUCUCAAUCUUCUGCAAUAAUUGCAUGGACAAGGGAAUCCUCAACGCCAUAAGUUGCCGUGAUAUUACACACUUCGCUGACUUAGCAUCCAUUGUACGAAAGUAAUAUGCAAUGGAAAGCGCCUGGAAAACCGAAAUAAAAUUCUGGGACGAUCCGGCCCUGAAUACAAACCCAGUCCGAAAUAAAAGGGUGCAUCAUCGCCAGGCACCCGGGUCAAACACCAAAAAGCAAAAACCCUCUAUAGGGCAUGUAAAAUUCACAGUACGGAGGCCGCCAUACCAACUCACAGCCUUAGAGCAUGUUGGAUACUCUGGUAAGUGGCCAAAAUUGGCGAAGUUCUCCUAAUUCCGGACGCCACAGAAAGCCACCCUAGAGACACCAAUACGGUAUUAACAGUCUUCGAGACUUUCACAUCAAAUAAUAUGCGAAAAAGGACACUCCGCAGCCUUGCCGAAGUCUACCAAGUAGCAACAAUGAACCCAUGGAGUGACACUGCUAUUACCUUUAACGCCAGUGAUGAACCUAAAUUCCGAACAGCCCGAGCACCAGCCGCAUUGGUCCUCAGUCCAAUAGUGGACGGCUUUCGUCUUACCAAGGUACUCAUGGACGACGGCAGCGGAUUGAACCUCAUUUAUGAGGAAACCCUUCAAAAAAUGGAAAUAGACUCGAACCGCAUUGAGCGAAGUAGCACAACCUUUACAGGAAUAAUCCCCACUCGGAAGCGUGUUGUACAUGAAAAAUCACACUAGAUGUGGUGUUCGGCACGCCGGAUAAUUACAGGUCCGAAGAGGUCACGUUCCAUGUGGCUCCGUUCAGCAGCGGUUAUCAUGCUCUGCUAGGGCGGGAAGCAUUUACAAUCUUCCCAGCAAUACCCCAUUACGGGUACAUGAAGCUCAAGAUGCUCGGGCCUAACAGGAUCAUCACUCUCUCUAGUGAUCCAGACAUAGCACUUCGCGCCGAACACAAGACAGCCGCACUGGCCCUCGAGGCACUAUCCGAAGCCCUAGCGGCUGAGGAACUGACUGCGCUGUGCUCCAUGGUGAAUAGGGACGAUGUGGUACUCGACAAAAGAUCCAAGUCCACCUCCUUUAAACCGGCGGACGAAAUAGUCAAAUUCCAGGUCCAUCCAACGGACCCCAAUAAAACAGCUUCCAUCGGGGCACAAUUAAACCCUGAUGUAGACGCCGCACUGUGAGAGUUCCUACGAGAGAACUAGGACAUUUUCGCCUGGCACCCUUCAGACAUGCCAGGAAUCCCAUGCAGGCUGGCCGAGCACAGCUUAAAUAUCCUAAAAGGAUUCAAACCUGUCAAACAAGCUAUUCGGCAUUUUUUCGAACCUAAGAGACAGGCCAUGGGAGAGGAGCUAGCAAAGCUAUUGGAGGCCGGAUUCAUCAGAGAUAUAAUACAUCCGGACUGGCUAGCAAACCUGGUGAUGGUACCAAAGAAGGACAAAUCCUGGCGCCUGUGCGUUGAUUUUAAAGACCUUAACAAGGCUUGCCCAAAGGAUCCCUUCCCCCUCCCCCGCAUCGAUCAAAUUAUCGAUGCUACCGCAGGACACAUUCGUUGUGUUUCCUCGAUGCAUAUUCCGGCUACCAUCAAAUCAAGAUGGGAGAAUCAGACCAAGCCACAACGGCAUUUAUCACACCAUACGACCCAUUCUGCUUCAACACAAUGCCCUUUGGGCUCAAAAAUGCCGGCGCAACAUAUCAGCGUACGAUUCAGACAUGUUUGGCAAACCAGAUCGGCAAAACAGUGGAGGCAUAUGUAGAUGAUGUGGUCGUCAAAACAAGACAUGUAGAAUCUCUAGUAGAUGACUUGAGGCUCAUAUUUGAUAACCUCCGAACAUACGACAUCAAGCUCAACCCGAAAAAAUGCGUUUUCGGCGUCCCAACCAGAAAGCUCUUGGGCUUCAUUGUAUCCGGUAGAGGAAUUGAAGCAAAUCUAGCCAAGAUCCGAGCUCUGUCACAAUUGGAUAUCCCGAAGGACAUCAAACAAAUACAAAAGUUAACCGGAUGCGUGGCGGCUCUAAGCCGCUUUAUCUCCCGCUUCGGAGAAAAGGCCCUACCCCUUUACCGCCUCCUUCGGCGCACCAAACACUUCGAAUGGACGGAUGCAGCCACGGCCGGACUCGAUGAAAUAAAAGCCAUAUUGGCAACAAACCCAGUCCUGGCCGUGCCAAACAUUGGCGAACCAAUGCUAUUGUACAUUGUAGCAACACAUCAGGUUGUAAGUGCAGUGCUCAUCGUCGAACGAGAAACGGACAGACACAAAUUCCCCCUUCACAAGCUGGUCUAUUAUGUGUCCACUGUCCUCACUCCAUGCAAAUCAUGGUACUCGCAUUAUCAAAAGAUUGCUUACACGAUAUUCAUGGCAUCCCGGAAGCUACGACACUACUUUCAAGAGUGUUCAAUAACAGUAGCCUCGGAAGUACCACUUAACGAUAUUAUAAACAACCGUGACGCAAUGGGCCGGAUUGCAAAAUGGGCCAUUGAGCUCCUCCCAUUCGACAUAACUUAUAAGCCACGGCGAGCCAUCAAGUCGCAAGUUUUGGCCGACUUCGUCGCAGAAUGGACGGAGGUCGAACUCCCUAAAGAGUACGGCACAUAUUCAAAUUGGAUCAUGCAUUUUGACGGCUCCAAGAUGUUGGUCGGACUAGGGGCUGGGGUCGUUGUGACGUCCCCCACAAGAGACACAGUUCAAUACGUACUCCAGAUUAUGUACACAGACUCCAACAAUGCAGCCGAAUAUGAGGCCCUUUUACAUGGUCUCCGGAUGGCAGUAUCCAUGGGCAUUCAACGCCUAGAGGUGCGCGGGGACUCGAACCUCGCAAUAUCCCAAAUAAAUGGAGACUUCGAUGCCAAGGAUCCAAAAAUGGUAGCUUACCGCAAUGCCGUCCUAAAAAUGCCAGCUCGGUUCGAAGGGCUUGAAUUUCACCAAAUAGCCCGGGAAAAUAAUCAGGCGGCAGAUGUCCUGGCACGCAUCGGCACAAAACACGAUGUAGUCCCCCCACAACAUCUUCUUGGAAAGGCUGUUCAAGCCAUCCGUAGUAUGGAAGGGGAGCCGAACAAUAACAGCCCGGAUCCAACCGCAUUGCCCGACACCGAACAUUCUGACACAAUCGGAGGCUCUGCCAAUGAAAUAACACCUUCAGCCCAUGUAAUAAUGGCCAUCAUCGCCCCGUGGACAGAAUCAUUCCUCGCCUACCUUACUAGGCAGGAACUCCCCAAGGACCAAAAUGAGGCACGCUGCAUAGUGCGGCGAUCCAAAGCCUACAAAGUCCACGAGGGAGAGCUUUAUAAGAAAAGCACUACCAGAGUCCUUCAAAGGUGCAUCUCCGAAGAGGAAGGGCGGAACCUCCUGGCUGAAAUUCACGCCGGACUCGGCGGUCAUCACGCUGCAGCUCGGUCCCUUGUAAGCAAGGCCUUCCGUACAGGCUUUUAUUGGCCGACGGCCCAGGCAGACGCCCAGGACUUAGUCCAACGAUGCGUUGGUUGCCAACUCUUUGCAAACCAAAGCCAUAUGCCACCCACCGCCCUCCAAACUAUCCCCAUCACUUGGCCCUUCGCGGUCUGGGGGCUUGACAUGGUUGGACCCCUUAAAGGCGGAACCCACAAGCAAAAAUACUUACUGGUCAUGGUGGAUAAGUUCACCAAAUGGAUAGAAGCCAAGCCUGUUAAGACGGCCGAAUCCGGACCGGUGAUAGACUUUAUAUCCGGGGUUGUACACCGUCACGACGUCCCCCACAGCAUCAUCACUAAUAACGGCACGAACUUUAGGGCCGACGAGGUAAAACUCUGGUGCAAAAACAUGGGCAUCAAGCUCGAUUAUGCUUCCGUCUAUCACCCACAAACUAACGGCGAGGUCGAACGUGCAAAUGGUCUUAUCAUGAGCGGCAUCAAACCCAGAUUAGUGCGGUCCCUCAAGGAAUCUAACAACCACUGGGUAGAGGAUCCCAACUCCGUACUCUGGGGGCUGCGGACCACGCCGAAUCGCACCACCGGAUACACACCAUUCUUUAUGGUGUACUGCGUAGAGGCAGUUUUGCCUUGCGACAUAAUUCAUGACUCACCUCGAGUGCGCAUGUACGAAGAAAGAGAAGCCAAGCUCGAUCGGCAGGACAGUUUGGCCGCAUUGGAGGAGGAGUGUGACGUGGCAAAAGCCCGUUCCGCAUUCUAUCAACAACAGGCUCGAAGAUACCAAAGCAGAGAAGUAUGGGCCAAAAAUUACAACGUUGGCGAAUUAGUUCUAUGCCUACCGGACAAGAAAAAGGACAAACUCAAGCCCAAGUGGGAAGGUCCCUUCAUAAUUGACCAAGUCCUGACUGGUGGAGCGUACCGCCUGCGAGAUGCAUCGGAUAACUGACUCGAGCUGAACCCAUGGAACACAGCCCGUCUCUGAAGAUUCUAUGCCUAGCGCCGGACUCUGUGUUCGUCUCCUUCCUCUGUCCCUUUUUUAUAUACUGUCUGUCUUACAUUUCUCUCCUUCUCCCCUUCCUUUCUCUUAUAGCCUAUAAAGGCUCAUCAAAUGAUGUGCUAUUCGCACUCAUUAAACCUGGGGGCUUCUUUUAACAGAAGCUUAUUUAUACGGGCUUCAUGCCCAACACAUGUGUUACGCUUCCGCAUGUACCUUUUAUUUCACCAUUAUAUGCAUCGAUAUGACUUAAGUUUUGGCCAAGCUGGGUUGCCUGGAUCCUGUGCUUACCCCUAUGUUCCCGAUUAUUCGGCUAGGUGGUAAAGGGAGCACCUCUGCGAUUAUUACUACCGGAUGAGCCGGAUGUGUACCUCAGACUGGGUGAAUCCGAAAGCUAGCAUUCUUAAGGAAUAUUCGGUCGGUGACCUAAAAGAUGAUCUUUUCACUUAUUUAUUUAUGCGCCCCCAGAUGCUUUUUCCCGCGUCUUUUUCGCAGAAUGGGCAUGCACUUUAGGGCAUGCCUCCCAGGGAAAGGAACCCCUAACAGAACUAUUCUCCCUAGAAGAUGUUUCUUACUAACCAUGUAAUAUAACAUAACUAGUCGGGCACUUGUCUGUUCACACACUAAUGACCCCUACGCCUGGUCUCCAUGCAUUCCCCGGUUCUUAUAUAACCGCAUGGGAAUUCGGGCACACUCCGGACCGUCAGGUCCCGAGGCUGAAGCGAAAAGGUCGGCCAUGACAAACGAUCUACGAUCCGGCUAGAAGGCAUUAUAAAUGUCAAUUAAAUUACAUAGUCAUUCUGACAGGUUGUAUUCCUCCUCAAUACCAUCUAACAGGCUGUCUAAUUUAUGGUCCUGCUAGGAAUACUUUGUGGCCCAUUCUACUUGGCCGUAUACUAAGCUUACAGGGAUCUCCUUCCCAUCGGGCCCCACAGGACCGACCUCGGCCAUGUGGUUGGGGUCAGCCUUUGUGUACCGCGUCUUCACCAUGGCCCAGGCCUCCCUAGCACCUUGACGGCAGGCCGAUAUCUUCCACAAUCGGAAGCACCGUCGUGCUCCCUUUAGCUUCUCCGCAAGCUCUCCAAGACCUUCAGGCAUGGAGAUAGAUGGCCACAAGGCCUGGGCGACGCCUUGCAUCACCUGCCGAACUCGCUCGAGCAGUUGCGAGAGCUCGGGAAGAAGGUCACCCGCAGAACCGGGCAUCUCCUCUGCAGGACGACCUAUUAGCACACCUACAGACAUUACUCUCUUAGUCGACUUCCCCGCCGAACUUUUUUUUCAAAGGUUCAUUCAAGCACUUACUAAAUAUGCUGCGUCGAAGCCGCUGAUUCUCCUUAACGGAGUCUGACAGCUGGGCAUGAACAUCUUUCAGGUCGACGCCCAGCUUUGUGUUGGCAUCUUGGAGAUCGUUCUUCUCCCGCCUCACCUUUGUUAGUACCUUCUCACCAGCCUUCAGCUGGCGUAGGAGUUGUUGCCUUUCCGGACUCAAUCCGGCGCCAUCUGCAAUUUCAUUUGUCAUAUUCGCACCCAUGCCGCGCUUCGCAAAAUACUUAUCUUUCGAAGUGUAUAUUACCAGAGGGGGUCUCCUUGGGCUCCCCUGCCGCGGCUAGUGUGGCCUCAAGUUGGGCUUUGCACUCUUCCAGCUCCUGGGACAGUAGGGAAUUCUUUUCUGUAAGAACCUGCAUAACAAAUGAUCCUUAAAUCAGUUAUUCUAAUUGUUUCAAGUCUCGGGGGCUACUGGUAUAUAUAUAUAUAAUUACCAAAAUUUUCUUACCCGUAUGUCCUUUGCAUAUUGCUCCGUGGCUCUAGCUAGACCAUUUUGAGCGGCACGGAGGUACGCAUCUCCUGAAUUGAAGGCAUCUAAUUCCUCUUGGGAGAAACAAGCGUCGCAAAGAAUUGACCGGCGACGCCUGUGGUUCAUGGCACUCUCCACCUCAGAGUUGGUGGCAGACAAGUUGUCCACAUCCUCCGUCGGAGGAGCGUUCGGUGUGCGCCUCGUGUUCGCCUCCGUCUCCGGACCAGGAUUUGGAGCCUGGCUGGUGGAGGCGCGAUUGGCAGCCUCUCCGGAUAUAGUCCGGCGAGGUCUCUUUGUCCUGAAGAGAGCACGAGCAUUAAUAUGCCUUGAAGGUAUAACACCUGGGAUAAGGGGGCGCGCCAUACCUUUGCGUUAACGCCUCGGUCCGGACUGCACCUCUUUUCUGCUCACGGGGCCCUGUGGCCCCUCGUUGGCUUGUCGCUGCAGGUUCGGCCUCCCAUCUCAAAAACCUCCCCUGCAAAGCUCGGUUGUAAUCAGGAAACUGAAAACACGAGAUUGCGGACCCCUAUUCGGGGUGCUGGGACUUCGAUCUCGGUUACCUGGGAGGCCAGUAUUAGCCCUGGGUAAUCGGCCGUAAUGGCCACCAAGGCGUUGUCCUUGCUCAAUUGAUGGAACACUCCAUCAAUCAGCUCAACAGAUAAGUCCGGAUCCUCUUGAGAGGCCGGGUCGAGGGACCGUCCUGGGUCCUCGGGUUGUGGAGAUGGGCUAUUUAUUUCUUUAACAGCCUGGCACAGUUCCUGCGUUGAAGUCGUUAGACUGAAUAUUUAACAAUGGGAAUAUAAAACGGAUGGGCAAGUAAACCACUUACCCAGCUUGGGGGAUUGUACAUAGAAAAUCCACCCUAUGGGUUGACGCGGAGAAAUUCCUCCUCUUCUCCCUUGUAUAAAGCGGACAAGGUCUUUGUUAGGGAUGGAGCCGAAUCCGGUCCCUUACGGCCGUAGCGGGUGGUGUCGUCCUCCCCAUUGAAAUCCCACAUGGGGUGGCCUCUGUACUAUAGCGACUGCACCCCUCGCAUGAUGCAUGCGGCCAUGACCGUGAUCAUGGUCAGUCCGGAAUGAGCUAGCAAUCUUAUCCGGCCAUCAGGUAACGGACGUCCUUGUCACUUUCCCUCUGAGGGCUCCGUGGAUGCAAACUUAGGCACUUCUUUAGUGGAGCACUGUCGAACUCAAGGAGGCCGAUCCGGACAGGAUCCGGCAGCGGGACGUCCUCUAUGUAAAACCAUUCCGAAGGCCAGUCCUCGGACGCCUUCUUUGGGGUUCCGGAUAGAUAUACGGUCCCGGUGAUGCGCCACACUUCGGCUCCGCCCACUUUAAAUAUUGACCCCUUCUGAGAACGGGGCACAAGGCAGAAUAGCUCUUUCCACAGCCCGAAAUGAGCCUCAACACCCAAAAACAGCUCGCAGAGGGCUACGAAGCCCGCGAUAUGCAAUACGGAGCCAGGCGUAAGAUUGUGUAGCUGGAGGCCAUAGAACUCCAGGAGCCCCCGGAGAAACGGAUGGAUUGGAAAUCCGAGCCCUCUUAUUAAAUAAGGGACAAGGCAUACCUGCUCUCCCUUGGAGGGAUUAGGGGCACUCUCCGCUUGCUCUCCACCAUUAUGGAUGGCAAGACCGGCUCGAACCGGGACCAUAUAGGCCGGGGGAAGAAAUCCCUUGGUCUGGAGCGUUACUAGCUCGCUAUGCGGGAUGCAGCAUCUCUCCCAAUAUCCAGGCUGAGGGCUGGAAGGGCAAAAGGAGGAGUUGUGACGGCUGGCCAUGGUAGAAUGGACCUUUGUCAGAUGCGCUCUGAUGAACACUCGCGAAGGGGAGAAGGUGUGGUUUGGAUCUAAAUCCUCAUCCCUUUAAAUGGGCGGCUCAUUUACGCGGCUAGGGGUGUGGAUGUAAAAAUGCUAAGACUUUUCAUAUUCGUUUGACACGUGGGAAACGGCCAUUAUUGGGCGUAGAAGCCAAGGAGCGCAACAUUUACAAGAAACUGGACUUCAUUCAACAGGUACACGGAAUUUGGAGGAGAACCCGCCUUGCAAUGCCGAAGACAAUCUGCGCGCCGGACUCAUCGUCAUUGAAGCCUGGUUCGGGGGCUAGUGAUGGAGUCCUGGAUUAGGGGGUGUCCGGAUAGCCGGACUAUACCUUCAGCCGGACUCCUGGACUACGAAGAUACAAGAUUGAAGACUUCGUCCCGUGUCCGGAAGGAACUUUCCUUGGCAUGGAAGGCAAGCUUGGCGAUACGGAUAUGUAGAUCAUCUACCAUUGUAACCGACUUUGUGUAACCCUAACCCUCUCCGUUGUCUAUAUAAACCGGAGGGUUUUAGUCCAUAGGACAACAUAUAGAACAACAAUCAUACCAUAGGCUAGCUUCUAGGGUUUAGCCUCUCUGAUCUCGUGGUAGAUCUACUCUUGUACUACCCAUAUCAUCAAUAUUAAUCAAGCAGGACGUAGGGUUUUACCUCCAUCAAGAGGGCCCGAAACUGGGUAAAACUUCGUGUCCCUUGCCUCCUGUUACCAUCCGGCCUAGACGCACAGUUCGGGACCCCCUACCCAAGAUCCGUCGGUUUUGACACCGACACUCAGCGACGGCGAAUUUGUCGUGCCUGAGGAUCCCAUCGAACAAGAGCACUUUAAGCACAGACUUAUGGCCUCGGCGAGUAACCUUAAGAAAAAACAGCAAUAGCUUAGAGCUGAUCAAGACUUGCUAGCCGACAGAUGGACGGGAGUCCUUGCGGCCGAGGAAUACGAACUCGAACGCCCCUCUAAGAGCUACCCAAAGCGCAGGUUGCUACCCCGUUUAGAGGAGGAAGCACUUAAACCUACAUCACUAGCGCAUGAUGCGGCUGACCGGCCACCUCACGGCUGCGACAGAGAGUCCUCCUGGCCCUCCACUCAAGCCGCACCCCGGCGUCGCUCAAAAAAUACCAAGCCAAUACCUCCCACUCAAGCUUAAAGGACCAGCUCGGCAUUGGCUUAAUAGCCUGCUAGCAAAAUCAAUUGGUUGUUGGGAGGACCUGGAAGCCGCAUUCCUCGACAACUUCCAGGGCACUUAUGUGCAACCACCAGAUGCCGAUGACCUGAGCCACAUAAUUCAGCAGCCAGAAGAAUCUGCCAGACAAUUCUGGACAUGGAUCCUAACCAAGAAAAAUCAAAUCGUUGACUGUCCGGACGCAGAGGCCCUAGCAGCCUUCAAGCAUAACAUCCGUGACGAGUGGCUUGCUCAGCACCUUGGACAGGAAAAGCCGAAGUCUAUGGCAGCCCUCACGACACUCAUGACCCGCUUUUGCGUGGGAGAAGACAGCUGGCUGGCUCGUAGCAAUAACAUGACCAAGAGCCCUGGUAAUUCGGAUACCAAGGACAGCAAUGGCAGGUCGCGUUGCAACAAGCACAAGCGCCACAUUAACAGCGACAACACUGAAGAUACCGCAGUUAAUGCUGGAUUCAGAGGCUCUAAGCCCGGUCAGCGGAAAAAUCCAUUUAAGAGGAACACUCCGGGCCCGUCCAGUUUCGACCGUAUAUUCGAUCUCUCGUGCCAGAUACAUGGCACCCCCGAAAAACCAGCCAAUCACACCAACAGGGAUUGUUGGGUGUUCAAGCAGGUCGACAAGUUAAAUGCUGAAAACAGAGACAAGGGGCUGCACAGCGACAAGGACGAAGAGCCCCGGCCGCCGAACAAUAGUGGAUAGAAGGGCUUCCCCCCACAAGUGCAGACGGUGAACAUGAUAUACGCAACCCACAUCCCCAAAAGGGAGCGGAAGCAUGCACUCAGGGACGUAUACGCGUUGGAGCCAGUCACCCCAAAAUUCAACCCAUGGUCCUCCUGCCCGAUCACUUUUGAUCGAAGGGACCACCCCACUAGCAUCCGCCAUGGCGGAUUCGCCGCAUUGGUUCUAGACCCAAUCAUUGAUGGAUUUCACCUCACUAGAGUCCUUAUGGACGGCGGCAGCAGCCUGAACCUGCUUUAUCAGGAUACAGUGCGGAAAAUGGGAAUAGAUCCCUCAAGGAUUAAACCCACAAAAACGACCUUUAAAGGCGUCAUACCAAGACGCCAACUGUACAGGCUUAGUUACACUUGAAGUAGUCUUCUGAUCCCCGGAUAAUUUCCGAAGUGAGGAGUUAAUCUUCGACAUUGUCCCGUUCCAUAGUGGCUAUCACGCACUGCUUGGACGAACCGCAUUUGCAAAGUUCAAUGCGGUGCCGCACUAUGCAUAUCUCAGGCUCAAGAUGCCAGGCCCUCAAGGAGUCAUUGCGGUCAAUGGAAACAUUGAACGCUCUUUCCAAACGGAGGAGCACACGACGGCCCUCGCAGCGGAAGUACAAAGCAGCCGCUCAAGGCAAUUCUCCAGUCCGGCUAUUAAACGUCUAGACACCGUCAAGCGCACCCGGAUUAACCUACAACAAGACCGACUGGCACGUUCCGAGCAACUGUAGCAAUACGGCCCCAAUCCCAGCCCUCGCGAAACUGUGAAAUUAGUACAACGCGUACAUAACUACGCUCUGAAAAUACCAUGGGCACAGGGGGAGGGGCACGACCAUGGCACGCCCAAAAAUGCGGCUCAACCGCACUAGGGGCCCCCGAUUUUGUCAUUAUUUCCUACUUUCAGGACUCCCCUCUUCGGAAGGCCUGUCCGGCAGUACAACUGCCGAACACACGAUGCAACAACCAAGGAGGCAGAAAGCUAUGUCGAAUUCCCAGGUGGUCUCUAUAAUGAGCAAAAUACCUGUCUUACAUACCGUCUCGCAGCUCACCCCUGGAGGGGGACAUGUCAAAUAGUCCCAUCUCUUCCUUAUCACACUAUUUGUAUCAUUCUGCUUUCAGAGCAGCCUUUUAAAACAAACAAUGCUUAGCUUCAGCUUAUUAUUGCAUUCUCUAUUCAUUUAUUUUUCAAUACAUAUGUUCAGUUAUGACAUUUAGCUCCCGUACACUUUGGUACGGUCCAUACGCGAGGGGCUCAAGCACCCCAUAAUACGGCGUGAGAAGUCCAAACACUUUCACAAAGUGCGGCCCUCCGAACUUAUAGCAUUAUAUGCAUCAGCUCUGAAUCAUGUCUUUGGUCAAUAGUUGGGUUUGCCCGGCUCCCAUGUUUUGGUAUCUUACUUUCCGCUAUAUCGGCUAAGGUAGCGCUGGGAGAACUACUGCAAUUGUGCCCCGGUUGAGCUGGGCUAAGCACCUCAGUAGAGAAAGCUAAAACUGACUGUCAUGAUAGGACGAGAGCUGGUCGCUGUUCGGGAGGUUUCGAGUCCCUAAAGACUUAUGCCGCUUAGAGCGAGCAGUCGGCUUUGUCCGGCCUAGGCGUGUAUAGCGCCCCGAACUCGGUCUUCCGAACACUAGGGGCUUCACUGAAAUUUAAAAUUAUAGAAUUCUCUGGCUAAGUGAGAAUGAUAAUGAAUUAUAGUCCGAUUGCCUUGUUCGUUGUGCUGAGCACCUCCCUCGAAAGACCCAAGAAUGGGAAAAAGAGUGCCCAGGUUUAUCCCGAACACCCCAGCACUCGUGGCAUGGGGGCAUAAGCCAACGACUCGCCAUCUCUCAGACUCGAUAAACGGCCGCAUAGAAGGUAAUAUUUUAAAUUAAAACAAGCGUUGCAUAGCGUAUAUGAACAAGUUUUCAGCGCACAGGAUAAAACGAACAAGUUCACUCAAAUAUUACAUCUUUGGAACAUUCGUCCGCCACAACGCGGGCACCCUUCAAGACGCCCUCAUAAUACAUCUCGAGGUGGCGAUGCUCCUUGCCCUGCGGUGGCCCGUCCGUCACAAGCUUCUCCGCAUCCAUCUUACCCCAGUGCACUUUAGCACGGGCAAGCGCCCUACGGGCACCUUCGAUGCAGACGGAGCGCUUGACGACUUCAAGCCAUGGACAGGCAUCCACCAGCCGCCUCACCAACCCGAAGUAGCUCCCAGGCAGGGCCUCUCCAGGCCAUAGCCGAACUAUAAGGCCCUUCACGGCCUGCUCGACCAGUUGCUUCAGCUAGUCUCUCAAGGGCACCGAGUGUCCGGCCUCAGCAUACUAAGACCAAAACACCUUCUCUGUCGAGCUUCCCUCCUCGACCCGGUAGAAGGCGGCGGCAUCUGACACGCUAAGGGGCCAAUCUGCAAAUGCUCCUGGAGAGCUCCGGAUUCGGGUAAGUAACAAGUAAUUCACUUUCACGUGCUUGCUUUGCAUAAAGAAUGCCUUACCCGCCGCUAUCUUCUUCAUCACCUCAACUUCCUGGAGGGCUUUUUGGGCUUCAGCCUUGGCAGACUUGGCGCUUUCAAGGGCCGCCGUGAUCUCGGACUCUCGCGUCUUUGAGUCAAGCUCUAAACUCUCAUGUUUUUUCAUGAGAACCUAGAGCUCUUGCUGCACCUCCACAACCCGCACCUCAUGUUUCUCCCGCUCGGUGCGCUCCGUGGCUGUCGGGACCCCGAUCCCAAGUCACACCGAUCUAGCAUGUAACACAUCAUAUCACUUUGCGGCCUCACGCACGGUAUUCCCACGGGUGCCACCUUACCUGGCCCGGGACUGUUUGCGCCUUUUGGCUCACGUAUAUGAUAGUGUCGCUAACAUCCAUAUGACAAAGAACCCAGGCUGACAUGGCUAGUCGUGAAUCCAAAGCGGCACCAACCCAUGAGGACAGGCAUACAUGAACCACAUCGAGCAUGUCGGUCAUCAACGUGUGAAUUCGGGCUGUAGCACUGGGCUAACAGGACUCCGGAUGUCAGCGCGUGACAUUUCCCCGAAGGGACAGACACAGGAACGAAGUGAAACACAUGCCGGGCAGUCAAGUGUUCUGAGCAAUAGUGCUGGGCUAGCAGGACUCCGGUGAACCGGGCUGUAGCGGACUACUAUGGCUCAAGGAAGCACUAGACUACAUUUCCUAAUAAGAGAGGCUGCCAGGACAAACAACUAGAUUGUCGGAUCCCACACAUAGCAAUACACGAUACACGUACGCAUAUCAUGCAAGUAUGUGAUGUACACCAUGGCAUCACAACAUAACUCAAACUCAUAUAGAUAAAGGCCCAGAAGAGCCACAUAGCAAUCAAUACACACAGGGGUCUCAUGACCCAUCAUUCAGAGCAUACAAGCAACGGAAGCAUUACAUGUCUGAGUACAGACAACUACAAAAGGAAAAGACUAAGAGGCCUAACUAAACACGACCCUCCCAAGGGUACAAGAUCGUAGCUGGGAUACAAGCUACUCGUCGAAGUCACUAGCGUAACCAGCUGCAAAACAUAAAUAAGCAAACGUGAGUACAAAGGUACUCAGCAAGUCUUAUGUCAGAACUAUCUACAUAUGCAACAUUAUCAACAAAGGGGGUGGUGGAGUUAACAGAAGCAAGCCAGCUUUGACUCAGUGGCUAGCCUAUACUACGAGUAUCAGAAAUUUCUUUGGGGUGAGAAGAUGCACACGAGUCCACAUAUUCACCAUAUCAAUACUCCACUAUGGAUCCGUUCCCGUCUCCCUACGAGAAGGCCAUCCAUAGCACUCACGCUUAUCUUGCCGAUUAUAGAGUAUCCACUUCAAGUUGUCUAUGUACUACAUAAGUCCUCCAAGUUUCCAUAUCCGAGGAAAACGGCUAUUCGAAUAGAUAAUAUUGACCCUGCACGGGUGUACUUCGUCACACACGCUCCCGCCACUUAUAGCCCUGUACACGUCAUGUACCUCGGCAACCUUCAAGCGGAAGCCGGGCGAGGGUGUCGGCCACGACCUGACUAACCACACAAGUCUCUCGUCCAGGUUUAUCGCCUAUUCGGGUUCCAUCCGCAAGGAGAUCCAGCCGGGGUGUCGCUCACGGCCCCAAAUGAUGUGUGCAGGGUUCCCAAGCCCACCAUCCGGGUGCCACUUGGUACACCAUGCCACGGUGCCUAGUCUGUCCCAAGCCCGUCCCGUCGGACACCACUUGGUAGACAAGUAGCACUACCUACAAACACUAGAAACUAGUUGCAACUCCUGGACAGAGAUCAAGUGGAUUAAUAAGCCGAGAGGGGCCGGAUAACCGGAACCCAAUGUGUGGUAGUAACUGGACUUGGAUAACAUACACAGAACUCAGUCCUUAGGGACGGUUCCAAUGAGACAACCCACCAUGUACUCCUACAUGGCCUCUCAUCGCUACCUUUACCAAAACGUGUUCACACACUUAGCCUUUAACGGUAGGACAUGUUCACCACUCCGAUUCAUUACCGAUGAAUCAGACCUGACACAACUCUAAGCAUAGCUGGCAUAGAGAAAAACAAGCAUGGAUGAGCAGGCACAUCAAGGCUCAAGCAACUCCUACUCAUGCUAGUGGGUUUCAACUAUUUACUAUGGCAAUGACAGGUCAUGCAGAGGAAUGGGUUCAGCUACCGCAGCAGAAAGUAGUAGUUGAAUCGUUAUUGUCCUAAUCCAGUAUAAGGAGCAGGAGCGAGAGAGUGGGAUUUUAUCGAGAUGCUCAAGGGGGUUUGCUUGCCUGAUAGAUCCACGAAGAAACACUGCUCCUCAGAUAGGUACUCGGGACACCUUCCGGAGCAGAACCUAUCGAGAGGGAACGGUGCCGGCAAUCAAUAAACAACCAUAUGUAACAGUAUGAUGCAUGAAGAUGACAUUUCAAAGAUGCUAUGAUUUGCCCUAAUGCAUGUAGCAUCAAUUUGGUUGAAGUCCAUAUGAACCAAGGAUUCAUAUGCAAACCCCAAUUUAAGUAUAUAACAUGCCAUUAUUACAUUUUCACUUAUACAGCAAGUAUAAGUUGGUUUUUCAUGCAUGAAACUAGAAUAAAUGGAUUCCUUGCAUUUUUCUGAUAAUUUUUCAUAUAUAAUUUAUUUGAUUUGGAGUUACGGUUGAAUUUCUAUGAUUUUUAGAAGUUUUAACUAUUUUCUGAAAUUUCCUGAUUUAAAUUAAUACCAGAAAAUGAUAUAAUGCGUCAGCACAGCGUCAUGCUUACGUCAGUAGGUCAAAGGCGGCUGACCAGGUCAAACCUGACGUGUGGGGUCCACACGUCAGUGUCUGUGGUUAAUCCUAAUCUAAAAAUAACCUAAACUGGUUUAGUUAAUGGGGUUGGGCCCACGCGUUAGUGACCCAAUUAGCUAAACAGGGUUUAAUUAGUUGUUAAACUAAUCCUAACUAAAACUUAACAGGGCCGGGCCCACAUGUCACUGACCCUGGGUAGUCAAACCCCAGGUCAACUGGGGGGUUAGACCGGUCAACCCCACCGGCGUUUAGCCGCCGACGAGGCCGAACGCGGCGGAGGGGCUCGGGAUCGCCGUUCCGGCGACCAAAAGGACGGCGGAGGGGCUCGGCGUGGAGCUGGCCGUGCGCCGCAUCCAUCUGUGCGAACGGCAGGGGCUCAGGUGGCCCGAGCUCGCCGGAAUCAAGCUCACGACGGCGGCCGGAGUUCGGACCUCGACGGAAACGAAGCUACGGUGGACGGGAGGACGAACGGAUGCUUGUUUUGAGCUCUUGGGACCACGCUGAGCACAGACACGCGCUCAAACGCGGGCAGCAGCAACUGUGGCCGCGGCGGCUACGUGGCCGGCGGAGCAAAGCUCUCGGCCGUGACGGCGAAGCUAGCUAGAGGGAGGAAUCGACACUGGGAGUAUAGGGAAAUGACGGAGGGGCUCACUGCGAAAUCGAAGAGAAAGUCGUCGGCUCGGGGGAGUGGCCGGAGCAAGCGAGGCAGCGAUGGAGAUCUCCGGCGUCGGGAGGUUGAAGACGACGGCGUGGAGGCGCUCGGGGGCGUCCGACACUGCGUGGCCUGGCGGAGAGUACUAGGGCGACGAGGCGGACCUCAUGGGUACGUCGGGGAGGCGAUUGGAAGGCGGUGGUCGCGGUGGUGCACGUCGGUGCCCUCCGAUGCGCUCGGUACAGAGGGGAAGAACGAGACAGAGUAGAGGAGAAGCACGGGGGAGAGUGAGAGAGGCUUGGGGGGUGCGUGGCGACGCGAGGAAGGUCCAGGCGACGAUGGGGAGCGGCAAGCAGGAGCUGGCGAGGCGCGUGGCCGGCGCACGGCGUUGUGCCCGGCUUCUCCUCUGCCUACUGGCAAGAGGUAGAAGACGGGGCUGCCCCUGGUGGGCUGGGCCGCCAGGUGGGCUGGCUAGCUGGGCCGCCAGGUAAGAACAGGUAAGUGUUUCCUAUAUCCUGUUUUCUUUUUCUAUUUCUGACAUUUGUUUUGUAAUUAAAAGAAAUGAUAAAACAUUUCCAUAAAUGCUGAAAAUAAUUGUGGCAUCUAGAUAUAAUAUUCUAGAGGCCCUCGCCAAUUCCCAACAUUUUUGGAGCCAUUAAAAAUAUUUAUAUAAUUUAAACAGCUCCAAAUCAAAUAUUUAUGCAUUGAUUCAAAAAUCCAAAAUGUGUAGUAAAAAUGUGCACCACCUCUGGUUGUUGUUCCCAACAUUAUCCAAAGAGCAUGAACAUUUUUAAUAGCAUUUUGGGUUCAUUGAAAUUCCAUUUUUAAUUUGAACCUAUUUGAAUUGGUUUGGUGCUAGGGUUUGAAACAUCCCCAUUUCAAUUUCACUUGAAAAUUAAACAUGAUGCACAAAGCAAGCCAAGGACCAUACCAAACUAGGGAUGUGACAGUGGCCGCCUUCUUUUCGGCCUCGAAAAGCGCUUGCUUAAGGGUCGCCACCUCAGUCGUGGCCCCUAGGACACCAAUAGCGAUCCUGUCAUUUUUGGCAACUGCAUCUUUUUAAAUAUACUCCACAAGGUAUUACUUACCUUAUUUUUCCUCGUGCUCCUUUUUAGCACACCCGAGCUCUUGCUCGGACCGCUCGAGGCUCUGCUUCAGCGCAUCCACCUCCGCAGUCAGUGCGGCAGAGGCCAGCAGCGAAGCCUACAUACGCAUAUUGACUUAAUUAUGUUAGACUCCUGCGAAUCUUGGUAGAUCCUCUAUUCGGCUUUUCUUUACGAACGCCAAACAGAGCAUCAGGGGCUACUGUCUAUGCGGUAAUAUUUUCACAUAUUUUUCACAUACCUCAAAGCCUGUUAGCAGGCUGGCACAGGCUUCAAUCAGCCCACUUUGGGCGGAGUGAACCUUCUGGAUCACCGCACUCAUAAUAGUGCGGUGCUCCUCGUCGAUGGAGGCGCCGUUAAGCACCGCACUAUUGGACGGAGGUCACCGGCGUCGUAGGCUUUCCCUUCUUACUGGGGGGCCGCCUGCCGGACUCCGGAACCGUUGAAGGUUCUGGUGCGGUGUCCGGCCCAGGGCCGGACUUGGAGCCCUUGGGGUUUUUUUCCCCUUUGCGCCUGGAGUCCGGGAGGUCGCCUUGCGGCGCCUCCAGGACCACCUCCUCCUGGCUUGGAACCUUUUGGGACAACACCUCGGCAUCGUCCGUAGGGCGGGGGCAGGUAGCGGUCGGAAGUUAAAAACUAUUCACAUCCGACGAAUCCAGGGAGCCGCUCGACGACACGUCGAGCCGGGCUUUGGGCGGACUGCUUAAUUAUAUUCAGCGUUAGGAGAAGCUGUGCAAUAAAGGAACGCCAUGAGUCACUCAGGUAUCCGAAUACUUACGAUUUUUCCAGUGGUUUGGCCCUGAGCGGCCACUCCUCUUCGCCAUCGUCGGCGUUGGUGGAGUAGUCCGUAGGGAGGGUCCUCCCUUUCUUGGACCCUCCGGCCUCCCCAGUUGGGGCGGCCUUCCUUUUCUUUUCCCCCCUACUGGGGAAGAAACCUCUUUUUCCUCCUCCUCGUCUUCGUGGGAGGAGUGCGCCUCGGAGUCAUCGGACGAUGAGUCUGACUCCACCGGGCGCCGGGAACUCUUCCAGGUUCCCGUGGCCUUCUUCUUGGCCUUCUUCUCUGGCAUCACGUAGGGUGCCGGAACCAGCAGCUCCGCCAAGCGGGCGUCCGCUGGGUCUUCAGGCAAAGGAGCCGGACAGUUGAUCUGUUCGGCUGUCCUCUGCCAGUCCUGUCAAAGGCAUGGGGGCUUAGAUCCCGCAUAGAGUCAAACUAUGAAAGACAAAUAUCAUGUAAGAGGUAAAAAUAGCUUACCGCGUUGGCUUGACGCUGCACGCUGAAUCCGCUAUCCUCGGUAGAGGAUGCGGGAGCCUCGGCGCCCUUGAAUAGCACCUUCCAGGCAUCUUCGUAUGUUGUGUCGAAGAGUCUGCUCAGAGUUCGGUGCUGGGCCGGGUUGAACUCCCACAAGCUGAAAUCCUGUUGUUGGCACGGGAGGAUCUGGCGGAUGAGCAUGACCUGGACUACGUUAACAAGUUUGAGCUUCUUGCUCACCAGGUUUUGGACGCAUGUUUGGAGUCCGGUCAGCUCUCCUUUUUUACCCCACGGCAGGCCCUUCUCUUUCCAGGAGGUGAGCCGCGUAGGGAUUCCGGAUCGGAACUCGAGGGCUAUGACGCAUUCAGGUUCACGCGGCUCGGUGAUGUAGAACCACCCCGAUUGCCACCCCUUUAUGGUCUCCACGAAGGAGCCCUCGAGCCAUAGGAAGUUGGGCAUCUUUCCCACCAUGGCGCCUCCGCACUCCGCCUGGCGGCCACCCACUGCCUUCGGCUUGACAUUAAAGGUCUUCAGACAUAGGCCGAAGUGGGGCUGGAUGCAGAGGAAGGCCUCGCACACGACGAUGAACGCCGAGAUGUUGAGGAUGAAGUUCGGGCCAGAUCGUGGAAGUCCAGGCCGUAGUAGAACAUGAGUCCCUGGACAAAUGGGUGGAGAGGGAAGCCUAGUCUGCGGAGGAAAUAGGUGAGGAACACCACCCUCUCAUGGGGCCUGGGGGUGGGGAUGAGCUGACCCUCGUCUGGGAGCCGGUGCGCGAUGUCGUCAGACAAGUAUAUGGCUUUCCUUAGCUUCUUGAUGUGUCCCUCCGUAACGGAGGAGACCAUCCACUUGCCUCCCGCUCUGGACUUGGCUGGAGAAGGUUGAGGUGGGGAAUCCGGACGUGGGAGCUGGAGCUUGAGUGCGCGAAAAUGGAUGAGCAAAGGAGGAAGAAAGCGUGGAUGGAAAGGCGGAUCCUUAUCCCCUUAUAUGGGCGGACGCAUCUAUGCGUCCCCACCAGCCUGGUAAAACUCGCUUAUCUCCCAAGCACCAUAAUCAAUGGCGCAGUUGGUUUACCCACGCCCGUAUUGAUGAGAAUCCUGGGAUAAGGGGACACGAUCUCUGCUUCGACAAGACGUGCCAAGGAAACUGCCUCACAAAAUGCGCUGAGGUGGGACAGUAAAAAUGGUUCAAAUAAAGGCUUGGUUGUGGCGUGAUGACACACUACGGAAUACGUCAGCGGAUUAGAUUUGUGCUAAUAUUAUUCUCUCCAUGGUAGUAUGUGGAACCUAUUCUGCAGAUCCGAACACUAUCCUUGUGUUCAAAAUCUUCUAUGAAGUAUUCGGAGGAGGAACCCGCCUUGCAAUGCCGAAGACAAUCUGUGCGCCGGACUCGUCGUCAUUGAAGCCUGGUUCAGGGGCUACUGAGGGAGUCCUGGAUUAGGGGGUCCCGAUAGCCAGACUAUAAACUUUGGUCGGACUCUUGGACUAUGAAGAUACAAGAUUGAAGACUUCGUCCCAUGUCCGGAUGGGACUUUCCUUGGCGUGGAAGGCAAGCUUGGCAAUACAGAUAUGUAGAUCUCCUCCAACCCCGACUCUAUGUAAAACUAGCCCUCUCCAGUGUCUAUAUAAACCGGAGGGUUUUAGUCCAUAGGAGGAACAUCAAUCAUACCAUAGGCUAGCUUCUAGGGUUUAGCCUCUCUGAUCUCCUGGUAGAUCUCUCUUGUACUACCCAUAUCAUCAAUAUCAAUCAAUCAGGAGUAGGGUAUUACCUCCAUCGAGAGGGCCCAACCUGGGUAAAAACAUUGUGUCCCUUGUCUCCUGUUACCAUCCGCCUAGACACACAGUUCGGGACCCCCUACCCGAGAUCCGCCGGUUUUGACACCGACAGCGGCUUAGAAGGAUAACCCGCCAUGAGAUCCAGCAGCAGGUCAGGUCAACUCCGGUUAAGCCAUUCCCUAAUAAGGCAUUAAUCCUUUUUAUUGAUGGGAUCAGCUUCUUGCGUUCUGCAGCAGUAAGCUUGUCAGGGAGCAUGAAUUUGGAGUCAAGGCGCUCGGCGCGAUAACCUGGCAGUGGCUUCUCGUUUGCCGGUGAAGUGCCUUGACAAUAGAACCAAGUCUGAUUCCAGUCUUUUGGAUGACUCGGAAAGACUAUGAGGGGGAAGACAGCGCCCUGCCGAUGCUGAAUUGAGAUGCCUCCAAGCUCCAAGCUAAGGCCAUUGGUGCACUCGUUCUUCCGGUUCAGAUUACUCUCUAAAUAGUUCCACGGUCGGCUCUUCCUGAAGGUACACCUCACAAAGUACUUGGAAGUUGCAGAUGUUGGAUAUGGAAUUGGGCCCGAUAUCUUGAGGGUGGAGUUUGAAAAAAUGGAGGACAUCUCUGAACAACUUUAAGCCGGGUGGUGAAAAGCCACGGUUCAUGUGGUCAGUAAAGACAAUGACUUCACCAUCUACUGGAUUGGGCCGUUCUUCGUCCGGGUCAGGUACACGGUAAGACAUGACAUUUUUUCCUGGCAAAAAUCCUACUGAGAAGAAAUCCUUCAAACGUUCCUCAGUUACGGUUGAGGGAACCCAGUUGCAGACAAUCGGCAUUUUGGACGGCAUGGUGUUCAAAAACGUACUGAAAGGAAGGCAACAUGCCGGUUCAAUUCAAUAAAUAUGAUGAAAGUAAAAGAUGAUACAGGGGAGUAAUGGCGGCUUAAUUAAGGGAUAAUGUCAUAUAAGGAAAAGUAAGCCGACACAGUAAGCCGCCAUAACUACAGACAUUUGAGAAAUACCAGCGGCAGAAAUUGGUUAAGUAUGGAGACAAACAGGUUUCUUAAUUUCUGGAUAUUAUUAUGGAUCACAUGGCCGUUCAAGAUGAAAAAAUUUCUAGACCUAAAAAUAUAGUCCAGAUGAGUUCAUCAGUUCUAAUGCGGCCAGGGCCGGCCCUGAGGGGGCGCAGGGGGCGGCCGCCACGGGCCCCCCAAGCCAAGGGGCCCCCUCUCCAGGUAUAUGUGUGCCCUGAAUUCAGCCAUUGGAGACGCUCCAACUGCUGUUCUGUGUCUUAACGAAGGAGAAAGACGAUCUAGCGCAAUGGGCCUUGGGCCUUUAUUUCUUUAUUAGUAUUAAUAUAACGUGAGUUACGUGGUGGUGGGCUGGUUGUCUCAGGGCCUUUCUUAGCACAAAAUAGCGAUCCUGUUUUGGAAGAUUGAAGCCAUCGAUUGAUUUAUACCCUCCUCGUUUCCCUGCGGCGGCCGAAAAGCAGCAGCACACCGAGCCAAACCCUAACAAAGUAAAAUAAACGGCGGUGAUCAAUGAACUGCAUGCACGACCAACGAGGCUUCCUGCCUGGGCGCACAUCGUGGUGAUAGCGAAAUAGAGGCGCGGCACCGUAGGUAAUUUUGUUUUCCCUGCUUUUUAUGGCGUCCAAAUUUAUGUUAUAAAAUACAGCUGAUUGUUUUAUCACUAUAAUUUAGUAUAAAAUUUUCAGGAUCCUUCUCUAGUCCUAUUUUUUUGCAUAGGCUGAUCGUAAUUGUCAUCUGGCCGAUUGUACAUUUUACGCGAUGGGAUUUUCUCAUGCCGUCAAUUUUUUUGUUUGUUCGUGGAUGGUUAUAGGAGGAUAGGUUAUUGGUGGAUAGACAACUUCUUGCCCACCUAAUAUGUGAAGUUUUAUUUGUGUCUGAUUUCAUAAGAGGUGUGUGAAAAUCAAAUUUACCUUUCGUCUAAUAUGACACAUCGUUGCAACUUAUUUCUUGGAGUAAGUAACUUAAGUUUCUCGACAAAUUAAUGAUCCUAUACAUAGCUGUCAAAUGGAAUUUAGACAUGCAUAUUAUUAUUUCGAUGUUGUAUUAAGGGGCCCCGGGUUCUAGUUUCGCCCCGGGCCCCCGAUAUCUCAGGACCGGCCCUGAAUGCGGCCUUCGUACUAGAAAAAUGGUCUACUAAAUUCAAGAGUAGGCACCAAAACAGCCACCGCAUAAGCAUACAUCUCUUUUUGGAUCAAGUAGAAGCGGUAGUGGAAGAACUGCGAAGAACUAUGAAGAACAUGCAGGAAAACCUAGAAGCUCUAAAUGCGGAUCUGAGGAAUGGAGGGUGAAUACUUACGGCCACGGAUCCUCUACGGAAGGUCGCCGCCUUUCUCUGAACUGAGUCUAGUUGAUGCAGCGGCCAAGGUCGACAAUGAUGAGAUGCUCUGCGACAGCGGUAGAGCUCAAGCAGCAGCGGAGGUCGCGAGAGUAGGAAGACAAAGAAGAGAGGAGAAUGAGAAAAACUGGCCGCGUGCCUUUUUAUAAGGAAAAGCGAAUAGACGGGCGCGAAAAUCGAGGAAGACCCAAAUAAUUGUUAUCCAACUAAAUGGACGCCUUGAUUCUCGGGAGGCAUUAAAGAUGAAGAUCCGUUGAGAGAUGAUGUCAUAAAAGUUUUUUGUGUUUUCAAGAGAUGACGUCAUGGCGGGUUAUAAAAAAACCCUGCGAGGAUAAGAAGAUGGAUUCUGUCUAAGUGUUGAAGAUUGACAAAGAACAAAGUUCAAAGUCAACCUGGGGCCUAAUGUUGGGGAUAUAGCUAUCAGUUAUGACCCGCCGAGGAGGGGCCGGGUCAAGACCCAAUGGCGGGUCACAAAGGAAGCCCAGUAAACACUCAAGGCGAUAGUUUGUUAAAUCUUAUAGAAGGCCUAAAGGCCUAGAGGUGGCUUAAGGCCCAAUAUUGUAAACCGUCGUAUGUAAGGAAAGACUUGUAAAGAAAGGCAUGUAAAAGAAGUCACCAAGCCGGACUCGAUUUAUGAGCCGACAAGGACUCUGUAGGCCACCUAGCGUCAACCGUGUAUAUAAGGGGAUGACCCAGUGGCGGCUUAGGGCAGAAAACAGGAGAUCGAUAACCAACCCGGCGAACUAGCCUCUUGGUGAUCGAAACCCCAGCAAUAUCAACACAACUAGACGUAGGCUUUUACCUUCAUCGUAAGGGGACGAACUAGUAUAAAAUCUCUUGUGUCAUUUGUCCCGAUUAAACCCUUAAAGCUUCCUAGUUGCGAUGGCCCUAUGACUAAGUCCUUUUGCUAGGACAUCUACCGUGACAAUUCCACGACAGUAUCCACCCCCAUUGCCCUUGUCCUGGCGAUGAUUCAGAUGUGGUAUAUAUUAUCUUUUAUAACUAUUUGGUUCAUUUAUUGUUUAUUACAAUUAUUCCCAUCAAGUUGACAUAGAUUUUAUUUAUCUAGGAGGUAGUUCAACCGGAAAUUCCAACCGACCCUAUGGUCGAGAGGUUAAAUUUAGUUGAAGAAGAAAACAAUUAUUUGAAAUAAAAAAUAAAAAAAUUGAGGAGGAGAAGAUGAUAUUGGAGUUGCAUGUGGCGGAUGUCAUCAAUGAUCACAAGAUCAAGAUGGAUGCAAUGCGGUUGAAGAUUACAAAGAUUAGAAAAUAUGCCAUUCAUACAGAGGCUUGGUAUCAUUAUAGUUUCAAUGUAUGGUUUAACUAGAUGCUCUGGAGAGCUAUAUGUUGUUCAAUGAGAACUAUGUAUGUACUUUGGUUUUAAUGUGAUGAUGAACUUCUAUUAAUUUGGUCACUUAUCUAUUCAUAAUGUUCUGUAAUGGUUUUUGACACACUUAGUUGUAUAUAAUGCAUGUAGAUAAACGGACAAUGGAUGUACGGUGACAGACACACCUCCGAGUACAUUAAGGGCCUGCAUAAUUUUCUCAAAGUGGCUGAGGCGAACAAGCAAAAUGGUUUUAUCUGUUGUACAUGCCCUAAUUGUGGGAAUACGAAGUCUUACUCUGACCGGAAAAUCCUUCACACUCACCUGCUUUAUAAGGGUUUCAUGACACACUAUAAUGUUUGGACGAAGCACGGAGAAAUAGGGGUUAUGAUGGAAGACAACGAAGAAGAAGAGGACGAUGACAACUAUUUGCCCCCUGAAUACGGUGAUGCAUGCUGCAACGGGGGAAGCUGCUGAAGAUCAAGAGGAACAAGACGAUGUGCCCAAUGAUGAUGAUCUCCAUCGGGUCAUUGUUGAUGCAAGAACAUAGUGCGAAAGUCAAAAGGAGAAGCUGAAGUUCGAUCACAUGUUGGAGGAUCACAAAAAAGGGUUGUACCCCAAUUGCGAAGAUGGCAACACAAAGCUCGGUACCGUGCGAAAGUCAAAAUAAAUAAGUAGAAAUAAAAUAAAAUAAAAAAUAGAAACAAAAUAAAAUAAAUAAGUAGAAAUAAAAUAAAAUAAAUAAAUAGAAACAAAUUAAAAUAAAUAAGUACAAACAAAAAAUAAUAAAAUAAACUUUAAUAAAAUAGAUAAGUAGAAACNNNNNNNNNNNNNNNNNNNNNNNNNNNNNNNNNNNNNNNNNNNNNNNNNNNNNNNNNNNNNNNNNNNNNNNNNNNNNNNNNNNNNNNNNNNNNNNNNNNNNNNNNNNNNNNNNNNNNNNNNNNNNNNNNNNNNNNNNNNNNNNNNNNNNNNNNNNNNNNNNNNNNNNNNNNNNNNNNNNNNNNNNNNNNNNNNNNNNNNNNNNNNNNNNNNNNNNNNNNNNNNNNNNNNNNNNNNNNNNNNNNNNNNNNNNNNNNNNNNNNNNNNNNNNNNNNNNNNNNNNNNNNNNNNNNNNNNNNNNNNNNNNNNNNNNNNNNNNNNNNNNNNNNNNNNNNNNNNNNNNNNNNNNNNNNNNNNNNNNNNNNNNNNNNNNNNNNUAAAAUAAAUAAGUACAAACAAAAUGAACUUUAAUAAAGAAAAAUAAAUAAACUUUAAAUAAAAUAUAUAAAAAUAACAACAAUAAGUAUUUUGUUGUAUGUAGGAACAAAAUAAAAUAAAUAAAGCAACAAAGAAAACAAAAAAGUGCCACCUACAGGGCCAGCACGACCUGAAUACGACUAGAAACCCAACCAUGGGCCAGGCUUCAGGCCCGCAACAGGCCCAGUAGGCCCACAGGCACAAGUGACAGAUUAGGCCCGAAAGCCAGCAGUUGAGAGGAUCUCGAGAGGGUGGGCGCAAUAGCGCUUAUAAACCACUCUCGAACUCUCUCAGCUAGCCAGGUGGGACUAAAGUUUUGACCCGGGGCUGCACAAGGCCUUUGGUCCUGGUUGAUGGCACCAACUGGGACUAAAUGGGUGCAUUGGUACCGGUUUGUGGCACCAACCGGGACUAAUGCCACCCUUUAGUCCCGGAUUUGGUCCUGGUUGGUGGCACCAACCGGGACUAAAUGGGUGCAUUGGUACCAGUUUGUGGCACCAACCGGGACUAAUGCCACCCUUUAGUCCCGGUUGGUUCCACCAACCGGGAACAAAGGCCUCUGCUUCCCGCCCUUUGGGCUGCUGAAAAGAGGCCUUUGGUCCCGGUUGAUGGCACCAACCAGGACUAAAGGGGGUCUUUGGUCCCGGUUGGUGCCACGAACCGGGACCAAUGCUAUGUCUAUAUAAGCCAGCACUUGUGAAAGUUUGUUUCAGUUCAAUCUAUCUCCUUGUCCUCUCCUCCAACGCCGCUAGGCUGCUCCUCGUCUUCGUCAUUGCCGAGCCAUCCGGACCGCAUCAUCGCCUCCCUGAGCCCGCACUGUCCUCGUCGCCGGCAUCCCGGAGCCCGCCGUCCUCGUCCCCAUCGCCGCAUGCCUCCCCGAGCCCGCCUCUUGUCCCCGGCGUCAUGUGCCGCCCCGAGGCCGCAGUCCCUAUCACCGCAUGCCGCCCCGAGCCCGCCUUCCUCGUCGUCGGACUCCAGCCGUCGCCGCCCACCUCAAAGUGAGCCCCCCGCCCUCCCGAGCGCCGAUCUUGCACCCGAGUGCCCCUUGCUCUGCCCCUUCUCCAUGGUCACCACCGGCCCCGAUGCAUUGAAGAGUAGAAUGAGAGGAGAAGGAGAGGAGAGGAGACGGAGUGGAGCAGCAGCAAUGCACUGUCCACUUUUCUGAAUUUUUUGGAAUUUCUUAUUUUUUUUGUCCAUAUAGGAGGUAUUUGAUGAAAUGCUAGAUAGCUUUGGGCAUUUUUGGAAUUUCUAAAAUUUUUUGUGGUGACGUACUGAUGCAACACAAAGGCGAUUGCAAAAUUUCUGAAUUUUUGGAGUGGUUUAGAAUAGGUUUUCAGCAAGUUAUUUGAAUCUGAUUCAAAUUUCAUUUGAAUGAAAUUUGAAAAUUUUGAAUGAUGGACUAGAAGGUUUUUGGUGAAAUAGAUUGUGGGUACUGUCAUGAAGUUGGAGUAAUUUUUCUGGUUGUAAAAGAUUUAGGAAAAUUUAGAAUACGAUAAAUAUGUCAAAAAAAUUGUUCAUAUAUAGAAAGUUUUUAUAUAUGACUUUGGAUAUGAUGUUUUGUGUCCCAUCACCGCCCCGCGGCACCGCUGCCCAGGCGCCAUCGCCGCGCCGCCCCACGGUCCGGCGGCCUUCCGAUGUUUUUUGUGUGAUGAUGUUGAUAGGAUGUUUUUUUCAUAUCAUGUUCAUAUGAUGUUUUUUGUUCAUAAUUUUUUUUGUAUAUGAUGUUUUUUUCAUAUAUGUAUUGGUUUUUUUUAUUUAGGUUGUUAAUUAGUAGAUAUCGAUUUUAGGUUAGUGCAUUUUAUGUUAGUGUAGAGGAAAAAGUAAAAUAAGGAAAAGGAAGAAAAGAGGAAGAAGGAAGAAAAAGAAGAAGAAGAAGAAGAAAAAGAAGGAGUGGAAAAAGGAAAAUAAGAAGAGGAAGAAGGAGAAGAAGAAAGGAGAAGAAGAGGAGAGGAGAAAAAAAUAAAAAGAGAAAAAAAAUCAAAAAAAUGAGGAGAAGAAGAAAGGAAUAGAGGAGAAGAAGAAAAAAUUGAAUAUUUAUUUUUUUCUUCCUCUCCUCUAUUCCUUUGUUCUUCUCCUUUUUUUCUUCUUUUUUUCUUCGAUCUUCUCCUCUAUUCCUUUCUUCUUCUCCUCUUUUUUCUUCUUCGAUCUUUUUUCCUCUUCUUACAUGAGGGUGGGGGGUCGAUAUACUCCCUCCCCGAUAACAUCGACAUGAGGGGGGUCGCCGAGGGUUCGAGGGGCGAGGGUGGGGAACUAGGGUAGAGGUUCAAGGGUCACCAAGGGUUCGAGGGUCGGCAAGUGUUCGAGGGUCACCGAGGGUUCGAGGGGCGAGAGUCGGGAACUAGGGUAGAGGUUCGAGGGUCACCGCGGGUUCGAGGGGCGAGGGUCACUGAGGGGUCGAGAGGUUGCCUAGUGUCAAAGUAUUGAAGAAAUCCAUGGCGUCAUCAUUAGCCGAAAGUAACCAGGGCAUGAUGGUACGAAGUUGUGCAAAGUUGUUUUGGAACGGAGUUUUGAAUAGAAUAAUUCGCCUUUUUGUAUGAAUUUCAGCAAAGGCCUUCCAAAUAGCGAUAUUCAGAAGGCUCUUGCUGAACUUUGUCCGAAAAAGCGAAUUAUCCUAUCUGGAACUCCAUGCCAAAACAACUUUGCACAACUUCGUACCAUCAUGCGCCUGUUACUUUCGCCUAAUAAUGAAGACAUGGUUUUGUUGAAUCCUUUGACACUAGACAAACGUGACAUGACGGGGUCGAGGAUCGGGGGUCGUUCAGUGGUCGAGGGUCCAAAUUUAUCAAGAAUGCCCCCAUUAUGGAUGUGCACAAGUUGAUCCAAACCCUAGAAGAGUUGCCGCGUCCACUCAAAUUUACCAAGUUAAAAGAGUGUUGUCGUCGGGGCCACCCCGAACCCUAGAAGCGUUACAGAGGCCACCCCAAACCCUAGAGAAGUGUCGAGGCCACUAAUAUGAUUCCUUGUUGUGAUUACUAGCUAGGUCUACAUUUGCCACUAAUAUAUCCAUCUAUCAUGUUUGUAUAAUAAUUGUCAUGUUGUAAUAUCUGCAGAAACUAUGGAGCACGGCCGAGACGAGGCUGCAGAACAGGUGUUGGGCGACAUAAUCACAGUCGGAGGUGAUGUCAUGUCGUAUCUCAACGACACCGAUGGUCUGAAAGGAGAGGGUGAAACAAGCUACAGUAAUCGAACAAUGGAGGAGGAAGGACAUGAUUAUGAUGGCUCCGGUGACCGAAUGCCAGUGCAAGAAGGAUACCGUGAUGACGGCUCUGUUGACCGAAUAGAGUCCGGCCAGGUAUAUAUAUAUAUUAAUUAAGCCUGUGCUGACUAGCUAAUUGAUGCAUUUAUUAUUUUGGUAUGUACACAUAUUAACUUUCGUCUUUCUUCUUUUUUCUAUCCCUCCGGAUCGAGCACAACUUUGGUAAAGAAACGAGGCCCGAAGAAAAAGUUGCGCCCGGAUGAAAGGUUCACGAUCACAGCAAUCGCGCGCGAUGGCCAACCAAUUGAAUCCAUCCGGACCAAGGAAGCAUUUGCUGCUCAGUGCGGGGUUCUUGUUAGGGACAAGAUCCCUAUCAGCAUCCACCAGUGGUGUAAGCCUAAGAAGGAAGACCCUGAGGUUUCUUAUGUCAACGAUAUGCAGAAAGAUGAUCUUUGGACCGCGUUGAAGGCAAAUUUCACCCUACCGCCAGAGGAGGAUCCGGAGAACCUAGUUAAAGAGCCGUUGAUCAAGUCUCAUGCUCUUAAGAAGAUGGAAGAACUAUUCAGGAGGUGGAAGAUUGAGCUGAAAACAACGUUUGUCGACAAAGAAGAGACACAAGAAUUAACCGGCUGGUAUGAGAAGAUCAGAGAUCACUGGGACACAUUUGUGGCCCACAAGACAUCAGACAAGAGUAAGAAGAUAUUAGAGACAAACAAGAUAAAUGCUGCAAAGAAGGAGCAUCACCAUCGCACGGGGUCAGAUGGCUACCUCAACGCCCGGCCGUUGUGGGCCAAGGCUGAGAAUGGCCUGCUUGAUAAAGGGGUCGAACUAGAGACAUUGCACUGGCCAGACCGUUGCCAGACUUGGUUCUUCGGGGUUGGCGGAAGCUUGGAACCAAUAGCAGGGAAGUGCGUUUGGACGAACGAGCAAAUGCGAAUACCCGUCACGAAGCUUCAGUACUAUAUCGCCGCAGCGCAACAAGGGACGUUCGUUCCAGACAAAGAGAACAACGAGCUCACAAUGGCCCUCAGCAAUCCUGAGCACCCUGGACGGACACGAGGCAUGCCAAGCUCUGUUCCGUGGAAGGCUGGGUUUUUGGACGCAGGCGGUUACAAAUGCAGGGAGAGGAGGAAGAAAGUGGAGCAAACCGAACUGCAGAAGCUGCAUGCAAGGGUGCAAGCGCUAGAGAAACGAGAUGCAGUUCACAGCAAGUGACCUGCCGAAGCUACCCCGCCAUCUCAGCGGAGAAGCAGCAUGUCUUCCAUCGAGCUGCUUCAGCUGGAGCCUGUCUUCACGGCUCCUGCUAGCUACCCCGUGGAUGCUAUCACGGAUUCUCAACAUUGCCACCUUAUGACGCAAUGACAAAACUUCAAAGUCAAGGCGGCUGUCAGCUCUGUUCGACCUCCUGAACCCGGCGCAACUUUUCACUGCCGUUCAAUUCCAGAAGGAUAUGCUAGGGUGACGGUGGACGAAAUAACGGAAGGAUUUGAGGAACACUAGAUUGACCACCCUACCGGUGAAGGGGUGACUCGGCUUGGUUCUUCUCUGAAGACUCCAUGCCUAUGGCAGAAGGAUCUCGUCAACCUUCCGAACUGGAAGCCUCCGCCUCCUCCUUCUCCUCCGGCUAGUCAGGGCAUUCCGCCUCCUCCUUCGACGAGUGAUCAGGGCACUCUGCCUCCUUCUCCGGCGCGUGGCAGCACUCUACCUCCUUCUCGGCAUGCGGGCUAGCCUAGUCGGGUCGCACUUCCUCUUGGUCGCCGAUUCUAUACAGGAGGUGCUGCUGGUGGCGGAGAUCUAGUUCGGGCGAAAUCCCUGACCGGCCAUGACCGGCUGCGCCGACAGCGAUGCCUCAGGGCGCCGUUUCCCUCCUUGGAGGCGUCGGCAUGGACUAAUCUCCUCACUUCACCUUCCCCUAGGUUUCCCGGGCGAAAGCCUUAACUCUGUUGGGCGGCGGCGGCGAUCACAGCGCCGUUCCCUUCUUGAAGGCGUCGCUUUGGGAACCUUGGAGUUGGGUGGCGCUUGUUGGUGGUGGGUGACAGGGGUGGUGCGGCCCUUUCCUAGCAUGGAUUUAUGUCCGUUGCUUGGAGAUGGAGUCGUGUAGGUGAAGGUCGUUCGCUGGCGUCGAGGUGGCGUCAAUGCCGGAGGACCUGUCAAGGUUGUUCACCACAAUCUGCUCUGAAGAUGGACCAGUGGAAGAUGGCGGCGACGACACAUGUGAGUAUGUUGGACCGGUUUGAGCCCCGGACCCGGAAGAUGGCUCGGUCGGGGCCUUAGACUAUAGAUGUUAGGCUUAGAUGAGAGGUAUAGGUAUGUGGCCCAGCUUGCACACCUUCAUCAUUUGGAUAGGAGUAGCGGCAGAUGCUGCUAAGAUGACGGAUUUAGACAUAUUGUUGUUAUACUUUGUAAUGUCCUCAAGAAUAAUCAAUAAAAUGGACGUAUGCAUCUCCCAGAUGCAGAGACCGAGGGUCAUCCUCCUUUUUGAAAAAAAAGGCCCCUAUGACUCUACAUAGAGAGCGGACAUAAAAAAUAUGCCUAGAAGGUUGCUGUCAUGCUCGUGCUCCACCUCGUCCUCUUAUCGAUCAGGCCACCCCUGAUCAUCCGGGUAGUCAAGCACACGACAAUGAAGGGCAUGCCCGGUAGCAGAUGGGAGGAGGGGACCCGGAGGCGACAGAUGCGAGAGGGCGAUAUUUCCGCCGGCCAAGCAUUGCACUACACCAUUACCGUUGGAACUUGUGUGCUAUAUAAAUCCCUCCCACUCUCCGUGAAGCUUGCUUUGAGUUCUUGCUAUCUGACAUUGACCAAAAUGCAAAGUCUUUGUAAAACUUUGAUCACAUAACCAUGUUACCAUGCAUACAGUACUUGUACCUGCAGCAGAGGUUGCUUCCCGUCCGCAGCUCGCAAGCGCAAUACGGUACAGUACUAGUAGUAUGUAAUCCUGCGUCCAGCGGCGGGUGUGAUCCAAGCAGGCCCCAAAUUAAUUACCAUCCUGCUUCCAGCGCCAGUGGUUCCAUCUUGUGCUGUCACAUGGCUAGUAGUGGGUAACAAUGCUGCAGUAGGCAAUAGUUCAUCGGAACAUUUUAGCAUUACUACAUUUUCUAAUCCCUCCCAAUCCUCGCAUCUUCAGUGCCCACCACUGGACAAUGGCUAUCGUGUUUGGCAUGCAUUAGUAAACAGAUUUCGAGCUGACUUGGCCAUCGUCAGUACUAAGUUAUUCCAUCCCUAGCAAAGAAAACAUCUUUUGAUGUUUGUCGCCCUGGUGUUUCUUAAAAUCCGACUACACUCAGCUUUCUAUGAAGAAGGGCUCCUCCCCUCCUCUUAUAAAGCAAAACUUCAAUGCCAUUUACGGUAGUGCAAGCACUGAAGCAACAAAUUUUACACCAUCCUUAUUUAAGGUGAUGAAUAUCUUCCUAUUUCACCUGCUUUUCUAACAACACGUAAUUUUGAGUAACAAUCGCAUACCUUUGCUUUGGGUAAUUAGAUGGCCGCUUGCGAUUGCGUGUUCACCGUGGUUGUUUUUUACAAGUACCUCCUAUGAACUUUUGGGCAAAAUGAGUAUCACUUUUUUUUUAUAAAGGAGGAUUACCCCUGGCUUGUACAUCAAGCGACGUACAAACCCAAGAUCUUUAUUGCAUUAUUCAACUGGGCCUUAUAGAUCAACCGAAAGACAUCUUCAUGAUGAAAAUUAUCGCCCCACCUACAAUCUGGAGAUCUGCCCGUCGCGGUGAUGGCGCCGCCCUUUGGCGGCGGGGCGGCCUGGUGGCGCUGGUUGGUCGGCGGUGCAUCCCCGGCUCAGAUCUGGGCCCUCAGGGCCCCAUCUGGGUCCUAGCGGGCCGUCCCCCGGGCGUGGCCUCGUUGCCUACGGCGUAGUGAGGAGGAGGAGCGGCUCGGAUUUGGGGCGGCGGCAUCGAUGGCGUGCCAGCAGCAGCGCGAAGGCGAGAGCUUUAUGGGCCCACGAGGGCUCGGCCGGGCCUGUGGGCCCACGGGCCUGGUGUGCUCCUGCUAUUGCGUCCGGACGGCUACCGUCGCGGACGGUGGAGGUGGGGCCCUCCCGCGUGCCGACGGUGCUGAUGCCCUAGUCCCGACUCUGAUUCUUCGCCGUGCUGUACUCACUUCGCGGUGCCGUGGUGAGACGGCGUGGGGCCUCGUGACCGCGUUGGCGCAUGGUGGUGGUUGGUUUGGUGGCAGGCUCCGAGGCGCCCGAGGUGCGGGUUGGGAUCGGGGGAAACCCCUGUCGGCUUGGCCAACACCGGCGCGGUGACGCCUGUGGGUGCCACCUGACCUUCCGGGAGGGCGCCGGGACUACCCUUCCUCUUGCCAUGUCGUGUACUGGGGGAAACCCUUGGCAGCAGCAUCGUCAUCGUUGCGAUCCGCCGGUGUCGGCAUUAUUUUCUUUUGAUUUUCUCUGUCGUCUCUUUUGGGUGUGACUGUGCUGCUUCCGCCCCAGCACCUAUCCAUAUAUGGUUCGGUUGGUUGCUUUGUAUACAAAGCGGGGGGAAACCCUUUCUCGGCAAGCUUCGAGAUCCUAGCUAAUAGUGUCCAUGAGGGAGUUGCACUAGUAGAAAAAGGGUCAAACGUGAAGCACAUUAGUGUCGGUUUGAAUUUGUGUCGGCACUAAUGUGUGCAUUAGUGCCGGUUCCAACGGCUAGCCGGCCGCUCUCAUUAGUACCGGUUCGUGGCGAACCUUUAGCACAGGUUCGUGCCACGAACCGGUACUAAAGUGAGUGGUGGCAGGAUGUUGUCAGUCCGAGGCCCCUCCAGCACCUUUAGUACCAGGUCGUAUCACGAACCGGUACUAAAGGUCGUCCUACAUAGACCCUUCGUCCACCCGAGCUCGCUCUGUUCUUCCCCUUUCCCCUCUUCUCUCUGUUCUUUUCCCUUUUCCUCUCAAGCUCAUCACACAUUUUGCCCAAAAUUUGUCAAUAUUUGAAGGCCCCCAUCCAUUCAAAUGAUCACAAAUGUUAGCAACUUGUCCUUUCAUCUCUCAUUGCUAGAUUAGCUCGUGCAACGCUUUAUAUAGUGAUUGAUUUUUGAGUUUAGUAAUUUGGGAGGAAUUAUAUAUAUGUGCUAGUAUUUGAUUUAUAUGCAAUUUGAGGUCAAAAGUAACACUUAGUUUGCAUAUGUAGGUGUGGUUUACUUAGUACCUUCUAAAUCUCCAUCGUAACCACCGUAGAUCGCUCGCAACGUCCCGUCGCCGGCACCACCUUGUGGUGAGCCUCUUGUUCAUGAAGUUUUAUAUAAAAAAAUUGAUGUUUCUGUGAUUUGGAUAUAUAGUUACUCAUAUAAUUAUCUUACCCAUACGUUGUUUGUUAUACAUAGUGCCAUGGUUUUGAUAUCCGUCCUCGUCGGCCCUCGUCCGGUUUAUGAUUCGGAUGUGGUAUAUUCUCUUUUAAAACUAUUCAUUGCAUUUCGUGUUUAUGAAAAAUUAUGCCCAUCAAGUUGACAUAGAUAUUUGUAUGUAGGAGGUAGUUGAACCGGAAAUUCCAACCGACCCUAUUGUCGAGAGGUUAAAUUUAGUUGAAAGAGAAAACGAGGAUUUGAAGGAAAAAUUGAAAAGAAUUGAGGGGGAGAAGAUGGAAUUGGAGUUGCAUGUUGCCGAUGUCGUCGAUGAUCACAAGAUUAAGAUGGAGAAAAUGCGCUUGAAGAUUAGAAAGAUUAGAAAAUAUGCCAUUCAUAGUGAGGCUUGGUAUCAUUAUGCUGUUGGAUCAAUUGUUACCUUAGUUGCGAUCUUGAUCGCAUUUGUUGUUGCAUUUAAAUUCUUUAGCUAGAGAGUUAUUUGUUUGUUGCAUUUAAGUGUUGUAUGAUCUUUAUGUAUGAACUUUAUGUAUUGUAUUAAUUUGGUGUUUUCGGUGCUGUGUAUUGAAGAUGAGCCGGCAAUGGAUGUACGAUGACCGAUGCUGUCCCGAGUUCAUUAAUGGUGUGUGUCGUGGAAUUGUCACGGCAGAUGUCCUUAGUGUCACGACUUAGUCGCGAGGCCAACGCAUCUAUGUGGUAGCUUGAGAGGGGUUGAGCGGAAUCGAGAUACGCGACACAAGACAGGGAUUUAGACAGCUUCGGGCCCCGGGAAACAUCAUCCGGUAAUAGCCCUACAUGCUGUUUGAGGCUAGGUCUCAUUAUCAUCACGAGGGAGUCGCCGUAAACCGGCUCUCCUCUAAUUGUGUCUAGCCCUAGAUUAUUGUUUGCUUGUAGCCUCUAGCUUGUCCCUCUUUGGGGAGCCCUGCCCCUCCUUAUAUAUGUCGAAGGGGCGGGUUACAUGUGGAGUCCUAUUAGGAUUAGGACUAGUCUAUCUCUAAUACAAACCGAAUAUAAGUCCAGGUCUUAACUCCUUGUAAGACAAAUAUUCUUUAUGCCUUUCCUCUUAAACCGGCCCAUCAUAGCGUGAUCCGGCCUUCCAUAACCGCCAGACAGGCCGUCGGGUCUUUGUUGCUCCUCUGGCCCGCCUGCCGGAUUACCAAUGAACUGUAAACCGUCUGGUCUGGGCAGGUCGCCGGUGAUUCGCCAAGUCCGGCCGGAUUAUCCUUCCGGCCGGUUUACACCGCGGGGUAUAUCCCCGACAUUAGCCCCCAGUUUAAUUUGGAUUCAUCCAUGUUAAACUGAUCUGCAACAUAAACACAAGAACAAAUUCAUCGGGUUGUGCUCCGGUUUAAAUACUCUUGUAAACCAGCACUUGAUCAUCCUUAAAUCCUUGUCACCUCCUUCUAGAAAAUCCAGGUUAAUAACCAACUCCAUAAUCAAUUUGCUUGCAGAAGAUAUUUGUAAAUAAAAAAUCCAUUUGAAUCGGCCUUCAAUGCUUUGACUUGACAAAAAUAUUAGUCUCUGAAAUAUUCAACUGAUAUCCAGCCGGCUUGAAGAUGUAAAACUUGCCAGUUUAUGAUUACCACCAUUGUCUGGUUAUAAAAACUGAUAAUUCCGGGUCAUGAUUGUUGCCAACACCGGUUCAUGAUUGUUGCUAACGCCGGGUUACAGUCACAGGGUCAUAAUGAUUGGUGACGCCGGUUUAAUCCACUUUGCUCAAAACAGAGAAUUUGAAAAUAGUUCUUCAAUAAUAAUAUAAUACCUGUACCCCCCAAGUCUUGAGCAGAACAAAGUGAUGGCUUAAGACUUGCUUCAAUAUAAAUACUGCCACUUAAGAAGAUAUCCAUGUUGUUAAUCCCAGUGACUAGUAAAAACUGAAUACUACAUACUAUGUAGCCCCCAAGUGCCGGGUUGUCAUGUUUGCAGCAACCUGGGACUUGUAAUUGUCUUAUACUCAUAAAAACUUCAACUAGUGUAGCCCCCAAGAGCCGGGUCAUUUAUGCAAUAAUGAGCAGGGACUUUGUAAAUAUAAUCAUGUAGAUUUGAGCAAUGAUGUGUAGCCCCCAAGGGCCGGCUCAGUAAGAUAAUAUUGAGCUGGGACUUGAUAUACACUUCAAUGAAAAUAACAUCAUAUGAUGUAACCCCCAUCAUAGGGCUUGAAUCCACGUCCACAAGGUUAAGAGUCUUGUGCUUUACCAACUGAGCAGUGGACCUUGCAAUAUAAUGGAUAAAAAGCUUUGUACCUUGAACUGUUGAUAGGAGCAAUUGAUAGCCCCCAAGGGCCGGCUCAUUAUAAUGUGAUGAGUCGGGUCUUCAAUAAGAUGAACAAAGAAUGACUUUGCAUUAGCCCCCAAGUGUCAUGGUGCAUGCUUGCAGCGACAUGAGACUUGCAUGUAAUCUCAAUUUGAAUAAUGUAGCCCCCGAGUGCCGGGUCGUGAGCCUGCAGCGACUCGGGACUAUUCCUUCCAUUGUAGAAUAAAUCAUAUACUUUGAUAAAAUAAUAACUGUUGCGCUAAAGCGACUUUGAAAACUCAAUAAUACUGGUUACCAAUAACCAUAAAAAUCCAGCCAUGUUGGCUAUUCAAGAUAAUAUAAUCCGGUAUGAAAAAUUCAUCCAAUAUCAUAAUGAAAAUUCAGCCAAAUUUGGCUAUUUGAAUAAUAUAACCCAAUCAUUUAUAAGCGCAUGACUCCAAUGGCGCAAUCCAAAUAUAUACCGGCGACGUAUAGUCCAAAGCCAGGCCGGUUUAAAAAACUCCGGAUAAUUUCCCAUCAUAUACUGGCGACUUAUCAUCUUAAAGCCAGGCCGGUUUAAUAAACACCUAAUAAUUUAUCAUCAUGCUUUAUUCAACCCGUCCCUGCAUACAACAAGUUUAAAGUGUCCUGGCGGUUUACCGCCGGACGGGUCAUAACGCCCAACAUAUAACCCAGGUUUAUAACCAAGGCUGCAUUUAAGAAUAAUCAAUGAAAUAUAUCAUACCUGUGAUAUUGAAUCACAUCAUUGGUUUACCAAUUUUUUGUAGUAAGAGUGAUAACCCCAAUCUUGAGUAAUGAUAACUCCUUUCAUAUUGUGCCGGUUGAUGAUAAACCGUACCGGAUUGUGAUAAACACCGGUUUAACCAUAUACAAUACUGGCGACUCGUAGUCAAACUAGACCAGGUUGAUAGUCUCCGGAUUAUAACUUGAUCCUGUAUUGACAACUUGUAAUUGAAAGUCAAGCCGGGUGGAUAAACACCGGUUUACUCCAUAAUAGGAUGGCAACAGAAAAUCAACCGGGCAGAUGGCCUCCAGAUUAAAGGGGAAUCAAAUCUAACAGCCGAAUCGGAACAAAUUUGUUUGUCGACAUAAAAGAAAUCCGACAAAAGCAAAGAACAAACAAACCAUGAAAAUAACAUGGAAACAAAGGCAAUGAUAAAAACCAUUUGCAAAAAUAUGUUAUACUGAGCUGUUCAGAUGGUAUUACCAUGGUCGGACAGGAUCAAGGCCCCCAAUAGGAGUGACAAUGAUUCAAGUCAGCCAGGUCCCCAAAUGACUCGUGGCAUAUAUGCCAGAUCAAGAGGCGUGACAAUGGUUCGGGUUCGACCAUGCCCCCAAGUGAUUUUGUGGCCUUAGGCCGACCAAGAGGCGUGACUGGUUCAGACUUGACCAUGUCCCCAAAUGAUCUAGUGGUUGUCGCCUAUCAAAGGGUGUUCGUUGGUUCGGACACGACCAAGGCCCCCAGUGAUAUAUAAAAAACAUAUGUCAAGGGGUAAACCGGAGGCCGCUUUAAACAGAACCACUCCGUGUAACCUCGCAUGAUGAGAAAGACAGGGACCCCACUUUAUGAAGCAGAAGCCCCCAUGUGAUCAAUAAUAUGUUAGGCCAAUAAGGCUGGAUACCCAUGUUUGCACCGCGCAUCAUGGCAGCAGGUCCUCUUCGGUAAUUUUUAACUUUUUUGCAAGAGAUGAAUUCUUCUUGAACCGGGAUCUUGAACCGGAUAGUGAGAGCUUCAAAGCUUUGUGGGAGAACAGAUGUCCCUUAUACAGGAUUGCAAACCGGAAUCUUCAUUUUCAGCCGGGAAUUUUCUGACGGCCUUUCAACUCGAACUUGCGAGAAAUUAAUUCCUUUUUGAACCAGACAUUGUUAAACCGGAUUUGAGAGCUUCAAAGCUUCGUGCGAGACAAAUUCCCCUUGAACCGUAUUGUAAACCGGAUAUUUGAGAGCUUCAGCGAGACUGACUUCCCUUGAACCAGAUUGUAAACCGGAAUCCUUUCUGAUGAUCCGGAACUUCUUCAUUGAGCCGGGAUUUUGUAACUGUCAUAUACUUUCUAAGGUGGAAAUUUUCUGACGGCCUUCAAAUAAUAGUAGCCUCCGGGACCGGGUUAUCUUUCCCUCCAUCGUCCCGGGGUUCUUAACUUUGCUGAAACUGGCAAGAUUUGCUGAGUCAUGUCAUUGUAGCCCCCGAGUCUCAAAGGUGACUCGAGGAAUUGGCUUGAGACUCUCCAUAUGUGACCGUGAUGUAAACCGGCAUAACUGGUAUAUCAUUGGUGUUGAUAGCACGAUGUAAAUCCACAGAAGGUUGAGGUGACUGCAGUGGGUUAUAAAUGAUCCCGUAUGAGCCGUGUCAGCAACUCGGCCAAUGGUUCCUUCCAACUGGCAAUUUGAAGUUAACCAAACUGUAGUGGCGGCGACUUGUGCGCCUACCCAUUGUACCAUCCAGUGAAAACGGCGGUUGAUAGUAUAUGAUAAUUUGCCUCUUUUUGUUUGAAAGAAAAACGGGCUACCCAAGCUGUGACUUGCUCAUACUCAAUAAACAGUUCAUGCAGACAGGUGCAGCCCGGUAUGUUGAUGUAGACCAGGCCGUGAGAGAUGGACGGCAAAAACGACCGCAACAUCAGAGGCAGCUCGGAUAGAUGAGUCGGCGGUGGCAUUGUAAACUGGUGCGGACGGGGAAGAUCGGCACCGGUGUCGUAAACCGGCACGGACGGGCGAGUUAAUCGCGUUGUUUUGAUGUAGUGAACAAUUGUCCUGCAUCAACAAUAUUGCAGACCAAAACAAAGAUAAACUGCUCUUUGACAAAAAAUACUAUGUACCAAUAAAAUAUAUUUUAGAUAUCACCUGACGUGCCAGGCUGAAAAUAAUCCACCAUGAAUGAUGAUCGCUAGGUGAAGUUGAAGUCGCUCACGGGUGAAGCGGCCGCGGCGUGGUAAACCGGCGCGGACGGGUGAGUCAGCCGCGAAGUUUGUAAGCCAGCGUGGACAACGAGUCGGCCACGGCGCUGUAAGCUGGCGCGGACAUGUGAACCGGCCGCGAGGGCAGGACGGGCGAGUCGUCCGUGGCGUUGUAAGGCGGCGCGGACGGGCGUUUCGGCCAAGGCAUUUGUAAGCCGGCGCGGGAGUCCGUUGAGCAAGGACGACCACUUGUGCCGAAUGAUGUUGGCACGCCUCCAUCUCCGCGGUAUAAUGGCAUAAAAAACCUUAUCCUGCGUAAAAUAUUACAGGGCAAAGUAAUUGUUCUUUUGACCAAAAAAAAACAAUAAGUGUUAAUAAAAUAAUUUUUAGACGGAUAUCACCUGAUAAUUUUUUCCGGAUGAACAUGAUACUGGCACUGGAUGAUGCUAGACGUAGUCCUCGGAUGAAAAAGACAACUCAUACAUAUAUUUGUAUGAUUUGAUGUUCCCCUAGCACUCAGUAGUCUUGAUCCACACGUGGAUUAAUAUUGCCAGCACUGUUUUGGGACCGAGCUAGUUCAUCUUCACGUGGACCUUCUCCUUGAUGUUUUCAAAACUCCAUAUAACCUUUGCUAAUGGAUCUUCAGGGUGGGUGUAACAAUUGAACAGAAAAUAAAUCUUCGAUUUAUUCCUCCUAGCACGUUGAAACUGACAGGGACAACCAGGGCGGCGACUGGCGAGCGAUGCACGCAUCCAUCUGGCAGCAACUUAUAGCCAAACACUCAGGCUGCACGUUCGUCCCCCGGGUCUCAUAUUGCAGACAGAUGUUGGUGCAAGCUUUGGCGGGUCAAACGGGCGCGGUCGAUGCACAAUAACUGGUCCGGCGACUUGGCGAAGCAGCUCACAGUAGCAGCGAUCAGCCCGGAUCAGAGAACGAGCGAGAGCGACCCGCCAGCAAAGGUGGUGUGCUGGCGGCUGCCAUAGCGGCUCAGAGGGCAGCAGAGGCUGAAUCGGCGGGUUUGCAUGGCGCAGUAAGGCGCGGUGAAGCAGUGUUUGAAGCACGGACGUGAAAACUUCCGGUGAAGCGGAGGCGUUGGCUGGGCAGCUUGUGGCGUUUCACGGGUCAGUGGACGCGCAAUGAGUCAAACCAUUGAUAGCGGCUCGGCGGCAUCCAGCUCGCACCUGCGGACCCGUCGACUUGUAGCAACUAGUAGAAGCUCAACAGCGCGGCGGCUUAGGGCCGAGCAACAACUCCUCCAUCUUUUUUCCUCACUCUUUGGUUGAUGGCAAAAAACAAUCUUGUGCUCAUUGUGGAGAUCAGCAGAGAUGUCAAGAAAUCAUCCCCAGGAAACCGAACCACAUAGUAACUACUCCAUGUGGAGUAUCACGUGUAGUAUAGCUUUGUCUUUUGACGAUAUAAAAUAUCAACGGCCGGUCGAUCAUCUGGGACUUAAUCUCCUUUUUCUUUUAUUUUGUUAUAUGAUCCUGUCGCACUGUUUACUUUCAACAGUAGGCCACGCGGACAAGCACACACAGGCUAGGACUCCCAUCGGGACUUGAUGCUUGUGAUCCAUGAUUAGUAGUAUCAGCAAACACGCUUGAUCUCCCCGGGAGCAGCAACAACAACUUGACGAAAACGGCUUCACUUGUUGACAGGGCUGCAGCGAUAGUGCGUCCAAUCCUUCCGCCUCGCGGCAUCCGUGCCUGUAGUGACCGGAGUCAGCGUCUUCCAUGGCAGUGCAGGGUAUGUGCAUGGCUUGUGGUAGAGCCGGAUUGAAAAUUCUGGCAGAUAUGGCGCGGCAACAGCCGGUAGAGGAGAGUCGCGGGAUCGACUUAAGGUGGCGACUCCACGGCCGCGACUAAUAGCAGCGGAUGUCUGAACCGGUCAGCGCUGGGCCGGCCGCUUGUGGCAGUGCGGCAGCAUAGCGAUUUGACAGAGAGAGACUCGGGCAUGCCGAGCCAGCCGGAGUGAUGGGCGGCUCGCGGAGGAGCAACGGGCUUUGGCAGAAACAAGUCCGUGUGGUGGACCGACUUUGCACAGCGACAUGAUUGGACUCGUGUUGUCCACUUGCCGACUCGGCUUUUGCAUCGGACGUCCUAAUUGAAUAUCAAUCAGGACCUAUUGACCGGUCACGCGUGGAGGCACAACAGUAGAGUCGGAUUCGUCGGAUCACCGACGCGUGCGACAAUUUCACGCGAUCCUUCUUGAUCUCAAGCAACAUGCAGCGGCUCAAGACAUCUGCGCUGUCCCUCGCCGGAUUAUCUGGUGCAAUCCGUCCCUGCCGGCUCUUGCUUCACCCGCAAAUUUAUGAAUUUCUCGAUCCCUGAGAAAGAUCCCUUCAAGAACUCAACACCAUCGUGCGCAGGCCCCACGGUGGGCGCCAACUGUCGUGGAAUUGUCACGGCAGAUGUCCUUAGUGUCAGGACUUAGUCGCGAGGCCAACGCAUCUAUGUGGUAGCUUGAGAGGGGUUGAGCGGAAUCGAGAGACGCGACACAAGACAGGGAUUUAGACAGCUUCGGGCCCCGGGAAACAUCAUCCGGUAAUAGCCCUACAUGCUGUUUGAGGCUAGGUCUCAUUAUCAUCACGAGGGAGUCGCCGUAAACCGGCUCUCCUCUAAUUGUGUCUAGCCCUAGAUUAUUGUUUGCUUGUAGCCUCUAGCUUGUCCCUCUUUGGGGAGCCCUGCCCCUCCUUAUAUAUGUCGAAGGGGCGAGUUACAUGUGGAGUCCUAUUAGGAUUAGGACUAGUCUAUCUCUAAUACAAACCGGAUACAAGUCCAGGUCUUAACUCCUUGUAAGACAAAUAUUCUUUAUGCCUUUCCUCUUAAACCGGCCCAUCAUAGCAUGAUCCGGCCUUCCAUAACCGCCAGACAGGCCACCGGGUCUUUGUUGCUCCUCUGGCUCGCCUGCCGGAUUACCAAUGAACUGUAAACCGUCUGGUCUGGGCAGGUCGCCGGUGAUUCGCCAAGUCCGGCCGGAUUAUCCUUCCAGCCGGUUUACACCGCGGGGUAUAUCCCCGACAGUGUGCGUACUUUUCUGCUUGCGGCUGAGGCAAACAAGCGGGCGGAUGGUUUUAUGCCUUGUCCAUGUGCUGGCUGUAAGAAUGGUCACAAUUACUCUACGUCAAGAACCAUUCAUGUCCACCUGUUUGAGUCCGGUUUCAUGCCCCACUAUAAUGUUUGGACCAAGCAUGGAGAAAGAGGGGUUAUGAUGGAAGAAAAUGAAGAAGAAGAGGACGACGACAGCUAUCCUGGCCAUGGGUUCCCUGAAUACGAUGAUACAACAAUGAGGGAAGAUGCUGAGCCGGUAAUGCGGGAAGAAGCUGAGCCGACAAUGCGGGAAGAAGCUGAAGAAGAGGCAUCGGAUGAGCCCGUUGAUGAUCUAGGUCGGGCCAUUGCCGAUGCAAAGAGAAACUGUGCAAGUGAUUUGGAGAAGAAGAAGUUGCAGCGCAUGUUAUAGGAUCACAAAAAAUUGUUGUACCCGAAUUGCGUAGGUGACAAGAAAAAGCUGGGCACCACACUGGAAUUGCUACAAUGGAAGGCAGAGAAUGGUGUAUCUGACAAGGGAUUUGGAAAGUUGUUGGUAAUGAUAAAGAAUAUGCUUCCAAAGGACAAUGAAUUGCCCGAGAGUACGUACGAAGCAAAGAAGGUUGUCUGCCCUCUAGGGUUAGAGGUGCAGAAGAUACAUGCAUGCCCUAAUGAUUGCAUCCUCUACCGCGGUGAGUACGAGGAUUUGAACGCUUGCCCGGUAUGCGGUGCAUUGCGCUAUAAGAUCAGCCGCGAUGACCCUGGUGAUGUCGAGGGCGAGCGCCCCAGGAAGAAGAUUCCUGCCAAGGUGAUGUGGUAUGCUCCUAUAAUACCACGGUUAAAACGUUUGUUCCAAAACAAAGAGCAUGCCAAGGCAAUGCGAUGGCACAGAGAAGACCGUAAGAAAGACGAAAAGUUGAGAGUACCCGCUGACGGGUCGCAGUGGAGAAAAAUUGAAAGAAAGUAUGGGAAGGAGUUUGCAGAUGACGCAAGGAACGUUGGUUUGGUUUAAGCGCAGAUGGCAUUAAUCCUUUUGGGGAGCAGAGCAGCAACCAUAGCACCUGGUCUGUGACUCUAUGUUUGUAUACCUUCCUCCUUAGUUGUGCAUGAAGUGGAAGUUCAUUAUGAUGUCAGUGCUCAUCCAAGGCCCUAAGAAACCCGGCAACGACAUUGAUGUUUACCUAAGGCCAUUAGUUGAAGAACUCUUACAACUGUGCAAUGGAACAGGUGUACGUGCGUGGGAUUAGCACAUGGGGGAAGAAUUUGACCUAAAGGCGUUGCUGUUCGUGACCAUCAAUGAUUGGCCUGCUCUCAAUAACCUUUCAGGACAGACAAACAAUGGAUACCGCGCAUGCAUGCACUGUUUGGACGAUACCGACUGUAUAUAUGUCAGGACCCCGACUCGAUGUCACAUCGAUCUAGCCGGUAACACCUCAUAUCACUUUGCGGCCUCACGCACGGUAUCCCCACGGGUGUCGCCUUACCUUUGCCCGGGACCGUUUGCGCCUUUUGGCUCACGUAUAUGAUAGUGUCGCUAGCAUCCAUAUGAUAAAGAGCCCGGGCUGACAUGACUAGUCGUAAACCCAAAGUGGCACAGACUUACAGGGACAGGCAUCCAUGACCCAGCUUCGAACGUGUCGGUCAUCAGCAAGUGGGUCCGGGCUGUAGCACUGGGCUAGCAGGACUCCGGUAAACCGGGCUGUAGCAGGCUAACAGGACUCCGGUACUCAAAGUGUGACAUUUCCCCGAAGGGACAGACACAGGAACGAAGAAGGACACAUGCCGGCCAGCCUAAGUGUUCCAGAGCAGUAGCAAGCUACCAUGGCUCAGCGGUAACACUAGGAGACAUUUCCCGGUAAGAGAGGCUACUAAAGAUAAACAACUAGGUAGUCAGAUCCCACACAUACCAAGCAUUACAACCAUACACACAAUAUGCUCGAUAUGUGCAAAUACAACGAAGCAUCACAACAUGACUCUACAACACAAGUACUUUAUUUAAGGCUCAGGGAGCCAUACAUAACAUACACAAAGGUACGGGUCUCACGACCCAACAUACAAGUCAUACAGUCAUACAAACCAGCAGCGGAAGUACUUUGUCUGGGUACAGACAACUAGUAAAAUAAAAGAGGCUUGGAAAGCCUAGCUAUACUACGUGGUCCUUCACAAGCUCAGGGUCACCACCUGGGUCUUUAGCCUACUCGUUGAUGUCAACGUCUACAUAGAACCCAUCAGAAGGGGUUGCAGCGUCUUCUGUAAAAUUGUAAAUUGUAGCAACAUGAGUACAAAGGUACCCAGCAAGACNNNNNNNNNNNNNNNNNNNNNNNNNNNNNNNNNNNNNNNNNNNNNNNNNNNNNNNNNNNNNNNNNNNNNNNNNNNNNNNNNNNNNNNNNNNNNNNNNNNNNNNNNNNNNNNNNNNNNNNNNNNNNNNNNNNNNNNNNNNNNNNNNNNNNNNNNNNNNNNNNNNNNNNNNNNNNNNNNNNNNNNNNNNNNNNNNNNNNNNNNNNNNNNNNNNNNNNNNNNNNNNNNNNNNNNNNNNNNNNNNNNNNNNNNNNNNNNNNNNNNNNNNNNNNNNNNNNNNNNNNNNNNNNNNNNNNNNNNNNNNNNNNNNNNNNNNNNNNNNNNNNNNNNNNNNNNNNNNNNNNNNNNNNNNNNNNNNNNNNNNNNNNNNNNNNNNNNNNNNNNNNNNNNNNNNNNNNNNNNNNNNNNNNNNNNNNNNNNNNNNNNNNNNNNNNNNNNNNNNNNNNNNNNNNNNNNNNNNNNNNNNNNNNNNNNNNNNNNNNNNNNNNNNNNNNNNNNNNNNNNNNNNNNNNNNNNNNNNNNNNNNNNNNNNNNNNNNNNNNNNNNNNNNNNNNNNNNNNNNNNNNNNNNNNNNNNNNNNNNNNNNNNNNNNNNNNNNNNNNNNNNNNNNNNNNNNNNNNNNNNNNNNNNNNNNNNNNNNNNNNNNNNNNNNNNNNNNNNNNNNNNNNNNNNNNNNNNNNNNNNNNNAUGGCUCAAUCAACUCCUACACAUGCUAGUGGGUUUCAUCUAGUUACUGUGGCAAUGACAGGUCAUGCAGAGGAAAUGGGUUCAACUACCGAAGCACACAGCAGUUUGAAACGCGUUGUCUUAAUGCAGUAAAAGAGAGCAGGAGCGAGAACAUGGGAUUGUAUCGAUAUGAUCAAUGGUUGGUUGCUUGCCUGAUGGUUCGUUGCACUGAUACGGUUCUUCGUUAGGGUAAUCACGGUACUCCUCGGAGGCAGAACCUGUCGCAAGGACACCGAUAUACAACAUCACCAAACAAUGUGCAACAAUAUGAUGCAUGCAUGAAACAUGGCAAUAUGAGUGUGUUGGGCUAAUGCAACUAAAAUCCAGAAGGGUUUGAACAAAUUUGAAUCAAAGAUUCAAAUUUCAAAUUCAAAUAUGGCCUUUUAAAGUGCUUUUCCUUGUUCUGCUUGAAACAUCAAUUUAACUUGUUUGAUCAUGCAUGAAAAUAGUACAGAUGGAUAGGUUGGAUUUUUCUGAUCAUUUUUCAUAUAUAAUUUGUCCAAUUUGGAGUUACAGAAUAAAAGUUAUGAAUUUUUGAAGUUUAAAUAAUAUUCUGGAAUUUCCUAAUUUAAAUUAAAUCCAGAAAUACAAUUAUUGCGCCAGCAUGACGUCAGCAUGACGUCAGUGGUCAACUGCGGCUGGCUGAAGUCAAACCUGACGUGUGGGGCCCACACGUCAGUGACAGGGGGGUUAAACAGGGUUAAAUUAAUCCUAAUUACUAAUUAGUGGCGCUGGGGCCCACUGGUCAGUGUCAGGGGUUUAACUAACAGUGGUUAGCGCUAAUCCUAAUUAGCUACAGGGCUGGGCCCACCUGUCAGGGACUCAGGGGGUCCUGCCGUGGUCAAAGUGGGUCAAACCCACCGGCGACGUGACGCCGGCGAGGCCCGAGACGGCGGCGCGAUGCGGAAUCGCGCUAUAGGGCACGGGAGAGGCCGUGCUUGGGCUCGUUGAAGAGCCCUUGCUCCCGCGCAUCGAAUGGUGGUGGUGGCCGUGCCGGAGGUGGCCGGCAUCGACGGCGGCGAGCUCGGCUGCGGCCGCCGGGGUUCGGGUGCGGUCGGAGUCGGCGUUGCAGGGGGUUUGGGGAGGCGUUGGUGCGUGCUGCGUGCUCCUAGUGAGGCGUGGAGCACGAUAGUGUGCUCGGUUGGGCGCUACGGUGACCGUGGCCACGACGGCGACAUCGCCGGCGGCGUGGAGCUCUCGGCCAAGGUGGGGCUAAGGCCUAGAGGUCGAAAGAGACCAGGGGAGAAGGGGGAAACGACUCGGGGGCUCACCGCGGUUGCAGUGGGCGUCGAAGCGGGCUCGGAGACGCGCUGGAGACGGUGAAUUCGACGGCGAUGAUGGUCGGAGCCCGAAGAGGGGAACGGCGACGUGGCGGCGAUGCAGGGCUUCCGGAGGCCCGUGAAGCGGUGGGGAGGAAGAGGGGGUCGUGGCGGAGCUUCUGAGCUAGUCGGGGGAGCGAGGGGUGGCCGGAGACGGCUGCUAUGGCGAACGGCGGCGACGGUGGUGUUCGGCCGGGAGUGAGGGAGCGAGGGAGAGAAGGGAGGAACCGAGGGAGAGUGAGAGAGAGCAGGGGGGAAGAGGCGUGGCAUCGUCCAGGGGCAUCGAGGCGAGGAGGGGAGGGCAGGCAGGCAGGGAGAGAGGUGGCGUGGCGCGGUGGCGCGCGCGCGCGCCGGCCACACUCCCCUCCCUCUGUCGGGACGAAGACGACAGAGGAGGGAGACGGGCUGGGCCGCCUGCUGGCUGGGCCGGCCAGCUGGAUGGGCUGCACAGGGAGGAGCCCAGGUAAGCUUCUCCCUUUUAUUUUUUUUUCUGUUUUCUAAUUUCUGACAUUUGUUUUGAUUUAAAUAAUAUAUUAAAUCAUUUAUUUAACUUAUGCCAAUUUUUGCAGGGGCUAGAUAUAUUAUUCCAGAGCUCCUUUAUAAUUGGCAUAAUAUUUGGACAUAUAUUAAUAUAUAUAGAAAUAUAUUUCCAAUGCAAAUAUUUAUGCAUUAAUUCCAAAUGCCCAAAAUAAAUGUCCAUGAGCCACUAAAAAUAUUGGUUUGAUUUUUAUCUCUGUCCAAUAUUUUCAGAGAGAAACAUGAGCAUUUUCUUGGACCCUUUUGGAGAAAUUUUUAUUUGGGUCAUUUUCAAAAUGAUUCUGAGGGUUUCACAGAUCCCCUUUUCAAGUUUCUGAUGAAAGAGUAAACAUGAUGCAACACUCUAAUGCAUGACUAGCUAGGGUGUGACAACUCACCCCCACUCAAAAGAAUCUCGCCCCGAGAUUUGGGUUCCUCCGGGAAGAAGGCGGGGUACUCAAGUCGAAGACGAUCCUCCCUUUCCCAAGUUGCUUCAUCCUCAGAAUGAUGAGACCACUGAACUUUGAGAAACUUGAUGUUAUGACGUCGAGUGGUACGCUCGGCCUGAUCGAGGAUACGAAUGGGGUACUCUCGAUAUGUAAGAUUAUCUUGGAGAUCAAGCGUUUCGUGGUCCACUUCACGGAUAGGAUCCGAGAAGCAACGCCUGAGUUGAGAAACGUGGAAGACAUCGUGGACUCUGGAGAGGUGCGGAGGUAGUUCCAACUGGUAGGCAACUUCUCCUCGUUUGGCAAGAAUGCGAAAAGGUCCAAUGUAACAAGGAGCCAAUUUGCCUUUGAUACCGAAACGAUGGGUUCCCUUCAGAGGGGUGACCCGAAGAUAAGCCUUCUCGUCAACCUCGAAAGUCAUAGCCUUAUGUUUUCGGUCAUAUUGACUCUUUUGACGAGAUUGGGCUGUUUUCAACUUUUCACGAACGAUGCGAACUUGUUCUUCUGCUUCCUGAAUCAUAUCCGGGCCAAAGAAUUGUCUUUCCCCGGUCUCUGACCAGUUAAGGGGUGUUCGACACCGUCGUCCAUAGAGAACUUCAAAAGGGGCUUUACCCAAGCUAGAUUGAUAGCUGUUGUUGUAAGCGAAUUCGGCAAAUGGAAGACACUUCUCCCAGUCCAUUCCAAAUGAGAUAACAGAGGCUCGAAGCAUGUCUUCUAGAACUUGGUUGACGCGUUCCACUUGACCACUCGACUGAGGGUGGAAAGCGGUGCUAAAGGAGAGACGGGUUCCCAUAGCAUUUUGGAAACUUUCCCAAAAUCGAGAGGUGAAAAGGCUUCCUCGAUCCGAGUUAAUUUCCAAAGGAACACCAUGGAGGGACACUAUACGGGAGAUGUAUAAGUCUGCCAAUUGACUAGCGGUUAUACUCUCACGAACAGGUAGGAAAUGGGCUACUUUGGAAAGACGAUCGACAACGACGAAGAUAGCAUUAUUCCCUCUCUUGGUCCUGGGAAAACCGGUAAUGAAAUCCAUACCAAUUUUAUCCCAUUUCCAUUCAGGAAUAGCUAAGGGUUGAAGGGUGCCAGCAGGCCGUUGGUGCUCUGCUUUUACACGACGACAGACGUCGCAAUUUGCAAUAUACUGAGCAAUUUCUCUCUUCAUCCUAGUCCACCAGAACCUCUGGCGUAGGUCCUGAUACAUCUUAGUACUACCGGGAUGAAUGGUGAGAGGAGAUUCAUGAGCUUCCUUAAGGAUUAAUCGCCUUAGGUUGCGCACUUUGGGAACCACUAGUCGAUUCCCGAAGUAUACGACUCCUUGAUCAUUAAUGGAGAAACAAUUCGCAAUUCCUUUCUGAAUGUUUCUCUUGAUGCGGGAGAUUCCCGGAUCUACUUUUUGUGCUUUGAUAAUUUGAUCCGUAAGGGUAGGUUUUGCCACCAAGGUGGAAAGAAAACCUUGAGGUACAAUGUGAAGGUUAAGCUUCUGAAAUUCCUCAUGGAGAAGCGGUUGACUUUGUUGUAACAUCAGGUUGUUACAAUAAGAUUUACGACUUAGCGCAUCAGCCAUGACGUUGGCUUUCCCUGGGGUAUAGGUUAUUCCUAAGUCGAAGUCUGUGAUCAAUUCAACCCAACGUCUUUGCCUGAGAUUCAGAUCCGGUUGGGUGAAAAUGUACUUCAGACUUUGGUGAUCAGUGAAUAUUUCGCAACGAUUACCGAGGAGGUAAUGUCGCCAGGUCUUAAGUGCAUAGACUACGGCUGCAAGCUCUAGAUCAUGAGUAGGAUAAUUCUCCUCAUGUGGGUGCAAUUGCCAUGAAGCGUAAGCAAUUACGUGUCGAUCUUGCAUGAGAAUGCAACCUAGUCCUUGUCGCGAGGCGUCGCAGUAGAUAACAAAGUCCUUGGAGAAGUCUGGCGGUACCAGCACGGGAGCAGAGGUCAGGCGUCUUUUCAGUUCCUGAAAGCUGUGCUCACAUUGUGGAGUCCAUUCGAACUUUUUAUCUUUCUUGAGGAGUUCGGUUAGAGGUUUAGCAACUUUGGAGAAGUUCUCGACAAAGCGACGACAAUAGCUCGCUAAGCCUAGAAAACUCCGAACUUGCUUGACCGAUUCAGGUGGAGUCCAAUUAAGGACGGCUUGAACUCGCUCAGGGUUAACAGCAAUACCUUUACCAGAUAUUACAUGACCCAGAUAGGUCACUUCUGACAACCAGAAUUCACAUUUAGAAAAUUUGGCAUAAAGGCGAUGCUCUCGAAGUUUCUUCAACACUAGCCUUAAAUGUUCGGCAUGUUCUUCCUCGUUCUUGGAGUAGAUGAGUAUAUCAUCGAGGUAAACCACGACGAAUUUAUCCAAAUACUCCAUGAAGAUUGAGUUCAUUAACCGAGAAAAAGUGGCUGGAGCGUUGGUUAAACCGAAGGACAUGACGGUGUACUCGUAUUGGCCAUAACGAGUAACAAAGGCCGUCUUAGGAAUGUCCCCGUUUCUGAUUUUGAUUUGAUGGUAGCCCAACCUCAAAUCCAUCUUGGAGAAGACUGAGGAUCCAGCGAGCUGAUCAUACAGGUCGUUGAUCCUGAUAGAGAGAAUAGAUCCUAAUUCCUUAACCCCCGGUGGAAGAAUAGACUGACUCAGAUCAGAAUGUCAUAAGAUAGAGGAGUAAAAAGAGCCUUACGUUCCAACCCACAAACAAUUCCCCUACAUAUAACUAAAGAAUUUCUAGACUCAACAUCGACCAGUUUGGCUUGAAGAACCUACAGGCAGUCCGGCUCUGAUACCAACGCUGUCAGGACCCCGACUCGAUGUCACAUCGAUCUAGCCGGUAACACCUCAUAUCACUUUGCGGCCUCACGCACGGUAUCCCCACGGGUGUCGCCUUACCUUUGCCCGGGACCGUUUGCGCCUUUUGGCUCACGUAUAUGAUAGUGUCGCUAGCAUCCAUAUGAUAAAGAGCCCGGGCUGACAUGACUAGUCGUAAACCCAAAGUGGCACAGACUUACAGGGACAGGCAUCCAUGACCCAGCUUCGAACGUGUCGGUCAUCAGCAAGUGGGUCCGGGCUGUAGCACUGGGCUAGCAGGACUCCGAUAAACCGGGCUGUAGCGGGCUAACAGGACUCCGGUACUCAAAGCGUGACAUUUCCCCGAAGGGACAGACACAGGAACGAAGAAGGACACAUGCCGGCCAGCCUAAGUGUUCCAGAGCAGUAGCAAGCUACCAUGGCUCAGCGGUAACACUAGGAGACAUUUCCCGGUAAGAGAGGCUACUAAAGAUAAACAACUAGGUAGUCAGAUCCCACACAUACCAAGCAUUACAACCAUACACACAAUAUGCUCGAUAUGUGCAAAUACAACGAAGCAUCACAACAUGACUCUACAACACAAGUACUUUAUUUAAGGCUCAGGGAGCCAUACAUAACAUACACAAAGGUACGGGUCUCACGACCCAACAUACAAGUCAUACAGUCAUACAAACCAGCAGCGGAAGUACUUUGUCUGGGUACAGACAACUAGUAAAAUAAAAGAGGCUUGGAAAGCCUAGCUAUACUACGUGGUCCUUCACAAGCUCAGGGUCACCACCUGGGUCUUUAGCCUACUCGUUGAUGUCAACGUCUACAUAGAACCCAUCAGAAGGGGUUGCAGCGUCUUCUGUAAAAUUGUAAAUUGUAGCAACAUGAGUACAAAGGUACCCAGCAAGACUUACAUCAGAUCCUACAUACAUGCAUAGUAUCAAGAAGGGUUGGUGGAGUUAUUGCAGCAAGCCAGCUUUGACUCCUGGCUAGACUAUCCAACGAUACUCCAACUUGAAAUGGUUUUGCGCACACGAGUCCACUACUCACCACUUCAAUACACUACCGAGGGUCCACCUCCGUCUUCCUACGGAAGGGCCAUCCUCGGCACUCACACUUAUCUUGAGGCUUUUAACAGUUUCCAUUUACUUGUCUAUGAACUGUAUAGGCAACCAAGUAGUCCUUUACCGCGGACGCGGCUAUUCGAAUAGAUCAUGUUAACCCUGCAGGGGUGUACUUCUUCAUACACGCUCUCACCACUUAUCAUCGUUUACACGACAUGUACUCGGCAACCUUCAAGCGGAAGCCCAACGUGGGUGUCGGCCACGACCUACCUAAUCACCUAAGCUUCCAGUCCAGGUUUAUCGCCUAUUCAGGUUCCAUCCGCAGGGAGUCCGGCCGAGGUUUCCCAUACGGCCCCGAACGAUGUGAACAGGGUUCCCGAGAUACCUAACGGGUAUUCGGUACACCGUGCCACGUACCUACCGCAUCACACCCCACCCCUACGGUCAGCGCUGUCCACGGCCUCCAGUAGGCUACAAACACCAGAAACUACUUGCAACUCCUGGACGGAGAACUAGGGUGAAUAAGAAGCCGAGAGGGUCCAUUGGUUUCGGGCCCAAUGCAUGGUAGUAGCUGAUUCUUAAAUCACACAUACAGAUCUCAGUGCUUAAGGUCGGCUUCAAUGAAACAACCCACCAUGUACUCCUACAUGGCCUCUCAUCGAUACCUUUACCAAAUCGUGUUCACCACACCACUCUCAUUACCGACAUAACAUUUCACUCUAGCCCAUCACCCAGAUGAACCAGACCUGACACGACUCUAAGCAUAGCAGGCAUAGCAAGGUAGGAACAACACAUACAUAUGGCUCAAUCAACUCCUACACAUGCUAGUGGGUUUCAUCUAGUUACUGUGGCAAUGACAGGUCAUGCAGAGGAAAUGGGUUCAACUACCGAAGCACACAGCAGUUUGAAACGCGUUGUCUUAAUGCAGUAAAAGAGAGCAGGAGCGAGAACAUGGGAUUGUAUCGAUAUGAUCAAUGGUUGGUUGCUUGCCUGAUGGUUCGUUGCACUGAUACGGUUCUUCGUUAGGGUAAUCACGGUACUCCUCGGAGGCAGAACCUGUCGCAAGGACACCGAUAUACAACAUCACCAAACAAUGUGCAACAAUAUGAUGCAUGCAUGAAACAUGGCAAUAUGAGUGUGUUGGGCUAAUGCAACUAAAAUCCAGAAGGGUUUGAACAAAUUUGAAUCAAAGAUUCAAAUUUCAAAUUCAAAUAUGGCCUUUUAAAGUGCUUUUCCUUGUUCUGCUUGAAACAUCAAUUUAACUUGUUUGAUCAUGCAUGAAAAUAGUACAGAUGGAUAGAUUGGAUUUUUCUGAUCAUUUUUCAUAUAUAAUUUGUCCAAUUUGGAGUUACAGAAUAAAAGUUAUGAAUUUUUGAAGUUUAAAUAAUAUUCUGGAAUUUCCUGAUUUAAAUUAAAUCCAGAAAUUAUAAUUAUUGCGCCAGCAUGACGUCAGCAUGACGUCAGUGGUCAACUGCGGCUGGCUGAAGUCAAACCUGACGUGUGGGGGCCACACGUCAGUGACAGGGGGGGUUUAACAGGUUUAAAUUAAUCCUAAUUAGGGAUUAGUGGCGCUGGGGCCCACUGUCAGUGUCAGGGGGGGGGUUGACUAACGGUAAUUAGGACUAACUAACCACCUGUCCGACAGGGCCCACGCGUCAGUGACCCUGGGGGGGUCAAACCUCAGGUCGGACAGGUCAAACCCGCCGGCGGUUAGUCGCCAGCGAGGUCCGCGGCGUGCAGGGGCCUCGGGUUUCCUCUGUGGUGCUCCAAACGGCGUGCGGCUAGGUGCGUUGGAUAGCUAGCUCGACGGCGCGUCGGACGGUGGCCGUGGCUGGCCCUGGGGUGGCCGGAGUCGACGGCGGCGAGCUCGGCUGCGGCUGCCGGAGUUCGGGUGCGGUCGGAAUCGACGUUGCAGGGGGCUUGGGGAGGCGUUAGUGCGCGCUGCGUGCUCCUGGUGAGGUGGGGAGCACGAUAGUGCGCUCGGUUGGGUGCUACGGUGACCGUGGCCACGACGGCGACAUCGCCGGCGGCGUGGAGCUCUCGGCCGAGGUGGGGCUAGGGCCUAGAGGUCGAAAGAGACCAGGGGAGAAGGGGGAAACGAUCCGGGGGCUCACCGCGGAGCUGCAGGGAUGGUUAGCGGGCUCGGGGACGCGCUGGUGACGGCGAAUUCGACGGCGACGACGGUCGGAGCCCGAAGAGGGGAACGGCGACGUGGCGGCGAUGCAGGGCUUCCGGGGAGCUGUGGAGUGGUGGGGAGGAAGAGGGGGUCGUGGCGGAGCUUCUGAGCUAGUCGGGGGAGCGAGGGGUGGCCGGAGACGGCUGCUGUGGCGAACGGCGGCGACGGUGGUGUUCGGCCGUGUGAGAGAGAGAGCGAGGGAGAGGAGGGGAGAGCCGGGGGAGAGUGAGAGAGAGCAGGGGGAGAGGCGUGGCGUCGUCCAGGGCAUCGAGGCGAGGAGAGGGAGGGCAGGCAGGCAGGGAGAGAGGUGGCGUGGCGCGGUGGCGCGCGCGCGCCGGCCACACUCCCCUCCCUCUGUCGGGACGAAGACGACAGAGGAGGGAGGUGGGCUGGGCCGGUUGCUGGCUGGGCCAGCCAGCUGGCUGGGCCGCACAGUGGAGGAGCCCAGGUAAGUUUCUCCUGUUAUAUAUUUUUCUGUUUUCUAAUUUCUGACAUUUGUUUUGAUUUAAAAAAUAUAUUAAAUCAUUUAUUUAACUUAUGCCAAUUUUUGCAGGAGCUAUAUAUAUUAAUCCAGAGCUCUUUUACAAAUGGCAUAAUAUUUGGACAUAUAUUAAUAUAUAUAAUUAAUAUAUUUCCAAUGCAAAUAUUUAUGCAUUAAUUCCAAAUGCCCAAAAUAAAUGUCCAUGAGCCACUAAAAUUAUUGGUUUGAUUUUUAUCUCUGUCCAAUAUUUUCAGAGAGCAACAUGAGCAUUUUCUUGGAUCCUUUUGGAGAAAUUUUUAUUUGGGUCAUUUUCAAAAUGAUUCUGAGGGUUUCACAGAUCCCCAUUUCAAGUUUCUGAUGAAAGAGUAAACAUGAUGCAACACUCUAAUGCAUGACUAGCUAGGGUGUGACAACUCACCCCCACUCAAAAGAAUCUCGUCCCGAGAUUUGGGUUCCUCCGGGAAGAAGGCGGGAUACUCGAGUCGAAGACGAUCCUCCCUUUCCCAGGUUGCUUCAUCCUCAGAAUGGUGCGACCAUUGAACUUUGAGAAACUUGAUAUUAUGACGCCGGGUGGUACGUUCGGCUUGAUCGAGGAUACGAAUGGGGUACUCUCGAUAUGUAAGAUUAUCUUGGAGAUCAAGCGUUUCGUGGUCCACUUCACGGAUAGGAUCCGAGAAGCAACGCCUGAGUUGAGAAACGUGGAAGACAUCGUGGACUCUGGAGAGGUGCGGAGGUAGUUCCAACUGGUAGGCAACUUCUCCUCGUUUGGCAAGAAUGCGAAAAGGUCCAAUGUAACAAGGAGCCAAUUUGCCUUUGAUACCGAAACGAUGGGUUCCCUUCAGAGGGGUGACCCGAAGAUAAGCCUUCUCGUCAACCUCGAAAGUCAUAGCCUUAUGUUUUCGGUCAUAUUGACUCUUUUGACGAGAUUGGGCUGUUUUCAACUUUUCACGAACGAUGCGAACUUGUUCUUCUGCUUCCUGAAUCAUAUCCGGGCCAAAGAAUUGUCUUUCCCCGGUUUAUGACCAGUUAAGGGGUGUUCGACACCGUCGUCCAUAGAGAACUUCAAAAGGGGCUUUACCCAAGCUAGAUUGAUAGCUGUUGUUGUAAGCGAAUUCGGCAAAUGGAAGGCACUUCUCCCAAUCCAUUCCAAAUGAGAUAACAGAAGCUCGAAGCAUGUCUUCUAGAAUCUGGUUGACGCGUUCCACUUGACCACUCGACUGAGGGUGUAAAGCGGUGCUAAAGGAGAGACGGGUUCCCAUAGCAUUUUGGAAACUUUCCCAAAAUCGAGAGGUGAAAAGACUUCCUCGAUCCGAGUUGAUUUCCAAAGGAACACCAUGGAGGGACACUAUUCGAGAGAUGUAUAAGUCUGCCAGCUGACUAGCGGUUAUACUCUCACCAACAGGUAGGAAAUGGGCUACUUUGGAAAGACGAUCGACCACGACGAAAAUAGCAUUAUUCCCUCUCUUGGUCCUGGGAAAACCGGUAAUGAAAUCCAUACCAAUUUUAUCCCAUUUCCAUUCAGGAAUAGCUAAGGGUUGAAGGGUGCCAGCAGGCCGUUGGUGCUCUGCUUUUACACGACGAUAGACGUCGCAAUUUGCAAUAUACUGAGCAAUUUCUCUCUUCAUCCUAGUCCACCAGAACCUCUGGCGUAGGUCCUGAUACAUCUUAGUACUACCGGGAUGAAUGGUGAGAGGAGAUUCAUGAGCUUCCUUAAGGAUCAAACGCCUCAGGUUUCGCACUUUGGGAACCACUAGUCGAUUCCCGAAGUAUACGACCCCUUGAUCAUUAAUGGAGAAGCAAUUCACAAUUCCUUUCUGAAUGUUUCUCUUGAUGCGGGAGAUUCCCGGAUCUACCUUCUGUGCCUUGAUAAUCUGAUCCGUAAGGGUAGGUAUUGCCACCAAGGUGGAGAGAAAACCUUGAGGUACAAUGUGAAGGUUAAGCUUCCGAAAUUCCUCAUGGAGAAGCGGUUGACUUUGUUGUAACAUCAGGUUGUUACAAUAAGAUUUACGACUUAGCGCAUCAGCCAUGACGUUGGCUUUCCCUGGGGUGUAGGUUAUCCCUAAAUCGAAGUCUGUGAUCAACUCAACCCAACGUCUUUGCCUGAGAUUCAAAUCCGGUUGGGUGAAAAUGUACUUCAGGCUUUGGUGAUCAGUGAAAAUUUCGCAACGAUUACCGAGGAGGUAAUGUCGCCAGGUCUUAAGUGCAUAGACUACGGCUGCAAGCUCUAGAUCAUGAGUAGGAUAAUUCUCCUCAUGUGGGUGCAAUUGCCGUGAAGCGUAGGCAAUUACGUGUCGAUCUUGCAUGAGAAUGCAACCUAGUCCUUGUCGCGAGGCGUCGCAGUAGAUAACAAAGUCCUUGGAGAAGUCUGGCGGUACCAGUACGGGAGCAGAAGUCAGGCGUCUUUUCAGCUCCUGAAAGCUGUGCUCACAUUGUGGAGUCCACUCGAACUUCUUAUCUUUCUUGAGGAGUUCGGUUAGAGGUUUGGCAACCUUGGAGAAGUUCUCGACAAAGCGACGACAAUAGCUCGCUAAGCCUAGAAAACUCCGAACUUGCUUGACCGAUUCAGGUGGAGUCCAGUUAAGGACGGCUUGAACUCGCUCAGGGUUAACAGCAAUACCUUUACCAGAUAUUACAUGGCCCAGAUAGGUCACUUCUGACAACCAGAAUUCACAUUUAGAAAAUUUGGCAUAAAGGCGAUGCUCUCGAAGUUUCUUCAACACUAGCCUUAGAUGUUCGGCAUGUUCUUCCUCGUUCUUGGAGUAGAUGAGUAUAUCAUCGAGGUAGACCACGACGAAUUUAUCCAAAUACUCCAUGAAGAUUGAGUUCAUUAACCGAGAAAAGGUGGCUGGAGCGUUGGUUAAUCCGAAGGACAUGACGGUGUUCUCGUAUUGGCCAUAACGAGUAACAAAGGCCGUUUUAGGAAUGUCCCCGUUUCUGAUUUUGAUUUGAUGGUAGCCCAACCUCAAAUCCAUCUUAGAGAAGACUGAGGAUCCAGCGAGCUGAUCAUACAGAUCGUUGAUCCUGGGAAGUGGAUAUUUGUUUUUGAUUGUGACCAAAUUGACAGGUCGGUAAUCUACAACCAUCCGGUCCGUACCAUCCUUCUUCUUGACGAAUAGGACGGGGCAAGCCCACGGAGAUGAGCUAGGUCGGAUGAAACCCUUUUUCAAGGACUCAUCGAGUUGUUUCUUAAGCUCGACUAGUUCUAAGGGUGCCAUCUUAUAAGGUCUUCUAGCAAUCGGAACGGUUCCUAGGAUGAGGUCUAUUACGAACUCAACAUCUCUGUCAGGUGGAACACCUGGCAAUUCCUCUGGGAAGACAUCCGGAAAGUCACGGACUACCGGAACGUCCUCAAGGUCUGGCAAAGGGCUGGCGUUAAGAGAAUAUAAUUGUCGCUUGGCUAUUCGGGUCAAGACAUUGACUAUCUUCCCCGAAGGAUGGGUGAGUUGAACAGUCCUAGAGAAGCAAUCAAUUUGGGCAUGAUGAGCUGACAUCCAGUCCAUACCCAGAAUGAUAUUAAUAUCUGAAGAUUUAAGGGCUAUCAAGGACGCGAGGAAAACAAGUCUGUCGACUUGGAUUUCAUUUCCAUGGCUUACUCUAGAAGUUUUCCAUUUGGAUCCCGGAGUUUGAAUUACCAUAGAGGUUGGCAUAUUACCGAAUGCGACGUUGUGCAAACGAGCAUAGUUUUCAGAUAUAAAAGAAUGAGAGGCUCCUGUAUCGAAAAGAACAGAUGCCGGGUGGCAAUUAACAAGAAGCGUACCGAGAACGACGUUGGGAUCCUCUUGAGCUUCUUCGGCAGAGAUACAGUUGACAUGGCCACGUGAAGCGGUGACCGGUUUGGUGUGGAAUAUCUUUCCUGUCGGCUUGCCACGGCCAACAGCUUUAGCAGAUUGAGUGGGGUUGGUCUGGGGACACUCACGCAUAUAGUGACCAGAUUCCCCACACUUGAAACAAGUCACGGAACUGGUACGUGGAGGAGCAUUAUUGGUUGGGCCCCCAUAGGGCUUGGCCGGUGCAGACUGUUGAACAGGGCGAGGUGCCUGGAAAGAUGGCCUCGGUGUGAACCUGGGUGGCAGGGCGGUGUUGGGUACCCACACACGGUGCUUCUGAGGACCAGCACCGGUUGAGGAACCUAUGUCACGGCCAUGCUUGCGUGUUGCGUCAUAGUCAGUCUGACCAGUUUCAGCACUGAUGGCUUUGUUGACAAGUUUCUGGAAAGAUGUGCACUCAUGCAGACGGAGGUCGCGGCGAAGCUCAGGACUAAGGCCCUUACGGAACCUUGCUUGCUUCUUGGCAUCAGCAGACACUUCCUCAGUUGCAUAUCGUGCAAGAUUACCAAACUCCCUGCUGUAAGCAUCCACAGAAAGUCGGCCUUGGGUGAAACUGCAAAAUUCCUCACGUUUACGGUCCAUGAGACCCUCCGGAAUGUGAUGUUCACGGAAAGCCUCGCUGAAUUCAGCCCAAGUAGUGACAUGGCCCGCUGGGCGCAUAGCUCCAUAAUUCUCCCACCAUAGACUGGCGGGGCCUUCAAGAUGAUAUGCAGCAAAGGUGACCUUGUCAGCCUCCGCUACCAGCGCGGAGCGCAGUUUGUGAGCGAUACUGCGAAGCCAGUCAUCAGCGUCGAGAGGCUCGACGGAGUGGUGGAACGUGGGUGGAUGCAAUUUGAUAAAAUCACUGAGUGACACCACGUUAGUCCUCUGAUGGUGUGUUGUGUUCUGUUCAAUACGCUCCAACAAACGGUUGGUCUCUCGCUUGUUUCUCUCAGCUUCCAUCAUAACCUCGGCUAGGGAAGGAGGAUGAGGCAGAUUUGUAUCCCUGACUUCACUGCCUUCGGCCUGCUCUUGAGGAGCAGGGUUAGUGCGCGUGUUGACCAUCCUAGGUAAACAUGACAAAGGUUUAGUCAGGAUGAUAAAAUUCCGACAUAGGAUAUAGAAUGUAAGGAAUAACUCGAAAUGCAAGAUGAUCAUCCGUAUGACAUGGUAGAUACAGAAACUGCUUCUUUUAUUCCAUCGUCAUACACACCAUACAGGGUUUAGUACAAGACCAAACAAGUACUAUUACGGUGAAAAGAGGAUUACAUCUCAUCGGAGGCAUCCCAAGCUCCUAUACAUUAUUUUUCUACACCUCCGGAAGGAGUACAAGCUAGGUCAUAUCCCAUGAGUCACGCGGGACGAUAGAAGACACAGCUAGUGCGAACUAGUGAUACUCCACUAACUCAGACCGACCCGUAGUAGUCCUCGUAGAAGUCACCUCCAUAGCCUGGAAGCUCAACAUGAUCAUCCGGAAACAGACGAUCUCGCGAAGCUUGUGGACCAUAGGGGCUAGGAUGAGGUCGUGGACCAACAAACGGUGGCCUGCGGGGACCGCGAGGUGGGGUGAUGCCUCCUACAUCACGCCAAACCAUCACGUCUGGCAGAGCAGAUCUCACAGGAUAGAGAUCGCGCAUAUCUGAAUAUCCAGCUUGCACCGCCGGUGCGAACCGAGUCAAAGUGGCCCAGUGGUCAGCACGGGUAUUAAAGAGCUCUAACCUCAAGGCCCGAUUUUCAUGGUCCUUAUCCUCGAGCAUCUCAGCAGUGGUGCGAGUCCGUGAAUCCUCUUGAGUGGGGUCAGCAUAGAUAGCCUGGAGAUACCCUUGUGCUCCCGGAAGUGAUCCUGGCAUAUACCGGAAAUCAGAGUCCCGAAAUAGUCCAGAUCUGACUCGCAUAAUGGUCAUCAUAGAGUAGGCGGCGUCCUGCACAGCCAUCUCAAUAGUAACCCCGAGUCCAUAAGAGCAGUGAAGGGGCUCGGUGGAUCCAGGAUAAGAUGGAAAUAUCCUGACAGUGCAGAGAUACUGGCUUUGAUUAAAGUCUCGGAAUUGCUCUUCGACCGUGUACUCAGGAUACCAGCGGUAUCCAGCCUCAGUCAUUACCCUGACCAACUUGGCAGUAUGGCCGGGUACAUCUAGGCAUCGAGUCAGGCGAACCACUUGAUUGAGGUCGCGAGUGGCCAUCUGAAAGCACAAUCAUAAUGCAAGGCAUUAGAAUUUCUAGCACAAUUUCGGCAGCAUAACAGCUGUAAAUGCUCAAGAAGGAUUUUGAGACAUUUGACAAAGGAUUACAUACACACUCAUCAUCAUCAUAACAAAGUUCUGAAUCCAUCUUAGCAACAUAAUGUGGUAGUAGAACUGAACUAGGCUUGUAUCCAUCAAACUUAUAAGGUACUACUGAUUAGUAACACGUGAUCCUGAUAGAGAGAACAGAUCCUAAUUUCUUAUCCCCCGGUGGAAGAAUGGACUGACUCAGAUCAGAAUGUCAUAAGAUAAAGGAGUAAAAAGAGCCUUACGUUCCAUCCCACAAACAAUUCCCCUAAAUAUAACUAAAGAAUUUCUAGACUCAACAUCGACCAGUUUGGCUUGGAGAACCUACAGGCAGUCCGGCUCUGAUGCCAACGCCGUCAGGACCCCGACUCGAUGUCACAUCGAUCUAGCCGGUAACACCUCAUAUCACUUUGCGGCCUCACGCACGGUAUCCCCACGGGUGUCGCCUUACCUUUGCCCGGGACCGUUUGCGCCUUUUGGCUCACGUAUAUGAUAGUGUCGCUAGCAUCCAUAUGAUAAAGAGCCCGGGCUGACAUGACUAGUCGUAAACCCAAAGUGGCACAGACUUACAGGGACAGGCAUCCAUGACCCAGCUUCGAACGUGUCGGUCAUCAGCAAGUGGGUCCGGGCUGUAGCACUGGGCUAGCAGGACUCCGGUAAACCGGGCUGUAGCGGGCUAACAGGACUCCGGUACUCAAAGCGUGACAUUUCCCCGAAGGGACAGACACAGGAACGAAGAAGGACACAUGCCGGCCAGCCUAAGUGUUCCAGAGCAGUAGCAAGCUACCAUGGCUCAGCGGUAACACUAGGAGACAUUUCCCGGUAAGAGAGGCUACUAAAGAUAAACAACUAGGUAGUCAGAUCCCACACAUACCAAGCAUUACAACCAUACACACAAUAUGCUCGAUAUGUGCAAAUACAACGAAGCAUCACAACAUGACUCUACAACACAAGUACUUUAUUUAAGGCUCAGGGAGCCAUACAUAACAUACACAAAGGUACGGGUCUCACGACCCAACAUACAAGUCAUACAGUCAUACAAACCAGCAGCGGAAGUACUUUGUCUGGGUACAGACAACUAGUAAAAUAAAAGAGGCUUGGAAAGCCUAGCUAUACUACGUGGUCCUUCACAAGCUCAGGGUCACCACCUGGGUCUUUAGCCUACUCGUUGAUGUCAACGUCUACAUAGAACCCAUCAGAAGGGGUUGCAGCGUCUUCUGUAAAAUUGUAAAUUGUAGCAACAUGAGUACAAAGGUACCCAGCAAGACAUACAUCAGAUCCUACAUACAUGCAUAGUAUCAAGAAGGGUUGGUGGAGUUAUUGCAGCAAGCCAGCUUUGACUCCUGGCUAGACUAUCCUACGAUACUCCAACUUGAAAUGGUUUUGCGCACACGAGUCCACUACUCACCACUUCAAUACACUACCGAGGGUCCACCUCCGUCUUCCUACGGAAGGGCCAUCCUCGGCUCUCACACUUAUCUUGAGGCUUUUAACAGUUUCCAUUUACUUGUCUAUGAACUGUAUAGGCAACCAAGUAGUCCUUUACCGCGGACGCGGCUAUUCGAAUAAAUCUUGUUAACCCUGCAGGGGUGUACUUCUUCAUACACGCUCUCACCACUUAUCGUCGUUUACACGACAUGUACUCGGCAACCUUCAAGCGGAAGCCCAACGUGGGUGUCGGCCACGACCUACCUAAUCACCUAAGCUUCCAGUCCAGGUUUAUCGCCUAUUCAGGUUCCAUCCGCAGGGAGUCCGGCCGAGGUUUCCCAUACGGCCCCGAACGAUGUGAACAGGGUUCCCGAGAUACCUAACGGGUAUUCGGUACACCGUGCCACGUACCUACCGCAUCACGGCCCACCCCUACGUCAGCGCUGUCCACGGCCUCCAGUAGGCUACAAACACCAGAAACUACUUGCAACUCCUGGACGGAGAACUAGGGUGAAUAAGAAGCCGAGAGGGUCCAUUGGUUUCGGGCCCAAUGCAUGGUAGUAGCUGAUUCUUAAAUCACACAUACAGAUCUCAGUGCUUAAGGUCGGCUUCAAUGAAACAACCCACCAUGUACUCCUACAUGGCCUCUCAUCGAUACCUUUACCAAAUCGUGUUCACCACACCACUCUCAUUACCGACAUAACAUUUCACUCUAGCCCAUCACCAAGAUGAACCAGACCUGACACGACUCUAAGCAUAGCAGGCAUAGCAAGGUAGGAACAACACAUACAUAUGGCUCAAUCAACUCCUACACAUGCUAGUGGGUUUCAUCUAGUUACUGUGGCAAUGACAGGUCAUGCAGAGGAAAUGGGUUCAACUACCGAAGCACACAGCAGUUUGAAACGCGUUGUCUUAAUGCAGUAAAAGAGAGCAGGAGCGAGAACAUGGGAUUGUAUCGAUAUGAUCAAUGGUUGGUUGCUUGCCUGAUGGUUCGUUGCACUGAUACGGUUCUUCGUUAGGGUAAUCACGGUACUCCUCGGAGGCAGAACCUGUCGCAAGGACACCGAUAUACAACAUCACCAAACAAUGUGCAACAAUAUGAUGCAUGCAUGAAACAUGGCAAUAUGAGUGUGUUGGGCUAAUGCAACUAAAAUCCAGAAGGGUUUGAACAAAUUUGAAUCAAAGAUUCAAAUUUCAAAUUCAAAUAUGGCCUUUUAAAGUGCUUUUCCUUGUUCUGCUUGAAACAUCAAUUUAACUUGUUUGAUCAUGCAUGAAAAUAGUACAGAUGGAUAGAUUGGAUUUUUCUGAUCAUUUUUCAUAUAUAAUUUGUCCAAUUUGGAGUUACAGAAUAAAAGUUAUGAAUUUUUGAAGUUUAAAUAAUAUUCUGGAAUUUCCUGAUUUAAAUUAAAUCCAGAAAUAAAAUUAUUGCGCCAGCAUGACGUCAGCAUGACGUCAGUGGUCAACUGCGGCUGGCUGAAGUCAAACCUGACGUGUGGGGCCCACACGUCAGUGACAGGGGGGUUAAACAGGGUUAAAUUAAUCCUAAUUACUAAUUAGUGGCGCUGGGGCCCACUGGUCAGUGUCAGGGGUUUAACUAACAGUGGUUAGCACUAAUCCUAAUUAGCUACAGGGCUGGGCCCACCUGUCAGGGACUCAAGGGGUCCUGCCGUGGUCAAAGUGGGUCAAACCCACCGGCGACGUGACGCCGGCGAGGCCCGAGAUGGCGGCGCGAUGCGGAAUCGCGCUAUAGGGCACGGGAGAGGCCGUGCUUGGGCUCGUUGAAGAGCCCUUGCUCCCGCGCAUCGAAUGGUGGUGGUGGCCGUGCCGGAGGUGGCCGGAAUCGACGGCGGCGAGCUCGGCUGCGGCCGCCGGGGUUCUGGUGCGGUCGGAGUCGGCGUUGCAGGGGGUUUGGGGAGGCGUUGGUGCAUGCUACGUGCUCCUAGUGAGGCGUGGAGCACGAUAGUGUGCUCGGUUGGGCGCUACAGUGACCGUGGCCACGACGGCGACAUCGCCGGCGGCGUGGAGCUCUCGGCCAAGGUGGGGCUAAGGCCUAGAGGUCGAAAGAGACCAGGGGAGAAGGGGGAAACGACUCGGGGGCUCACCGCGGUUGCAGUGGGCGUCGAAGCGGGCUCGGAGACGCGCUGGAGACGGUGAAUUCGACGGCGAUGAUGGUCGGAGCCCGAAGAGGGGAACGGCGACGUGGCGGCGAUGCAGGGCUUCCAGAGGCCCGUGAAGCGGUGGGGAGGAAGAGGGGGUCGUGGCGGAGCUUCUGAGCUAGUCGGGGGAGCGAGGGGUGGCCGGAGACGGCUGCUAUGGCGAACGGCGGCGACGGUGGUGUUCGGCCGGGAGUGAGGGAGCGAGGGAGAGAAGGGAGGAACCGAGGGAGAGUGAGAGAGAGCAGGGGGGAAGAGGCGUGGCGUCGUCCAGGGGCAUCGAGGCGAGGAGGGGAGGGCAGGCAGGCAGGGAGAGAGGUGGCGUGGCGCGGUGGCGCGCGCGCGCGCCGGCCACACUCCCCUCCCUCUGUCGGGACGAAGACGACAGAGGAGGGAGACGGGCUGGGCCGCCUGCUGGCUGGGCCGGCCAGCUGGAUGGGCUGCAUAGGGAGGAGCCCAGGUAAGCUUCUCCCUUUUAUUUUUUUUCUGUUUUCUAAUUUCUGGCAUUUGUUUUGAUUUAAAUAAUAUAUUAGAUCAUUUAUUUAACUUAUGCCAAUUUUUGCAGGGGCUAGAUAUAUUAUUCCAGAGCUCCUUUAUAAUUGGCAUAAUAUUUGGACAUAUAUUAAUAUAUAUAGAAAUAUAUUUCCAAUGCAAAUAUUUAUGCAUUAAUUCCAAAUGCCCAAAAUAAAUGUCCAUGAGCCACUAAAAAUAUUGGUUUGAUUUUUAUCUCUGUCCAAUAUUUUCAGAGAGCAACAUGAGCAUUUUCUUGGACCCUUUUGGAGAAAUUUUUAUUUGGGUCAUUUUCAAAAUGAUUCUGAGGGUUUCACAGAUCCCCAUUUCAAGUUUCUGAUGAAAGAGUAAACAUGAUGCAACACUCUAAUGCAUGACUAGCUAGGGUGUGACAAUAUAUUUCGCUAAUUGUAAGAAGAAUGUGUACCUGGGACAUCGUCGAUUUCUUCCGAGCAGGCAUCCCGUAAGAAAGAAAGGCAAGCAUUUCAAAGGUGAGGCGGAUCACCGGACAAAGCCUCGCCACCGUACCGGUGCUGAUGUACAUGAUAUGGUCAAGGAUUUGAAGGUGGUCUUUGGAAAGGGUCCUGGUGGACAACCUGUUCCGAAUGACGCUGACGGACGCGCACCCAUGUGGAAGAAGAAAUCUAUAUUUUGGGACCUGCCCUAUUGGAAAGACCUAGAGGUCCGCUCCGCAAUCGACGUGAUGCACGUGACGAAGAAUCUUUGUGUGACCCUGCUUGGCUUCUUGGGCGUGUAUGGGAAGACAAAAGAUACACCUGAGGCACGGGAGGACCAGCAACGUAUGCACGGAAAAGACGGCAUAUAUCAGGGUCAUGCAAGCUACGCUCUUACCAAAGAAGAGAAGGAAAUCUUCUUUGAAUGCCUACUCAGUAUUAAGGUAUCGUCUGGCUUCUCGUCGAAUAUAAAGGGAAUAAUAAACAUGGCAUAGAAAAAGUUCCAGAACCUAAAGUCUCAUGACUGCCACGUGAUUAUGACGCAACUGCUUCCGGUUGCAUUGAGGGGGCUUCUACCAGAAAACGUUCGAUUAGCCAUUCACUAUUAGAAAACAGGGCUUUGGUCCAGGCUGGGUCAGCCCAUUAGUCCCGGUUCAGUCCAGAACCAGGACCAAUGUGGGCAUUGGUCCUGGUUCGUGAGCCCAGGGGGGUGGCCGGGCCACGUGGGCCAUUGGUCCCGGUUCAUCUGGACCUUUUGGUCCUGGUUGGUGGGAUGAACCGGGACCAAUGGGCCUCGCUCCUGGCCCACCACCAUUGGUCCCGGUUGGUGGCUUGAACUGGGACCAAAGGCUCCCCUUUAGUCCCGGCUCAUGUCACCAACCGGGACCAAUGAGGUGCCUAUAUAUACCCCUCGCUCGCGAGCAGAGCACCCCAGUUCUCUGUUUUUCUCUGGCCGAGGGGGAGAGGGCUUGGUGGUGCUCUAGCUCACCUCCUAUGCACACAAGGUGUUCGAUGGAAUGCCCGAGCCACACUACUUAAGCUUUCUCCUCUCCAAGCUCAACCUCCAAGCUUCAUUUUCCAUAAUAUUUAUGUAGGUUUAGCGGUCCGUCACACCCCAUCCCCGUCUUCACCGCCGUCGAUCACCCGCGCCGAGCUCAUCGCCGGCACGACCGUGGUGAGCCUCUUGUUCUUAUCUUCUUUCUGAAAGGAAAACUAUUCUUACUUGUAUGUUUACAUAGAUACUUGUAUUAUUGUCUUACUUUUAUUAUUGCAUCUUAUAUAGUGUGAUGGUUUUGGUAUCCGCCCUCGUCGGCCCUCAUCCUGUCUAUGAUUCAGAUGUGGUAUAUAUAUUAUCUUUAUAACUAUUGGUUCAUUUAUUGUUUAUGAAAAUUAUGCCGACCAACGUGACAUAGGUUUUUUUAUGUAGGAUGUAUGUGAAUCGGAAAUGCCAACCGACCCUAUUGUCGAGAGGUUAAAUUUAGUUGAAGAAGAAAACAAUUUGUUGAAGGAAAAAAUUAAAAAAAUUGAGGAGGAGAAGAUGAUAUUGGAGUUGCAUGUUGCCGAUGUCGUCGAUGAUCCCAAGAUCAAGAUGGAUGCAAUGCGCUUGAAGAUUAGAAAGAUUAGAAAAUAUGCCAUUCAUACCGAGGCUUGGUAUCAUUAUGCCAUUGGAUCAAUUGUUACCUUGGUUGCGAUUAUGAUCGCAUUUGUUUUCGCAUUGAAAUGUUUUACAUAGUUUCAAUGUAUUGUUUAAUUAAUUAGAUGCUCUGGAGAGCUAUAUGUUGUUAGAUGAGAACUAUGUAUGCACUUUGGUUUUAAUGUGAUGAUGAACUUAUAUUAAUUUGGACACUUAAUUAUAUAUAAUGCACGCAGAUGAACCGGCAAUGGAUGUACGGUGACAGACACACCUGCGAGUACAUUAAGGGCGUGCAUGAGUUUUUCGAUGCGGCUGAGGCAAACAAGCAGAAUGGUUUUAUGUGUUGUCCAUGCACUGAAUGUGGGAAUAUGAGGUCUUACUCUAACCGGAAAAUCCUUCACUCCCACCUGCUUUACAAGGGUUUCAUGCCACACUAUAAUGUUUGGACGAGGCACGGAGAAAUAGGGGUUAUGAUGGAAGACGGCGAAGAAGAAGAGUACGAUGACAACUAUGUGCCCCCUGAAUACGGUAUGCCCAAUGAUGCUGCAACGGGGGGAGCUGGUGAAGAUCAAGAGGAACCAGACGAUGUGCCCAAUGAUGCUGCAAUGGGUGAAGCUGCUGAAGAUCAAGAGGAACCAGACGAUGUGCCUGAUGAUGAUGAUCUCCGCCGUGUCAUUGUCGAUGCAAGGACGCAAUGCGAAAGUCAAAAGGAGAAGCUGAAGUUCGAUCACAUGUUAGAGGAUCACAAAAAAGGGUUAUACCCCAAUUACGAAGAUGGCAACACAAAGCUCGGUACCGUACUGGAAUUGCUGCAGUGGAAGGCAGAGAAUGCUGUGGCUGACAAAGGAUUUGAGAAGCUACUGAAAAUAUUGAAGAAGAAGCUUCCAAAGGAUAACGAAUUGCCCAACAGUACAUACACAGCAAAGAAGGUCGUAUGCCCUCUAGGAUUGGAGGUGGAGAAGAUACAUGCAUGCCCUAAUGACUGCAUCCUCUACCUCGGUGCAUACAAGGAUCUGAACGCAUGCCCGGUAUGUGGUGCAUUGCGGUAUAAGAUCAGACGAGAUGACCCUGGUGAUGUUGACGGCGAGCCCCCCAAGAAGAGGGUUCCUGCGAAGGUGAUGUGGUAUGCUCCUAUAAUACCACAGUUGAAAUGUCUGUUCAGAAACGAAGAGCAUGCCAAGUUGAUGCGAUGGCACAGUGAGAACCAAAAGAAAGAUGGGAAGUUGAGAGCACCCGCUGACGGGUUGCAGUGGAGAAAAAUCGAGAGAAAGUACUAGGAUGAGUUUGCAACGGACCCAAGGAAUGUAUGGUUUGCUUUAAGCGCGGAUGGCAUCAAUCCUUUCGGGGAGCAGAGCUGCAAUCACAGCACCUGGCCUGUGACUCUAUGUAUGUAUAACCUUCCUCCUUGGAUGUGCAUGAAGAGGAAGUUCAUUAUGAUGCCAUUUCUCAUCCAAGGCCCUAAGCAACCCGGCAACGAAAUUGAUGUGUACCUAAGGCCAUUAGUUGAAGAACUUUUACAGCUGUGGAAUGGAAACGGUGUACGUACGUGGGAUGAGCAUAAACAGGAGGAAUUUAACCUUAAGGCGUUGCUAUUCGUGACCAUCAACGGUUGGCCCGCUCUCAGUAACCUUUCAGGACAGACAAACAAAGGAUACCACGCAUGCACGCACUGUUUAGAUGACACUGAAAGUAUAUACCUGGAAAAAUACAGGAAGAAUGUGUACCUGGGCCAUCGUCGAUUUCUUCCGACCAACCAUCAAUAUCGAAAGAAAGGCAAGAAUUUCAAAGGCGAGGCGGAUCACCGGAAGAAGCCCGCCAUGCGUACCGGUGAUCACGUACUUGCUAUGGUCAAUGAUUUACACUACGUAAUCUUUGGAAAGGGUCCCGGUGGACUAGCUGUUCCGAAUGACGCUGAGGGACACGCACCCAUGUGGAAGAAGAAAUCUAUAUUUUGGGAUCUACCCUACUGGAAAGACCUAGAGGUCCGCUCCUCAAUCGACGUGAUGCACGUGACGAAGAACCUUGUGUGAACCUACUAGGCUUCUUGGGCGUGUAUGGGAAGACAAAAGAUACACCUAAGGCACGGGAGGACCUGCAACAUUUGCACAAAAAAGACAGCAUGCCUCCGAAGCUAUGUGCAUUCCUCAAUGCAAUCUCUCAGAAGGUAAUCGAUCUAGAAAUCAUACCAAGGUUAGAGAAUGAUUUGGUGCAAUGUCUUGUCAGUUUCGAGUUGGUGUUCCCACCAUCCUUCUUCAACAUCAUGACGCACGUCCUGGUUCACCUAUGUGAAGAGAUUAACAUUUUGGGUCCUGUAUUUCUACACAAUAUGUUCCCCUUUGAGAGGUUCAUGGGAGUCUUAAAGAAAUAUGUUCAUAACCGUGCUAGGCCAGAAGGAAGCAUCUCCAAGGGCCAUGAAAAUGAGGAGGUCAUUGAGUUUUGUAUUGACUUUAUUCCUGACCUUAAGCCGAUUGGUGUUCCUGAAUCGCGGCAUAAUGGCAGACUGGAUGAAAAGGCACGCUAGAAGGGGAACAAAUAAUAUGUAUGGACGGACAUUCUCUCACUGAAGCACACUACACAGUUCUACAGAAUUCCGCCUUGGUGGCUCAGUAUAUGGAUGGACACAAUAAUUUGCUACGCUCCAAACACCCGGAGCGGUCUGAUGACUGGAUUACACGUGAACAAACCAGGAGUUUCGCCAGCUGGUUGCAGACAUGUACCAUGCACGACGCCUCUAUUGAAGAUGACCUGUACUUGCUGUCCCAGUUACCAUCUUCGAAUAUAAUGACUUUCAAAGGGUACGAGAUAAAUGGUAAUACAUUUUACACGAUCGCCCAAGAUAAGAAGAGCACCAACCAAAACAGUGGUGUCUGCUUUGAUGCAGAAACCAAGACGGGAAAGGAAACAUAUUAUGGUUAUAUACAGGACAUAUGGGAACUUGACUAUCGACGUGGUUUGAAGGUCCCUUUGUUUCGGUGCAAAUGGGUCAAUAUGACACGAGGCGGGGUAACGGAAGACCCGCAAUAUGGAAUGACAACAGUGGAUCUCAACAAUCUUGCAUAUGCAGACGAACCAUUCGUCCUAGCCAAUGAUGUGGCACAGGUUUUCUAUAUGAAGGACAUGUCUACCAAGCCGAGAAAAAGAAAAGAUAAGGAAGCGAGUGCAUCGUACGAUGAGCCAAAGCGGCACAUAGUUCUCUCUGGGAAGAGAAACAUCGUGGGAGUGGAUGACAAGACAGACAUGUCAGGAGAUUAUGAAAAGUUUGAUGAAAUUGCUCCAUUCACGGUGAAUAUUGACCCGAGCAUCCAGUUAAAUGAUGAAGAUUUUCCAUGGCUACGGCGCAAAGGGACACACGCGAAGAAAAAGUUUCACACCCAAAGAUCUAGGAUGUGAUCGGCUUCACUAUCAUCACUUUCUUCUGUGUUUCACACCCAGGAGGAAAUCUCUGUAAUAGGUAGGGUAGCUAGUUAUGUGUUUUGACAUUUGAAACACCAAGAAAUUUUAUGUGCAAGCAAAUUCUUUCGUGCAUUUACUGAUUUUUUCAGCAAAAUGACCCUAAAAUUGAAAAGCAUUUCAAAUGAACUCAGAAAAGGUUGAAAGUUGGCAUGGUAUCAUAAUUUCACCCACAUAGCAUGUGCAAAAAAAUAGAGAGGGUUACUGCAAAAACUGGAUGCACUUCGUGUACAAAAUGGACAAUCUCUUUCGAAGUAUCAGGGUUUCGGACGAAAACUCGUCCGUUACAAAGGCAUUUCAUUUUUUAAAUAACCUAAGCAUUACCAAAUUGAAUAUAAUGAUAAAACACACUAAUAUUAAACAUAAGAAAAAAGAAUCACUGAAAAAUCUAUUUUCAAAGUUAAGUUAUUCACAAACUAGUGAUUCACACAAAUUUCAAAUAAUUCAAAAUUUAAACUAUUCAAAUUUGUAAACUACCGGUACUAACAGAAAGUUUGUAAUUUUUUGUACCUAAAGCAAAAAUAUUCACACACAAACUCUAAAUACAGCAAAAAAACAACUCUAAAAUAAAUAAAACAAAAAUAAAUAAAGCAAAAAAAAAAAGAAAAAAAAAGCCCACCUACUGGGCCACAGUGGCCUGCAUACGACUAGAAACCCAAAUUCUAGUUGGGCCAGGAUGCAGGCCCACUAGCCCAGUAGAUCCAAUAGGGCAUCACAGAAGAGGUAGGCCCAGAAGGCCUGUUUAAGAGAGGAGCUCGAGACAGCAGCGACGGCGGGGCUUAUAAGUAGGUGCGAGUGCCCCUCGGCUAGCGAGGUGGGACUAAACUUUUGUGCCCCUCGCCUGGCAGCGCAUACCCUUUAGUACCGGGUCGUGGCUCUAACCGGUACUAAAGGGGGGUCUUUAGUACUGGUUGGAGCCACCAUCCGGUACUAAAGGGGUGUCGUUCCCGCCGCUUGGCCUGGCCAAAACAGACCUUUAGUAUCGGUUGGUGGCUCCAACCGAUACUAAAGAUUGUUCUAUAUAAGAAAACACUUCAAAAAAUUGUCAGUUUCUCAUCUCUCCCUGCUUCUUUCUCCUCUGCCCCGUCGCGGCCGCCGCUCGCGGCCGCCCCCGUCGCCGUCCCCGUCCCCGUCGCCGCGCCCCGCCCCGUCCUCCUGUCGUCCCCGCCCGACCCGUCCCCGUCCCCGUCGUCGCCGCCCCGUCCCCGUCGUCUCUGUCUCCGUCUCCGUCCCUGUCCCCGUCCAUAGUCGUCGCACCUCGCCGAUGAGCUGUGCCCCGGCCGCCAACCACACACACACACACACACAUACAUUGUUAUAGAAUUGUUAGCAAUCUUUCUGUUUUUUAGUUAUAGAAUUAUUAGAAAUGUUAGUUUUAGUUAUAGAAAUGUUAGUUAUAUAGAAAUGUUAGAAAUGUUAGUUAUAUAGAAAUGUUUUUUAGUUGAGAAAUAUUAGAAAUGUUAGUUUUAGUUAUAGAAAUAUUAGAAAUGUUAGUUUUAGUUAUAAAAUUUAGAAUUUGCAUAUAUGAAAUCACAAUCCAUCAUUUAAAAAAUGUUACUUUACUUUUGCAGCAUAUAGUAUUUGUUGUCGAUGAUGCCCGGCCCGCAUCCUCGCCGUCGACCCGUUCGCGACGACGUCCUGCUUCAGAGGACCCAUGUCCGGGACUGGGCUCCACCGGGCUGGCACUGGGAGGUGCUACCUUCAGGGGCGCGACGCUUGAUGAGGAACCCGGCCCUGGGUCCCGUCGUCGACCCUCAUCUCCUUUGGUGGCGUUCGCGUGGGCCACUUUCAGUGCGGAGGGAGCCGGCCCCGCCGGAGGUGGUACGUCGCCGUGUCAGGGAGGAGGACGAGCACGUCCAUCACUACAUGGCUGCUAUGGACGUCAGGUUCUCCAAUAGCUGGCAGGUUCUUUUGGGAGAUCACCCGAGCUAUGAUCCAGUGAUGGUUCCUUCACUUUGGGUGUCCACCGCCGUACAUCAGGAACCGCGAGUGGCCUAGAUUACUCUGUAGUAUUCGAUCUUUAUUAGCUUGCUAGCUAGCUAGCUAGUGAUGUAUUUGAUAUUAUAUUUAUUAUUCGAGACGAUGUAUUCGAGAUUAUAUCUAUUAUUCGAGAUGAGGUAUUCGAGAUUAUAUCUAUUAUUCGGGACGAGGUAUUCGAGAUUAUAUCUAUUAUUCGAGACGACGUAUUCGAGAUUAUAUUCGAUGAUGCUUAUUAUGUACUAUGAUUGAUUCAGUUUUUCCUUAUUAAUUGAUUGCAUCCAUGCAUUGUAAUUUGAAUAUACUAGUAAGGUGCCCCUGUGUUGCCACGGGAAAAUAAAUAUAGUUCACAUGACAUAUAUACAUAUAAAUAAUCGAUCAAUCUCUCACCCAAUCCUCAAUUCCCAACCCACCACGUGCCUCCCACAAAAAAAUAUGCUCCUAAACAAGGGUAAUGGCCAUUCUUCAUCCACACACACACACCAAUAGACGCUCAGAUUUGGACAGCCGACAGAUUGGAGUGGCGCGGUUGGCAAAACUAUGGACUUUGCCCACUUUGCAAACGUGUUGGCGAGACGGGUGCACACCUCUUCUACAAAUGCCGCUACACCAUAAGGCUAUGGAACUCGGCCAUCCUUGAAUUCGGUCUAGCGCACAUCGACACCUCCUCUUGGCACUUGGAUGGAUCCGUUUUGGAAUAAUGGGAAAAGCGAACCUGCUUGCAAAACCCAAACCGACGAGCCUUGGUCUCGCUUACAAUGCUUGUCUCUUGGACAAUCUGGAACGAGCAUAAUACUUGGGUCUUCCGACGCAAGAGCGCGCCGCCUCUGGUUCCAUGCUAUCAUCAACAACAUCAAGCUUUGGGUUCUCGCGGGAGCUAAAAAACCGGGGUGUAUUUUUGUGCGCUAGUAGUUGCCAUGUUGGGCAUGUGGGUCAUUUAUAACACUCUAAAACUUUUCUCUCUUAUUUAAUGAAUGAGGCAAAUCUUUUGCCUUCGUUUAGAAAAAAAAUAGACUAAUAAACUAACCAAUUAAAGUCUUCACCUGAAGACAAAACAUGCAUGUACAUGUCGUUGCAUGCCAAAUUGAAAUAUGGAGGUUGUGAAGCCAAAUAACCAACUCUCGUUUGUAAGGAAAAGAAAAUACUUAUGAUCACAUGCUUGUAUUUAGACAUGCUAGGUCCAACACAUGUCCUCCUUUUACAUCAAUGAUCUUCUCUUCUUUACCAUUACUGCCAUCCUCUUUUUCUCCCACGGCCAUCUUCUCUAUAUUACCAUUACAGCCGCUUCCAUUGGUUCAACUCGCCGUCACCGACAACAUGCAACUCAUUUCAAUCAUAUAUACAGUACAAUGUUCAAGGAGCACUCUAGCUUUUAGAUACAUAAUUGUUGAUGUCUAAAUUGGAUCAAGCAUACAUAGUACCUCUGCACAAAUUACACGAGAAUGAUUCUGUCAAAAGAAAUGAUGCAACCAACAGAAUUCAUAUUUUGGCUACAAUAAACAAAGGAUAAAAUUAGCACCAGUGCGGUUCAGAUUACCCGAUCAUAGUUCUUCUCUCGCAUAUGUGGAAAUAGUCCUACUACUUCAGCAUGGAAGCCAGGCACAUCCUUCAUGUAGUAAAUUGUAUGUUCACAAACCUUAUGAACAUUUAAAAAUGUAGCCUGCAUUUUCACAAUCACCUAAACAAUAUUGUUCACCAGAACUGGAUUAAAAAGUAAAAGGGUAUAUGAAAAACAAUCAUACAUUAAAACUUACUGUGCGAACAUCUGAUAUAUGCUCAGAUAGUAGUGUGAUUUGAUCAUCCAAAUUGCAUCGAAAAGUUGAUCUCAAUAUAUCCGUGAAUCCUCAAUCAUUGCCUGGUGUAGAGGAAGAAAUGCUCAAGGCACAUAGACAGGAAAACCAAAUCAACAUGCCCGUUCAAGUGAUUGAUGCCGGUUCCAUCGUUUUAUGUACAGAAGUAUGGCACUGACACUGCAAGAUACAUAAGGUCAGCUGAGACCCGUACAUUGUUUACCAACCGUUCUUUGUAAUGCUUGAGUCAUCCUCGUUCACCUCCAAUCUGAAUGUUUUCCCAACACAAAAAAUUACACAUACGUGCAACUUUAACAAUGUUUGUGUUCGCUUGUCUAGAACAGUUACCAUUCUAGUCGUACAAUUGCAGUUAUACCUUUUGCGUACAUGGUCCUUGCACUUAGGAUUUGAAAUUGUUCCUUUUGCAUAUGGUUGGAGCUGCCCAUUCACCAUCUUCCUCAACAUCCUAGUCGUCGUGAUUGGUUACAUUUAAAUGGCAAUUAACAUUUAUGUAACAACUUGUAUAACUCUACUGAAAAUCAUAUGCAUGCAAAUUUUCAACAGCUAAGUUAUCCCACACGGUAUUUCGCAAAAUGAUUUUUUUAAUGGGUCCAAAUUGAAUGCAAAGUAACCAUUGAUCCACAGAGAAAUCAAAAGGGUAACAAACCAUUCCAUUUUCUUAUUUUGUAUGCUAAUCAUGUAGGUCAGGCAUCGUCACUAAUUGUAGCCUCAAAGUGACACAGGUUUAUUUAACUUUGCAAACAAAGAUAGUAAGAUGGAGACAUCGAGAGGAAGCGAACUAUAAAAUUUCAAUCUUCAUUAUGCAACUAAUAACAAACAAAGCUUAACAAUAUUUUCUAUUUUCUUCUCUCAUGUUUGUCCAUGUUUUUUUAUGCAACUACUCAAGGGAAUGACCAUGUCUUUUUUAGCAGAAAAAGGCUAGAGCUCUGCCAUUUAAUUAAGCAAGAAAAAAAUUACGGACAUCAGACUCCAGGAUAACAUUCAGGGAUAAUCCAUAUGAAUUGCUUAUUGCCUUCUUCCUACUUCCUUGUUCUACUGUCUAGUUGAUACAGUCGUUUACAGGGAGGUCUCCAGGUGAACAUGUUGGUCAUUUAGCUUGGCAAGAGAUUAACUUUAGGGCCUAUUAUUAUGUAGGCAAGCAGAGCAAUUGAGGACAAGUAGUUUCUUUGGCUUGUUGGGUUAUAGGCCUUGUUCCUUUAAAUUCAGAGACGCACUAUAAAUUUUAACCAAUCUCAGCUUCAUGAAUAGGAAGUUCUCCUGCCCUUUUCUUAAGAUUAUCUGGCUGUUGCAUAUGUAUGAUCAAAGACAGAGAAGCACUGCAGAUAUAACAGAAAUAAUGCACUCACACUGUUGUCAGGUUCCUUGUACUUCAAGUAAUGAUGACGCGGCAGGGGGUAACAAUCUCGUACCAUGUUAGGCAGUCGCCGGCGGGCUUGGAGGAGGACCAGAGCACGUUUUUCCUACUCUGCUUUGCGCAUCUCCGCCUCCUCGUUCGCUGCUGCAACAUCUUUCCGUGCCCAUUGCAGGGGGUCGUCCUCCCCGGCUGGGUAUAAACCACCUUAACCGUCGUGGUGCCGCCCCUUCCAGUCAUUCAUCCACUUGUGUAGGACCGCCAUGACCGUUUUGCCUCAUAAGCACAUAAUUCAAAAAUAUAUGGGAUAUAAGAAGUAAGCACCAUUGCUCAUGUUAUAGAAAUAUCUCUUAAAAACAUCACUUUCUCUAUAGACAAUGUAAAGAAAAACUGAUAACAAUUAUUUUCAGCAGACCAAGAAAGAAUGAGGGUUUGCCGAGAAAUACUAAUGAAACUAACAAUUACCAUUGUACGUUCUAGCAUAUUAGAAAUUUCAUUUCAUUUACCAUGUAGUACAAAACCUAAGUUAUUGUCUGGAAGCAUAUACGUCAAAUAAAUAUAGUGGAAAGGACCACAAUGACAUACCUGCAGAAGAGCCACAACUUGAGCAGCAAAUUGCAAAAAAACUUAGUUUGCUUGAGGAAAUAUCACAUGGUAAAAUCUCCAUAGUUCCCUAGAUGCAUAAACAUCAUCACCCUGCAGGCAAACAUGACUUACCAAAGCGGAUCAGUCUACAACAUCCAAACUUACCAAUAAAAGAUCUACAUAUGAUGGGCACAAAAACUCCACGGGCAUGAAUAAAUCCAGAAAAUGUGAAAAGAUCUACACUGUUACGGCAAGCACGACAAACACUUUAGAAAUUUGAGCUUUAGUCAUGCCGCUGCAUAUUUGGAACACCAUAAUGUUAUUCCUACUGAACCUUGUGUCAGCCAUUUGAAUAAUUACAACUAAAAUGGUAUGUGACCUUUUAUAUCUGGCUGAACCUUGUGUCAGCCAUUUAAAUGUAAUACUGUAACAAAUUCCUACUGAACCUUGUGUCAGCCAUUUAAAUGUAAUACUCUAACGAAUUCUAUAUGUGGCUAAAUUGACUACCUAACGUCCAUGCUUAUAUAGCACAAUUGAAGAUUAAUGUCCAUGCUUAUACAGCCCACCUUUCCCCAAACAAGGAUGUACACGAUUAUUUUGUUUCUGGAAAUAUUGUUGACAGUGUACACACACAACCUCAAAUUCUCAACUGGGAAAAAACAAAGCUAAUCAUCACUGAACUAUUGUGCUUCUUUUGCAUCACAUCUCCGUGAAGAAGCUGCCACCGUGGUGGAUGGGAAACUCCCAUGUUGUGCUACAUCUGCAUCUGCAGCAGAGGAUAUGAAGAGAAGGUGAGGUGUAGAGGUGGCAUAUCCCGGCCAAGAUAGAGGGAGGGACGAACCUAGGGCCGCCGGAGACGCGCCGGCGAACCCUUGCCAGAAAUCCUAGCCACGGGGGUGGGGUUGCGAGCGGGUGGUAGAGGCCGGGAGCGGGAAUCUGGACGGACGGGAGGGAGGCGCGGACCAUGGUGAGCUUGGGGGCGUGCUGCGCGGCGCCGGAGCUCGCCGGAAGCGGCCGGCGUGGGUGGUGGCGGCGGCGAGGACUUCGUGGGCGAGAGGAAGAGGAGGCGAGCUUGUGCGUGUGGUUGCGUCUGUUUUUUUUCAUUGCAAAUCUGAUUGGACGGCAGGUUGAAUAUGGCAAACUACAGGGACUCUUUUGCAAGAGUGAAAUGUUUUCUCUGGUAGUUACUUAAAAAGGGAUUGCGGGUUGAAUUCUAAGAAACAAAGGGAUUUUUAUGCAAAAAUGCCCACGACGUACGACCAGAAGCGAUCGCUGGUUUAUUAGUAGGUAGAGAUUUCUUUUGAAUUAGUUAAACAAAGCCUAUGGCGGACAAUACCGGCAGAGAGGGAGAAGAGGCCCUGUUCAAUAUCAUACGCAAUCCUCGCGGGCUAGAUGAUGAUCAGAAUGAAGAAGAUUAUGACGGCUCCGAAUAUCUAAACAACAUCGAGGAGGGUGAUAUGAUAUUCGAUCGCGACGACCGAAUUGAUGAAGUCAUGAACUAUUAACAUGACGAAGAAAAUGUUGAUCUUGAUACAACAAAGACCGGCGAGGUAUAUAUAUUUAUAUAAGCAGGCAUCUGGUGAUCAUCACAUGUUUUAAAUGACUUGAAGAUAUAUUAACGAAUCGAUCUUUCUUCUUUCAGUCAUCCAGAUCGAGCAAAUCUUCAGGCAACAGGAAACGUUGCCCGAAAAAAAAGUUGAAGGAGGGCGUAAAGUACAAUAUCGAGGCCAUCAGACCUAAUGGCGAACCAUUAGCGCUUAAGAAGAUUGCGGACAAGUUCAUUCAUCAGUGUGGAGUUCUUGUGAAGGACCAACUCCUGAUCUCCCUUCAAGAAUGGAGAGAGGCAACAUAGCCACGUCCAGGAGUUACUUUUGUCGAUGACAGACAAAAACUUCUGCUUUAGGAAACGCUCAUGGAACAUUUCACCCUACCAGAUCAUUUCACAGAUGCAGAUGUGGAGAAAGUCAAGGACGCUGCUCUUAGGAAGAUGGCGGUUGCAUUCAAGAACCACAAGAUUCAUGAAUGGGCCAAGUACGUCAACGGAGGAAGGAAGACUCCAGUAUUCGAGGGAACACUAGAGAAGCAAAGUGCUCAUUGGGACGAUUUCAUGAAAUUCAAGGAUUCAGAAUUAUCUAAGGAACGAUCGGGAAUAAACAAGGCCAAUGCCGCAAAAAGGAUAAGUUCCAUAAGCUGGGGCUAGGUGGCUAUGCGGUGGGAAUGCCUAAGUGGGAUAAGUCUGAGAAAAAGAUGCUGGAUGCAGGUGUCACUUCAGAAACAUUGAGCUGGCCCCCCAGGUGCAGGACUUGGUUCUAUGCGCAUGGGAGGGAGUUGGACCCGAAGACAGGCAAAGUUUCGAAGAAGGCAUGUCUGUACGGAGCCAAAGAUAAGCUACUUGUUGCAAUAGAAGAGGCUCGAUCGGGGUUGUUCGAGCCCAACAGAGAGAACGACGAGAUUACGCGUGCCCUGGGAAAUCCUGAACACCCGGGAAGAACACGAGGCAUGGGCGCUAUUCCGUGGUAUGAGGGGUUUUCGGACUGGAACGCCGACUACAGAACCCGUGCGAGAAAGAAGAUUGCGGAGGAGAAGAAGAGGAAGAUGGAGGAGGAGCAGAGGAAGCUAGACUAUGAAUGCCUUCAAGGCCUAGAAUCAGCGCACGCGGACUUGGCAGUCAAAUUCCAGCGGCAGCAGGAGCAGAUCGACUCACUUAGCCAACAAAGGGGGUCUCAACAGCUAGCGGAUGAUCCACCAUUGGAUAGCACCGUCCCAUCCAUGCCGAGAAGCAGCGUGGGUUCCGCCCCGGGUGACGCAUUACUGGAUAGCUACCUAGUGGAUGACAUCAUGGAGAACACUAACUGCGAGCUACACUUCAAAAUGAAGAAUAUAUCCAUGAAGGUGGCGGACGCCCUUGCUUUUACAAAUCCCCCCGAGGCAACCUUUCAUUGCAACCCGAUUCCAGCGGGCUAUACUCGUGUGUUGGUUGAUGAGGUGGUGGGCCAAUAUUCGGGGCUAGAGCUUGACAUUCCUGGAGGUGACGAUGAGCACACACUAGGAGAGGCCAACCAUCGUAUCAUCCUAUGGAGAAAGGAUUGCAUCAUCUUUUGAAGGCCACCGACACCGCGUUAUCCGACUCCUCGUCGCAGUCCACCACCGAGUCAACAGACUCCCGCUCCUCCAAGUCCACCAACGCGUCAGGCCACUCCUCCUCCAAGUCCGGCACAGCUUCAGGCCACUCCUCCUCCUCCAAGUCCGGCAAAGCGUCAAGCCACUCCUCCUCCAAGUCCGGCACAGCUUCAGGCUACUCCUCCUCCUCCAAAUCAGCCACGUUAGCCGUCUUCGUCGCCUCAGCAAUCACGGAAGAGAGCUGCCUCAGCUAUGGUGCGUAGCGGUACAAGUCGAGGUAGUACUGUAGGUACAGGCGGAGGCAAGCGAUUUCAAUAUGGUCCAAGCCUCGCGCCUCUUCCGCAGAGGCCUUACGACAAGUCCGAGGAGGAAAACGUAGCCAUAUCGAAGGCCAAAGUGGAAGCCCAUUUGCACCAAAACCGCCACCGCCGCCAAGGGAGAAAGUGCCUGUGGAAAAGAUUGACCACUUCAUUCGUAUGGCUAGAGCACCAGCUCCCAAGCCUAUUGACACAGACUAUGAGCGCCACAUCAUGAAGUUAAAUCGAGCACGUCUACAGAAAGAGGCGAGCUCGAGCUCGAGCAAAUCAGCUGGCAAAAGGAGCGGUAAAACCGUUCCCCAGCUGGGAGAACAGGCGGCGCAAUCAAUCCCCCCGCUUGUUGUGCCAACAACACAUGAGAGUAAGCGCGCCCAAUAUUAUUGUGGGCCGGGCAAACCAUUAACGUUCCCGGGGUGGGCGAUGUGGUAAUAACCGUGGAGCAUAUUGCGCAGGCUGAAUUGAUCGGGAUCACUGUUGGACAACUCCUCGAUAUCGAGCCCAUGUCUCCGACUAGAGAGGAGGAAAUAAAACGGAAAUAUGCCCGGGGCCAACCUUUGGUCGAGCCAGAGGAGGUCAAUAAGCUCCCAACGAGAAUGUAUGAAUUGCAUCAAUGGUACAUGGACAUUACCAAGAUUUCCAAUCGAGAGUCCCUCAUGGUGAAUGUCAACAAGGAUUAUUACUACCAUGAGAGUAUUCAGAACUAUUUCAGCUAUACAAUCAAGCCGCACUCGACAAAUCUAUCGUAAGUUGCUAUUGUCUAUAAGUGAUUUCAUUCUUUAAUUUAAGUCUCAAGCUAGCUGUAGUGAUCAUUUUGAUCAAUCAUUACCUGUAAUUAUCCUUACUAUAUUCUUUUCUAUGGUAUUAUGCAGGAUGAAGAUUUAUGAAAUGAAAAAUGUGGACGCUAUGGCAUUGGGUUCGUUGACCCAAAUAUCAUUAAUGAAUACACAUGGAAAAUAGAUCCAUAUCACGAAAAAAGUGUAGAGGAAAGCAUGCUACAGUUCUUCAAGGAACUCAAAUACAAUAAAGAUAUACUACUUCCUUACAACUUCCACUGAGUCACACUAUCUUGUACUACAAAUUCUGUUUUUCCCUACUACCUAGCUACAUGUUUUUGCUUACAUAUGCCCGCUUAAUUAAGACAUGCAAACGUGUGUGCAUGCAGAUUUCACUAGAUCUUGUUAAUCAUUAAAGUUGAUGAAGGAACAGUUGAAGUACUAGACUCACUACUUAAGAAAGCAAGUCACUACACCAUCGUGAAGGGGAUAGUCAAGAGGUAAUUUCAAUCAUUAUUAACUAUAUCUUGGCCUAUUUAAUUAGUUCGUCAUUUCCUGAUAACAACUAUUUAAUAACCCAUUUAUUCAUUUUCUUUGUCGGCGGGCAGGGCUUGGGCAAAGUUCAUCAGGGCCACUCCAGGCCCAUGGAAACAAAAUCUGAAAUGAUAUCGACCCAAGGUAAGUAAUUAAGUAGUACUAGCUAGCUGCCAUCUCUUGAAUUAUCAUGCUUGAUUAAUUAUUAUCUGAUCAAAUUUCAUUCUCGUAAAGGCCUUGAAGUAGGCGUCGGGGAAUGAUCUAUGUGCAUACUACGUUUGCGAGAACAUUCGCAUGAUGGCGUCCGAAAGGAGCAAAUCUCAAAGACAGGAGUGGGUACGAUAUUGAUUGUCAGAACACUAUUCACAAUUUUUACACCAUUAUGGAUAUCUAGUCACACAACUAAUACACAUGCAUAUUGAUCUCCUUCUUAACAGUUCAAUGAGGUGUGGGACAAGCUCCUAGCACAGGACCACAAAGAAGCAAUUCAAGAGGAAAUAGCGGGAUUUUUGCUCGACCAGGUCAUAGAUCCCAAAGGAGAAUACUAUUACCCGCUACCGUCCCCAUGAAUCACUACCAAUUGUUAUCGUGCUCCGAAGGCACCAAUUAGCUAGGCUAAUGCAACUGGCUCCGAAGGCACCAAUUAGGAGAAAUUGUAUAUNNNNNNNNNNNNNNNNNNNNNNNNNNNNNNNNNNNNNNNNNNNNNNNNNNNNNNNNNNNNNNNNNNNNNNNNNNNNNNNNNNNNNNNNNNNNNNNNNNNNNNNNNNNNNNNNNNNNNNNNNNNNNNNNNNNNNNNNNNNNNNNNNNNNNNNNNNNNNNNNNNNNNNNNNNNNNNNNNNNNNNNNNNNNNNNNNNNNNNNNNNNNNNNNNNNNNNNNNNNNNNNNNNNNNNNNNNNNNNNNNNNNNNNNNNNNNNNNNNNNNNNNNNNNNNNNNNNNNNNNNNAAAAUACCAGCAAACGAAAAAUAAUUAAAUCGAAAACACAAAAUUAAAUGAAAAAGAAAUCAUAAAUCCAACCCCCCCAACCUUUUAAUACCGGUUGGUGACACCAACCGGUACUAAAGGGCUCCCUAUCCCCGAAGCUGACUCGUGUCACGUGGUUGCCCUUUAGCACUUUAGCACCGGUUACCAAACCGGCACUAAAGGGCCUUACAAACCGAUGCUAUUGCCCGGUUCUGUACUAGUGUUGGUAGUUACAGGUUGUAAAAGAUUCAUAAGAGCUUCCCAAUCAAUUGUUUCAUUCAUCGUGAGCGAUCGAAGAAAACCCACGUUGACACUACCGGAUACAAACACAUCACUAACCAGAAUGUGGGGAUCUGCCCUGAUGACAAACAGAGAGGGAAAGGAUGCGUAAAGAUUGCGCAAAAAAAGGAAAGGAUGCGUAUAGAGGUUUGUCUAGAAUCCAUUUGGCCAACAAGAAUUUGGUGUCAAGACGGUUCCCCUUUGGUGUUACAAGCAAAGAAAUAAGAGCUGCGGAAAUAUUUGGCUUUAAGUAACCGCGCCCAAAGGCAGUCGUCGUCCAGUGAGAUUUUCCAAAUCCAUUUGGUAAUAAGGGCGAGGUUCAUCUUUCUAGAAUUCAGAAUCCCAAGGCCUCCUUUAUUUUAUGCAUGCCUAUCUAACCAUAUGAUAUUUGCAAGUAAAUAGCAUAAAACUACUAUUUUACACGCUAUGGUUUCAAAAAACUAUCGGUUUUUAAUUUUUCUCAGAUAACUACUAAGUGGGUAUUCGGCUGUUUAAAAAACCCCAAAAUCUUUGUUGUUGAAAAAUUAAGCAAGUUUAUGACAGGUCGGGCCCGCACCUAAAUGAUCCGUCUAUUUGACCGUUAACUGACAUGUGGGCCCCACAUGUCAGUGUCUUGAAACUUUUCAAAAAUGCCAUCGGGUCCCUGCAAACUUUUCAAAAACACAAUCGGGUCCCUGCAAACUUUUGAAAAAAGCAAUCGGGACCUCCCGUGGUCAUGCGCCAGCAGCGGCCGUGAUGGUCGCCGGCCAGUAGCCAUGGUGCCGAUGUGGAGCUCUCUUUCGUCACGACCAGCAGCCAUGGCGCCGCCGUGGAGCUCCCUUCCUUCGUAGGCGCUGUCGUGGAGCUCCCUUUCGUUGGGACCAUCCAUGCCGGCGGGGUAGCGCCUUUGGCCGGUGGCGUCAUGGCUCCGUGUAGGGCGGCACAUCAGACGCCAUGGCUGCAGGCCGAGGCUAGCGGCGUGUUAGGGGAGAAGAUACCACGAUGAGGAGAAGAGGUUCCAGGGGGAGGGGGCAAUAGUGGAGGCGGAGGAGCGGCCGGCCGACACCGACGAGGUGGAAGGAGGGGCGACCGACGCUGGGGAAGGAGGCGACCGGCGUUGAGGGAAGGAGCGGCGGCCGGCGCUCCAUCGACCUCCUGGGGAAGAAGAGAGGCAGGAGGAGUAAAGAGAACGAGGAAGAGAGCUGACAUGUGGACCCCACAUGUCACUUAACGGUCAAACAGACGGUUAAACAAUCAAUUUUCUUACGUGCGGGUCCCAAUUGUCAUAAUCACGAUCAAUUGUAAAGCACUAGAUGUUUUGAGUUUUUUUAAACAACCGACCACCCACUUGAUAGUUAUCUUAGAAAAAUUAAAAACUGAUAGUUUUUUUGGAACCCUAGCAUGUAGAGUAAUAGUUUUAUGCUAUUUAUUCAAUAUUUGCAUUUUUGGGAUCGACUUCCUAGAAAAAUCUAGCCCGCACUUUCCCAAAUUCAGACUGUACCCCUUCUAAACAAGCCCAUGACAAAGGUAGGAAUCGUAGAGAGACACGCGUUAGUCAGCGUAGGACGAGGCGCAGAAGACAUGAGCUUCACUUGCCACAGAUCACAUAUUUCAACAGUCUUCUCCCCGGUAGGAUCCCACUCCGACUCCACAGUGAUUUUGUUAGCGCAUGGUUGCCCAAGGUAGCUAAUGGGAAAAGAACCCUUAGAACAGUUUAGGAGAUCCGCUAUCCAUUGACCCGCUUCCUUGUCCUUCCAAUGGAAAUCGCUCCACUUUUUGAGUAGUUGGUUUUUAACCCUAACAUCGCCACAAAGCAGAUGAGCAGAAUCUUGACCGUGGCUAUGCUUAGAGAAUCCGAUUGAAAGAAAACCACCAAGUCGUCAGCGUAUUUGAGAUAGUCACAUCUCCAGGGAUAGGAUGAGGGACGACCUCUUUAAGGUGGCUGGCAGCCCUAACCUUGUCUAAGAUGGCAGAAAACGAGUAUGCCACCAUGUCGAAGAGCAAGGGGAGAUGGGAUUGCCUUGGCGCAGACGACAUUUGUUUUGGAAGAAGGAACCCACCUCUCCGUUAGAAGGAACCCACGAUAGUAUACUACAAGUAGUAUGCUCGUACCUUCACAAGAGAGGAGCAGUCUCAGAAACAGAAACUUGGACUGAAACCUCUGAAAUACUCUGAUCUACUUCUUCUAUGCUGCUACUGCACCUGAAAUUAUAGCAGAAAUGGAGAUAAUACUACAAGAGUAUGCGGUUCCUCCUCUCUAAGUAAGGGGUGAACAAUCCGUUGCCUGUUGUCUUCAUACUCUCCACAUGGCCCUUUGCUUCACGCUGUUUUCUUGCCUCUUUACCGAAUCAUGAAACACAGGCAAUAUGCUAAUUUCUUUUGCUUUUCCUAAAGAUGAUUUUCCACCUUGCAGGUUUUCAUGGGAUUCGGCGGCUUAGCACAGAGCAAGAUAUUGACAUUAGGAUUUGCAUUUUUUUUGACAGAAUCUGGGAGUCUGACAAUGUACACGGUGAUUUUUCUGCCUUGCCGGGUACGGUUUCGACGCGUACAGCCACAAGGCACAACGGCCGUAUUACCCAGGCUUCAGUUAAGAGCGGAUAAUGCGAAGCGUCUAAACCAAUAAUAGACAAGCCUAUAUGUUCAUGGCCAUUACAUUUCUAGCACAGCAAAUGCCCCCGUACUGGCACCUGCCAACAAAAUCCUACGUUAAGCGCAAGCUUAUAUGAUGGACCAAACACGCAUACACCUGGCACUUUUUUUUCCAUCAAAGCUUACUAUUAUAUUUCACUUUCAGAUAUUAAUACAAAUAUACAAUUCCUCUGUGGUCAGCAGAUCCAAAGCUUUACUGAAUCAUUAGCUACGGCAAAACCAAAUAAAGAAUUUCACAAAGGAAGUGCUUUGCAAAAUACCAAAUGCAUAAAUUCAACUAGAGAUCACAUCAGUAACUAAAUACCAAAUGCAUAAAGUCAACUAGAGAUCACAACAGUAACAAGUCCCACUGAACCUUUUAGUACACUAGCAGGUUGACAAUAUGCACUAAGAUUUCGGAUAACAAUAAUAACUGAUUGUUAUGGAUAACAGGGCCUAUCACAGUACAGUUUAACCCCAUCAAACUAAGGCAUGUCCCGAAUAACAGCCAGUGCUGGGCAAACAAGAACAAGUGUAACAACUUUCUUUGAAAAUGAAAUGAUGCUUAAUCUGUAGGUUGACCAAGCGUUGCUCUGAAGUCUGAACUAUAAAUCAAACAAGAAGAAGUAUAAGCACCAGCAAUGUGGGCGGCCAUGAUUGAAGCAGAUUCAGAGGUACACAGACAAUUUUUUCAGACGAAAGAAGAGCCAGUUUUUGGGAGGAAACACAGGGGUGGUUUGAAGGUAAAGCUACUACCCCUCAGCAUCUGCUAAUGGCUCUGAGAACAGAGGAACAUAGGGUAGAAAUUUGUGCACACUGUUUUUCUCAAGAUUAAUGAUACAGCCAACUUUCUGAUGCCACAUGUGACAUGUCAUAUGAUAUCAAGGUAUCACCUCCACAAUGAGCCAGGAAAAUUGUGUCGCAAUCUGGAUGAAUCUCAACCACCCUGUACUUCUCCCCAGUCAUGCUCAUAAGCGUAUCGAUGCUGGCAGUAUGCUUCAGGACCCAUUGUUAACUGUCCCAAUCCUUGAAGCACCAGAGUGCUAUCUCAGAAACUAGGAUUUCAUUGUUAUUAUUGACAGAAGCUAUAGCAUAGUGUAAGCACCCCUGCGACAAUCCAAUAGUACCAAAUUUUGAAUCGUACGGCACACGGAUAGUCUUCCACACUUUCCCCUCCAUGUCCACCCCCACCAGCACAUACUCACCGUUGAUGUCCACCACGUUACCCAUGAUGUACAACAUACCACCAACAAAGACACAUUUACUCCUGAACAGGGUAGCUUUCUAAACUAUCCCACUGUCUCUAUGAAUCCAGGUUCCUGUGCGAGACGAGUAGAUGUUCACUCCUGCGAUCAAAUUUUUCGGAAAGGUCCG
rnacentral:lncRNA from 1 species